rnacentral:lncRNA from 1 species
UUUUUUUUUCCUUCUGCAGUUUAAAAAGGAGUCGCCCACGAGUAUUGAAAUAAUUUUAUCAGAUUCGCUUGAAAGUAGUUUUACGAGCAAGCAGUUUUUCCCUCUUGAUCCCCGUAUUCGUCAGCUCCUACUCUUUGCCUUCAAUUCUCAGUCAAGAAAACCUCUCCUGAUUUUCGUCUUUUGAUCUCAUACACACUUUGCUUCUAUUUAUCGUGGUCACUGCUCAUGCUAGCCGUUUUCUUAUUUACCUUCGUUCCCUUUCGCCAUCAGCUAUUUGCAUUUUCAUUGGAUCAAGCAACCCUUUUAUUGAUUCAAUUUUCUGAUCUAAAAAACACUUUGAUUUCCCUUGUUUUGUACAAAUAUCAUUUCUUUUUUCAACUUUGCCUUGUUUUGCUUCUACUUGAUUAUCAAUUGCGCGGUCGUUGACCCUGUUCUAUUUCUAUUCCGUUCACUUCCUCCCCCCCCCCCCCCCCAACAAAAAAAAAUGGACAUUUUGAAAAGCAUUGUUCCUGGAGUUGUAAACUGCUUGUCUCCGCGCGCACAACGCGAAUUUAGUUAUUGGUACAACUCCGCUGCCAACUUUGAGAAUUUCAAGGCAGAACUCGAUAGGCUCAAGGAUGAAAGAGAAAGCAUUCAGCACAGAGUUUCGGAGGCUGAAAGAAAAAGUGAAAAGAUUGAAAAGAAGGUUGAGAAAUGGGUGGUUAAUGCGAACAAGAGCAUUGAGCAGGCAGCCAAAUUCAUUCUAGACGAAGAGAAAGCAAAUGAACGAUGUCUCAUGGGGAUGUUUCCUAAUUGGAUUACUCGCUAUCAGCAUGGAAAGAAAGCAGAAACAGAGAAGGAGGCCUUUUUUAAGCUCCGAGAAGAAGCUGGGAGAUUUGAUGAUAGAAUUUCCUACCGUACCAUUCCGGAGGAGAUUUGGCUCAAGUCUCACAAAGGCUACGAGGCCUUCGAAUCAAGACGUUCUACUUUGGAGGCUAUAAAAAAUGCAUUGAUCGAUGUUGAUGUCAGCAUCAUUGGGGUGUCCGGCAUGGGCGGCAUUGGAAAGACGACACUGGUGAAGAAGGUCGCCAGGCAAGCUAUGGAAGACAAGCUCUUUGAUAUGGUGGUCUUUUCAGAGGUUUCCCAAAUCCCAGACAAAAAAAGGAUUCAACAGGAAAUUGCCGAGAAGUUGGGCCUAGAGUUGGGCGAGGAGGUUGAAUCCAGAAGAGCAAGUAGAAUAUUUGAGCGAUUGAGAGAUGAGAAGAAGAUCCUAGUGGUUUUAGACAACAUCUGGAAACACCUUGAUUUGGAGACCGUUGGAAUUCCUUGUGGAGAAGACCAUGAAGGAUGCAAACUACUGCUGACAGCAAGAGAUCGUAGUGUCCUCUUAAAAAUGGGAUCUAAAGACAACUUCUUGAUUAACAAUUUAAAUGAUGAAGAAGCAUGGAGAUUGUUUAAGAUGAUGGCCGGUGAUGAUGUUGAAAAUCGUGAGUUGAAAUCUACAGCAACAGACGUCGCCAGGGCAUGUGGAGGUUUGCCCAUUGCCUUGACUACAGUGGCAAAGGCACUGAGAAGCAAGAGUCUGCAUGAAUGGAAGAAUUCCUUGCGAGAACUCCGAACGCCUUCAAUGGUAAACUUCGAAGGAGUAUCUGCAGAGACUUAUUCAAGUAUUGAGCUGAGUUUCAACCAUUUAAAAGGUGAGCAACUCAAGAAAAUUUUUCUGCUCUGUAGUCUAAUGGAUAACCGUAUUCUUACUUCGGACUUGUUUAAGUACUCCAUGGGUUUGGGUAUAUUUAAAGGAGUCAAUAAGAUGGAAGAUGCACGAGACAAAUUAUAUGCAUUAGUCCAUGAACUUAGACACUCUUGUUUGUUGCUUGAGGAUGAUAGCAAUGAACAAUUUUCAAUGCAUGAUGUUGUUCGCGAUGUCGCAAUAUCGAUUGCAUGCCGCCACCAACAUGUGUUUUCGGUGAGAAAUGAUGAGGAUGUGUGGGACUGGCCAGAUGAGGAUACACUUCAAAAAUGCAAUGCUAUCUCUUUAAUAAAAAAUAGUAAUUGUGAAUUUCCUGAAGGAUUAGAAUGCCCAAACCUUGAAUUUUUAUAUAUCUCUCUCAAAGAUUCUUCUCGUGAAAUUAAUAUUCCUGGGAACUUUUUUGUAGGGAUGAAAAACCUUAGAGUUCUAGAUUUCACUCUAAUGCAGUUUUCUUCUUUUCCAUCUUCAAUUGAUCUUCUAGUAAAUCUUCACACACUAUGUCUGGAUCAAAGUUCGUUGGGGGACAUAGCAAUCAUUGGGAAGUUGAAGAGUCUAGAAGUCCUUAGCUUUGUGAGGUCUGAUAUUAAGAAGUUGCCCGAAGAGCUAGGUCAACUGUCUAAGCUAAGGCUGUUUAAAAGUCGGCGGCGCUUUUCGGUCAACAGUGAUCGCAAGAGUUUAAGAGCAUUGAAGCUCAAGCUUGAUUUUAUGGACAUUUGCUCCAUGAAAUUGCAGGGCAUCAAUAACGUAGAAUGCUUAUGGUUGGACAAGCUGCAAGGCAUCGAGAAUGUUCUUUUCAAUUUGGACACAGAGGGCUUUUCACAAUUGAAGCUUCUCUGGGUUCAAAAUAAUCCUGACAUCUUUUGUAUCGUCGAUUCAAGGGAGAUGGUCGCUUGUGAUGCCUUUCCUCUUUUGGAGUCACUUGGCCUUCACAAUUUGAUCAACAUGGAGAGGGUAUGUAUUGAUCGGCUCAAAGUAGAGUCUUUCAACAAACUCAAAACCAUAGAAGCAUAUAGUUGCGAUACGUUGAGUAAUAUCUUUUGGCUCUCUACUACAGAAUGCCUUCCAAGACUUGAGAGAAUUGCAGUUAUUAAUUGCAGCAAGAUGAAAGAGAUUUUUGCAAUUGGGGGAGAAGUUGAUAAUGCAAUUGAGAAGAUAGAGUUUGCUCAAUUAAGAUCUUUGAGUCUGGGGAAUCUUCCAGAGGUUACAAAUUUCUGCCGUGAAGUAAAGACUCCUUCAGCAUCACCAAACAGACCAGUGUCGCAAGAGGAAUCGACGACUAUGUAUUGCUCCAGCGAAAUCACUUUGGAUACUUCAACCCUGCUUUUCAACGAGAAGGUGCGUAAGCUUACAUUUUUUUUAUUCUAUCAUGCGUUCUCUUUUGAUGUCAUACGUGGAAAAUAAUUAAAUCAUUUAAAAAAUGGAAAGAAAAUGGAAAAAAGGAUAAAAAGAAUCUCACGCGCUCACUAAUUGAGCUCUUAACAAGUAGUAUGAAUUAGAAUGCAUCAAACUCAGCUGUCAGUUGGAAAUUGAUUCUGACUUGCAUUAUUCUGUAAUCAAAGAAGAAAAUUUCAACAAGUGCUUCCCAUAUGGAUAUUGGAUCUAACGAGAAAUUCUUUUUUUUUUAGGUUGCGUUGCCUAACUUGGAGGCUUUGGAGAUAUCUGCAAUUAAUGUCGACAAGAUUUGGCACUACAAUCAUCUUCCGGUCAUGUUUCCUCGCUUUCAAAAUUUAACACGAUUGAUUGUGUGGCGUUGUCACAAACUAAAAUACAUAUUUUCAGCGUCUAUAAUCGGAAGCCUUAAGCAGCUCCAACACCUACGUAUACGCCACUGUGAGGAUUUACAGGAGAUCAUUUCUGAAAACAGAGCAGAUGAAGAGAUCCCUAAUUUUGUCUUUCCACAGCUCACCACUGCAGAUUUAUCGCAGAAUAAUGAGAAUGAUCAACUUGGUAUUCCUGCACAACAGCCCCCAUUGCCGUUGGAAAAGGUAUGAAGACAUUUUCUAGAUUUUUUGUCUAUAGCUUAUUUUUAGCUUUGAAAAAUAUGGCAAAGCAUCCAUAAAUUAAUACUCAAUAAAUUGAAAACUUUUAUUAUACAAUAAUAUUUGCUAGUCUAGAUUAAGAGAUCAAUGUAGUAGAUUAAUAAUUAUAUGAACUUUUUUUGGUAUAGCAUUUAUAAAAGAAUCCUUAGUCUUUCCAUAUAGAAGAACUUACAAAAUAAAUUAGUAAUUUAUUAUUGUGCAAUAAAAUAAUUUCGAGCCAGUAUGAAUCAACCUUUUUCCCUAAUUUCUUUCUUACCUCUAAAAUUAACAUAUAAAAUAAAUUUUAUCAAUAAUUCAAUUUUUUUAAAAAUAUAAUAUAAAACAAAUACUAUAAAGUCACUGCGUGUGACCGUAGAUCAUCAAUUGACCUCAUUAGUUAUUAUGAUUGAUGAUGAUCAGAUCGUACCCAACUUGAAGGAACUAUCACUAAGUGGAAAAGAUGUGAAGAUGAUUUUGCAGGCCGAUUUCCCACAACACCUUUUUGGCAGUCUUAAACAACUAGACAUUGUUGGAGAUGACUCAGCUUGUUUUCCAAUCUGGAACGUACUGGAGAGAUUUCACAAUCUCGAAAUGCUCAUACUGCGUUAUUUUUCAUCCCACGAAGAGCUAUUUUCGAUGGAAGGAUGCUUAGAGAAACAUGUGGGGAAGUUGGCAAUGAUAAAAGAAUUAGAGCUGCACGGGCACGAUCAUCUGAAGCAGCUGUGCAAACAAGACUCCAAACUUGGCCCCAUUUUUCAGUAUCUUGAAAUUCUAAGAGUAUAUUAUUGUCAAAGUCUGUUAAUUCUAUUGCCAUCAUCAUCGGUAUCUUUUGGGAACCUAACAAAACUUGAAGCUUUCGGUUGCAAGGAAUUGAUACACUUGGUAACAUCCUCCACAGCAAAAACUCUAGUGCAACUCGUCACAGUGCGUAUAUAUGGAUGCAGAGCAAUGACAGAGGUGGUAAUAAAUGACAAAGGAGUUGAAAAAGAAGAGAUUGUUUUCAGCAAAUUGAAGACAUUAGAACUUUGUGAUUUAGAUAGCCUCACAAGUUUCUGCUCUGCCAAUUACACCUUCAGAUUCCCAUCUUUGGAAUAUCUGGAAGUGAUUGGUUGUCCCAAGAUGAAGAUUUUUGCUACAGGAGAAUCAAUCACGCCUCCAAGAGUAAAUGUCUGGUAUGGAGAGACAGAGGAUCGAUGGCUUUGGACCAAUAAUGAUCUAAACACAACCAUACAACAAUUACACGCUGAAAAGGUACGGAUAUACAUAGUACUCUCUAUCUCCCAUGGAAACAUUUUACAAAAUUUUUUUUUUUAAUAAAAUAUAGAUAAGAUAGUUGUUAUAAAGUAAAAGUUUAAAUUGAUGAAUAAGAAUUUUAUUUUCAGCUGUUGGCGGUGCCGUCGAUAUUCUCUACCCAGUACUAAUUUCAUAGGCUUCUUAUGACUUGGGAGUUGUGUAUUUUUAGAAGAAAGCCUCAGCUGGUAAUUAAUUUUUAUUUCAUUUAUUUGAUCUCAUGGCUUGUUUCGCAAUUUCAUCUGAAUUAUUUAGAAUGGGUCAAUCGGCUUACUGUUAAAUUUGGAAUGCAAUUUUAAUGAUUCGUUCAGACUUUUGUGGACAGAUUUUGCAUCAUUGAAUGUCUUCUAGUCUAGUUUAAUUUGAGUUUUUUUUCUUUUUUUUGAGAGUUCCCCUUGUUUUCUAAAAUUUUAUAAUUCCUUGCAUACUUUGUAUGAUAAAAUUUCAUUAAAAGCCUUCAUAUUUUAUAAUUCCUUGAAAACAUCAUUGCUGUUCUGUUAUUUUAGUUUGGUUUGCUUCACACCUAUCUUUCUUUGGAAAUUUUUUUUUUUUUUUUUUUGAUGAUCUUUCGAAAUGCUCUUCCCUAUGAACACAUAAUUAAGACCAGCUGAAAAUCAUUCAUCGGAUAAAAAAUUAAAAAUAAACAAAAUCUAAUCAGAGCAUUAUGCCUAGAACAAAUCCUUAAACCAUCAAAGCAAAACUCUUCGCUAUGAAAAAAUAUACUGUGGAAAUAUUGUUUGAAAACGUUGGAUACCAAGAAAGGGACUAAUUUGGUCUAGUUUUAUGAGAAGUAUAGAAGAACGUUGUUUUCUCUGUUUUUCCUGUUAGAACUCUUUACUCUGUGAUUGUAGAAUGUCUGGAUACUGAUGAAGAUUCAAGUAACUCUUCUCCUAUGCAUCAUUUGAAAUAAGGUUUUUUUUUUUGGGGGGGUAAUAUCUCCUACUGGGUUAUAGUUCAUACAAAGAGAUUCUUAAAUCAAGCCGGAUACUGCUAGAAACAAGUGGGGAAGUAGGCACUGAUAAAAUGGUUAAUCCUGUCGAGACUUAAUCAUUGAAGCAACUCCAAACUGGACUCCAUUUUAAAUAUCUUGACAUUCUAAGACUAUUUUACAAGCAUUUAAGUCUAUUCCCAUGAUCAUCUAUAUCUUUUGGGAAUCUAACAGAACUGUUAGUUUUCCAUUGCAAGGAAUUGUAACAUCCGUCCACUACAGCAGAAAGUCUAGUGCGGCUCGUAUCAAUGAAGGUAGCUGGAUGCAGGGCAAUGACAGAGGUGGUAAUAGGUGACGGAGAAGAAGAUGAAGCACCAAAUUUAAAUUCAAAACAAGAGAUUGUUUUCAGAUAAAGAUUCUUGAAAUUGUCCUACUUACUGCUGACAUUUCCACAAGAAGUUAGAGAAUAUAAAAAAUUCAUUAAUCGUUAGUUUUUAAUUUCAUUAUUCAAUGAAAAGCCCUGUCAAAUUAAAUUGCAAAUCUCAAUGUGCAAGUACCUAAAUUUACAAAAUUUACUUUAAAUUAAUGAAUGAAAGAAUUUAUAUUCUGCUGUUGGAGGAGUCGUCAUCUCUCUCGACAUAGUAUACGAUAUGUUUUGAUCCCAUAGGCUUUUUAAUAUAUUACCUUGUGUUGUUUGAUCUCUAGGUUUAUUUUAUCGUUUCAUCUUAUUAUUUGCAAUGCGUCAGUUGGUUUAUUUGUUAAUUUUGGAAUGAAGUUGAUGCAGCUGAUGGUUGCAUAGGAUGAGUAGGAUAUCACUCCUAUAUCAUAACUUGAGCGGGUAUCUAUUCGGCAAGAAAUUCUGUUUAUUUCGUAGUUAUUUUACAAAGUUUAAGUUAUUUUCUUAUUUUUCUUAUUAUUUUCAAUAUUUUUAUAUUUUUUCUCUAAAUAUAAGAUUUUAAGUAUGAUUUAUUUUAUUUUUCUUAUUUCAGUUAGGAGAACGUUAUUAUGUAAUAAUAUUUCAAGUUUGUCUAUUUUGAUAAAUACAUAAUAUUUAGAAUUUGUGUAAAAAGGGUCCAAUACCCUAAUUUUGUUAUUCAAACUUCUAUUAAUAAAAUUUCAGACUUUUUAAAAAAAUUUCUCUAUGUUUUCAAUCUCAACAUCUAUGUUUCCCUUUCAUCAUAAGUUCUAAUGUCUGGUUCUGAGCUAGCUUUAUGUGCAUAUUAGACAUCAUUGAAGGUCUUUUGAUCUGAGUUAUGAUCAAAAAAUUAUGCUCGCUUCUGUCUGGUUGUAUGAAAAUUGUACAAAAUAAUAUUCUUAUAUAAUUUUUAUCCUCCAUUGUUACAGAAUCCCCAAGCUUCGAAUUUGUAAACUUUGAAAGCAUGGCAGAAAACUUAGUACUUAAUAAGGCUCUGGAAUAAGACUCUUUAUGGCUUCAAUAUUUUACUUAACAUGAAAUUUUCUUUCUAGCUAGCAUCAUUGUGAAGAUAAAUUGUGGUAGUUCUGACAAGUACUGCACAAUUAAUGUUACCAGCAAUCAAUUGGCGUGAGCACCAACAACCAUUUUCAUAUUUAAGCCUUUAGAAAAGUAACACAAAAUAUGGCAAGUGGCAACCACAUCAAACAAUCAAAUUGUUGAAAGAUUUUGAAAGCUUUAAUUUGCUUGAUAUAUAUUUGAAUAUUUCAACAGAUGCAUCUUUUCUCCACUCAUGGGGCACGUUGAGUUAGAAACGGUUUGAAUGUCAAUAUUACUCCAAGUGCCUCCACCGAAUUCAGAAUGAAAAAAAUCAUCUGGUUACCUGCACUUUAGUUUAAGCAGCUAACUAAGCUAAUUAGCACCAAGUAAUUCACAAACUAGUGAGAAAUUUCAUUAGUUAAUUAUCAUACCUGUUAUUAUACCAUAAACCAACCAAUUAAUUUAAACUUUGGCACAUACAAAAUUUGAAAAAGCUGAAAGCAUGGAAAUGUACUAAACAAACAAAAGAAAAUAUAUUUACCACUGCUCUAUUUUGCAGAAGGAACAAUCCAGUUAUUGUAGACACCUGAUGUUACAAUUCAGGAAAAGUAAAAAAGAAUUACAGCAAUUCUAAUAAAAAAGACAUAAAAUAAUUUUAUACAUACUUUCUGGUGGAUAAUAUAACCUAAGUAUAUGGAUCAAUGAUUAGGAUAUCCACUUACAGAUAAAACAUUCUUCAUCACAGAAGCACAGUUUAUCAAAAAGGCAAGGCUGAACCCAGAUAGCAUUGCUAUGUAAGUGUAACUUGUCAAAAGCGGUAUCGAUAAAACCUGUACAUACAUAGAAAGUUAUGGGACCAAAACCAUGAAGAAAAGUAUUUUAUAAACAGAUAUGUUUGAAACAAACUAUCAAAUGGUCCAAAUGCCGCAUGAGGUGUUCAAAAUAUUACCCCCUGCAAUUCAUGUUAUGAUUAUUGGCCCAAUAAUCCUCUCGACGUAAGGGUACAGAGUAAGUUGAAAAACAAGGAGAAUGAAACCUAUAGUAAGUUCAAAAUGAGGACAAUCGACAAUCGUCAAGCAGUUUUGUGGGGGUGAUGCAUGCGAAAGCAAGUACAGAAAACAAGUAACAUUUUUAGUUUCGUAAUAAGUUUGGUGCUGAUCGCGCAAUAUUUCACAUGCAUAUGCCUCGUGGUGUAAGAGAAGUUUGAGCACAAAUAUUUACAGGAACUAAAUUGGAAUUAUCAAUAAAUACCCCCAAUCAACACCUUUAUUGGUCCAAGUAAACCAUUCAAUUGAAAGAAAUUGAGAGAAAAUAUUGUUUGGUUGCUGAGAAAAUAUCUCAGAAAAUUUCCAGAGAACUUUCGGAUUUCUUGUAUUUAUUUUUCUUAGAAAGAAAUGUUAUGAUUACAACUUAUUUAUACUCAAAACUCAAGGAUUACUAAAGCUAAUGACUAACUAAUUCAGUAGAAUCUCCACAUGCAUAACCACAGCUCGAUAUACAAAGUAAUCACACCAGACUGUUAACUACUUAAGCUGAGGUGGCAGCUGAGCUGUCAUUCUGCUUACAUUCAUCUGACAUCACCAGCUUGCUGGUUUUCCUUAGCUUGUGCAGCUUCCUCUUUUCUGCACAAUGAGCUUCUCUAACAGCCCCCCUCAAACUCAAAGGACAAGAGUGAACAUUGAGUUUGGCCCUCAAGUAAUUAAACUGUAUGAAGGAAAGAGGUUUAGUCAUUAUGUCUGCAACUUGAUCUGCACUUGCUAUAUAUUGAAUGCUGAGCUCCUUAUUAAGAACCUUGUUGCGAAUAAAAUGUAUGUCAAUCUCAAUGUGUUUUGUUCUGGAAUGGUAAACUGGGUUCUUGGCCAAUUCAGCUGAACUAAUGUUAUCACACCAAAUAAUAGGUUUAGCUAUGCAGCAUACUCCAACUUCAGCAAACAAGGACUGUAACCAAGUUAAUUCUGCACUAGCUGAUGCCAAUGCCCAGUACUCACUCUCGGCACUUGACCUAGCUAUUACUCCUUGCUUUUUAGAAGACCAUGAUAUAAGAUUAUUACCCAGGUAGAUACAAUAUGCACUCACUGAUUUCCUGUCAUCUAAAUCACAUGCCCAAUCAGCAUCUGUAAAUCCAGUAAGCUCUAUAUUGCCUUCUUUAAUGAUCUUUAAACCAUAGUCCUGAGUGGCCUUUAGAUAUCUUAAAACCCUUUUACAUGCCAUGAGAUGCUGUAGUGUAGGAGCAGAUACAUACUGACUGAGUUUGUUAACUGCAAAAGCAAUCUCAGGUCUUGUCAAAACCAGAUACUGCAUGCUUCCAACAAUGCUUCUAUAGUAUGUAGGAUCUUCAAGAUAAUGACCAAGCUGUCCUUGAACAGACUUCUGUAACUUCAGACCAGUGCUUAAAGGAGUAUCAAUGCCCUUACAAUUAAUCAUAUCAACCUUAGCUAACAAAUCUCUGAUGUAUUUCCUCUGAGACAGAAAUAUGCAAUCUUCAUCAUAUAAGACUUCUACCCCAAGAAAAUAAGAUAAAAUGCCAAGAUCUUUUAAAGCAAAAGUUGAGCUUAGUGUUGCAAUAAAAUGUUCUAAUUCAGCACUGCUAGGACCUGUAACCAAGAUAUCAUCCACAUAUAUCAACACAAGAAUCAUGGAAGUAUGACUCCUUUUCAAAAACAGAGAUGUAUCAGAAGUAGUAUUAGUGAAUCCCCACUGCAGCAAGCAGCUCUUAAGUUUAUCGUACCAAGCUCGAUGAGCUUGUUUAAGUCCAUAAAGAGACUUGUGCAAUUUACACACAUAACCAGGCUUUGUGUUGUCAAUAAAACCUGUUGGCUGAGACAUAUAAACUUCUUCUGUCAAAUCCCCAUUGAGAAAUGCAUUAUUGACAUUAACUUGUCUAAUUUUCCAUUUGUUCAUCACUGCUAAGCUUAAUACCACUCUGACAGUUGCUGGUUUAAUAACUGGACUAAAGGUUUCAAAGUAGUUUACCCCUGCAAUUUGUUGAAAACCUUUGGCAACAAGCCUAGCUUUGUAUUUGGCUACACUCCCAUCAGUGUUGUAUUUAAUCCUAUACACCCACUUAUUAUCCACAAUCUGUUGAUCAGUCUCUUUAGGAACCAAGGACCAAGUAUUAUUGUGAACUAAGGCAUCAUACUCAUCUUGCAUAGCCUUCACCCAUCUAGAAUCACUCAAAGCCUCUUGCACUGAAUCUGGUUCUUUGUGAGUGAGAAUGGUUGUAUACACUUUUGGUUUAAAAGUGCCAGAUUUGCUUCUGGUGCUCAUAGGAUGAAUGUUGGAUUGUAUUUGAGGUAAGUCAACAGGAGGAGUUAAUGAUGUUGUAUUAUCAGAAACAGAGGCAGAUAAGAAAUAUUGUGUAUUAACAGGUAGAUGAGUUUGAGAACUUACUUGCUGUGAAUUUUGAUCAUUUGUUGUUUGUGCAGGAUUUUCUGAGUGAGUUGAGUUGCUGCUAUCAGGGUUUGCAGAUAAGGAAUAACCAGUGCUAUUUUCAGUAAAUGAUUGAACAACAGGCAAAGUGGAAAGAUGAUAUAUUUGCUGAGGAGAAAAGGAAGUAGAAGAAAGAGGUGAUGAUGAUGACUCCGUGAAACAAUGAAAGCUAGAAUCAGUAGAGUAAGAAAAAGUGAGUUCAUCAAAUAUGACAUGUCUUGCUAUGUAAAGAUGACCUGAAGGAUGUAAGCACUUGUAACCUUUGUGUGAUGAACUAUAUCCUAGAAAAAUACAUUUACUGGAAUGAUAGUCAAAUUUGUGUUGGUUAUAAUCCCUCAAGUAAGGAUAGCAUGCACAACCAAAACACUUAAGCAUAUCAUAGUUGGGUUGGUGUUUGAAAAGUUUCUCAUAGGGAGACAAAAGUUUGAGAACAACAGAAGGCAAUCUAUUUAUGAUGUACACAGCUGUAUGAAAUGCUUCCCACCAAAAUUUAAAGGGUAAUUUAGAUUGAGCUAGCAGUGUAAGUCCCAUUUCAACAAUAUGCCUAUGUUGUCUCUCAACCAAUCCAUUUUGAUGAUGAGUGUAUGGGCAGGAGUGUCUAAAAAUGAUACCACACUGAUUUAAGAACUCAGUGAAAGGUCUGUACUCACCCCCCCCCAAUCAGAUUGUAACUGCUUAAUGGUGGUUUGAAACUGAUUUUCAACCUGUGUUUUGAAAAGCUUAAAGACACUUAGAGCUUCAGACUUAAACUUUAGAGGGUAGAUCCAGGUAAACCUGCUAAAAUCAUCCACAAAACUGAUAUAAUAGUGAUAUCCAUCUCUAGUGUAGACAGGUGAAGGACCCCAGAGAUCUGUAUGUAUCAGUUCUAAAAACUUGGUUGUUUUGGUUGUGGAUGAAGGGAAAUGAAGCUUAUGGCCUUUGCCCAUUUGACAAGCUUCACAGAUGUAUUGCAGUGCUUGUAUUAUUUGAUUAUCAGAAAAAUUUGCAGACUUGAUGUUUUUGAGAACAAGCUUUAAGAUAUAUUGAUUGGGAUGACCAAAUCUAUUAUGAAACAAAGCAAUCUUAUUCACUGAUGUUGUACAAGAUAAUGCAGUAGAUGAAUAACAAGAUUUUGAAUGGCUACAAUCUGCAUUAUUAACAUCAGUUACAGAAUUAAAAUGAAAACAUCACAACAUUGACAUUGGCUUAUUUGAACUGAUCUGAGAUAGAAAAGAUGAUUUAGAGAAUGAGUAUGGUUUGAAUAACAGCCUGUAUAAUCCUCUUUCAGCAAUACCCUGUAGCAGAACUUCCCCCUUCAGAGCAUCCUUCACAUAACAAAUAUUUCCAAGAAAUUCAACAGACAAAUGGUUAUCAGAUGUGAGUUUAGAAAUACUCAAUAAAUUUUUGGUAAUUGAAGGGACAAGAAGAAUAUCUUUCAGUACUAUGUGUGGGUGUUUGUGUUGAGCAAAUGAAGUUUUAAAAACAAAUUUAGCAUCACCAACAUGAGUUAUGGGCAAACCUUGUCCAUUUCCAAUGAUAAGCUGAUCAGAACCAUUGAAUUCCUCUCUGACCUGUAUAUUAGCCAUGUUGUUGGUUAAGUGAUGAGUUGCUCCACUAUCAAGAUACCACCCUUCAUCAGCAGGCCCUUCAAAAUUUGCAAGAUAAGCAGCUCCAGGUGCAGAAGACAUUUCAGAUGAACAAUGAGGCAUAGAAGAAUAUGUCACUGGAUCCAGAUUGUAAGACUGAUAAUUUAAGCAGUUCAUAGCAUAAGAAUCAUCAAAAUAUGGUGCAAACUCAGCAUGUGAGUUAAAUGUAGUCAUAUAAGCUGACUUAGGUCCUCUUCCUCUACCAAAAUGCCUUGACUGUGGCACAUAAUUCUCAAUAUAUAUGUGCCAACAAGCAUCAGCUGUGUGCCCUGACUUAUGACAUAUCUGACAAACAGGAAUGUUAUCAUCUGAUUCAGUUCCAGCUAACACAAAACCUUGACCAUAAGGCUUAGGAUGUGAUAAGACUUUGUGAAACUGCAUUGGCAUAGAGUUGCCUCUUCCAAAAUUAUGACCACUGUUAUUAAAGCCUCUAGGAUAUGUAUUAAACAUCAUUCCUCUUCCAGCAUUUCUGUUUCCAUUAUGAAUUUGUCCACGAUAUCCUCCAUAACCAAAACCUCAUCUUCUAUUAUUCCCUCUGACUUGAGAAUAAUUGGAAUUCAUCACUCUAUAGUUAGCAUUGAACAUGACUUUAGUAUUCUGAUUGGUCUGACUUUGUUCUAAUCGUGCCUCAUGUGUUAACAGUAAGGCAUAAGCAUCAUCAUAAGACAUCUUAUUAGCUGUGAUAAUAGAUGCAAGAUCUAAAUAACCAGUCCCUAAUCCAUUUAGAACUUGCAUUAACAAAUCCCUUUCUGACAUAGGACUACCAGCACAGGCAAGUUUAUCAGCUAAUAUUUUGACUUUUAAGCAAUAUUCUUCAACAGACAUGGAUUCCUUUCUAAGUACAUUCAAUUCAUAACGAAGUUGCAUUAUUUUAGCUUCAGACUGAGCUCCAAAUUGUUUCUCAAUAGAUCUCCAAGCAUCUCGUGAAUUGUCACAGUUAAGAAUAGAACUGAGAAUACCUUCAUUAACUGAUGGUAACAGCCAGCCAAGUAGUAUUUGAUCUUGAGCUCUCCAAUUUAUGUAUGCUGGAUUAUCCACUUUCUGCACUGAUCCAUCAGCUGUUGUUUGAAUGAUAUGUUGCUCUGGUAUGAUCUGAUUUUCAGAUAUGAAAUCUUCAAGCCGAUUUCCUCUGAUUGAUGUAAGAACUUGUUUUCUCCAGAUUAGGAAAUUAGAUCGAUCUAGUUUUAUUGGAUUACUGAAUGAGAAUGAGAUCUGUGAAGGUUGAUUUGCAUUUGUUGAAUUUGAAAGUGUUGUUGUGUUGCUGGAACUAGCCAUAUUGGCUCUGAUACCAUGAAAUAAAUUGAGAGAAAAUAUUGUUUGGUUGCUGAGAAAAUAUCUCAGAAAAUUUCCAGAGAACUUUCGGAUUUCUUGUAUUUAUUUUUCUUAGAAAGAAAUGUUAUGAUUACAACUUAUUUAUACUCAAAGCUCAAGGAUUACUAAAGCUAAUGACUAACUAAUUCAGUAGAAUCUCCACAUGCAUAACCACAGCUCGAUAUACAGAGUAAUCACACCAGACUAUUAACUACUUAAGCUGAGGUGGCAGCUGAGCUGUCAUUCUGCUUACAUUCAUCUGACGUCACCAGCUUGCUGGUUUUCCUUAGCUUGUGCAGCUUCCUCUUUUCUGCACAAUGAGCUUCUCUAACAAAAGCCCCAAGGAGAAACCUUGUAGCUAUGGCCAUCCAGAAAUUCACACUAAGCCCAAAAAGAGUGUUAAAAAUAAACCCUGUGAGCAUUUUAAGACAGACAAGAAAUCCAGAAAUUGCCGAAGUAUCAUCAAUUUCAAGCUUGAUCAUAUGAAAAUAGAAGUCACUAACACUGUGAUGCUUCCUAUUAUUAUUACAGGCUUUCGACCACAGCGGUCAGCCACCAUUUCUCACAAAACAGAUGUUAGAGCUCGGCCAAGCAUGUAUGAAGACCCUUCAAUUUCAUCAAGGUAUUAAGAUGUUUGUUAGGAUAACUUCUUGAGGAAUUUGAACUGUUAUAUUGGUCGUACGUACAUACACACACACACACAUACAUACAUAUAUACAUAUAUACAUACAUAUGUAAAUCGUUUCCAGGUGCGAACAUAUGUACUUUUUAAAGCAUAGACUUGGCCCUUUAAAGUUGUAAAGACGCGGGUCCGUAUUGUAAAGCUCUUGUACAGUGCGUUUACAGUGAUGUAAAGUCUCGGUAGAAUGUCUUCCCAGAGUUGUAAAGGCGUGAGUCAGCACUUUAUAAGGCGUGGACAUUCGUACCCAAGACGGACUCCAUACUGUGUGUCAGAAUUUGUUAUACCUUUUUUCUCUUCGUGUGAACGCAAGUUAGAGUGACAUCUAACAAACCACUGCGCAACUUCAAUUUCAUCAUGGUAUUAAGAGGUUUGUUAGGAUAACUUCUUGAGGAAUUUGAAGUGUUAUAUUGGUCAUACACACAUACAUACACACAUACAUACAUAUAUACAUCCAUACAUGUAGAUAUGUAAAUCGUUUCAGGUGCGAACAUAUGUACUUUUUAAAGCAUAGACUUGGCCCUUUACAGUUGUAAAGACGCUGUGAAGCGUUUGUACAGUGCGUUUACAGUGUUGUGAAGUCUCGGUAGAAUGUCUUUGUAGAGUCGUAAAAGCUUGAGUCUGCACUUUAUAAGGUGUGGACAUUCGUACAAAAAACGGACUCCAUAUUGUGUGUCAUUUAUUAAAUACAAUAAAAAAACAUAGAAUAACUCACCCACGUAACCAGCAUAGAAUCCAAUAUCUUGAUCCUUUUUGCAAUGUGAAAAUUCCUAAACUGAAAAAAAAUCAUAAAUGACUGCUGUGAAAAAGCAAUGAAUUAUUUGAAAUAUAAAACUUGUCUUUUCUUAUAUUUCUCAGAAAAUCACCAAGCAUGAUAGGAAAAUAUAAAUUUUCUCACUAAUAACCACUACGCUGAAGGCAAUAAUAAUCCACUCACCAUAAAAUAAAGGAAGGGAAAGAGAGAUGCGACCGGCAGAACUGAAAAAAAAAAUCACAAAAGAAUUGAAAAUCAUUGUAAAUGGUUCUCUCCAAAAUCAUUAUAUCGAGUUGAAGUUGAAAAAUUUUCCAGUUGCAAGCACAACAAUCCAAAUAAUUAAAAGCUUACGAAUUGGUAAGCCUCGUUCCGACUCUUUAAGCUUAUCAACCUUACAGCCUGAGCAGUUCUUAUAAUAUUUCUUCUUCAAUAGCGGCUCUCUCACUUUCCCCUCCGCCAUACUUGAAAAAUUUUCAGCUCAAGUAAUCGUCUUUGUCUAUUCAAUCCUAUUUCAAUGCUUAAAUAUAAGUACUUAGAAAAGAAGUAACAAAAUCAAUACAAAAGAAUCAAUGAGCUUAAGGAUAUAAUCAAACUAGAGAUAUAGUGAUCAUUUAAAGAAUUUUCAACAGAAUUCUAAAAUCAGUUGAUUUUCCAGCUGGGUCUGUCACCACCAUGGUAAUUAAAAUUAUUGGAUCCCAUGCAAAACAAAAAUUUUUCAUUACAUGCCCUCAUAGCUGACGUCCAAUUAAUCAUUACUCUUAUGAGAAUAAUUUUUGGUGACAAGAACAGCGGCAUCCUUGGACGUGGCAAAAUAAUCACAAAAAUCCCUUAUUUUAAAAAAUGAUCAUGAAAAUUUAUUGAGGAACACACAAAUUCAGGAUCUGUGUAACUAUUGUUAAAUACAAAAAAAGGUCUAUAUGCAUUAAAAAAGAGUUUGUAUGUUCAUUUUUUAAAAAUAAGGGAUAUUCAUGAUUACCAUGUUAAGCCACGAGAUGUCGUGUUGUUUUCUAAUUUUUCAUUAAAUCGUUGUUACACAAUUCGACAUGUAAAAGUAAUUUUUUUUUUUUGAGAGAUGGUAACAAACAUAGUGACAAAACUAUCAUAGUACCGUCUAAUGAUGAAACUAAUUGUUAAUUAAUUAAUAAAAAUACUAAGUGAUUGUAACGGUUCCGGUCACAGUCACAGUCAAAUAUAAUUAGGAUAAUUUAAUUUAAAUAAUGUGUAAUUAAAAAAAAAACCCUUUUUCCUUCGCCGCCUCUAUAAUUUAAUUUUGGGUUUGAUAUCUUUAGUUUUAAGAUUUUUGAUUAUUGGGUUUCUUUUUAUUGAAUUUUCUUAGUAUGAAUUUAUUUUGUAAAAGAAUUUUACAAUGAAAUUUGCUCUCAAGGAUUUUGGUAUCAUUAGUUUAGGGUUUCUUUCUAUUGGGUUUUAUUUGUUUUGGUGGGAUUAUUGGACUUAUUUUGUAAUGUACUGAUGAAUGUGUGUUUGAUUUUUUUCUUUCACAUUGGAAUCAUGCUUUGCCUCUGAUUUUGUAAUUUACUAGGUUUAUAAUCUUGGGUUCGUAAUCCGGAAAAAAAUCGUUUCCAUAUAAUUUUAAAAAUAUUAUAAUAAAUUUUUACUUUUUGAUUUAAAUUUUAUUAGUUGUAAGGGUAUGUUAGUACUUAUAUACCCAAUUCAUUUCAAAAUAGGGGUAGUAUAGUCUUUUAAAUUUAUAACAGCCUAAACAGUUAGAAUUAGUUGAUUUUUUUAACAGAAAUAGGGGGAGGUGCAUAUGGUCAAAAGAUGUGGGUGCGCUGUGUGAAAUACUGAACAAUUGGGAGCUGAUGCUUAAUGGAAGGAACAAAAUUCAGGAAAAGAGGAAUCAAAGUGCAAAAUGAAUUAGGAUACCUGAAAAGAAAGAAUGAAAAUAACUUUUUUUUUUUAAAUUAUUUAUUUGGACAUUGUGACAAACAAGUGAUGUGCAUUGUUAAUUCAGAUUGCCCAAAAUGUCAAGUCUUGAAAAACGACAACAUUACAUGAUUCAUGAGAAGCCUAUCACUUUGAGAUUAAUUUAAUUAAAAAAAGUUCCGUUUGCUUAAUACUAAAAUGUCACGCGCAAGUUGUCCUGGACUAGAGAGUCGUUCACCCGUACUUACACCCAAAAGUCACGAGGAUCAAAACCAGAUCUGUCACUGCAUUUGCUUGAAAAAUGAUUUUACUAAUAUAAAAUAUUAGUAAAUAUAUAUUUUGAAAAAUUAAUAUUCGUGUUUCGAUAGCUUUCUAAGUGGUUUAUUUACAGGUAUUCAAAAUAUAUAUAUUUAGUAAUUUCUAUUAAAAUUUUGCGACAAUUGUUUGGCUGGAAUAUUUUUUUAUAAGAAAAAUAGCGAUCUCACACUGAUCCACAGUUGAGCCAAUUACCUAGUUAAAAGCUACCUCAAUAUUUUUUAUUUUUACCCUAAUGCAUGUCUGAUUCUUUUAAAAUUUUACGUUAUAUAUAUUAAACAAAAAUUAUAAUUUUAAUCAUUGAAAAAUUAAUGACAGACAUCUUUUGAAUAAUUUUUUUUUGAAAAAUACAGAGCUAGAGAUAAUGCUAUAAUUGAUUGAAUAAGAAGGCUACAACUUGAUGAUAACUUUAUUGCAAUGUUGCGUGAUCUCAAUAUAUUAUUGGCUUGUGUGAGUAAAAGCUGCUGGCUCUUGUUUUACUAAUUUGCCUUUGUAUUUGACUGGCUCGACAAAGAAUCGAUUUACCUCAUACUCAAAUUACAAACAUCGAAACCGGAUCUGUCAUUACGUUAAUUGGCCUCCUAAAAUAAUCAAUCACUUUCUCUUUAGUCUACCAUCCACUCUUUCCAGUCGCUUAGUUUCAUUCUAAUCAUCUAAACGCUCUUUGCUACUGUUUCUUCUAUUCGUCAUUGUUCUUGUUCUGUUAUUAUUUAGCUUUGCUCACUCCUCAGUCUCAUUUCUUAUUCUGUACCCAUCAGCUCUUUUAGCUCUUUACGUCGUGAUCGAAACCCUUUUCUUGUUUCCUUCAUUUCAUCUGAAAAACACGAACUGCCUGUCCUAUCGCUGUCUCUUUGUUUUUACUUUCCUUUGGCUUUCUUAGCUUCUACGUUUUUGUCAGGAUUCGAGAUGCUGGAAAUCAUUGCGACUAUCGUCUUGGAACUUGUAAAAUGCUUGGCUCCUCCAACUGAACGCCAACUUGUGCAUUUGCGAAAGCGGAACUACAAUGCCAACUUUGAGAAUAUCAAGGCGGAAAUGGAGAAGUUGAAGGUUGAACGUGCGAGCAUUCAGCGCAGGGUUUCAGAGGCGAAAGAAAAAGGGGAAGAGAUUGAAGAGAAGGUUGAAAAGUGGCAGGUUAGUGCGAACGGCAUCAUUGACCGGGCAGCCAAAUUCAUUGAAGAUGACGAGUCAACGAAUAAGCGCUGUGUCAAGGGCUUGAGUACUAUUUGGAAGAGUCGCUAUCAGCUUAGCAAGAAAGCAGAGACGGAGGUGAAGGCCAUUAUUGAACUUGGAGAAGAAGUUAAGAAGUUUGAUACUGUUUCCCACCGUACCAUUCGGGAGCAGAUACGGCUUAAGUCUAGCAAUGGUUACGAGGCCUUCAAAUCAAGACUUUCUACUUUGCAGUCUAUAAAAAAUGCAUUGACGGAGGCGAAUGUCAGCAUUAUUGGGGUGUACGGCAUAGGCGGCAUUGGAAAGACCACACUGGAAACAUCUUGAAUUGGAGAAGAAGCUGUUUUAUCGGGUGGUUUUAUCAGAGGUUUCAUAAACUCCAGAGAUAAAAAAGAUUCAAGGGGAAAUUGCAGAGAAGUUAGGUCUGGAGUUGUCCGAUGAAGCUGAAUAUAGAAGAGCUAGCAAGCUGUAUGACCGAUUGAAGAGUGAGAAUAAGAUUCUUGUGAUUCUAGAUAAUAUCUGGAAACAUCUUGAAUUGGAGACGGUUGGAAUUCCUUUUGCAAAUAAUCAUAAAGGAUGUAGACUGUUGCUGACAGCACGAGAUAAUACUGUGCUUUUAAGUAUGGGCUCCAAAGAUAACUUUUUGAUUGGCAAUCUAACUGAACAAGAAGCCUGGAGAUUGUUUAAGAUAAUGAAUGGUGAUGAUGUUGAAAGUUUUAAGUUCAAGUCUACAGCAAUUAAUGUAGUUAAGGCAUGUGGAGGUUUGCCCAUUGCGUUGAGGGCACUGAGAAACAAGAGUCUCCAUGAAUGGAAGAAUGCCUUGCGAGAGCUCCGAACGCCUUCAAUGGUAAACUUCGAAGGUGUGUCUGCAGAGACUUAUUCAAGUAUUGAGCUGAGUUUCAAUUAUUUAAAAGGUGAGCAAGUCAAGAAAAUUUUUCUGCUUUGUCGUCUAGUAGGUAACAGUGUUUGGUUUUCAGACUUAUUUAGAUACUCCAUGGGUUUGGGCAUAUUUCAAGGAGUCAACAUUCCCUUCAUAUUUACCAAAGGUAAGUGAUAAAUCCUACAUAUCCCACUCAAGAAUGCAUAUGUUUUUUCAAUCUCAAGUACCUAAAGUUUUCUUCUACGUUUAUAAAAAUUUCAGCACCAUCUCCCUAUAAUUCUCCAAGCUCACGACACAGCUAUAUAAGUGUUUAUGCGUUAUGCCAAAACAACACAUGACACCCAUUCACCUAGUACGUACCCAGAGAACACGAGGAGCAGCUACCGAAAAAGCCAUUUUUACGUGGGAAGAAAACUUCAGCUACUAGCUACCAGAGAGAACUAUGCAUUCCCAAACUGUCCAAGCCUGGACAAUUCAAGAAUUAUUAAUAGACAUAUGAUCCUCACUAUCAUCCAAAGAUGACACUAAUACAACAUGUGUCUAUUAAUAAUUUCUUAAACAAGUCUAAGCUUUCAAUGCACGUAUCAAAAGUUUAAAAUUGAAUCUGAAAUUUGAAUAGCACAUAAAUAUCAUAAAUCUCUUCAAUUUAUUCCUGAUACAAUGUAGCAUUAUUUCACAUAUCAUUUCUUAAGCAAAACCAUAAAAAAUACAAACGAUAAAUACAUUUUCCCACUGAUGCAGAUUAUGUUUACUGAGCAAUAAGUUUUAAGCCAUUCAUUUUGAAAUACUUCUGCCUAUUCUUUCAACAUAUAACUAGUACGUACACACAAUUAAUAAAUUAAAAAAAAAAACCUUCUGGUGAAUCUUGCAAAAUCUUCCUUUUUUCUUUUUUUUUUCUUUUUCUUCUUUUUUUUGGGGGUGGGGGGGUGUGUUGGGGGAACUAUGAAUCUUGCAAAUCCUCAAGAAGCUAUGUUAAGACAAGGCCAGCUUACUAUUAGGGUAUGAAAGAUAAAACCUUUUAUUUCCUUUUCAGAAUAAAAAGAACAUUGACAGUGUUAAAAAAAAUCUAGAGGAUUUCAGGCCUCCAGAUCCUUACAAAUCAAGGAUAUUAAAAAAAUUUACUUAGAGGAGAAAGGUUAUGCUCAUUUGUAUCUUGUUAGAAGAAAUUGAUCCAAAGCCUCAGUUUUAAUUAACUUCAUAUAGCCAAUGAUUAGGUGUUUAAAAACCAAUGAAUAUUUUUAUAAGAAAUCGACAAUAUUGUUGAAAGAAAAACCAAAUAAAAAUAAUAAAGCCAAUGAAUAGAUCAAGGCUCUUUGUGGUCUAAAACUAAUCAAACUAAGUUGUGGGCAAAGGCGAAUAUGUUUGUUUGGUCAAUAAUAAGCUCAACAAAUCACUAAUAAUCACCUAAUCACUAUUCCUUAUGCUCUGCAAUAUAAUGGCCUGGGUAAUGGCGCCAAGGCAGAUAAUAACUAGCUAGCCAGUUAUGAUAGUUGAUUAACUUAACCUACUGGAAAUCUGUAGACCAAAACGAAGAAGCUUUGCCUAGAACUAGAAUAGGAACAUUCAUACCCAAAACUGAUAUACACGAUUAAGAAACUUGAUUAUAUGGAUAUUUCUGGUGGCCACACUUAAAGAGAAUUUUCAAAAGAUGCUAAGGUACACCAAAUCCCACUAUUUCAUACUCAUAAACACAAAAACCCAUGGCAAAAAUUAAUGACUAUAUCAAAUAAAAUCAGUCAUAGGACAAUGAGAUUAGGACAACUUGAUUUGUAUACCAUAAAUCUGCAUAGUGAACUAUAUUUCUGUUAGAACUCUGAAGUUUUUCUAUUAAAUUUUUUUCUCUGCUAGGUAAACCACUUUUAACUGAAAUGCUUAAGCCAAUAUUGACAAUCAUAGACAUAAAAGUAUUAAUAGGCUCAUUCAAGUGAAAUGAGCAUUAUUUCACACAUCCUUUAGGUUUUUAAGUUAUUUAGAAGUCAUUCAUGUUAAAAAAAAAAUCAUAUACUUUCAAUAUAAUUAGUACAUACACAAUUAAUUAAUUAAAUAAAUUUGUUUCAGCUAAUAUAGGAACUUAAUUAAUCAAAGCUAGUAGUUAUAGCUAGGACUUGAACGAGGCACCUUUCAAAGUUCAAGAAGAGCAUCUGAACAGAAUGAAAGCAAUUUGUAGAAAUGGUAAUGAUGCUUUACAUCUACAUGCUCUUACACAAUAUGAACUUUCAUUUACUCCAAGCUCUUAUUCUACAAGUCAAUUCAGUUUGUAGACGCACGCCAUUGUAAAAACUUUUGUAUUAUAAUUUCUGAAAAUAGAAUGUAACAUUAUUAAUAUAGAAUCAGCAAUGUAUAUAACUUAUCAGACAAUAUAACAAGCACUUGGUGAGCAUACAAGAUAAACUAAAACAAGUUAUCUAGAAAAUGAAACUAAAACCCAAGCUCCGCUAUUCAUUGUAGAAGCUUUAAACAUAAAAUUAAAGUAAAUCUAAUAGCAAAACAUUAGAAUGGAUAUUGAAAUUAAAGCUAAAUUCAAUAGUAAUUCAAAUGAAUCCAUUUGAACUUUGUAAAUUCCGCAGAACAAAAUUAAUUUGAGUGAGCAAACUCACCAAUGGAACAAGAACACAGGGGCUUCAACUUGUAGGAAUAAAAAAAUAUUGCUGGCGGGACAAAAAUUGACAAUAACAGCUACAAUACGAAUUUUAAAAAAAAUCAAAAUCUAUAAUUACAAGCUAAGUAAGAGAAGAAACUCAUAAUCACAAGCUUAACUCAAAAGAUGAAGGGAGAACACGAUGAAGAAGAAGAUGGCUGGUGUUUUACGCCGUUCGCCGGCAACCAGUUAGGUUUACGAUGGUGGCUAGUAACACGGAGUCCAGCGAAUAGUUUUCUAACUGGAAAUAAAUUUAAAAUUCUAAAAUAGUACCGAACGGCUCAAGCUCUCUAUAUAGUUACUAAUUCAAUUCUCCUUCGAAAGGUUCUCUCUGUCCUAGAGAGAACUUUGAAUGGAAGAGUAAAAGGGUCCUCAUGACUCGAGUAGUCACUCACAGGUGAGUGAAGUAUUUCAUUUCGUUACCUUACAUCCUAGUUCAAGUAGAUAUUCAGGUCCUUUUAUUGGGGUGAGCAGAGUUGGUGAGGGGUAUAAAACACAGGGUAUUAACAACCAAGGCUGUACAUCAAUUUCUCUAUCUGUUAAAAAGAGAGCUUCCAUAAAUAUGGAUACUGAGGAACUGAUUAGGAAAUGCAAAGCUAGGGGAGGAUAAAGAAAAGAUAGUGAACUUUGAGGGAAGCAUGAGGAGCAAAGGAAGACAAGUAGUAGCUGGUUGUUUGGUGGGUAAAAUCCUACACAACAGGAGUGUUAAUCAAGAAGGAUUGAAGAGUGCGCUACAAAUGGUGAGGCGGACAACCAAAGAAGUUCGGAUUGAAAGCUUGGGAAAUAAUGUCUUUUUGUUCAAAUUUGCGCAAGAAGCAGACAAGAAAAGAAUCCUAGCAGGAGGUCCUUGGCAUUUUGACAGAGCAUUGAUAAUCCUCACAGAGCCAAAAGGAAUUGGGGAGGUUACUAGACAAGCCUUCACACAUACUUCAUUUUGGGUACAACUUCGGAAUGUACCAAUCAUGUGUAUGGAAAAGGACAUCCUAAAAGUGUUGGGGGAGCAAAUCGGGACUGUGGAAUAAGUAGAGACGAACGGAUAUGGAGAAUGUAUUAGUGAAAUUGCUAGAAUACGAAUCUCUGUUGAUAUAACACAACCACUGCCCAAAAUGAUUUUUCUCAGACUAGAAGGGGAAGAAAAAAUCCCAAUGCCAGUUGGCUAUGAGCAUCUACCAGACUUUUGUUUUUGUUGUGGACAUAUUGGUCAUAGCUUCAAAGAGUGUGCUCAGUACAAGGGGCAAGCUAAAGAGCAGCUACCAUAUGGGGUCUGGAUGAAAGCGAUCAAGAUAAGUGAAAGAGCAAAACUGAACCGCAGUAGAGUAAAUUGGAGUAGAAACCAUGGGAAAACCGACGGUAAUCCAACAAGUUCAGAGCAAAUUGACAAUGGGAAAUCGCAACAAAGGCGGGUUGAACCAAACCCAGAUAUGGUGCACGGGUCGAAACCAGCAAAUGAGGAAACGGGUCAAAUCAUUGAACAAGCUCGAGAUGCUGAGGUGGAGUGGAAAGCUGAUGAGCAUUUAAUGCAAGAUAUCGGAGGAUCGAAAAAGAAGCAAAUCAGGGACAGUAAGCACGAGGUAGCAGCUGACAAUGGAAAAUCUUUUGGAAAUUCGAGAUUUCAAGCGAGAAAGGAAAAUACGAAAGAGAGGGAAAAUGGAGGAGCUGAUUCAAUUGAAUUAGAUUCGGGUACAGUGGGCUCAGAACACCAAAUUCAAAAAACCAAAAAUCAAGCAAAAAAGGGAACAAAAAAAUAUGGUUUGGAUAAAGGGCCACGCAUGAACUACUCGAGGCCCAAUAGAAGGAAAUGGAAGCUGCAGGCUCGGGCAACAUGUAACAAGAGUGGAUGCAAGGCUAGUCCAAAGGUUUCAAAAAGCUCAAGUUGUCACCUAAUUGGACCAAGCCCAAAACACAAAAACAUAAAGCUUGUUAGCCCGAUUAAAUCAGCAAUGAAGCAAAAACAAGAAGGCUCCCCAGCAGCAAAGCUCAAACUUACUUGGGAGCCGUUGGCAGUGGAAGAAAUGGAGAUGGCAAUUCCAAGCUUAGAAGAGAUAUCGGCGGAGGCUAGUGGCCAGCCCCGCCGGAAGCCAUGAGGAUCCUUAGUUGGAACGUUCGGGGUUUGGGGAAUACCCGAACGUUUCUAGCAUUGCAAAAGAUUCUCUAGUUGCAUAGGCCUCAUCUUUUAUUCUUGUGUGAAACGAAGUUGUUGCCUGCGCAAAUGAACGGGAUUAGUAGGAAGUUGAACUUUGAAAAUUGCUUUAAGGUGGAUAGAAGAGGUAGAGGAGGAGGAUUAGUGAUGUUGUGGAACUCUGAAAUUGAAGUGCAAAUUAAAUCUUUCAGCAACCACCAUAUUGAUGCUAAGGUUCAAACUGAAAAUGGGAAGCACUUUCGAUGCACCGACGUUUAUGGCCAUCAUGAGGCAGGGCAAAAGAAACAUACUUGGACACUUCUGAGGCGGUUGGCAGGAUUAUACCCUUUGCCUUGGUUAUGUUUUGGCGACUUUAACGAAGUAUUGCAUCCUUAUGAAAAAACAUGAGGUAAUGAAAGAGAGCUAAGCUUGAUCAGAAACUUUAGAGAAGCUUUGCGAGAUUGUAACUUAGUUUGACGUGGGAUACAAAGGAUACCCAUUUACCUGGAAUAAUGGGAGAUAUGGGCCUCAUUACAUUGAAGAACAGCUUGAUGGGUUCUUGUGUAACAGGAGCUGGAGUGACAUUUUCUACGAUUGUGCAGCAGCUCAUCUAUCUACUUGGACUUAUGAUCAUUGUCCGUUGUUGAUAGAAGUUCAAGAAAGGGGGAGGGAUUAUGUUGGAAGAGAAAAAAAUCCACUCGAAUUCAUUAUGAGGAUUUAUGGAGCCCAUAUGAAGCUUGCAAAGAAAUAAUCAAGACUGAUUGGAGUAGUUACGGAAGCUAGAAUGAUGCAAAUCCCAUACCCUUAUUUCAAAAGGUGGUUAAAGAAUCAAUGGCUAGGCUGCUUGUGUGGAGCAAGGAAGAGUUUGGAGAAAGAGAGAAGAUGCUGAAGCAGAUUAUGAAUCAGCUGGAGAGGCUGAAACAAAGCUGCGUGCAAUAUGAUAAUGGGGAGGAGAUUAAGAAGUUAGAGGGGCAGAUUCAAGAUAUCCUCAUUGAUGAAGAAAUAUUUUGGAAGCAGCGAUCGAGGGCAGAGUGGUUGAAAGCAGGGAACAAAAAUACCAAAUACUUUCACUACAAAGCAUCAUCGAGGAAGAAAAAGAACCAGAUUUGGGGAAUUGAAAAUGGGUCAGGAAGCUGGACUGAUAAGGCAGAAGAGGUGGAGUAUGAGUUUUACGAAUAUUUCGCAAAACUCUUCACUACAUCAAAGCCAAGUCAAGAAGAAAUUUCGGCAGCAUUAGAAGGCAUCACGCCAAGAGUCUCAAAAGCCAUGAAUGAGCAUUUGGAGCAACCUUUUACACCGGAGGAUAUUACGGAAGCCUUAGCUCAAAUGUCUCCAAUAAAAGCUCCGGGACCAGAUGGUUUUCAAGCAGCCUUCUAUUAGAAGCACUGGAACAUGGUGAAGAAAGGGGUCAUCACAACCUGCCUCCACAUUCUAAAUGAGCAAGGUACUAUGGCUCCUCUUAACCAUACCUAUAUUGCUUUAGUCCCAAAGGUCAGAAAGCUUAAGAGAGUAACAGAUUACAGACCAAUUAGCUUGUGCAAUGUGAUCUAUAGAAUUGUGGCUAAAACGAUUGCAAAUAGGCUGAAACAUAUCCUCCAUCAAGUUAUUUCCCCAACAUAAAGCGCUUUUAUUCCUGAUAGGCUUAUAACAGACAACAUCAUAGUAGGAUAUGAGUGUCUACACAAAAUUAGGCAUAGUAAGGGAAAAAUAAAUGGGCUGGUAGCUUUGAAACUUGAUAUUAGUAAGGCUUACGAUAGAGUCGAGUGGAGCUUCUUAGAACAAGCCAUGACUAGGUUGGGUUUUUCUCCAAAAUGGGUGAAUCUAAUUAUGAGAUGUAUAACUACAGCGUCUUUCGCUGUGAUUAUAAAUGGAGUACCACGAGGAGUUAUCCAACCACAGAGGGGUCUGAGGCAAGGGUGUCCACUUUCUCCAUAUUUGUUUAUCAUGUGCGCAGAAACUUUUUCUUCUCUAAUGUUACAGGCGGAAAGGCAGAAACUCAUUCAUGGAUUAUCAUUCGGCAAAGACAUAAAUAUCUCGCACCUCCUCUUCGCUGAUGAUAGCCUAAUUUUUAUUCGAGCUUCGCCUACGGAUUGUCAGAAUCUGAAAAGAAUUUUUGACUGCUAUACUACUGCAUCAUGACAACUCUUUAAUUUCGAGAAGUCAUCAAUGUUUUUCAGCAAUAACACCAAAGUUGAGCAAAUUUCAGCCAUACAGAAUAUUUUUCAGCUCAAUGUGGUUUCAAGGCAUGAGAAAUACUUAGGUUUACUAUCAAUGAUAGGGAGGAAGAGAAGUAGUUUUUUCCAAGAUGUCAAACUCAAGGUGAUGGAGAAGAUAUCCAAUUGGCAGCAUAAAUUUUUCUCUAGUGGGGGCAAGGAAGUGUUGAUUAAGGCUGUGGCUCAGGCUGUUCCAGCGUAUGCCAUGAGCGUGUUCAAAGUUCCUCUUGGAGUUUGUGAUGAUAUUUAGAAAGCUAUUGCCAAUUUCUGGUGGGGAUCCAAAAAAGAGAAGAGAUGUAUUCACUGGGCGAAAUGGGAAUGACUAAGUAUAGCAUUUAUAAAAGAAUCCUUAGUCUUUCCAUAUAGAAGAACUUACAAAAUAAAUUAGUAAUUUAUUGUUGUGCAAUAAAAUAUUUUCAUGCAAAUAUAAAUCAACCCUUUUUCCCUAAUUUCUUUUUUACAUCUAAAAUUAACAUAUAAAAUAAAUUUUACCAAUAAUUCAAUUUUUUUUUAAAAUAUAAUAUAAAACAAAUACUAUAAAGUCACUGCGUGUGACCGUAGAUCAUCAAUUGACCUCAUUAGUUAUUACGAUUGAUGAUGAUCAGAUCGUACCCAACUUGGAGGAACUAUCACUAAGUGGAAAAGAUGUGAAGAUGAUUUUGCAGGCCGAUUUCCCACAACACCUUUUUGGCAGUCUUAGACAUCUAGAGAUUGCUGCAGAUGACUCAGCUUGUUUUCCAAUCUGGAACGUACUGGAGAGAUUUCACAAUCUCGAAAUACUCAUACUGUGUUAUUUUUCAUUCCACGAAGAGGUAUUUUCGAUGGAAGGAUGCUUAGAGAAACAUGUGGGGAAGUUGGCAAUGAUAAAAGAAUUAGAGCUGUACUGGCACUAUCAUCUGAAGCAGCUGUGCAAACAAGACUCCAAACUUGGCCCCAUUUUUCAGUAUCUUGAAAUUCUAGGAGUAUAUCAUUGUCAAAGUCUGUUAAUUCUAUUGCCAUCAUCAUCGGUAUCUUUUGGGAACCUAACAAAACUUGUAGCUUUCGAUUGCAAGAAAUUGAUACACUUAGUUACAUCCUCCACAGCAAAAACUCUAGUGCGACUCGUAUCACUUUGUGUAUACGGAUGCAGAGCAAUGACAGAGGUCGUAAUAAAUGACAAAGACGGGGUUGAAAAAGAAGAGAUUGUUUUCCGUAAAUUGAAGACGUUGGAACUGCGUGAUUUAGACAGCCUCACUAGUUUCUGCUCUGCCAAUUACACCUUUGAAUUCCCAUCUUUGCCAAUUUUAUUGAUUUCACUACAGGAGAAUCAAUCACGCCUCCGAGAGCAUACGUCUGGCAUGGAGAGACAGCGGGUCAAUGGCUUCGGGCCAAUAAUGUUCUUAACACAACUAUACAACAUUUGCAUGCUGAAAAGGUACGGAUAUACAUACUGCUCUCUAUCUCCCAUGGAAAAAUUUUACAAAAUUUGCUUUUUUUAAUAAAAUAUAGAUAAAAUGUUUGUUAUAAAGUAAAAGUUUAAAUUGAUGAAUAAGAAUUUUAUUUUCAGCUGUUGGCGGUGCCGUCGUCGUUCUCCACCCGGUACUAAUUUCAUAGGCUUCUUAUGACUUGGGAAUUGUGAAUUUUUAGAAGAAAGUCUCAACUAGUAAUUAAUUUUUAUUUCAUUUAUUUGAUCACAUGGCUUCUUUCGCAAUUUCAUCUGAAUUAUUUAGAAUGGGUCACUUGAUUUACUGUUAAAUUUGGAAUGUCAUUUUAAUGAUUCGUUCAGACUUUUAUGGACAGAUUUUGCAUCAUUGAAUGUCUUUUAGUCUAGUUUAAUUUUUUUUUUAUUUGGAGAGUUUCCCUUGUUUUCUAAAAUUGUAUAAUUCCUUUCAUACUUUUUAUGAUAAAAUUUCAUUAAAAGCCUUCAUAUUUUAUAAUUCCAUGAAAUCGUGCGUACUUUUUUCCUAUCUUUCUUCGCCAAUUAUUUGUUUUCAUCAUUGCUGUUCUGUUAUUUUAGUUUGUGCUCUGUUUGUUCAUUUGGUUUGGUUUGCUUCACACCUACCUUUCUUUGGAAACUUAGAAGGCAAAGGAAGUACUUAGAAAAUGCUCUUCCCUAUGAACACAUAAUUAAGAACAGCUGAAAAUCAUUCAUCGGAUAAAAAAAUUAAAAAUAAACAAAAUCUAAUCAGAGCAUUAUGCCUGGAACAAAUCCUUAAGCCAUCAAAGCAAAACUCUUCGCUAUGAAAAACUAUAUUGUGGAAAUAUUGUUUGAAAACGUUGGAUACCAAGAAAGGGACUAAUCUGGUCUAGUUUUAUGAGAAGUGCAGAAGAACAGUAUUUUCUCUGUUGUUCCUAUUAAAAUUCUUUACUCUGUGAUUGUAGAAUGUCUGGAUACUGAUGAAGAUUCAGGUAACUCUUCUUCUGUGCAUCAUUUGAAAUAAGGUCUUUUGUUUUUUUUGGGAAUAUCUCCUACUGGGUUAUAGCUCAUACAAAGAGAUAUUCUCAAAUGAAGCCGGAUACUGGUAGAAACAAGGGAGGAAGUUGGCACUGAUAAAAUGGAUAAUGAAGCAACUCCAAACUGGACUUCAUUUUCAAUAUCUUGAAAUUCUAAGACUAUAUUACUGCUUGUAAAAAUCUUUUAAGUCUAUUCCCAUGAUCAUCUGUAACUUUUGGGAAUCUAACAGAACUGGUGGUUUUCCAUUGCAAAGAAUUGUAACAUCCAUCCACUACAGCAGAAAGUCUAGUGCGGCUCGUAUCAAUGAAUGUAGCUGGAUGCAGGGCAAUGACAGAGGUGGUAAUAGGUGACGGAGAAGAAGAUGGAGCACCAAAUUUAAAUAGAGAUCGUUUUCAGCAAAUUGAAGACGUCAAGUCUGUGUGAUUUAUCUGUGUGAUUUAGAUAGUCUCACAAGUUUCUGCUUUGCCAAUUACGCUUUCAGAUAAAGAUUCUUGAAACUGUCCUAUUUAGAGCUGACAUUUCCACAAGAGUUAAGAGAAUAUAAAAAAUUCAUUAAUCGUUAGUUUUUAAUUUCAUUAUUCAAUGAAAGUCCUGUCAAAUUAAAUUGCCGCUAUUGAAUCUCUCGCUCCCCUUGCAAAUCUCUAUGUGCAAGUACCUAAAUUUACAAAUUUUACUUCAAAUUAAUGAAUGACAUAAUUUAUUUUCAGCUGUUGGAGGAGCCGUCGUCUCUCUCGACGCAGUACGAUAUGUUCUGAUCCCAUAGGCUUUUUAAUUUAUUACAUGGUGCUGUGAAAUUUGAAGAACAAGGUCCCAGGUAACUAUCGUUUUCAUUUCAUUUUGUUUGAUCUCUAAGUUUAUUUUAUCGUUUCAUCUAAAUUAUUUGCAAUGCGUCGGUUGGUUUAUUGUUAAUUUUGGAACAAAGUUGAUGCAACCAACGGUUGCAUAUGAUGAGUAGGAUAUCGCUCUGAGAUCAUAACUUGAAUUAUAGGUAUCUAUCUAGGGCGUAUAAUAUAUCAUUAAUCUAUUACUAUAACAUCGUAUUGGUCUCGUGGUCCAGCUAGAAAUUCUGUUUAUUUCAUAGUUAUUUUACAAGUUUAAGAUAUUUUCUUAUUUUUCUUAUUAUUUUCAAGAUUUUUAUUUUUUUUAUAAAUAUAAGAUUUAAGUACGAUUAUUUUAUUUUUAUUAGAAGAAUGUUAUUAUAUAAUAAUAUUUUAGGUUUGCCUAUUUUGGUAAAUUCGUAAUAUUUAGAAUUAGUAUAAAGAGGGUCCAAAAUCCAAAUUUUGUUAUUCAGACCUCUCUAUUAAUAAAAUUUCAGACUUUUCAAAAACUUGUGUUUCUCUAUAUUUUCAAUCUCAACGUCCAUGUUUCCGUUAUCAUAAAUUCUAAUGCCUGGUUCCAUCAGACCUCUCUAUUAAUUGAGGCUCUUGAAUAAGACUCUUUAUGACUUCAAUAUUUUACUUGAUAUGAAAAUUUCUUUCUAGAUAGAAUCAUUGUGAAGAUAAAUUGUGGUAUUACUGACAAUGAAUAAGUUGAAACAUCAACAGAGAUAAAUAUUGAGCAAUUAAUGUUACCAGCAAUCAAUUUGUGAGCACCAACAACCAUUUUCAUAUUUAAGCCGUUAGAACAGUAACACAAAAUAUGGCGAGUGGCAACCACACAAAUAAUCAAAUUCCUGAUAGAUUUUGAAAACUUUAAUUUGCUAGAUAUGUAUUUUAAUAUUUCAACAGGUGCAUCUUUUCUCUACUCAUGUGGCACGUUGAAUCAGAAACGGUUUGAAUGUCAAUAUUACUCCAAGUGCCUCAACCAAAUUCAGAAUGAAGAAAAUCAUCUGGUUACCUGCACUUUAGUUUAAGCAGCUGAUUAAGUUAAUUAGCACCAAGUAAUUCACAUACUAGUGAGAAAUUUCAUUAGUAAAUUCAUACCUGGGAGGAAACCAGCAUCUUGACGCUUUUGUGACCAAGAAAAUCUGCCAGAACCCCAAUUAAUGAAAAAAAAAUUAUAACAUCAUUUACAUAUAAUUUUAAAAAAUCAAUAGGACACUUACAGAGCACCUCCUACAGCUGGACCGGCAGUUUUGGUAAGCGACACCACUGUCAUAGCAAGUCCAUUAGCAGCUCCUCUUUGAUGCUGUUCCUGUUAUUAUACCAUAAACCAAAAAAAUAAUUUAAACUUUUGACACAUACAAAACUUGAAAAAGCUGAAAGCAUGGAAAUGUACUAAACAAACAAAAGAAAAUAUAUUUACCACUGCUCUGUUUUGCAGAAGGAACAAUCCAGUUAUUAUAGACACCUGAUGUUAUAAUUCAGGAAAAGUGAAAGAGAAUUACAACAUUUCUGAUAAAGAAGAUAUAAAAUAAUUUUUAUACAUACUUGCUAAUGGGUAAUACAACCUAAGUAUAUGAUGGGUGUCGAAGCCAACAAAAAUAAAUUCCUACUCUAAAUAAAUUGUGUAUAGUGAUUGAGCAGGGUCGUGUCCACAGAGAUCGGUAAUUAUUUAAAUCCUUUUGAAACGUAAAACGUAAAAUGGGGGAAUUGUUGACAAUAAUAAAAAUCAAAUUGAAAUAAACAAGAAUGCAAAUUAAAGUUGUAAUUCAAAUUGGAGAAAGCUCUGGUUGAAGGAAUUAACUCAGCUUGAUUCGACUACUGAUCAUUGAUUCAAAUAUAGAUUAUUAUUAUUACUUAUGAAUAGAUCGGUUAUAGCUACUGGGACCCUCUAAUAGCCAAUCUCUCCUUAACUAGUCGAUAACCAAGGUACGACCGUUGGUUAUUUCCCUAAUCAAUAGACAACCCUAGAUACGAUCAUAGGAUUUAAUCAAUUGACAGCCUGAGAAACCAGAGAGACCCAAAUCCUAAUCAACACAUAUGAUGAUUCAUUUAAAUUAGAUUGUUUAUUCUCACAACACAACUCUCUGCUAUGUUAUUUGUCACAAACAUUAAAUUCUUCAUACGAUGAAUCCUUUAAUUGACAAUAGAUUAAGUUGAUAAUUAAAUAGUGGCCAAUUACCUAAUUAACAAACAUAAUCAUGAAACUAAUUUAGAGAAUAAACAAAUACCCAAAAAGCAAUAAAACAAUUAAAGCACAAGAAAGAUCUCACAGUAGUGAUGAAUCAAAGCUUCAUUAUCCUUCAACCAGAAAAAUGGGUUUAGUUCCUUAUAGAGAGAAGAGAAAAAUUAGAUCUAGGGUUUCUUUUUCUCCAAUCCAAAAAUCCCCCUUUUUCACAAUAGAUUCCUCCCUUCAAUACUCUCUCUCUCUUCUCUUUUAGAAUUCUAUUUAAAAUAAAAUACUAAUAUCUGAAAUAUUAAAUUCGUAAUUACAAAAAUAACCAAAAAUACAAAACACGUUAAACUAAAAACUGCAGGUCCGCAGUUGACAGCACGCGCCCACGCCUUAUCAACAAAGUUCUUCUGACGCUCAGAAAUUUCUCCAAGAGAACAAUCCUCCUUAAACAUCAUCUUUUAGCUCAAUUUUAUCAUCAAUCAAUAGAAUUGCACCUACAAAAGUAAAACACAAGUAAAACAUUAUUAUUAAAUGCAAAACAUCGAUAUUAAGGGAAGUAAAUAAUGCAAAACUAGUGCAUAAAUUGCACUCUAACAAAUUCUCCCACACCAAGAUGAUGCUUGUCCUCAAGCAUAUAACUCAAGAUUAAUCCCAAAUCUCCACUCAAUUCUCAUCUCAACUCAUCCAAAAAUAAUUUUAAGCAAGCAUACCUCAAGAAAUUAAGUCGAUCAACAUUCGAGAGACAAGGAUUUUAAAGCAUAGAAUCUCAUAAGAUAGAAUAAGAACAUUCAACCACCAAGAAGAUCCAUUCAAAAUUCAAGUGCAACAAGAUGUAAUAGCCCUCUCAAUAACUUCACUCCAUGCACUCAAAGUGUUUAGGGUGUCAUUUAUCCACUCAAAUCAAAUCAAAGAAUGCUAUUACCAUAAGCUUGCUCAUAAAUCACAUCUCAAUCCACAAAACAUGAAUAAAAUGCAAAAAUCUAAGGGUCUUAAAAGGGUUGUAAUGGGGUUAAAUGGGUUAAAUGAAAAAGAAAGGUUUACGAAAGAAAAAGAGAUCAAAAUGAGAAGAAUGAACUCAUUGAAUGAACUUAUGAUAUCAAAAUGCUUAUUUCUACUCAAGUCACCAAGAAUGUAAACAUUUUUUUUUUCGAUUUUUCUUUUUCUUUUUUUUUUCUUUUUCUUUUUUUUUCUUUUUCCUUUUCUUUUUCUUUUUUUUUCAUUUUUUUUUGUUUUUUUUUUUUUCGAAUCAAACAAAAGAAACGAACCUUGCACAAUUGAAUUCAAGCAUAAUGCUUGUUGAUCUAAUUGAGAAACUUUAAUACAAGGUAGAAAAAGCAACAAAAUAUAUCCAUACAAUGAGUCCAAAAAUCUCCUUAAAUUGAGGCUCAAAAAGAAGAAAAAUGGUUAAGUAGACGGAGAGAAUUAGAUGGGUAAUGGUUAAGGCUCAAACAAAGGUAGCAAAUAAAGGUCUUCGGGUAAAGAAAAAUGAAAAUGCGAGAAUAGAAAAAUGGUAAAUGGUUUGCCCUUAUCAUUUUAAUGCCUAAAAUCCCGUAAUGUGGCUUCAACAUGCAUAACAAAGCAAGUUCUAGAAUAAACAAACUAGGAUUGAUAUUCACAUAACAAAAAUAAUUAGAGCAAAGUGGUUGCUCAUAGGCUCAAAUCCUCACAAAGUUGGUAAAUUUGCCAUCAAAUCAUGUACACUCUUCAAAUGAAUCAACCAUCAAUAGUGGUGUAGAAUGAGAAGAAGGUAUGAGUGAUAUAUAAAAGGAAAGGUAAAAAUGAUAAGAAGUGAGAAAGAUGAAAAGUGAAAGAUAAAAUGUGAGUGAUGAAAGAGUAUGAUAGAAUAAAAAUAGAUGUAAAUAAUUUGAGAUAGAUGGGAAAAAAAAAAAAAGUAGUGAGAAAUAAAAGAAAAGAAAAAAUAAUAAUAUAUAAAGCAUACUAACUCCAAAAUCAUUUAAGGAUGAGUAGAGUGAAAAAAAAAAAAGAUAAGUAGAGUGAAAACAAUAAUUCCAGCAUCAAUAAUGCAAAAAUCCCUCCCCCACACCAAGAACUUACAUUGUCCCCAAUGUAAGAUAAUCAAAGCUCACAUAAAAAUUAAAGCAUAAGGAUAAAAGUUAAAGGGCAAAAAGAAACUUCCCUGAAUUGUGAGCUUUGAUCCACAUAACGUCUAUGGGCUUGGCGGAAAUGGUGGGGUAAAUCCCACACUCUCAAAGUAUGCGGCCAAAUUCUGCUCCAUUUUGUUCAACUUGUGCUCCAUUUUCUCUAACUGAAUGCUCAAAGGUGGUGCGGAUGUAGAAGGAAUAGUUGGCGGGGCAACAGUGUCGUCGUCAAACUCGUCAUCAGAGGUAGCACCACUCCUAGCAUAAAGCUUCUUCGGAAGUUGAGUGGGUCCUGGUUCAGUAAACUGAAAUCUCCCCUCCUUGAAUUCAACCACACCUGUUCUUUCAAACACAAACAUAUCCAAAAAUUCCUUUUUGCAAGCAGGAUGCAAAUCAUUAUUGUCAGGAUCAAGCACACAUAGGUUUAUAGCUAACAGAGUAAUGUAUGGACCAAGAAAUAAAGUCCUAUACCGUUUAAGCACACUUUGAAAUUGAUCCGCUAACCAAAAACCUAAAUUAGGCCUCACAUCAUUUAACAUGCACCAGAUAAAAUAAAAUUCAGUUUUAGAGAAAAUUCCUGAGUGAUAUUUCUUGCCUAAAAAAUUAUAUGCUAAGAAUCGAUGCACACAUUUCAAAACAGGAUCACGUAAGAAAGAACUCUUUGAUUUACUCGGGUCAUAGGCAUUGUGAUCAACAGAUAAAUUACGCCAAAGACCAUAAGGCUCAAAAUUUUUGCUAAAGUCACAAGUUGUUCCUAAAUAUUCAUCACUAGUAGAAUAAUCAUCAUCAAUGAAUCCUAAAGCUAGGUUAAAAUCCGUGAUAGAGUGUGAAAAACUUCGUCCCAUUAACCUAAACUUAAUGACAUCCGGGGUAUGCAAAGUAAAAUCAUUCGGCAUAGUGAAUUGAAAAGUAGCAUAAAACUCCCUAAUCAACUCAACAUAACCCAAGCAAUCAACAUCAACAAACUUACGCAACCCAAUCUUAUCUAUCAAAGAAUCAAAAUUAUCUUUAACAUUUAAUUUUUCAAGAGUCGGGUAAUGAAUAUACUUAGCUGGAAGUAUUUUGCGCGUGGAAAUAUCUUUGUACCUCUCUUUCUCUUGUUGAGUCGCGAAUGCGAGGCACCCUCCGAGAUUGGAUUCCGCAAGUGGCAAAACACUCAUGCCUUUUUCAUGCUUCGAUCUUUGUCUCACGGCUUGGCGUGAAUCUGAAAUUAUGUUCCAUGGAACCGUAGUGGGAGCGGCAAUCUUAGAUUUCUUUGCGACGGGUGUCUUUUUCGACGACUUGGAAGUAGAUGCUUUCCUCUUCGGCAUUGUUACAAUAAUUGCACUCACGGAUUUCGAUUUACUCGGCUGGAAUACAGGGCGUAGGCUGGUUGUGUUGCGCUUGCUGCUCGGCUGGAGCUUGUUGCGCGAGUUGGGGCUGGUUGUGCGCGCUGCUGAGGCUUGCUUUGCGGGUGCUGGUUCGUUGCUGUGUUGCGCGCACGGGGCUGUUGCGCGGGAGAGCCAGUUCACGUUGCGGGUCUGCGUUGCGGAUCUGUUGCGCUGCGCGCGCGGGACUGAUGUGCUGUGCUGAGGCUGAUUCGCGCUGCUGCUGGUUGCGGUGCGCGAUGCUGUGCGCGGCGGCUGGGGCUGCUGGAGCUUGCUGCUGGUUCUGGGCGUACUCGUCUGCUGCUGCUGGUUGCGCGGUGAAGGCUGGAGCUGAUGCUGCUGUAAAACGAUAAUCAACAGUAAUUUUGGAAUUAGGGAUUUGUAAACAGUGAUUUUCGAUUUUUGGUUUUUUUUUUUUUUAUAUAUAUAAAUAAAUAUAGAAAAGAAAGAAAGGAACGAAAAUAAAUAAAUAAAUGAUGAUUUUCGAUUUUCGAUUUUUGGUUUUUUUUUUUUUUUUUUUUUUUUUUUUUUUUUUUUUAGUGAUGAAUCACUUUGAGACACUAAAAAUUUCAGAAGUACUUUUCUAAUAAGUACGUGGGCACGCCUUAUCAAAAAUUUUCUUCUGACCAAAAUAAGCAAACAAAUUAAAUUUCAGAAGUACUUUUCUAAUAAGUACGUGGGCACGCCUUAAAACUUUGUGACAUUAAAAAUCACAGAAGUACUUAUUAGUUAAGACGUGGGCACGCCUUAUCAAAAAUUUUCUUCUGACCAAAAUAAGCAAACACAUUAUUUAUUUUUUUUAAAAAAAAAAAAAAUCUGAAUCAAAAUUAAAAGAAGAUAUAACAAAAACCAAAAUAAAUAAAUCAUUUGGGUUGCCUCCCAAAAAGCGCCUUUGUUUUAUGUCUUUGGCUAGACACAUUUAUGCAUCAAUCUCCAUAAUUGGGACUCUCGAGAGCCACAUCCUCCAUAAUAUUCACCGAAAAACCUUCAUAAAAAGGUUUUAAGCGAUGACCAUUAACCUUAAAAACUUUGUCAGAGGUCGGACUCCGAAUUUCAACUGCACCAUGAGGAAAAACAUUAGUAACAAUAAAAGGUCCAACCCAGCAAGAACGUAAUUUACCCGGAAAAAGUUUAAGCUUAGAAUGAAAAAGAACUUUUUGACCAACAGAGAACUCCUUUAUCAAAAUCAUUCUAUCAUGAAAUGUCUUCGUCUUUUUCUUGUAAAAAACUUCCUGCACUAUAGGGUUAAUAACAUCCACAGAGAAUAUUGAAUGUUCCUCACUAGGAUAUUUCAUGGCAUCAUUCAUAUUGAAUUCUAUAACCUCUCCAUCAAACUCCAUAGUGAGAGUCCCUUUAUGUACAUCCAUUUUAGUCCUAGCAGUCUUAAGAAAAGGUCUUCCUAGCAAAAUUGGGACAGAAUUAGAGGAGUUAUCAUCUUCCAUAUCAAGUACAUAAAAAUCAGCAGGAAAAACCAACUCAUUAACUUGUACUAAGACAUCUUCUAAUACCCCAUCAGGAUAUGCAUUAGACCUAUCAGCUAGUUGAAUUAUCACGCCAGUUUCUUUUAAUGGACCAACAUUCAAAGAUGAAUAAAUGGAACGAGGCAUGACAUUAAUAGAAGCUCCUAGAUCUAACAUAGCCUUUUCAACUCUAACACUACCAAUUUUACAAGGGAUAGUAAACAUACCUGGAUCCUUGCACUUAGGAGGUAGUUUCUUUUGGAGAACUGCUGAAACAUUCUCCCCCAUGUGAACUUUUUCAUCUCCUCUUAAUUUUCUCUUGGAGGUGCACAGUUCCUUAAGGACUUUAGCAUAUCGAGGUAUUUGUUUUAUAGCAUCUAACAAAUGAAUAUUUACCUCAACCUUGCGAAAUGUCUCAAGGAUGUCUUUAUCUUGUUCCUUCUUCUUGGAUUUUGCAAACCGGCUUGGAAAAGGAGGAGGUAUCACAAUAGGUAGGGGUUUCGCUCUUGUGGGUUGUGCAUCUUGAGAUUGAGGCAUCAAUUCAUUCUUCUCAAGCUCAUCUUCUACAUGCUUUGUCACUUUCUUACUAGGCUCUUGCAACUCCGUCCCACUUCUAAGGAUGACAGCACUAACGUUUUCCUUUGGAUUCACCUCAGAUUGUGAAGGCAAUCUCCCUAAUACUUGAGACUCCAGACGGCUCACUGUAGUCGCCAAUUGACUCAUUUGGUUCUCCAAGUUCUGAAUGCUUGCUGUAGUUGCCUGCUGAAAUUGUUGAGUGUUAGUCGCAAGUGAUUUAACAAUUUCUUCAAGAGAUAUACCUGACUUGGAGUUUGACUGUGGAGGUGCUGGUUGUCUUGGUGGAUACUGUUGUGGGAAUCCUGAUUGCCUAACUCCAUAGCUGAAGUUGGGAUGAUCCUUCCAUCCCGGAUUGUAUGUUUGUGCAUAAGGAUCAUACCUCCUCUGAGGCAUGCCUGGAAAUCCUCCAACUGCAUUGGCUUGUUCAACGGGUUCUUCUUGAAGUGUAGGACACAUAUCAGUUGAAUGACCCAUAUUGUAACAAAUGCCACAAGUCUUCACCUGUUGCACAUUACCUACAACAAACUUUUCCACAAGAGAAGUAAGUUUAUCUAAACGUUGUUCAACAGAAGAAAUAUUUACCUCAUUCACCGUUCUUGAAGUGGCAUCUUGUCUGCUGCCAAAUUGUUGUGCAUUGGCAGCCAUAUUUGAGAUCAACUCCCUUGCUUGAGUAGGGGUCUUGUUCACCAACACACCUCCACUAGCAGCAUCUAUCAUACUCAUAUCCAUCAAUGACAGUCCUUCGUAAAAAUAUUGAAUAAGAAGUUGAUCAGAAAUCUGAUGCUGAGGACAGCUGGCACACAAUUGUUUGAAUCGCUCCCAAUACUCUUACAAAGUCUCCCCAGGAAGUUGUCUGAUCCCACAAAUAUCUUUUCUGAUGUUGGCAGCUCUUGAAGCAGGAAAGUACUUCUCAAGGAACUGCUUCUUCAAACCAUUCCACAUUGUAAUCGAUCCAGGAGGCAAGUAGUACAACCAAUCUUUAGCUAGCCCAUCUACAGAGAACGGAAAAGCACGCAGCUUAAUCUGCUCUUCAGUCACGCCUUGUGGCCUCAUACUUGAGCACACAACAUGAAACUCCUUAAGAUGUUUAUGAGGAUCUUCACCUGCAAAACCAUGAAACUUGGGUAAUAAAUGAAUAAGACCAGACUUUAAUUCAAAAUUUACCUCCAAAUCUACAUAUUGAAUGCAGAGUGGUUGCUGAUUCAAGUCUGGUUCAGCUAACUCUCUAAGAGUUCUUUCUACAGGUGCAGGUCUAUCCAUCACUUGUUCUUCUGAAUCACUAGAUGAUUCAACUAAAUCAGGCACCGUAUCUGUUUCAGAAAGCAAAGGCGACGAGGAUCGUUGCUUAGCUCGCUUUGUCUGCUGUCUCAGCUGGUGAGCUGUCUUCUCAAUUUCAGGAUCAAACGAAAGUGUACCUGUACGAGAAGAACGAACCAUACACCAAGUAAAACGUAAAAAGGAUUAAAUAAAUGACACCAAUCCCUGGCAACGGCGCCAAAAUUUGAUGGGUGUCGAAGCCAACAAAAAUAAAUUCCUACUCUAAAUAAAUUGUGUAUAGUGAUUGAGCAGGGUCGUGUCCACAGAGAUCGGUAAUUAUUUAAAUCCUUUUGAAACGUAAAACGUAAAAUGGGGGAAUUGUUGACAAUAAUAAAAAUCAAAUUGAAAUAAACAAGAAUGCAAAUUAAAGUUGUAAUUCAAAUUGGAGAAAGCUCUGGUUGAAGGAAUUAACUCAGCUUGAUUCGACUACUGAUCAUUGAUUCAAAUAUAGAUUAUUAUUAUUACUUAUGAAUAGAUCGGUUAUAGCUACUGAGACCCUCUAAUAGCCAAUCUCUCCUUAACUAGUCGAUAACCAAGGUACGACCGUUGGUUAUUUCCCUAAUCAAUAGACAACCCUAGAUACGAUCAUAGGAUUUAAUCAAUUGACAGCCUGAGAAACCAGAGAGACCCAAAUCCUAAUCAACACAUAUGAUGAUUCAUUUAAAUUAGAUUGUUUAUUCUCACAACACAACUCUCUGCUAUGUUAUUUGUCACAAACAUUAAAUUCUUCAUAUGAUGAAUCCUUUAAUUGACAAUAGAUUAAGUUGAUAAUUAAAUAGUGGCCAAUUACCUAAUUAACAAACAUAAUCAUGAAACUAAUUCAGAGAAUAAACAAAUACCCAAAAAGCAAUAAAACAAUUAAAGCACAAGAAAGAUCUCACAGUAGUGAUGAAUCAAAGCUUCAUUAUCCUUCAACCAGAAAAAUGGGUUUAGUUCCUCAUAGAGAGAAGAGAAAAAUUAGAUCUAGGGUUUCUUUUUCUCCAAUCCAAAAAUCCCCCCUUUUUCACAAUAGAUUCCUCCCUUCAAUACUCUCUCUCUCUUCUCUUUUAGAAUUCUAUUUAAAAUAAAAUACUAAUAUCUGAAAUAUUAAAUUCGUAAUUACAAAAAUAACCAAAAAUACAAAACACGUUAACCUAAAAACUGUAGGUCCGCAGUUGACAGCACGCGCCCACGCCUUAUCAACAAAGUUCUUCUGACGCUCAGAAAUUUCUCCAAGAGAACAAUCCUCCUUAAACAUCAUCUUUUAGCUCAAUUUUAUCAUCAAUCAAUAGAAUUGCACCUACAAAAGUAAAACACAAGUAAAACAUUAUUAUUAAAUGCAAAACAUCGAUAUUAAGGGAAGUAAAUAAUGCAAAACUAGUGCAUAAAUUGCACUCUAACAGUAUAUGGAUCAAUGAUUAGGAUAUCCACUUACAGAUUAAACAUUCUUCAUCACAGAAGCACAGUUUAUCAAUAAGGCAAGGCUGAACCCAGAUAACAUUGCUAUGUAAGUGUAACUUGUCAAAAGCGGUAUCGAUAAAACCUGUACAUACAUAGAAAAUUACGUCACCAAAUCCAUGAAGAAAAGUAUUUUAUAAACAAAUAUGUUUGAGACAAACUAUCAAAUGAUCUAAAUGCCACAUGGUGUGUUCAAAAUUUUACCCCUGCAAUGCGUGUUAUUAUUAUUGGCCCGAUCAUCCUCUCAACGUAAGGGUACAUAGUAAGUUGAAAAACAAGGAGAAUGAAAUCUAUAGUAACUUCAAAAUGAGGACAAUCGUCAAGCAGUUUUGGGGGGUUGAUGCAUGAGAAAAGAAGUUAAGAGGAACGAGUAACAUUUUCAGUUUCGUAAUAAGUAUAAAUGGGGAGCAAGAGUAUCAGUUUUGCACCUGAGAUGGCAAGAACUUGGCCAACAUUUUCGGUUGAGUAACUCAGACCCCCGUACUUCCACCGGCUGAUAGCCCACAGUGAAAAUAUCUAACAGAAUAGUUGCAAUAUUAUGAUUUAAAAAAAUUACACAGAUAAGAAAUUCUUAGGAUCAGUAAUAGCCAUAUGUCUUCUUUAUGUAUAAAACUCUCAACAAUCCCAUCAACAGCAAUAGCACCCUCUGUUUCAGGUAGAAGUUAAGAGAUAACUUUGCAAAUAUCUAACAGAAUGCGAUCUGAUCCAGGAUCCUGGACUUUAUUCAAGUUCGGGAAAGCCAUUGGUCAUUGGACUAUUAAACCAUAUGGCUUAAUAACUUUCCCGAACAUUAACAUAGUUUAGAUUUUGGAUUGGAACAUUUUUAUGUCAUAAUAAAGUAGAAUAUAUAUAUAUAAACAAUCAAGUAGAGAUAUUUAUACCUCGGUGUAAGCGAUAUCAUGAAGCGAGAAAACACAAUAAACAAUAAUAGAAGAAAUAAAGGGCCAAUUCUUCAUGAGGCUUUUCUUAGCAGUGGCCUCCUCACUUCCUUCAUCUUGUUUAAAUUCUGCAUUGGACCCACAGGAUGCGGAUUCCAAAGCAUCACAUGAUACAUCAAGUGAUACACCAUCUUCAUUGUGUUUGUGCAAUGUCUCACACUGAUCCAUAGUUGAGAGAGGCUGUGGGGAAGUUAAUGGAGUUGAAGGAGAGGGAUAAUGAUAAUGAAGAUUACUCUUCAUAUGCUAGUGAGGAUUAUGUCUACUCUUCUAGAGCAAUGACUGAUGAGGACUUCUCAUUCUCAGUAACUGGCUGAACUCAACUUAUUUUUUCUUUCUUUGGCUUUUGGCAGCUGAUGUUCUUUUUGGGGUUAGUAGAAGGAAGGAUAAAGCUGGCAAUUAAAGGAAGCCAUUUAUGUUAAUCUUAGUAAUUUCCCCAUAUAUAGAUAUAUCUUUGAAUGUUUUUAACUUUUGCAAGGUUCAUUAUGUAACGAGGCAGUGACACUGAUUAAACUUGUAUUAUUAUUAUUAUUAUUAUUAUUUUGAAUAGAAGCAAAUUGAUUGUGUUAUGGGUUUCUUUUGCUUCCCAUCGGAUUAGCAACUGGCACUGGCACCGGCAUGAUUGGCAAAGGCCAAGUUGAAGCUGCCUGCAGACUCUCAGUGGACUGAAUUACAUAUUACAUAAUACAAGUGAAAGGAAGGGACUCGUAAAGCUUUAUUGUCGUAGUUUGGAUAAGAUUAAGAAUUGCUGUCGCUUCUUGUCAGAUUGCAUUGAAACGCUAGUAGUCGCUGCUGCGAGCAUUGGUAUUAGAAGAUUAGCACAAGCAGCCCCUACCUAUCAUGGACUCUGAUGUUAUGGACCUUACGGAUAUCAAUUACCUAGUUAAAAGCUAGUUAAAAGCUACCUCCAUAUUUUUUAUUUUUACCCUAAUGCAUGUCUGAUUCUUUUAAAAUUUUACGUUAUAUAUAUUAAACAAAUAUUAUAAUUUUAAUCAUUGAAAAAUUAAUGACAGACAUCUUUUGAAUAAUUUUUUUUUUUAAAAAUACAGAGCUAGAGAAAAUGCUAUAAUUGAUUGAAUAAGAAGGCUACAACUUGAUGAUAACUUUAUUGCAAUGUUGCGUGAUCUCAAUAUAUUAUUGGCUUAUGUGUGAGUAAAAGUUGCUGGCUCCUGUUUUACUAAUUUGCCUUUGAAUUUGACUGGCUCGACAAAGAAUCGAUUUACCUCAUACUCAAAUUACAAACAUCGAAACCGGAUCUGUCAUUACGUUAAUUGGCCUCCUAAAAUAAUCAAUCACUUUCUCUUUAGUCUACCAUCCACGCUUUCCAGUCGCUUAGUUUCAUUCUAAUCAUCUAAACGGCUCUUUGCUACUGUUUCUUCUAUUUGUCAUUGUUCUUGUUCUGUUAUUAUUUAGCUUUGCUCACUCCUGAGUCUCAUUUCUUAUUCUGUACCCAUCAGCUCUUUUAGCUCUUUACGUCGUGAUAGAAACCCUUUUCUUGUUUCCUUCAUCUCAUCUGAAAAACACAAUUGCUUGUCCUAUCGCUGUCUCUUUGUUUUUACUUUCCUUUGGCCUUCUUCGCUUCUACGUUUUUGUCAGGAUUCGAGAUGCUGGAAAUCAUUGUGACUAUCGUCUUGGAACUUGUAAAAUGCUUGGCUCCUCCAACUGCACGCCAACUUGUUUAUUUGCGAUAGCGGAACUACAAUGCCAACUUUGAGAAUAUCAAGGCGGAAAUGGAGAAGUUGAAGGUUGAACGUACGAGCAUUCAGCGCAAAGUUUCAGAGGCGAAAGAAAAAGGGGAAGAGAUUGAAGAGAAGGUUGAAAAGUGGCUGGUUAGUGCGAAGUGCGAACGGCAUCAUUGACCGGGCAGCCAAAUUCAUUGAAGAUGAGGAGUCAACAAAUAAGCGCUGUCUCAAGGGCUUGAGUCCUAAUUGGAAGAGUCGCUAUCAGCUUAGCAAGAAAGCAGAGACGGAGGUGAAGGCCAUUAUUGAACUUGGAGAAGAAGUUAAGAAGUUUGAUACUGUUUCCGUAUCAUUCCGGAGGAGAUACGGCUCAAGUCUAGCAAUGGUUACGAGGCCUUCAAAUCAAGACUUUCUACUUUGCAGUCUAUAAAAAAUGCAUUGACUGAGGCGAAUGUCAGCAUUAUUGGGGUGUACGGCAUGGGCGGCAUUGGAAAUACGACAUUGGUGAAGGAGUGUGCUAGGCAAGCCAGGGAAAGGAAGCUGUUUGAUCGGGUGGGUUUUUCAGAGGUUUCACAAACUCCUAACAUAAAAAAGAUUUAAGGGGAAAUUGCAGAGAAGUUAGGUCCGGAGUUGUCCGACGAAGCUGAAUAUAGAAGAGCAAGCAGGCUGUAUGAACGAUUGAAGAGUGAGAAUAAGAUUCUUGUGAUUCUAGAUAACAUCUGGAAACAUCUUGAAUUGGAGACGGUUGGAAUUCCUUUUGGAAAUAAUCAUAAAGGAUGUAGACUGUUGCUGACAGCAAGAGAUAAUAAUGUGCUUUUAAGUAUGGGCUCCAAAGAUAACUUUUUGAUUGGCAAUCUAACUGAACAAGAAGCCUGGAGAUUGUUUAAGAUAAUGAAUGGUGAUGAUGUUGAAAAUUGUAAGUUCAAGUCUACAGCAAUUAAUGUAGCUAAGGCAUGUGGAGGUUUGCCAAUUGCGUUGAGGGCACUGAGAAACAAGAGUCUCCAUGAAUGGAAGAAUGCCUUGCGAGAGCUCCGAACGCCUUCAAUGGUAAACUUCGAAGGUGUGCCUGCAGAGACUUAUUCAAGUAUUGAGCUGAGUUUCAAUUAUUUAAAAGGUGAGCAAGUCAAGAAAAUUUUUCUGCUUUGUGGACUAGUAGGUAACAGUGUUUGGUUUUCAGACUUAUUUAGAUACUCCAUGGGUUUGGGCAUAUUUCAAGGAGUCAACAUUCCCUUCAUAUUUACCAAAGGUAAGUGAUAAAUCCUACAUAUCCCACUCAAGAAUGCAUAAGUUUCUUCAAUCUCAAGUACCUAAAGUUUUCUUCUACGUUUAUAAAAAUUUCAGCACCAUCUCCCUAUAAUUCUCCAAGCUCACGACAUAGCUAUAUAAGUGUUUAUGCGUUAUGCCAAAACAACACAUGACACCCGCUCACCUAGAACGUACCCAGAGAACACGAGGAGCAGCUACCGAAAAAGCCAUAUUUACGUGGGAAAAAAACUUCAGCUACUAGCUACCAGAGAGACCUAUGCAUUCCCAAACUGUCCAAGCCUGGACAAUUCAAGAAUUAUUAAUAGACAUAUGAUCCUCACUAUCAUCCAAAGAUGACACUAAUACAACAUGUGUCUAUUAAUAAUUUCUUAAACAAGUCUAAGCUUUCAAUGCACGUAUCAAAAGUUUAAAAUUGAAUCUGAAAUUUGAAUAACACAUAAAUAUCAUAAAUCUCUUCAAUUUAUUCCUGAUACAAUGUAGCAUUAUUUCAGAGAUCAUUUCUUAAGCAAAACCAUAAAAAAUACAAACGAUAAAUACAUUUUCCCACUGAUGCAGAUUAUGUUUACUGAGCAAUAAGUUUUAAGCCAUUCAUGUUGAAAUACUUCUGCCUGUUCUUUCAACAUAUAACUAGUACGUACACACAAUUAAUAAAUUAAAAAAAAAAAAACUGGUGGUGAAUCUGCAAAAUCUUCCUUUUUUUCUUUUUUUUUCUUUUUCUUCUUUUUUUGGGGGGGGGGGGUGUUGGGGGAACUAUGAAUCUUGCAAAUCCUCAAGAAGCUAUGUUAAGACAAGGCCAGCUUACUAUUAGGGUAUGAAAGAUAAAACCUUUUAUUUCCUUUUCAGAAUAAAAAGAACAUUGACAGUGUUAAAAAAAUCUAGAGGAUUUCAGGCCUCCAGAUCCUUACAAAUCAAGGAUAUUAAAAAAUUUACUUAGAGGAGAAUGGUUAUGCUCAUUUGUAUCUUGUUAGAAGAAAUUGAUCCAAAGCCUCAGUUUUAAUUAGCUUCAUAUAGCCAAUGAUUAGGUGUUUAAAAACCAAUGAAUAUUUUUAUAAGAAAUCGACAAUAUUGUUGAAAGAAAAACCAAAUAAAAAUAAUAAAGCCAAUGAAUAGAUCAAGGCUCUUUGUGGUCUAAAACUAAUCAAACUAAGUUGUGGGCAAAGGCGAAUAUGUUUGUUUGGUCAAUAAUAAGCUCAACAAAUCACUAAUAAUCACCUAAUCACUAUUCCUUACGCUAUGCAAUAUAAUGGCCUGGGUAAUGGCGCCAAGGCAGACAUUAACUAGCUAGCCAGUUAUGAUAGUUGAUUAACUUAACCUACUGGAAAUCUGAAGACCAAAACGAAGAAGCUUUGUCUAGAACUAGAAUAGGAACAUUCGUACCCAAAACUAAUAUACACAAUUAAGAAACUUGAUUAUAUGUAUAUUUCUGUUGGCCACACUUAAAGAGAAUUUUCAAAAGAUGCUAAGGUACACCAAAUCCCACUAUUUCAUACUCAUAAACACAAAAAACCAUGGCAAAAAUUAAUGACUAUAUCAAAUAAAAUCGGUGAUAGGACAUUGAGAUUAGGACAACUUGAUUUGUAUACCGUAAAAUAACUAUAUCUGCAUGGUGAACUAUAUUUCUGUUAGAACUCUGAAGUUUUCUAUUAAGUUUUUUUCUGUUAGGUAAACCACUUAACUGAAGUGCUUAAGCCAAUAUUGACAAUCAUAGACAUAAAAGUAUUAAUAGGCUCAUUCAAGUGAAAUGAGCAUUAUUUCACACAUCCUUUAGGUUUUUAAGUCAUUUAGAAGUCAUUCAUGUUAAAAAAAAAAAUUCAUAUACUUUCAAUAUAAUUAGAACAUACACAAUUAAUUAAUUAAAUAAAUCUUUUUCAGCUAGUAUAGGAACUUAAUUAAUCAAAGCUAGUAGUUAUAGCUAGGACUUGAACGAGGCACCUUUCAAAGUUCAAGAAGAGCAUCUGAACAGAAUGAAAGCACUUUGUAGAAAUGGUAAUGAUGCUUUACAUCUACAUGCUCUUACACAAUAUGAACUUUCAUUUAUUCAAGAACAUAACACUACUCCAAGCUCUUAUUCUACAAGUCAAUUCAGUUUGUAGAUGCACGCCAUUGUAAAAACUUUUGCAUUAUAAUUUCUGAAAAUAGAACGUAACAUUAUUAGUAUAGAAUCAGCAAUGUAAAUAACUUAUCAGACAAUAUAACAAGCACUUGGUGAGCAUACAAGAAAAACUAAAACAAGUUAUCUAGAUAAUGAAACUAAAACCCAAGCUCCGCUAUUCAUUGUAGAAGCUUUAAACAUAAAAUUAAAGUAAAUCUAAUAGCAAAACAUUAGAAUGGAUAUUGAAAUUAAAGCUAAAUUCAAUAGUAAUUCAAAUGAAUCCAUUUGAACUUUGUAAAUUCCGCAGAACAAAAUUAAUUUGAGUGAGCAAACUCACCAAAAUUAAAAAGAUAUUGCUGGCGGGAAAAAAAUUGACAAUAACAGCUACAAUACGAAUUUAAAAAAAAAAUCAAAAUCUAUAAUUACAAGCUUAACUCAAAAGAUGAAGGGAGAAUACGAUGAAGAAGAAGAUGGCUGGUGUUUUACGCCGUUCGCCGGCAACCAGUUAGGUUUACGAUGGUGGCUAGUAACACGGAGUCCAGCGAAUAGUUUUCUAACUGGAAAUAAAUUUAAAAUUCUAAAAUAGUACCGAAUGGCUCGUUGCCGUCACGUGGUUAGUAACAUAUGUGACCGCAGUGUGGCCGUCACAUAAAAGGUAUUGGGGUUACAAAGUUAGUGAUAUACGUGAUGGCUGCUCUUGCAUUCACAUUAGGGAUCACAUAUACCCUAUUUUCUUGUAGUGCAUGGUAAAUUCUAUUUGAAAAUUGCUAAGUAUUUUAGAUUUGUACGAAUUCAUUUUUGUGUGCUCAUUGGAUAAUAAUAUAUAAUAAAUUAAAUUUUUGGUGUCAACCAUACCAUACCAUACCAUAAAAUCAAAUUUUAUCGUGUCAUUCUUCUUGGUUCAAAUUUUUGGAAACAAUAAUCAAAUGCAUCCAUGAACUAGUAUAUUCCGACAUAUAUAUAUAUAUUGAAAUUUUAAUAACAACAAUUGGGCCAAGCAUAUGUUGGUACUUGAAGAUUUAUAAGCUCCAUCCUUGAAAAAAAUAAGGCUUGACUGUUCUCAAUCUAAAAUUCUUUUUGUUUUAAGUUCUUAAUUAAGCUUUCUUGCUUGUUUUCAAGAGCCAGUUUUGUAAUGAUCGACAAACAUGACUUGCAUAUACUGCACUUGGCUUUUAUGUGUCACUUAUUAAUUAGAUUUAGAUUUUAUGUCUCAUGCACUCGCUAAUUAAGCUCUUAAUUAAGUGCUCCUUAUAUGGAUAUUGUGUCAAAACAAGUGCUUUCCAUACGGAUAUUGGAUCUAAAGAGAAAAUUAUCUUUAGGUAGUGUUGCCAAAUUUGGAGGCUUUGGAGCUGAAUGCUAUUAAUGUCGACGAGAUUUGGCAUGACAAUCAACUUACGGCCAUGAUUACUUGCUUUCAAAGUUUGAUACGAUGGAUAGUGUGGGGCUGUGACAAAUUAAAAUACAUAUUUUCAGCUUCUAUGAUCUUAAGCCUUAAGCACCUCCAACACCUGGAGAUACGGAUAUGUAUGGGUUUACAAGAGAUCAUCUUCAAAGACAGCAGAUCAAGUGACCCCAUAUUUUGUCUUUCCACAAGUGACCACUGUGAAUCUCGAAGGUCUACCAGAACUCAGAUGUUUAUACCCUGGAAUGCAUACUUCAGAAUGGCCAGCACUAAAAAAAUUGGAGGCCUGUAAUUGUGAUAAAAUAACGUUGUCCCAGAAUAACGAGAAUGAUCAAUUUGGUAUUCCGCCACUACAACCCCUGCUCUCGUUCAAGAAGGUAUGAAACCAAAAUUUAGAUUUUUUUUAUCAAUUAUCUUUGUUGUUCCUCACUCACAGAUCAGGAGGUUUAAUAACUACCUAUAUGGAGUUUUUUUCUAGUGGGAAUGCCCUUAUUUUUUACUUUUUUCAUGCGGAGAAGCUUUCAAAUCCCUCGGUUUAAGAGCGUGUUUGUAAUGAUCCACAAACAUGAUUUGCAUAUACAGUAUUGCACUUGGCAUUUAUGUAUCACUUACUAAUUAGAUUUAAAUUUUAUAAAUUAAUUAAACUGAUUAAUAUUUUAUAUGUGCACUGAAUGAUAGAUACUACAUAAAUUGGGACACUAUAACUACGUAUCCCAACUAUGUAAUAUUUGUUUGUCACAAACCCAAUCAUGACCUGAUAUUCUGAAUAUUAUUUAGGAUACCAUUUCAAGCCCCAUGAGGGCUCUUUCCAUUUUAAAAAGUAUGAAAUAGAUGUAGAUUUUUCUUUAGAUAUUAUCAGUGAGAGUACCUUUGGUGGCAGUGGUCCGGGAUGAUUUGUGUUAAGGAAGCUCAUUGAGCACGUGUGUCAAUGAUGAGUCAGCAGUUAGUUGGGUAAAGAAGCCAGCUCAGCAAAUCUGUUAAUCAUGUUUUACGUUCUGUUCUUCAGUUGUUAGUAAUGCUUUUAAUUCUGUUGAGAUAUGAGUUAGUAUAAAUAUGUUGUUAUUGUAUUUGUAAUUGUGAACGUGAGAUUCAAUAAAAAAUAAGUAGUUUCUAAGGAAAAAUCUUAUCAUUAUUUUCUUAGCUUCCAAACAACUUUUACAGUCACAAUUCAACUUUCAAACAUGGUAUCAGAGCCAGUAAGAGCAAGCUCUAGUGCUCAGCAAACAAAUCAACAAAGUCAAAUAAAUUUUUCUUUCAACACUCCAAUUAAACUAGAUCGAUCGAACUAUCUACUUUGGCGUUUUCAAGUUUUUGCUUCCAUAAGAGGCAAUCGAUUGGAAGGCUUCAUCAAUGGAACAAAACCAGCUCCUGAAGAAUAGUUCACUCAAGUUGUAGCUGAUGGAUCUAUUCAGAAAAUUGAUAAUCCAGAAUAUCAGAAUUGGAGAUCACAGGAUCAAACAUUGCUUGGAUGGAUGCUAUCAUCAAUAAGUGAAGGUACUCUAAAUCUUGUCAUAAAUUGUGGUAGCUCGUUUGAUGUUUGGAGAACUUUAGAAAAGAAAUUUGGUGUGCAAUCUGAAGCUAGGGUUCUUCAACUUAGAUAUGAGUUGAAUACUCUUAGGAAGGAAUCAAUGAGUAUUGAAGAUUACUGCAUCAAAAUGAAAAUUGUAGCAGAUAAGCUUGCUAGUGCUGGAAGUCCUAUAACAGAGAAAGAUCUCAUGCUGACAAUUCUUAAUAGCUUAGGAGCAGGUUAUCGUGAUAUUGCUACCUUUAUAACUGGCUCAAAAAUGGACUAUGAUGAUGCUUAUGCAUUAUUAUUGACUCAUGAAACCAGACUUGAACAAGAGCAGAAUGAUAAAAGCAUGUUUAAUGCAAAUUAUGCUUACACAAAUGCCUAUUAUCCAAGGGCAUUCUAUGCCCAAUCUAGAAAUAAUUUUAGAAGAGGAGGAUAUGCUGGUGCUCAGUUUGGUAAUACUGGUAGAAAUCAUACUGCUGGAAGAGGAAAUAUUUUUCAGUCUCCAAGGAUGUUUACUGGCAAUCACAGAGGUGGAUAUGGAAGAGGACACUCAUUUGGCCCAAAUAAUGUUAACUCUUUUCAUGCACCUAGGAAUCCAAUACAAUUUACUAGGACUGGAGUCACUAAUAUGAAUGGACCUCAAGGAAUUCCAAGUAAUGCAGAAGAAUUGGUUUGCCAGAUUUGCUUUAAGCUGGUCACACUGCUGAUAUUUGCUGGCAUCGAUUUGUGGAGGAUUAUGUCCCUUCUUCAAGAAGUCUAGGCAGAGGAAAAGGACCAAGAUCAGCAUAUAUUGCUAAUUUUGAUGGCUUUACAUAUCCAUAUCAAGGUUAUGAUAACUAUGAUAAUCAUCCUGCAUCUGAGACAAGCUGCUAUUCUGGAAUUGAUAACUAUGCACCUACAGAAGCUUAUGUGGCUAAUUUUGAAAGCUUUGCUGAUGAUGGCUGGUAUUUGGAUAGUGGGGCAACUCAUCACUUGACCAACAACAUGGAGAACUUGCAUUUUAAGGAAGACUACAAAGGUACUGAUCAACUCAUUAUUGGAAAUGGUCAAGGUCUGUCAAUUUCUCAUAUUGGUCAUGCAUUUUUAUCAUUUAGAGCUUCAAAACAUCCUUACACACAUGCCUCCACUAUAGCACUUAAAGAUAUGUUACUUAUUCCUACAAUCACUAAGAAUUUACUAAGCAUCUCCAAACUUACAUCUGAUAAUUCACUCUCUGUUGAAUUUUGUGGAAAUGUUUGUUAUGUUAAGGACAUGAAAGGGCAAGUUCUUCUGCAGGGCCUUGCUGAGAAAGGUCUUUACAAGCUGUUGAUGAAAUCUUCUUCCAUGUCAUCUUCUGCUUAUCAUACAUCACCUGCCUUUCAUCUUUCUCAACUUCAGUCACAUAAACCAAUAUCCAUGCUGUCAUGCUCAAAUGUGUCUUCUAUUUCUCAUCAUUGUAAUGUCUCAACUUCAGUCACAUAAACCAAUAUCCAUGCUGUCAUGCUCAAAUGUGUCUUCUAUUUCUCAUCAUUGUAAUGUCUUUGAUAAGACUUGUUUCAGCUCAAUUUCAAAUAAGUGUAACCAGAAACAUGAUGAACUUAUCUUGUUACACAGAAAGUUUGGUCAUCCAAGCUCAACAGUAUUGAUGCAUUUGCUUAAGACUUGUAAACAAGUUAAAGUCUCUCAAAAAUCAAUUUUAUCUCCUGAGCAUUCUAUGUGUGAAGCAUGUCAAUUAGGAAAAGCUCACAAGCAACAUUUUUCUACAACCGAAACCAAAACAACUCAAGUAUUAGAACUGAUACAUACUGAUCUGUGGGGGCCUUCACCUACUACAUCUAGAAAUGGUUUCAAAUACUACAUUAGCUUUGUAGAUGAUUACAGUAGGUAUACCUGGAUUUACCCACUCAAACUCAAAUCAGAAGCUUUUGAAGUUUUCAAAUUAUUCAAAAUCCAAGUAGAGAAUCAGUUCAAUACCAAAGUCAAGAUGCUGCAAUCUGACUGGGGGGGAGAAUAUAGAGUUUUUACUAACUUCUUAAACCAGAAUGGGAUCAUUUUCAGACAUUCAUGCCCUUACACACAUCAUCAAAAUGGUCUAGUAGAAAGAAAACAUAGACAUAUAAUUGAGUUAGCUUUGACUCUCUUAGCUCAAGCCAAUCUUCCUUUUAAAUUCUGGUGGGAAGCUGUUCAUACAGCAGUGUAUCACAUAAACAGAUUACCAACACCUGUAUUGAAACUCUUAUCUCCAUAUGAGAAGCUCUUUAAACAUAAACCAGAUUACAGCCUCCUUAAAUGCUUUGGUUGUCUUUGUUAUCCAAACUUGAGAGAUUUUAACAAACAUAAAUUUGACUUUCAUACCAGCAAGUGCAUCUUUAUUGGUUAUAGCUCAUCUCAUAAGGGAUAUAAAUGUCUUACAAGCUCAGGUCGAGUUCAUAUCCUUAGACAUGUUGUUUUUUAUGAAAGUGUAUUUCCAUAUACAACAUUCUCUGUUCCUUCUUCAUCUGAAAAUGUUGCCAACUCAGAAACACCAGUGUCAAAUUUCUCUAAACAGCAAGUCUAUCAUCUUUUAACUCUACCCUUAUUCAACAGCAGUUUUGAAGAUACUUUCUCAGCAGGUGUACCAAGUGAUGAACAAACUCCUGUUUUGCCUGAGCAUACAGAUAAUUUGAAUCAACAAGAAUCAUCUAGUUAUUCUUUAUCAGAACCAUCAAUAUCACAAGUUAUCCCUCAAAUCCCUGAAUCUACUCAAACACAACCUGAACCACAAACAAGCAAUCAACAACACUCAGAAUAUAAUCCAAACAGAAUUCAGAUCUCACAACCUACACACAAAAUGAUUACCAGAUCAAAGUCUGGAAUAUUCAAGCCUAAGUUAUAUACAGCCACCUUGACCAACAAAGAACCUGACACAAUUCAAAAAGCUCUGAAUGAUAAAAAUUGGUAUAAGGCCAUGAAAGAGGAAUAUGAAGCUUUGAUCAGGAAUGAGACUUGGUCUCUUGUACCACCUCCAGCUGAAUACAAAAUAGUUGGAAACAAAUGGGUGUUCAGGGUUAAACAAAAUAGUGAUGGCAGUAUAGCAAAGUACAAAGCUAGAUUGGUUGCUAAAGGUUUCCAACAAACUGAAGGGAUUGAUUAUUUCGAAACUUUUAGCCCUGUUAUAAAGGCUUCCACAGUGAGGGUUAUAUUAAGCCUGGCUGCAAUGCAGAGUUGGAUGAUCAGACAGGUAGAUGUUAAUAAUGCUUUUCUGAAUGGUGACUUAACAGAAGAUGUCUACAUGUGUCAGCCUGAGGAUUUUGUUGAUGAGAAGAGAUCAGGCUAUGUAUGUAAGUUGAAGAAGGCUUUAUAUGGUUUGAAACAAGCUCCCAGAGCUUGGUUUGAUAAACUAAAAGGCUGUUUGGUUGCAAACUGGGGAUUUCAAAAUUCCAGAGCUGAUACCUCACUAUUCUUUAAAGGAAAACAAGAUUCAAUGAUAUUAGUUUUGAUCUAUGUUGAUGACAUACUGAUAACAGGGCCUAACAGUGAUGAACUUGAAAAGUUUAUUUCAGACUUCAGCAAAGUGUUUGCAUUGAAAGAUUUGGGAAGACUCUCAUAUUUUCUGGGUAUAGAAGUAUCUUAUGCUGAGAAUAACAUUUACUUAUCUCAAAGAAAAUAUGUUAGAGACCUGCUAAGUAAAGCUGAUAUGCUUCACUGCAAAGGGUGUGAUACACCAAUGGUUACAGGGACAAAACUUCAAAAGGAAGCUAAGGGAUCUUUGGGUCAGCAUGUUGAAGAUGCAACAAGUUAUAGAAGUUUAAUUGGAGGGCUGCAGUAUUUGGUUCUGACCAGGCCAGAGAUAGCUUUUGCAGUGAACAAGCUAAGCCAAUAUGUUUAUACACCUACACUACAACAUAUCCUAGCCUGUAAGAGAAUGCUUAGAUAUUUGAAAGAGACAGAAGACUAUGGAUUAAAGUUUUCAGCUGAUGGAGAAAUAAAGUUAACAGGUUUCACAGAUGCAGAUUGGGCAUGUGAUAUUGAUGAUAGGAAAUCAACAGGUGCAUACUGUAUUUACUUGGGAAAUAACUUGAUCUCUUGGUCAUCCAAGAAGCAAUCCAUAGUUACAAAGUCAAGUGCAGAGAGUGAGUACAGAGCUCUUGCUUCUGCAAGUGCAGAAAUUACAUGGUUACAGUCAUUGUUCAAGGAACUCAAGAUUGAAUGUAUUUCAGUGCCCACAAUCUGGUGUGACAAUAUAAGUGCAACUGAGCUGGCCAAAAAUCCUGUCUACCACUCGAGAACCAAACACAUUGAAUUGGACAUGCACUUUAUAAGAGACAAAGUGUUAGCAAGAGAGCUGGAAAUCAAUUACAUUCCCAGUGAAGAACAGAUUGCAGACAUCUUGACCAAGCCUCUCACAUUCACUCAAUUCAAUUAUCUCAGGAGCAAACUUAAUGUGCAGCCAUGCCCCUUAAGUUUGAGGGGGGCUGUUAAGGAAGCUCAUUGAGCACGUGUGUCAAUGAUGAGUCAGCAGUUAGUUGGGUAAAGAAGCCAGCUCAGCAAAUCUGUUAAUCAUGUUUUACGUUCUGUUCUUCAGUUGUUAGUAAUGCUUUUAAUUCUGUUGAGAUAUGAGUUAGUAUAAAUAUGUUGUUAUUGUAUUUGUAAUUGUGAACGUGAGAUUCAAUAAAAAAUAAGUAGUUUCUAAGGAAAAAUCUUAUCAUUAUUUUCUUAGCUUCCAAACAACUUUUACAGUCACAAUUCAACUUUCAAACAAUUUGGGAUUUGACAAUUCCACUCUCAUCUUAAUUAUCAAAUGGAAUGUAAGUAGAGAUAAACUUGUCCUGUUUAUAUAUUUGUGAUCAAAAUUAGGACCAAUAUAAAAAAUAUUAGGGUCCGACUAUCUAUACUUUAAAAAUCAUUAUGAACACUUAAUUAUUUAUGUACUCAGCUAAUAAAUUUAAAAAAUUAAGUUUUACUUUCCACACUUUUUUUAGGAGUACUUUCUACACUUUUUAAAAUAACAAAAACAUCUUUACAUGAACUUAAUAAGUUUCUUUAAAAAAAUUAAAUCAACUAUUUUUAUUUAUUCAAAAUACUAAUAAAAAUAUUUAGCAGACCGUGAAAGAAAAUUUUUAAGAAAUUUAACACGAUUUUAGUUAUUACUUAUUGUUUAUUAAAGAAUGUGUUCACUAUUGUAUUUAAUUUUGUUAGUAAAAAAAAAAAGAAGAAGUUUGGGUUUAAGAUACAUUUAAUUUUUAGUGUAACAGUUGUAUCAAAACAAUAAAAACUAAAAGAUCCAAAAGUCACAAGUUCCAACACCACCCAAAUAAAAAGGUCUGUUAAGAUUAUUUUUGGGAAGCUCAAAAGUGAUUUUAAAAAUUUAAAACUAAUUUUUAGUGUUUUAUAAAUUUUUUAGUAAUUACUUUUGGCAAAAUCAUCUCAUUGUACAGUAGAUUUUGAAAAAGUAGGGAAUGAAUAAUUUUUCAAAAUAUGAUUUUGAGAAUCACUUUUAUAUUUAAUCAAAUUCUAUAUAUAUAUACUCAUUAUAUAAUAAAAAUUCAAAAUUAUCUUUAUUAAUUAAGAAAUAAAAUGAUUAACUUUAAAGAGAUUAUUAUUAUUACCAAUUAUAUUGAGAUAAAAAAAUAGAGAAUAAAAUUUAAUAAUAUAAAAUAUUUAUUUUAGUUAUCAAUAAUUAUAUGUACAAUAAAAAUAUUUUAUAUACAUGUUUAUAAAUGUGUAAAUAAAUUUUAUUUAACAUUAUGUCCAAUUCAGUCAUUUACAUUUUUGGUCCAAUUUAACAAUAAGAUUUACGAAAUAUAUACGACGCUUUUAAAACUAAAAGUAUUUUUAAAAAUAAAUUUUACUAAAUGUUCAGCUGAUUCUCUUGACGAUUGAUCAAUUUCUACAGCAUAGCUAACUGUAAUUAUUUUAAAGGCUACAGGAUUACCAAACUGACCCUAAAUCAAACCAAUAAAAAUGUUUAAAAAUAAUAAUAAUAAACCAAAGUAAACGUACAAAAAUUCAUGCAUAAAUUGAUAAUCAACAAAAACAUCCACAAGUUUACCUCCAAGUUUUCUAUUCAAUUGACAUAACCCUUAAAUUUCAAAAGGCAUAAUCAAUUUUUGUCUAAUCCUAUAAAAUUAGAAAAUUAAAGAAUAUUAUGUACUGAUAAUUAAAUAAUAUGCAAUUAACAAUGUUAAAAAAAAUAAUGUUAAACAUAUUGUCAACUAAAACAAUUGGGAUUAACGAGCUGCUAUUGAAAUUAAUGUUAAAAAAAAUAAUGUUAAACAUAUUGUCAACUAAAACAAGCAUCAUGUGCAGUACCCACCGUGAUCUACUCACAUUGGAAUAAGUUGUUGGCAGCUGGUAAAAAAUUCAAUGUUGAUUUUGAUCCCACUAAAUUAAGUCAUCAAAAAUUGCUGGGAAGGGAGUAAUAUCUAUUUAUAACUGGAAAUUAGUCACCGUACAAAGAUGAUUGGAGCUGCAUAUAUCGUUUAUUAUUAACAACUAACUUAUGAAAUGCUUUGAAUGUACCUCCUAGGUCGUAUUAUUUACUAUACUAGUUAGGAGAAAUUGCAAUGUUAAAUUAUUUGAUAAAUACUUAUUAUAAUUUGAAAAUAUGUUAAUUUUGUCCUCCAUUUAUGAUAAAAAAUUUUGUAAUAUAUAUAAAUCAUUCAUUCUAUAAUCUUGAACUUUAUUAAAGUUCGAAAAACUAUUACUCUAUAUGAUAUAAUAGUGUGAUGUUAUUACACUAUUAUACCAUAUAAAAUAUAUUUGCUUUCUCAAAUUUUAAUAAAGUCUAGGUCUUGGACAGAAGCACUUUAUAUAUGUAUAUAUAAUGAUUCUCUAGUAACGACAUUCUCAUUUUAACAAAGUAAUGAUAUCACUAACAAACUAAAUAACACAUAUUUCAAUACACCAAUAGAUUAAAAAAAAUACAAUUUUUAAUGUGUUAAAAUAUAGGUCUUUUGUAUGUUAUUGAUAUUUUCACUUUAACAAAGUGAGGGUCUCCUCACUAUAAAAGUAAUUUAUAAAUAUUCCUUGUAUUUUUGUGAAAAUUAUUAUUUAAAUGUCAUAUCUUACCAAAAACUAUUAGUUUUUAUUUUAUUACUACGCUAUACUUUUCAAGAUAGAACACCUUAAUACCAUGACCUUAAUUUUUGAACCCUCUUGUACAAAGUUGUUGGCUGGUCUAUUUAGCUUAAUCUUUCAAUUAUUUGUCGUUUGAACUGAGAUGAUCCGAAUAAGGCUAUGUAUCAAUAAUUUCUUAGUGAAACUUCGGGAAAAAAUAAAAAUCAUCUCAUACAGUAGCAUUAUUUUAAUUCUCAGCUUGAUUAUGUUUUGAGUUAACUUAUAGAUUAUUUGAAAUGAAAAUAAUAUAAUUUAUUUUUUCCAACUGAAAUUUUUAAAUAAUUUUAUUAGUUUGAUGAGUAAGUAUACACUUACAAAGUUAUGAUAUAAAAUUAUAUCCCAGAAUCCCAAUAAUAUGACACCAAUUAACUAUUGCUAUGUGUUUCUUAGUAAUUAACUUUUUAUACUAUUAUUAAUGAGAUAAUUAACUUCAACACCAAUAAACAAUUAAUACAUCCUCUAACUUUAUUAUCAAAUAAUCAUACGUCAUAAUCAAACCAAGUUACCAGAGCCUACCACUAAAAGAUUGAUUGAAGGGUUUUCCAAGUUUGAAAAUGUUAGUAGCAUUGGCAAAUGGCAACUUCCAGGAAUCUUCCUGCUACAAUCAAUCAUUUAGUGAAAUGCCCAAAUGACACAAAGGACCCCGCCAACCGUGAAGUCACAUCAUUUAUUUAUUUGUAAAUGAAAAAUAAGGUUCCGAUCGGAAGAAAUCAGCACCUUAUAAUGCAUGAUUACCCGUAUGUCAAGUUUGGCGAUUAUAAGUCAUCAUCACAAUAACUUUGGAUUUUGAUAUUUAAGUCUCCGUUUGGGACCAAUGUAUGCCAAUUGGACAACACAUCACUCAAUUAUAGAGAGCGAAAUAUUGAUAUUGUCAUUAUUUUACGUAAUGUAUAAACUUUUCCUUUUAUUUUUGUUUGUUUAUUUAUUUUUAAUACCUAAUAAAUAUAAAUUUAUUUUUUAAUAUUUAAUAAAUUUUGUCAGAAAAUAACAAACAAUGACCCAAAUCCUUUUAUUUUACAGAAAUAAUUUCAAUUCACAACUAUGACAUUACAUUACCAAACAAACACUAAAUAUUUUGAUGAUUGGAGUUUAUCUUUCAUUCAUAGCAUGAAAAGUUUGAAAUAGAAUCUCAAAACAAAAGAGUACGACAUGUCUUGUUGGGUUUACAGAAGAAGUGUACGCCAUGUCAUCCGAAAACUAAAAGGCAUGUAUGACAACCAAACGGUAUCAUCCCUGAUUUGCCUACACUUUAAGGAUGAAUUCUGGGUUUUGAGUGACAAUUAAAAGCCAGAGUGAGAAUUAGAGAGAGAGUUAUAUAUUCUUAUUUAUUCCUAGUCACUUGCUAUAUUGUGUGGGUCUUUUGUGAUUCCAAUAAUAAAAAUGUUCAAUAUUUUUUUUGAUAGAGCAAUAUUUUUUAAAGCAUAAAGAAAGGCAGAAAUAUUGUAAAUCCAUCUCAAAUUUUCUGUUUAUUGUGGUUGCUGCUAGCGCUAGCUGUUUUCUUAUUUAACUUUGUUCCCUUUUGCCAUCAGCUCUUUGCAUUUUCAUUGGAUCAAGCGGCCCUUUUCUUGUUUCAAUUUUUUAUCUCAAAAGCACUUUGAUUCUCUUCUGUUACACUGAUUUUCUCCUUAUUUUGCACAAAUAUCGUUUCUCUUUCCCAUUUAGCCUUGAUUUGCUUCUACUUGACUACCAAUUGCCCAGUCGUUGACCCUGUUGUAUUUUUAUUUCAUUCACUUCCAAUAGACCAAAAAAAAAAAAGAGAUGUUGAAUAAAAGCUUAAAAACUAAUUUGAUUUUUAAUAUGAUUUAGCUAAGAUGUCCAAUUUAAUACUAAGAGUAAUGUUAAGGAUCCUAAUAAUUGAGUCCCAACUGAUAUGGUAGUCAUUUAUUAGAUGAUGGAAAUAUAAAUUUUAUUAGUUGUGAAAUUCAUUAUUCAAUAAAAAAAUAACACAUAACAAUUAGGUCUCAAGUUAGUAUUUUACUAUUGGAAUUCCUAACAUUAUUCUAAUAUUAAAAAAUUCAUCAAAAUAAUAUCCGUUGAUGCUGAAAUCUAGUCGCCUUUGGACCGACCAGAUUGGUUCACCAACGCUUGUAUUGACAAAGGAAUAGAGGCUGCGAUCCAUUAGCUUCAACAAUUUCCCGAGCUUCUGGGACCCAAAUCACCCGUCUUCUUCCUUCCAGGCCUAUGUUCACAUAAACAAAUCAGAGAAGCCGGUGGUUUUUUGGGCAUAAACCCUUCGAUACUUAAGUUAGUACAAGGUGUUUACGAGAAAAGUUAAUGAUUUGUGUUGUACAUAUUAGUUGCAAUAUUCUCAAUACCAAAUGUAUCAAGGAUUUGGAUAUUUGAAUUUCUGAUUAUAAUUUGACAGAGUUUCCCCUUUACUCUCAAUUUGUGUCUCCCCCUUUUCAUUGAUUUCUUGGCCUUUUAUAGGCAAUCAUCCCAUGUUUUCUGAGUAUUAUUCAUGCCCCUCAUUUUCGGGUGAUGACGGACCUUCAUGGGUCUCCAACCACCGAAUCGUGGGUAAACGUGGGGCGUCAUGUUCUCCCCAACGGUUUGGGGCAUGACAAAACUGUCGUGAGUUUGUGAGAUCGUGUCCUCUUUCUUUGAAUAAUGAGUACUUGGUCGAUAUGUACAUCUGGUCGGUACUCGUUUCUAGUCGGCAUAUGCCCCGUACAGGAUGUAUUACCAGGAAUCUGCUCGUGCCAUUCAUCUGGGGAGAUUCGCCCCAGGGUGAGGGAAGAGGGGAUAGCUGAGCUGGUACUUUUCAUUACUCAACAAUAUCUAUUAUCUAAAAAAAUAAAAUAAAAAUCUAAAACCAUAGAUUUACUUUUCAAUCUUCGUGAUUUGACUGAUUUCUUUUAAAGCUUUGGUUUCUUUAGAAGUGCAAGGAGAAAUAGUAAUAAGAUUAAAAAAGCAAUGAAGUAAAACUUUAAAAUUUUUGUUUCUUUAUAUUUUUAUCGGUCAUUUUACCGGUACUGGCGUUUGAUUUUCUGACUAAGCUACUGUUUAGUUCUAAGUUUUGGCAAUUACCCGGACUGCUCUCUUUCGUGUAACAUCGACACAAUGAGGCUUUGCAUCUAAAAGUCGGCAGCCACGCAACUUCUUGGAAUCUUCGUGCAAGUGUUGGAUAUCGACCGUUCGAUAAUGACGGCAGCAUUGUUCUGGAGUGUAAUUGACGCAGUGGAAUAAGGAUCACAUGUCUCAAACUUUCGGUGAAGAUAUUGUUAGAUAUUUUAUUGAUUAAGGAUCAUUCUUUGCACUCAUUCUCAAUCAAGAAACGCAUAUGCUUUUGUUCAUUGUAGUCACUGCUGUUUUGUUAUUAAUCUUUGCUCCCUUUUGCUGUCAACUCUCUUGAAUUUCACUGGAUCAACUUUUCUCUUGGCAUCUGCUUUGUUGUAAUCUCCAGUCUUUGUUAAUUAGUCUCUCCGCUCGCAAUCCAGUUGUUGAACUAGAAACCUUUUCCUUGUUUCCAUCUUCUCAGCAGAUCCAUAACAGCUAUUACGAUUUCUUUCAUUUCUCCUCGUCCACAACCAGAUAAACUGUCCAUCUUUGCGUUUCUUUUUCUUUUUCUCCUCACUCUCUCUGUGUUUCGCUCAUUGUUUAUUUUCUUGUCAGAAACUUCGAAAAAAAGAAAAGGGAUUCAGGAUGGUGGAAAGCAUUGUUACUAUUGUUUUAGAAUUUGUGAAAUGCUUGGCUCCUCCAACAGAACGCCGACUUGGUUAUUUGCGUACUAUAAAGCCAACGUUGAGAAACUCGAGGCAGAAAUAGACAAGCUCAAGGAUGAAAGGAGAAGCAUUCAGCACAGGGUUUCUGAGGCUGAAAGAAAAGGGGAAAAUAUUGAAGAGAAGGUUGAGAAGUGGCUGGUUAGUGCGAACAUCAUCAUUGAGCAGGCAGCCAAAUUCAUUGAUGAUGAGAAGACAACAAAUAAACGAUGUCUCAUGGGCUUGUGUCCUAAUUUGAAGACCCGCUAUCAGCUUAGCAAGAAAGCAGAAACAAAGGUGAAGGCCAUUGUUAAACUCCGAGAAGAAGCUGGGAGAUUUGUUGAUGGAAUUUCCUACCGUACCAUUCCGGAGGAUAUAUGGCUCAAGUCUCACAAAGGCUACGAAGCCUUCGAAUCAAGACUUUCUACUUUAAAGGCCAUACAAAAUGCAUUGAUCGAUGUUGAUGUCAGCAUCAUUGGGGUGUACGGCAUGGGCGGCAUUGGAAAGACGACACUGGUGAAGGAGUUUGCAAGGCGAGCCAUUGAAGACAAGCUUUACGAUAUGGUGGUUUUUUCGGAGGUUACCCAAUGUCCAGACAUAAGAAAGAUCCAAGAGGAAAUUGCGGAAACGUUAGGCCUAGAGUUGUCCGAGGAAGCUGAGUCUAGAAGAGCUAGUAGACUAUAUGAAAGAUUGAAGAAUGAGAAGAAGAUCCUUGUGAUUCUCUAUAACAUGUGGAAACCUCUUGAUUUGGGGACUAUUGGCAUUCCUUUUGGAGUUGAGCACAGAGGAUGUAAAUUAUUAUUCACAACAAGAGAUCUUGAUGUGCUGUUAAGGAUGGGAUCUGAAAAAAACUUCUCGAUUGGCAUUUUAAAUGAACAAGAAGCCUGGAGAUUGUUCAAGAUAAUGGCUGGUGAUUAUGUUGAAAAUCGUGAGUUAAAAUCUGCAGCAACAAGUGUAGCCAAGGCAUGCGGAGGUUUGCCUAUUGCCCUAACCACAGUAGCAAAGGCACUGAGAAAAAAAGAGCUGCCUGUGUGGAAGAAUGCCUUGCAAGAACUCCAAACGCCUUCAGAGGCAAGCUUCGACGAAGGAGUACCAGCAGAGGCAUACUCAACAAUUGAGCUGAGUUACAAGUACUUAAGAGGUGAGCAACUCAAGAAAACUUUUUUACUGUGUAGUCUUAUUACGCCAGCACCAAUUAUGGAUUUGUUCAAAUACAGCAUGGGCUUGGGUGUAUUUAAAAGUGUCCAUAAGCUAGAAGAUGCACAUAACAAAUUACAUGCAUGGGUCCAUCAACUAAGAGACUCUUGUUUGUUGCUUGAGGAUGGUGGCAGUAAAUACAUUUCUAUGCACGAUGUUGUUCGCGAUGUUGCCAUUUCAAUUGCAUUUCGUGACAUGAAUGCAUUUGUGGUGAGAAAUGAGGAUGAUUGGAAAUGGCCAAAUGCAGAUGAAUUAAAAAAAUAUUUUGCAAUUUCUUUUAAAGAUAGUAUUGUUAAUGACAUUCCUGAAGGGUCGGAAUCUCUACAACUUGAACUUCUAUUCAUGUCUCCCAAGAACUCUUUUGCUGUGCCUAAUAUUCCUGAGAACUUCUUCAAAAGGACGAAAAAGCUUCGGGUUUUGGAUUUGACUAGAAUGCGGUUAUUGUCAUUGCCAUCUUCAAUUGGUCUUCUAGUAAAUCUUCAGACACUUUGUCUUAAUCAAAGCAUUUUGGGAGGCAUAGACAUAGCCAUUAUUGGAAAGUUGGAAAAUCUAGAAAUCCUUAGCUUUUUGCAAUCUGAUAUUGUAGAGUUGCCUAAAGCACUGGGUCAACUGACUAAGCUAAGGCUGUUAGAUUUAACAGACUGCUUCCGUCUGAAAGUUAUUGCCCCAAAUGUCAUAUCGAGCUUAAUCCGAUUAGAAGAAUUGUAUAUGGGUAAUUGCUUCAUUGAAUGGGAGGUUGAAAGAGCCAACAGCAAAAGAAGUAAUGCUAGCCUUGACGAAUUGAUGCAUUUACCUCGGCUAACUACUCUAGAAAUUGAUGUUAAAAAUGAGAGUAUGUUACCAGAAGGCUUUUUGGCCAGAAAGCUCGAAAGGUUCAAAAUACAUAUUGGAAAUGGGUUAUUCAUGCAUCCCAUGCUUUUUGGACAACAUUGGUUUAAAAGUCAGCUGCACUUUUUGAUCGACAGUAAUCGCAAGAUUUCAAGAGAAUUGGAGCUCAAGCUUGAUUUUAUGGACAUUUGCUCCAUGAAAUUGCAAGGCAUCAAUAACGUUGAAUACUUACGGUUGGACAAGCUGCAAGGCAUCGAGAAUGUUCUUUUCAAUUUGGACACGGAGGGCUUUUCACAAUUGAAGGUCCUCUGGCUUCAAAAUAAUCCUGACUUCUUUUGUAUCGUCGAUUCAAGGGAGAUGGUCGCUUGUGAUGCCUUUCCUCUGUUGGAGUCACUUGCCCUUCACAAUUUGAUCAACAUGGAGAGGAUAUGUAUUGAUCGGCUCAAAGUAGAGUCUUUCAACGAACUCAAAAACAUAGAAGUAUAUAAUUGUGAUAAGUUGAGUAAUAUCUUUUGGCUCUACUACAAAAUGCCUUCCAAGACUUGAGAGAAUUGCAGUUAUUAAUUGCAGCAAAAUGAAAGAGAUUUUUGCAAUUGGGGAAGAAGUUGAUAAUGCAAUUGAGAAGAUAGAGUUUGCUCAAUUAAGAUCUUUGAGUCUGGGGAAUCUUCCAGAGGUUACAAGUUUUUGCCGUGAGGUGGAGACUCCUUCAGCAUCACCGAACAGACAAGUGUCGCAAGAGGAAUCGACGACUAUGUAUUGCUCCAGCGAAAUCACUUUGGAUAUUUCAACUUUGCUUUUCAAUGAGAAGGUGCGUAGGCUAACAUUUUAUUCAUAUAUAUAUAUAACAGAGUUUAUUCUAUCAUGCGUUCUCUUAUGUCAAACGUGGAAAAUAAUUAAAUCAUUUAGAGAAUUGAAAGAAAAUGAAAACAAUGAGGAAAAAAAUAAUCUCACGCACUCACUAAUUGAGCUCUUAACAGGUAGUAUGAAUUAGAAUGUUAAUUUGUAAUCAAAGAGAAAUUUUCAACAAGAAAUUCUUAUCUUUUUAGGUUGCGUUGCGUAACUUGGAGGCUUUGGAGAUAUCUGAAAUUAAUGUCGACAAGAUUUGGCACUACAAUCAAAUUCCAGCGGCAGUGUUUCCUCACUUUCAAAGUUUAACACGAUUGAUUGUGUGGGGUUGUCACAAAUUAAAAUACAUAUUUUCAGCGUCUAUGAUCGGAAGCCUUAAGCAGCUCCAACGCCUAGAAAUACGCUCCUGUGAGGAUUUACAGGAGAUCAUCUCUGAAAACAGAGCAGAUCAAGUGAUCCCUUAUUUUGUCUUUCCACAGCUCACCACUUUGAUACUCCAUGAUCUACCAAAACUUAGAUGUUUGUACCCUGGAAUGCAUACUUCGGAAUGGCCCGCCCUAGAAAUUCUUUUAGUGUAUCGUUGUGACAGAUUAAAGAUAUUUGCGGCAGAUUUAUCGCAGAAUAAUGGGAAUGAUCAACUUGGUAUUCCUGCACAACAGCCCCUAUUGCCAUUGGAAAAGGUAUGAAGCCAUUUUCUAGAUUUUUUAUCUAUAGCUUAUUUUUAACUUUGAAAAAUAUGACAAAGUAUUGAUAAAUUAAUGCUCAAUAAAUUGAAAACUUUUAUUAUACAAUAAUCUUUGCUAGUCUAGACUAAGGGAUCAAUGUGGUAGAUUAAUGAUUAUAUAAACUUUUUUAGGUAUAGCAUUUGUAAAAGAAUCUUGAGUCUUUCCAUAUAGAAGAACUUACAAAAUAAAUUAGUAAUUUAUUAUUGUGCAGUAAAAUAAUUUCGAGUCAGUAUAAAUCAACCUUUUUUCCCUAAUUUCUUUUUUACCUCUAAAAUUAACAUAUAAAAAAUCAUUUAAUAAAUUUUAUCAAUAAUUCAAUUUUUUUAAAUAUAAUAUAAAACAAAUACUAUAAACUCACUGCUUAUGAUUGGAUUACUCAAAAUCAUUUGAGAAAACAUCAAUUGACCUUAUUAGUUAUUAUGAUUGAUGAUGAUCAGAUCUUACCCAACUUGACGGAACUAUCACUAUGCGGAAAAGACGUGAAGAUGAUUUUGCAGGCCGAUUUCCCACAACACCUUUUUGGCAGUCUUAGAGAUCUAGGGAUUGCUGCUGAUGACUCAGCUUGUUUUCCAAUCUGGAAUGUACUGGAGAGAUUUCACAAUCUCGAAAUGCUCGUACUGUGUUAUUUUUCAUUCCACGAAGAGGUAUUUUCGAUGGAAGGAUGCUUAGAGAAACAUGUGGGGAAGUUGGCAAUGAUAAAAGAAUUAGAGCUGUACCGGCACUAUCAUCUGAAGCAGCUGUGCAAACAAGACACCAAAUUUGGCCCCAUCUUUCAGUAUCUUGAAAUUCUAAGAGUAUAUCAUUGUCAAAGUCUGUUAAUUCUAUUGCAAUCAUCAUCGGUAUCUUUUGGGAACCUAACAAAACUUGUAGCUUUCGAUUGCAAGAAAUUGAUACACUUAGUAACAUCCUCCACAGCAAAAACUCUAGUGCGACUCGUAUCACUUUGUGUAUACGGAUGCAGAGCAAUGACAGAGGUGGUAAUAAAUGACAAAGACGGGGUUGAAAAAGAAGAGAUUGUUUUCCGCAAAUUGAAGAGGUUGGAACUGCGUGAUUUAGACAGCCUCACAAGUUUCUGCUCUGCCAAUUACACCUUCAAAUUCCCAUCUUUGCAAGAUCUAUCUGUGAUUGGUUGUCCCAAAUUCAAGAUUUUCACUACAGGAGAAUCAAGCACGCCUCCGAGAGUAAACGUCUGGUAUGGAGAGACAUCGAAUCAACGGCGUUGGGCUAGUAAUGAUCUUAACACGACCAUACAACAAUUACAUGCUGAGAAGGUACGGAUAUACGUGUUACUCUCUAUCUCCCAUGGAAAAAUUUUACAAAAUUUGCUUUUUCUUUUUAAAUAAAAUAUGGAUAAGAUAUUUGUUAUAAAGUUAGUUUAAAUUGAUGAAUAAGAAUUUUAUUUUCAGCUGUUGGCGGGGUCGUCGUCAUACUCUGUGGAUUACGACUAAUUUCAUAGGCUUCUUAUGACUUGGAGUUACGAAUUUGAAGAAGAAAGUCCCAGCUGGUAAUUAAUUCUUAUUUUAUUUAUUUGAUCUCGUGGGUUGUUUCACAAUUUCAUCUCAAUUGUUUAGAAUGGGUCACUUGGUUUACUGUCAAUAUGGAAUGCACUUUUCAUGAUUCGUUCAGGCUUUUAUGGGCAGAUUUUGCGUCAUUGAGCGUCUUUUGGUCUAAUUUAAUUUAAUUUGAGUAUUUUGUUUUGAGAGUUCCCUUGUUCUCUAAAAUUUUAUAAUUCCUUGCAAGCAUUUUAUGUUGAAAUUUCAAUAAGAGGGGCAACACUUGCAUGUUGAAAGUGUUCAGAUUUUAUAAUUCCUUGAAAUCAUGCAAACUUUUUUCUUUCUUUCCUUGCCAAUUAUUUAUUGUCAUCGUUACUGUUCCGUUAAAUUUGUUUGUGCUCUGUUUGUUCAUUGGAAACUUGGAAGGCAACGAAAGUACUUAAGAGAAUGUUCUUGCCUAUUAACACAUAAUUAAGAACAGCUGAAUAUCAUUCAUCGGAUAAAAAAAAAAAAAUCUAAUUAGCCCGUCAUGCCUACAACAAAUGCUUAAACCAUCAAAGGUUAGCUAUGAACAAAUAUAUUAUGGAAAUAUUGUUUUAAAGCAUUCGAUAGAAUUUUCAAAAAUAUCAAGUUUUCACAAACCAAAAAGGGAACUAAUUUGGUCUAGUUUUGUUACAAGUAUAGAAGUACAAUAUUUUGUCUGUUAUUCUUGUUAAAAUUCUCAGCUCUGUGUUUGUAGAAUGUCUGGAUACUGAUAGAGAUUCAAGUCACUCUUCUUCUGUACAACAUUCGAAAUGAAGCCUUUUUUCCCCCUCCAUUCAAAUUUUAUGUUGUGAAGGGUUUCCGUUUCCAUCUUCAUGUGAUUUACUUCACCGUGUCGCUACAUCUAUGAUAGUGUGUGUUAUAUCCUGUCUGUUUCCUUUAUUUGACCAUCGAAAGUUCAAAGACAGUUUAUUCUAAAUAUGUGUAAAUUCAUUUUCUGUAUAAGCUCUUUGUAUGCAUUUUGACAUUUUAUUCUCAAUAUGUAUGACUUAAUGAGAGGUCUUUUGUUAUACAUAUGUCCCGAAUUUCUUGUGUAUUUUUAGAUUUGAUGAUGUAUUCUUGUCUCAUUGCAAGGUCUUAUAAUCACUGAUUCUCAUUUCUCGUAUACAUACGUAUAUAUGGGCAAGAAAUUUGGUAAAUGAUCUAGUCAUUUUCUCAGUAAAACAUCUAGUACUUUAUAUGUUGGAAGGGUACUAAGCAGCAGGCCAAGAUUUGUCAACUCAAAGAUCGUCAUGUCAUUUUUUAAAAAUAUUAAGGAAUUCUAAGGAACCUCAAGAGAAAAUUUAGAAAUACUAUAGGGACUACUUCUGCAUUGUUCAUUUUCGUAAUUACGUUCAUUAUUAUUUUUUUUUUUUCAAUUAAUCAAACUUCAGUUCCUUAGCAUUCAUCUAAUUAUGUACUUCAUCUGGAAAUCCUUAAUUUACUCAUCAAAAUGUGAACGCUAAGGAAACUAUGAAAAUAAAUAUAAAACUACUAGCUAAGUUUAUCAUCACAUAUGAUCAGCACUAGACUAUCAAAUAAUCAUAAAAGCAUAUAAAUUCAAGCUACUGUAUUAUUUGUAGCUUUCUAAUUUGUGUUUAUAAAGAAUUUAGUUAUGCAACAAAAAAAGGGGAUACGAAAGUAGCCAUAAAAAAUACUCUGUUUUGUAGUACUUCAACAUAUCUACUGGCUAAGAAGUAGCAUCACAUAUGAAAAUGUCGGCACAAAUACUCAAGCAAGUGCAAGUGUGUGGACGAGCCACUUGUGUUAUCAUGAAACUUAAUAUAAGUAUCAAAAGUUGGUGGAUUAUUGUGGUUUUCCUGCUUUAUCGUUUUUGGUUGAAUAAAAUAAUAUAAAGCUGUCGAUUCUGCAUUAAAGCAUAUGAUUUGUGAAGAUAUGAAUACCACAUCUUUCCAACUCCUCAACUCUUGAGUAAUUACUAGGUUCCCACCCAUGCAAACAUAUUUUCUUUCGAGAAAAAGGGAUGCCUGAUUCAGGGCAUCCGUUGCCUCGGUUUAUUUGAUUUUGUUUGGUUCAAUUGUGGUUCUGUUAUUUAGUUUUUCCUCUGAUGGUUCUGUUUCUCUGUAUAUUUCACUGGGUUUGCUUUGCUUCACAUCUUUCUUUCAAAACUAAGAAGGCAAGGAAAGAGAGUACUUAAUUAGAAAAUGCAAGAAGCAUAUAUUAAAUAUGCAUAUGGCUCAUGCUCUUGCCUAUGAACACAUAAAGAACAACUGAAUAUCCUUCGUCGGAUAACAAAAAAGAAAAUCUAAUCAUCCAUUUAUCCAUACAAGAAAUGAUACCAUUACUUUUAGCAAAUUGAAAGUGUUGUAUCUUUUUUAUUUAAAAAGUCUCUUAAGAUUUUUAUUUUUUCCGGUAAUUACACCUCCAAAUUUCCACAGCUAUAAUGUCAAUUUGUAAUUAUUUGUCCCAAGAUGCAGAUUUUCACUAGAGGAGAAUUAAUAAUUACGCUAUUUCGGCCCAGAGGACCAUGAAGCCCCUUGGGUUGUUGACAUUAACACUAGUGCGUUUACCAACCUAAACCUUCGGUUUGGUCAACAGUGUCUAAAUUGAACCUAUGGUGAAUGGAGGAAAAAGAAAAAGAGAUUUAUUAGAAACCUCCCCUGAAGUUUGAUAUAUUUUUAGUUUAAUAGAUUAUAUUUGUGUAUUCUCAAAUACCUCCCCUGCUGCUAGGGUUGGCAAUAGGACGAGAUAUGAUAGAAUUUACCAAUUACAGUCCCAUCCUGUAUAUGUAAAUGGGAUUAAAAAACAUAUCAGUCCUGUCCCUAUAUUUGUUUUUAGGACAAAAAAUAUAUCCUAAUCUCGUCCAAAAAGAGAUAGAAUCCUGUAGGAUCUCAUCCCAAUUAGAAAAUUUUUUAUUCUUAAUCGAUAAUGAGACGAGAUGGGACAGAAUUUGUCAAUCCUACUCCCGUCCUGCAUAUGUAAUUGGGAUAAAAAAAAUCUCACUCCCGUCCUUAAAUUUUUUUAUGGAAUAAAAAUAUGUCCCAAUUUCAUCCCAUCAAAAAAAAUUAUCAUUCCUAUCUGGCGCUAGUAUACCUUUCUUAAUACCCCUAAUUUAGAAAAAAAAAAUUUGUAUACUGAAAAUAAAAAAUUGUUGGUUAGUACCAGCAUGUUUGUUUUGGUGCCAAGGGAUGUGAAUGCAAUGAAAAUAUCAAAUCAUCCCCGUUACUUUCCAAAAUGACUUUGAUAAAUGAAACAAACAAAAGAUUUAAGUCAAAUAUCAAAGAAUCAGAGGGAAGCUGUUUUGCACUGGCCUAAUUGCUAUGCUGUCUGAAUCAAAUUUCGUUCAAUCUUGGUGUCCCUCUUUUAUUCAAUAUAAGAAGAAUGAAAAAAGUAGGUUGUUUUUUACACAAGUGAUAGAAAUACUUCUGAACUUUAGACAGUGUAACACCAUACACAUCAAAGAAAUAAGACAACAAACCAAUUCCCAUACAUAAAGCCAACAAAAUUACUAUUUAGUACAAGAGAUGCAACAUAAUUUUAAAUUUUAUUCCUCAAGAGCUACAAGUGAUACAAAUGAGUACACAAAUCAACCAUCUGUAGCUUAACCAGAAGUUGAUGCGAAUGCAUGAAAAUGAAAAAAGCCUACGAAUAGUAUACAUGGUAAGUAUGACUAAGUAAAAUAACAAUUCUGAUUGAUAAUACCACCAGCAACAGGACCUUCAUACCCUCUCUUUAUUAAUCACUAGUUGGUAUGCUAUAGCCCAGCCAAGUGUAAAAUGAAUGGCGAUCGAGCUCUUGAGCCUCUUUAUACCCUCCAUAAGUUGUCCUCAACUUCAUCAAGGACUGCAAAUAUAUUAAGCAAUAGAAAAAUAAUCGUGAUACAUUGAGUAACAUAUGGAGCAUGCACCUGCUUUAUAAAUAUCCAAGAGUCUGAAGAUAGAUACAUGGAGCUUGAUUUGCCAAAUGAUCUAUCAAAAAAGCCUCAGUGCAAAAUCUUCAUCCAUAUUCCAAACAAAACCAGGCAUAUCAAUCCUCUGCCAGGCGACAAUCCUAUAUAUGUAAAGCUUCUUAACAGGGAGCUCCGGCCUUUAAUCUGGGGGUCUCCUCUCGUCAAUAACUUAAACAUUCAGCGUGAUUUUCCAAAGACACUGCAAUUUUCAUUUAUAACUCAAACAAAUAAGACAGGACUUAUCUAAAGACACUGCAAUUUUGGACAUUGGCUAACAAGUGUGAUUAGGUCAAGACUUUGUAUAGUGGCAUAGCUCAUAUUCAAGGUUAUUAGGCCAGAGCAAACAAAAUUGACAGAUCACACUAUUUGAGACCAUAAUCAGGUUGCAUCUACAACUCAUUUUCCAAAAUUAUACCAAUCUCUAACCCAGUACAUUGCUAAUCAAUAUUCCUGAUUAAUAUAGGCAGCAAUGACUGUAUAAACAAUUAUUUCCAGCCAACCAGGUAUGCUAGAAGCCAAAUCUAUAGUAGAGAAGGUUUUGCAGAUCUCCUAAAAAAAAAUCUCAUCUUCAAUUUAACAAAAACUAGCAUGAAUCUCUGUUCAAUAAUCAGCAGUAAUACCUUAAACAAAUAAAAAAAUUUCAGAGCCAUUUUCAAUCUGUCACACGGCAGCAUAACAAAUCACAAGCCAUUUUCAAUCAAUCACAAGCUAACAUGCAUUUGCAACAAUCAUUCACCUACAACUAACAUUAAUCGAUGGAAAAAAAUGUAAGCGACAGAAAUACUCUAAAAAAUUUUCGAGACCCAUUAUUCUUUUUUCUAUUUUUUUACCAAAUAGAGUGACCAUGUCGUGCUGUGAAAUUUGAUAAGAAACCUCGACGUGUUUGUUUUGUUACUGUUUUGGGACUUUCAUUUGGUUUGCUUGUUAAUUUUAUUAUUGGUUCGGUUUCGGUUUUCAUUCAUCCCAACCGAAAUGAAACCGUCCAAUUUAGGUUAUUGCACAACCGAAUCAAAUAUCGAACCGAAUCUGAUACGGUUCUUCAAUUUUCUGCCCACUCCUACUUCAUGACAAUAAACAACAAAAACAAAAUCCAUAAUAUAGCUUUUGAAUUCUUAAAAGGGGGGAGAAAAAAAAGCACAGGUGAGUAAGCUAUUAAGGUAAGAAGUUGAGAUUAGACACGUAUCAGUAAUAUUGAUAUUUAAAUUUUACUCAAACAACUCUAAUUCAAAAUAUGUAGAAACAAUUCAAAAUAACAAUAAAAAUUAAAAAAAUAUUAUUUCAAGGAAUCCAAACAGGGUAUAUGAUGAGUAUGAUGCUGUUUUAAAUUCUCAACUGAGGAAAAACAGAGAUAGAGAAAGAACAUACUAUCAACACCAGCAAAGGCUUUGGAUUCUUAAGCAGGUGGUGAUGCAUGGUUUGUCAGGAGGUGGAGAUGGAAUUCUGAUUUGUUGUUGGCAAUAGCACACGAUUUUUGGCAGAUUCGGGCGAAAUUACAUUCUUAUAUAGAACCGAGGAAAGGGUGCUGGCCAAUAAAUGAUAAAGGCCUGUAUAAAGAAAGACAAACAAUAAUGUGGGCUUUAGAGAAUCAGAAACUUGAUAGAAGAGAAGGGGAAUAUCAACAAUUAUUUCAGAAGAAAGAAAAAGAAAAAAGCAAGCACGCUUGAAAAUUUUUCAAGAUAAUGAAACCGCAUUAAUUAACAGGUUAAAAUUUUUUGUAAGAUUACUGGUUUCUAAAAAAUUCUAUGAACCUUUCAGUUUCACAGAAAGAGAGAUAAAGACAAAGACAGUAGUCUACAUUAAAAGCACUUAAAAAAUCCAGUGCAGAAUACAUCUCUAAAAGUACUACAAAAUAUAUACAAGUAAAUAUUUAUAAAAGAAGCAUUGAAACGAGUCAGAAUGUGACCCACCGUGUGUCCUUGACUGUAUAUAGCAUUAAAGCAAUACUCCCCUAGUAUGAUAUGCGCACACACAAUUUAUAUAGACGCAUAAAACAAAAACAGCACAAAUCUUAUUAUUUGUCUUGCUAAAACCCAAGAAAUAGCUUAUAAGAUGAAAUGGACUGCCCAUGGUUCAUACAAAGAAAAGAAUAAGCCACAUAUUAAUUGAAGCUAACAACAGACAUAAAAUGAUAAAUGAAAAAUGCUCACCUUCAGAAUGAAGUCAAUGUAAUGAAGAGCUCAAAUUCAGUUCUGCCACCUGAAAAAAUGUGGUAUUCACCAGUAACUUUAACCCCAUUUUGCUAACCCUUAACUUCUGCAAGCUUUGUGUGGGGAAAAUUAUAAUACCAAAUCUAUCCCACACAGCAUGAGAACAAAUCUUAGCCCAAGUGAAUUAAAAGUACUCAAGUAUAUAUUUUAUAAUGCAUAAUAUAAGAUCAUACCCUAUCCCUGCUUUGGGGCCACUUAAUUGAGUGUUUGUAUCCUUCCGGUAAAGGAGCAAUACAGGUACAAGCUUCUUCAGGGCAAUACCUCUCUCGAUGUUCAUAAUGCUUUUGUGCUGGAAAGCAUUCUAAUUGCUUGCAAAUUGUCCAGGCAAGGGAUGCAAUCUGGCCUAGCAGUGGCAUUACACACUUUCCAGCGAUGACCAUACGGGUCCUUAGAUAUAGAAGUUUGUUGUGAUAUUUUCUGAUUCUAUGACUCAAUAGGUUGAGUUAAGCAAGCCCCAUUCUGAGCAUUAGUUUCCUUCAGAAUUUCUGACUAGUCACCAAAAGGAAAAAUCUCAGUUGAAGCCUGAUCCUUUCAACGACUCUCAGUGUCAUUAUCUUGAUCUUGAGAAUCCUUCUCCUUUUCAAUCUGACUAGCCUCAUCCAUUUAUUUUCAUCCAAGCUCUUCUCUGAUUCAAUUUGCUCAAUUUUAUUCAAUUCGCCGCCUUCUGUUUCUCCAGCUUCUGAAUUCGAAUCUCCACCUUCACUUUUAGAUUCCUUAUCUUCCCUUUUUCUAACAUCGUAAUUUUUAGACACCACCUUAGAUUCCUCUUCAGACUCAGUAUUCUCAUCAAAACUCUCCUUCACUAAAUUCUCUUCCUGGUUUUGAUUAACCAUAUUCUUAGAUUCACUCGUCUCACCAUCACCCUCAUACAUAUUCAUCUCUUCGUAAUUAUCUUCCACUCUAUUCUCUAACUUUUCAACAGGAACAUCAUCCCCAUCCCCAUUUGUUGAAUCCUGUCAUUCAUCACCUUGAUUUUCUACGGAAGGCCCAGAAAAAUCUCAGAUACUCUCUGUUUCACUUUGCUUAUAGGCUCUUAAGAGGACAACAUCCUGGAUCCCACACCAGUACAACUGAUGAUGACAUUAACAUCCAAACGCCAACCAGAAAACGACCAACAAACACUACUACAGUAACCAUUGAACAAAGACAAUAUCACAGGUUCUUUAGCUAUUUAAUAUUCCAUCAAAUAUAAUUAUAUAAUACCUACCAAGGAUUUCCGAAUAGAAGGCAUUCUCAUCAUUCUCAUCUCAAGCAGCAACCUCACCAGUAACACAUUUUCAUAUCAUGUUUCCACCACAGGUCGCACAUAUAGAAAGAAUGAAGUAUUAAUUAGCUUCAACAGAGCCUAUUUCUUUAUUUCUUUUUUUCCCAAAUAAACCUUCAUUCUUAUACGUAUAAUUAAAAUAUCAACUGAAUAAACAAAGUCUGUGAUUACUAGUACAACAUUUUCAUUUUCAAGCGGAGCUAGAUAAGAUAUCGAUGUCUGUCAAAUAAACCUAAUUUAAUCUUGAAACCAUAAACUGCACUAAGCAUAGCAGCAAAGCCAGAGCCUGACUAUAAAGAAGAUAAUAUAUAUAUAUAUAUAGAGAUUAAACUUUUGUUUUAUCUUCCACAAGCAAGAAAUUCGACUGGAACAUGAAAUUUUUAACAAUCUUACAAACAUUAUACACAAAUCUCAAUUAACGGCAAAUAGGGGGAUGAAUCACUGACAUCACCCAAUUCAUAUAUUCAAUUAAUGUAUUCCCACCCCAGUCAGCAACGUGCUACCACAGUUGAUUAGUUAUUAGGGAUAAGGCUUACCGCAAAGAACUGAAUGGCGUUAUCUAAAUAAUGAGUUGAAACGGCAUCUGCAAUCGCAUUAAAUGGCAUUGAACCGAAAGGUAGGGUUUAAAUGAAUGUUGGCCUGAGACAAAAGGGCGUGGCAUAUUGGGGUCUUAUGGCUUCGUUUUGUUUCAAUUGACGGAGGGAAGCUGAGCGAAAGCUUUGAUAUGUAAAUUUCAGCUUAAUUUAAGCUAGGGUCUUCUUUCGAUUGAAACAGAAAAAGAUUUUGGGUUAUUAAAGUGAAAGAGAUGGAAUAAUACAAAAAAUUAGCAAAGUGAAAGCGAGGGAAUACAAGAUUUAUUAUGGGUCCUAAGAGCUGAAGGCAAUUCGCCAUGGUUCUGAUAUACGGAAAACUUUCUUAGCUUUAUCGGUGGUGGAAGUGAGGGUUAGGGCUAGGGUUCUACACAAUGUCGUUGAGAAUGGCUCAAAGUUCAUUGAUUUUAGGUUGCGGCGAGAGAGGGGUUUAUUCAACACUUGUCGAUAUUUGGCUGAAGUGUUGGUAUGUUUUAAGUUUCAUAAAAACGACGUCGUUAAUUUAAACGUCAUCAUUUUAAGAUAUUAUAAAUCCACAAAACUUGAGCAUCACUUAUAUCUAUAAUUUAUUUAUGUUAGUUAAGUUAUAAGUUAUGAAUAUGUCAUAAACUCUAAACAUAUGAAUAUAUGCCACACCAAUAAAGUGUUGGCUCCAUUAGCAAUGGAGUCCCCUUAAGUGGCUUGAUUGGGUUUGCUCCUCAGUUCUAGUUGCAGGGAAGUCGCCUUUGUUGAGAGAACUUGUGCCUCCCGGUUCGAGCGGGGACUUCUAAUAUGGGUUGUGGUACGGGCUUAAAAGUGUCUCCCACAAUUGGGGCCCUCCUCAAAAUACCUCGUGGUUAAGACAAAAUAUAUAUAUAUAUAUAUGUCACAAAUCUAUCACACUUUCAUGAUACAUUUGUGACGUAUCGAAGGUUCAUGUCAUUCCUCCGGUGCAACAUUCGAAAUAAGGCCAUUGCCCUUGUGAAAUUUGCAUUACUUCUAUUGAAAAUCUACAUAAUAAGAGCUCUCCCGUUGCAUUUUUCGUUGUUUUGCUUUUGCUUUACUUUAAUGUGUCGCUACAUGAACAAGUAUAUUGCAACAUAUGUACCAUCAAUUUUGCUAUGUCUUAUUCCCAAUUUUAUAUAAUACAAAUCAUUUUGAAAUUAUAAUAACAACAACGGGGUCAAGCACAUUUUGUGUCUUGAAGAUUUGCGAGGGCUCCAUCCUACAAAGUUAAAUUAUUAUUGUUGUUGUUGUUAUUAUUAUUAUUAUUAUUAUUGAUGACGAUGAUGUGCUGUUGAUGUUUUUAUUAUUUGAGAGAUGGUAGAAUAAAGUUAUUCAUUUUGGAGCUUAACAGUGGAAAAUAAGGAAAACAAGAAAAAAGUUGUAUUCGUGUUAAUUUCCUUUGUCAUUUCUUGUUUCUAGAAAUAUUUUUGCUUCGUUUAUUCUAUUUUAUUUGCUUAUUUCAUUGGGCUUGCUUCACAUAUCAUAUCUAUCUUUCUUUCAAAAUUUGAAGGGAAGGAAAGUACUUAGAAAAUGCUCUUGCCUAUGAACAUGUAAGAAAAACUGAAUAUCAUUCAUCGGAUAACAAAAAACACUAAUCAGCGCAUAAUCCCUAGAACAAAUAAUUAAACCAUCAAAUGUUAGCUAUGAACAACUAUAUAUCCUAUCAUAUUUAACUUCUAUUUAUGGUCAUAUCCCUAACAUAUUUAGAGUGGUUUUGGAAUUUUGAUUACAUCUGAGCUUUCUCAAAAGCAGAUGCUGUGAAAUGAAGUUACUAUUUGCUUUUCAAAACUGUUAAUAAUGAUAGUAGUUUAGAAACUUGAACCACCACCUACGUGAGUCUGUGAAUUUCACCUUUUUGUUUGAUAAUUGGAGGUUUUCGUUUAAUGCCUAAAUUCGUAAACUGUGGAAACGUUUGAAAGCAUCUAUAGCAUAUUCAUUAAAAUCACGUUUUCACAAACCAAAAAGGGUACUAAUUUGGUCUCGAUGUGUGAAAAGUAACACCUACCUAGCCAUCCAUCAGGUAAGUGAAUAAGUAUAAAAAUAUUAAUAUUUUCUCUGUAGUUCCUAUUAAAAUUGUCUAUUAUAGUUGCAGAAUGUCUAGGAAGUAUAAAAGGAUGUCGUUCAAACAUGAUUAAGAUAGAAAGGGAAAAAAUAAGUAAUUAUCCAUGGACCACUUCAUCUUUUAGCCUUUAUAAAAAACAUACAAACAUUUUUUAUUGUUUUCAACAAUCCAUCUAAUAUUUACAAACUGCAUCACAGCUCCACUACUAUCAUAACCCUUUAAAAAUGUUGCUUAAUCACGAGAACCUAUUACUUGUAAAUUAUUUUUCAAGCAAAUGCAACAAUAGAUCUAGUUUUGAUCUGGGUGACUUUUAAGUGUACAGAAACGAGGAGAACGACCUUAUGUCAAGUUGAAGGAUUAAGAUAAAUCAAUUACAAAUCCAAACAAAACUUAUGAGUGACAUUUUAGUAUUAAGCAAACCUACCAUAAUUAAUCAUCCAGUGAUAGGUUUGUUUUCAAUUAGAGUAAUGAUAGAUAUCUCAAAAUAUUUUAUCCCAAAUGGUGUGUCAUUACUUGAAUAGUAGGUAAUUCUUUCAAGAUUUGAGUGAAUUAAUUGUAUUAUCUCUUCAAUCUAUUGAUAAAUACCAUAUCAUUUGAGAUAAUUUUUUAAGAUAAAAGAUUUAGGAUGUGUGGCACUACUCAUUAAUUAUGCAACUUAAAUGCAAUUUUUUUAAAACCAUUUAUUUUCAUUAAAUUUUGAGCCAUUAAUGAAAUAAAUAUAAGUAAAGCUAUUUGAACCUACUCAUUUUCUCACUACAUCAUUUAUUUAAUCAAAUUAAAAUUUAAUUUUAAAAUAUAAUUCAUUAAAUUAUUUGUUUGACUUUGUUCUCUCUCUCUCUCUCUCCCUUCCUCUCUCAUUCUCUCCAACCAUUUUUUUUUUGUUUACAUAGACUAAAUAUUUCAAUUAACAAAUAAAAUUGUUAUAAAGAAUAACAAAUUUAACCAUAGACACCAAUAUUAAUUAAUAAACAAAAAAAUUGAAGAGUGAUAGAAUUAAAGUCUGUUAUACCACAAUUUGCUUUACUUUUAUAUUUUUAUUUUAGUGCGGAUAUGAUGUAGACAUUAUUUUAGGAUUUUAUAAUUUUUAUUAUUUUAUCGUUUUCUAUUUUAAUUAUAGUCAACUAUGGUAUAUGUCUUAGUUUUUUUAUUUCUAUUAAAAUUGUGAUUUAGUUUUUCUUUUUAAGUUAACUUAGUGAAGUAGGUUUAUUAUAUUAUAAAUCAAAAUCUUAUUAUUGUAACUUCAACUAUUGAUCAACUAAUAAAGCCCUUUUUAAUAAUUCCCUCUAAAAUUAUUUAUUAAAAUCUCUCUUGCAAAGUUAUUUAGAUUAAAACGUCGUCUAAUCUCGCUUUAUGCGUUAUUAAAAUCUCAUUGAGCCAUUGUUAGAAUGAGAUCUACUCACGUUUCGAUUAGGACGUAAACUAUCCACAUUACCUUAGCCAGUAUUAGAACAAUAGCUAAUAUUUCCGACCUAUCAAUUCCACUUCCGCUAUUCCAAUUUGUUAGUUUGUAUUAGAGUGGUUCAAUGCCAAUUGCACAGUUUUCCUGGCUACCCAUAUCCAUCCCCACCAAAUCCAUCAUUGUUUAUGCAACAAAAAAAUAUUACAAAAUUACAAAACCUUAGCAGCCGCCCACCGCCAUUUCCACUCUCCACUAAUAGUUCAUCAUUGGCUAAUCCAUCUACCAAACUCAUUAGCCACUACUGACCAAACCUUAGCCACUCCUGCCAUCAAUCGCCGCUUGUACCUACUAUAAAUCAUCUAGACCUAAAAAUUGGGAGCAUCCACCAGCUGCCACCGUGAAACCAACCAUCUUCACUGUCAACCAACACCACCACUAAACUUGCUAGAUUCCACUGGUCAUAACUUGACAAAACCCACCAAUGAUCACCGCCAUAAAUCGCCACAACGCUAACCCAAAACCCGGGCUUCACCUAGCACCACCGCAAACGCCACUUUCUCAUUGUCGAUAUCCAAAUCGCAAUUGAAAUCUCUAACAUGAAUGAAGCACCACAUAUGCCAAUUCAAGUCAACUUUUUGACCAAACCACCGUGAAUCCAGCCAAUCCUCGGCCAUUGUCGAGUUUCUCACGACCAUAUCUAGCAAAUCUAACCACUAAGGUCACCAGCCCCAGCGAAAGAAACUCUAAAGGAUAACUUUAAUCUUAGGUGUUCAAGUAAAAUGGUAAUUUUAAUCUUAUGACAUCAACAAGAUUCUAACGAGCUAAGAUGACAGUGAAUAAUUAAUAAACUCUAGGUGGAUUUCUACAAAGAAAAACGUUUCUGUGUAUUUUUAAAAAAGACCCAAAGACUACAUGGUUAGUGGAUAAUUUCCUUUUUUGUUCUUAUUUUCUACUAUUAUUAACAAUAAAAGUUUUUCAAUAGUAAUUGUUCCAACCAUUAUAACAAUUAUUAUUGUUAUUGCUGUUGUUGUUGUUGUUGUACAACAAUUGUGAAAUUCUAUCUACACAACCCAGGAGGGCGGUGAAUUGGCUAUUAAAAUUAUACUUACAAAAAUACAAAACAAAUUAAACAAAUGCUUUAAGAAAUUUAUAAUAGCAAAAUUAAACAAUGAAUGCAAUUAAAAAAAUAAAGGAGAAGAUAACAAACAAACGAAUUUUUAUGUGUUUCGACAAAACUCGCCUAUGUUUAUGCCGCCGAGCAAACUAAGUUUGAGGAUUCCACUAUCCAAACCUUCUCAGGCUCCAAGAUUUUACAAUUGACUUUUAAUGUGUCAAUAAACUUUUAUAGUAGUAAUGUGUACACAUACCUCUUUCCCCAAGUGUUUCCCACACUUAUACUCAUAAAAUUUUGAUAUUUAAUUGAAGAUUACAAAGAUUAAUCUCUAUAAGAGUGUAUAAGCAAAUGAUAACUCAAUAAUGAUUUAAUGCAUGUAGAUAAGUAAAAUGAAAGCUCAAGAUUAGUUGUAUGAACAAGUUUUAACUUAAUUGGGAUUGAAAAAGUUGUUAGAUUUGAGUUUGAUUUGGGUUCUUCUAGUUUAAACAAUCAAACUAGUCAUAAUUGACUUUUUGAGGACCCACUGGAUUGCUGCUAAAAUAAAGAAGUUAGUUGCUAUAUUGAUGUGGCAAGUUACCGUUACAAAUAAAAUUUAAAAACUUUUUUGCCUAAGCAAAUCGUCGCCUGAUUUAAAUGGUUAGCAGCUAUGUUUUUGGACCUGAAGCAGUUAGCCACUAUUCGUUAAGUGGUUAGUCGCUACUGUUUCAAAAUUUAUAGAUUUAAACUAAAAGUUCCUAAAAUUAUACUAUGGCCUAAAAUUUUGAAAUAUUUACAAAUAGGUCCACUUCAAGAAUUUAAUACAUUACUAAUUAAUUUCAAAGUUCUCAAAACUUUUCAGUCCAUAAAUUUGAAAACAAUUAAUUUUAUAAAAUCAUUUUUACUUACGUUUAAAACUUUUAUAUUAUAGAAAAUGAUGAUUUAAUUUGAAAAUUGUAUGAAAAAAUAUCUUGAACUCUUAAAUACUAAAUCAUGCAUAAAUUAAAUCAUAUUAGCUUUACAAGAAAUAUAACUAUGAAGAUUGCUUAAGCUAGUACCUUUAGUAUUCAUCCUUGAUUGUUGUUGUCUAUUGAGUGACUUGAAAUUGAUCUCACUUGAAUGAUUUUUGUCCUUCAAGAACUUGUCAGAUUGUGAGAAAUAAAUUUAUCAUUUUACCUUAUGUGGUUUGUUAUCAUCAAAAUUAAGGAUCAUAUAGCCGUUUACCCCAACAAUCUCUCCUUUUUUUAUGAUGACAAACACCCUAUGUAUUUUGACAUUUCUAUUGCCCCUGAGUAUAUGACAUAAUUCAAAAAAUAUAACCAAAUAUAUAAACUCACUCCCUCUAAGUACAUGAUCCAUAUAAUUGUACAACAUUUGUAAACUCUCCUUGAGUGACUCAGAAAGUAACUAAAAUACUACAAACACUCAAUCAACCCCCAUGAGCCAAAAACAUGUCAAAACACUUCAAAAUACAUGUCAAUAUCUUCUCCCCCUUCAUCAUGAAAAAUCACUCCUCUAUUAUACAAAUAUUAUCAAUAAUUAUCCCCUACAAAGAUCAUCAAUCGAAAAUCCACACAUGACCAUUAAUCAAGUAUCCAUAUACAUAAUCCAUAAUCAAUAAAGAUAAUCCAUAAAGAUAAUUAAUAAAGAUACCACAAUCAAUAACUAGAAUGCAUAAAGAUAAUCCAUAUCAACUCAAGUAUCUAUAAUGCAUAAGUAAAAUAAAAUCCAUCAAGUAUCCAUAAUGCUAAAAACGAAAAUGCAUAUGAUAAAUAAUGUCGGUGCAUAAAACAAGGAAGCAAAAGAGAUAAAAGAAAAUCACUGAUGAGGCAGCAAACAUGAUAAUAAGGAUGGUGGCGAAAAUUUGAGAGCAAUGAAAAUAAGCUGGUGAUGGUCUAGAAUUUGUUGUUGUUGAAGAAAGAGACGCUGCUGCUCAGAAAGAAAAUGAUCCUGGAAUGCUGCGAACGAUAUCUUAAGUUCGUUUUACUGUUCGGAUAUGGAACGCACUUUAUUCAACAACUGCUGGAUUGGGUUAUUGGGAAUGGCUGAAGAUGAUGAUGGUGGAGCAUCAGAAGGCCAAUGUAGAGCUUGUGACCUCAGGGAAGAACUAAGAUCAAGAACCCAGUAAGGGGAAGCACAUCGUUAAAGAUGCAAUGAUAAAAAAGAGCCAGCUUUGUGGGUUUUCUCAACAAGUUCUAAUUUUUAACCUAUUGGUCAUCUACCCACCCAAAUCCUAAGCUAGCAAUGACCUCAUCCCUUAACUCCUUGGGUUCAUCAUGAGAUGGUUCAGCUAUAGGGACCCAAAAAUAUUGAAGGAUAUGGGUAAUGACACUACCAACCGAAAAGGAUAGGUUUCCUAUACUCAGUGUAUUAAGCAUGUGCUGAAUGAUAAUAUUCUCACAUUUAGCUUUUACCCUCAAGGAUGCUAUCUAAUAAAGUAACAUCUAAGCGUGUAACCUCAGCACCAUGUCCCUUGUGAGGACUGAUCACAAGCUGAAGGACAUUAUGUAGGAUCCGAACUUGAAGAGGCAACACUUGUGAUCUAAGAGAGGAGUUAAAAAGCUCCAUGGAUAGAUCAGAUCACCUACAUAUGUUUCGAACAUCUAUGUUUCAAAUAUCAUCUACAACUAAAUACCAGGGAUAAUCAAUUUUAAUCCUAGAUGUAUACAAAUGCAACCUAUCAUCUAGGAUUCAUGUUUAAAUCUUCUACAGUAAACUUAAUAGGAAUCCCAAUAACAUUAGUAAUAAUCAUGUUGGCAAUAUUUGUAGAAAUAAGCAUGUUCGAAUAAAAUACUCGUACCAAAUUAGGACAAAUAUGUUCCUUAAGAACUAAGACAUUUGUCCAACCCAAUUCAGCAAGUAAAGUUCUAAGAUUUUUGCUACAACUUGAAAAAUUUUCUAAUUAAUCAAGAUUAACAUAUAUAGUAUGGGAGGACUGACCUUGUCAUAAAUCGAUCAGAGAAUCAUUCCAUUGAGGCAGAUUUGGGAAGUGGGUGGAAAUGAAUUUCAAAAUGUCUUUAUGAAUCUUUUUUUUUUUACAUUUUAGGCAUAUGCUUACCCUUGGACUUCUCACCACUAGCCAUUAAGAAAUUAUCAAAAUGUGUCCAAAAUUGCACAAAUUCGAGUUCACAAAGUUUUUAAAGAAAUAGAUGAUUUUGAACCGAUUAAAAUGUUCUUUGAGAAGAUCUAAGGAAUGUAUGGGUUUAUUUUGGUCGAAAAUGGUCAAAUAAUGGUUCAAAUUUGAGAAUGUUGAAACUGGUGACUUAGGCUUUAAGAUUUUGAGAGAAGAAUGAUUAGAUUGUGUUUUAAAAGCAAAUGUGUGAAGAUUAAUUGAUGGGAAAUGAUUUGGAAAGUUUAAUUUGACACAAAAGUGAUGUAAAAAUGGAAGAUUUUAGAGAGAGAGUAAAAGAAAUGAGAGAUGACAGUGAUAGAGAGAGGGUAACAACUGAAAGUAGGAAAAAGAAGAUGAACAACAUUUGAAAAUGUGAAGCCAGCUAGCCUCUUGAAGAAAGCGGUUAACCGUUUCAUUUUUAGAAACCAAGCAAUUAACCGUUUACUUUGAGCCGGCUGGCCAGCUAGUUUCUGCCUCACAAUUGGCUAGUCGCUUGUGGUUAACGGUUAGCUAGUUCCUCUAAAUUUUGCAUGAUUUUGCUUUUUGGCCAAAAUUUAAUUAAUUUUGAGACCAUUUUGUGAUCCCGAAGUAUUUCAAAAGCCAUUUUUAAUGCAUAAGAUAUGAUGAUAAAUAUUCAAAGAAGUAAAUUCAAGCAUAUAAAACAUUAAAAUCAAGUUUUUAUCAUACAAUCAAUCAAGAUAGAAAAUCAAGCAAAUUUGUAGUCUCAAUAUCAUGCAACGAAAUAUUGAUGUGAAAAUGUCAUCAUUCCAAACUCAAUCCAAAUCUUUGAAAACUAUUCUUCACAAAAAGGCUUUGUAAAAAUAUCAACAAGUUAUUUUUCUAUAGAAACAAAUUCUAAAGCAAUAUCUCUCAUUUGAACAUGAUCACGUGAGAAAUAAUGCCUAGUUUCAAUAUGUUUGGUCCUAGAAUGUUGAAUGAGAUUCUUUGACAAAUUUAUUGAGCUAAUAAUUUAUAUGAGUUCCCUUAGACCAAGAUCAAUUGUUCCUCAUAAAUAAUGAAAAAUUAUUUUAACCGCAAGCAAAUGAGAUUCUUUGAGAUAUGGUUGAAAUCAUGCACACAAACAUACACUAAAGUAAUGUCUACUAGCAGUAAAGUAAAGUAAAGAUAUGAUCAUACCUCGAUAUCUUUUGAUACAACAUCUUUACUUUUUUUAUCCUUAUCGAGCUUGAUUGUAGUACUCAUUGGAGUGUCCUUAGUCCUGAAUGCAAAAUCUUUUGAGUAGAUCUCUGAAAUACUUGGCUUGAUUAAUGAAUUCUUUUUUUCUUUUAAAUUUUAAGUCCAAGAAAGUACUUCUAUUCUCCCAUCAUGCUCAUCUCAAAUUCUCUACUCAUGCAAGAUGAAAAUUCCUUACACAGAAACUCAUUAGUAGAACUAAAGAUAAUAUCAUCAAUAUAAAUUUGAACAAGUAUACCUUGAUCCUUGUAUUUAACAAAUAGAGUAGUAUUCGCUUUACCCAUUGAAAAACUAUUUUCUAAAAGAAAUUUACUAAGUCUAUCAUAUCAUGCUCUAGAUGCUUACUUUAAACUAUAUAAAACUUUGGACAACUUGUAAACAUGAUCCAAAAACAUUUUUCGUUUUUAAAAUGAGGGGGUUGUUUCACUUAAGCUUCUUCAUAAUACAACUAUUUAGAAAGGUGCUUUUAGCAUCCAUUUAAUAUAAAAUAAAAUCAUUAUGAUAUGCAAAUAAUAAAAGCAUGUAAUGGAUUCUAAUCUAGAUACAUGUGCAAAGGUUUCAUCAAAAUCAAUUUCUUCUUUUUGGUUGCAUCAUUGAGCUACUAAUCUAACUUUAUUCCUUACAACCACACUAGAUUCAUCGAUUUUAUUCAUAAAUACCCAUUUACUGCUUAUUACAGAUUGAUGUUAUGGUUUAUGAAUAAGUUUCCAUACAUUGUUUCAUUCAAAUUGAUUUAACUUUUCUUGUAUUGCUAUAAUCCAAGAUUCAUCAUUUUCCACAUCUGAAAAAGAUUUUGGUUCAACUUGAGAUAUGAAUACAGUAUGUUCACAUGUAUUUCUAAGUGAUUAUCUAGUAGUUAUACCUCAUGAAGGAUCUCCUAAGAUUAAGUCUUAGGGUGUGAAGAGACAUACCUUAGCUCCUUGGAGCGUGUUUGUGAAUUACCUUCAUUUUGAAUCUGUUUAACUUGUUCUUCUUGUUGCUUAUCUUGAUUUUUACCUCGUAAAUCAUCUUGUUUGUCUUUUAAAGACUUUUUGUUUUGUAACUCUUCAUAUGCAUCAUCAUCAACAACAACUUCCUUCAUAGAAGAAAAGUUAGAUUCAUCAAACAUAACAUGUAUAGAUUCUUUAGUGACCAAGGAUCUUUUAUUAUACACUCUAUAAGUUUUGCUUGUAUUUGAAUACCCAAGAAAAAUAUCAACAUCAGAUUUUAGAUUAAAUUUACCAAGAUUGUCUUUUGUAUUCAAUAGAAAACAUUUGCAACCAAAAACUUUAAAAUAGUCAAUGUUUUUUCUAUUUUUCCAAAGCUCAUAAGGAGUUUUAUUUAGGUAAGGUCUAAUCAAUGCACGAUUUAAAAUAUAACAAACAAUGUUGACGGCUCCAACCCAAAAAUAUUCUAGUAAAGCAUUUUCAUUUAACAUGGUCCUAGCCAUUUCUUGGAUAGACCUAUUCUUUCUCUCAACUACUCAAUUUUAUUGUGGAGUUCUUGGUGACAAGAAUUGAUGCUCAAUGCCAAAGUUAUUGUAAAAAUUUUCAAAAUAUAAUUUUCAAAUUCUCCACCAUGAUCACUUCUAAUGCAAGAAAUAACAUAUCAUUUUUUAUUUUGAACCUUUUUAUAGAAAUUUUGAAAGCAUUAAAGGUGUCAUCUUUAUUAGUUGAGAGUAAUACCAUGUGUAUAUAGAAUAAUCAUCUAUAAUUAUAAAUGCAUAAUAUUUACCACUUAAACUAGCAUAUUUAGAAAAUUCAAACAAAUCCAUGUGAAAAAGUUAAAGUGGUUUUGAAGUAGAAAUAUGAAUUUUAUUUUUAAAGGACGUUUUAUUUGUUUUCUAAAUUGGCAAACUUCACAAAUUCUAUCUUUUUUAGAACCAAUUUUUAGAAGACCUAUAACCAAAUCAUUUUAAAAAAAUUUUGAAAUCAAAUCCAUGCUCGCAUGACCUAGUCUUCCAUGCCAUAUCAACUAUCAUCAUGUAAUGUGAAAAAAAUAUUUAUCAUGAGUUGAUACACUAUCUAUAUCAAUGGUGUAUACAUUAACACAUCUUUAUCUAACAAAUAAAACUUUGCCAUCACAUGCAUUUUUAAUAACACAUUUUGUUUUAUAAAAAAUAACUCUAUAGCCUUUAUUACAUAAAAAUAACUUUGUAACCUUUAUCACACAAUUGACUAAUACUAAGCAAAUUCUAAAGCAAUAUAUUUCAUUUUUCUUUUUCAAAUCAUUUACAAGUAAACCUUUAUUCUUAGAUGAAACAUUUUGUUUUUUCUUUAAAAGAUGCAAUUUCUUCACAAAUACUUCUAGGCACUUAAUCUUUUUAUUCAAAGUGUCAUUCUCAUUUAAAAGUUCUACUUUUUUCUUUCCAAGAGAAACAUUUUACAUUUCAAUCUUCUUUAAAUCUUUAUGCAAUUUAGAGAAUACUUCAAACAACUCAUCCUAAGAGGUUUACCUCAUCAAGUUCAUCUUCUAUAAUCAUCUCCUAUAACCAUAAGUGCCAAAUUUGACACUUCAUGGGACUACUCUUCAUCUAUAGUCUCCUUAUCGCUAUCAUCCCGUGUUGCUACCAUGGCUUUCUUCUUUAAUUUUUUGAGAAAAGGACAUGCUAGUUUUAUGUGUCUAGGCUUCCUGCAUUUAAAGCAAGUAAUUGCCUCCUUCUUCUCUUUCUGAUUUUUGAAUUUCCUUCGCUCGAUGGAUUUCUUGAAAAUUAUUUUGAAUUUUCCAGCUAUCAUAGCCAUGUCUUCAUUUUCGAUCUCACUUUCGUUGUCACUUCUAGAUCUUGAUGCUUUUAAGGAAAUACUCUUCUUCUUCUCGUCUUCAUUAUAUUUUUUAGUUGUCAAAUCCUUUUCAUAAGAAAUAAAUGAACUAAUUAAAUCAUCAAUAGAUAAAGUAUCCUUGGCUUCCUUAAUGGCAAUUUUCUUAGGUCUCAAUUCUUUUGGUAAAGACCUACUGAUUUUUUUUACCUUCUCGCUGUUUGAAAAGGUUUUUCUAAGAGUUCCUAAAGUGUUUAUAAUGUCUGUUAAUCUAGUGUAUAUAGGAUUAACACUCUCAUUUUGUUCCAUUUAUAGCAAUUCGUAUUGCCUAGUAUAUUUACUAAUUUUAGACUAUUUGACUUGAUUUGUAGCUUUAUAAACGACUUUAUGUUUUUUCCAAAUUUCAUAAGCAUUGGAACAACCUUAAACUCUAUAGAAUUCUUUUUUAUCUAAGGCACAAAACAAAGCAUUCAUGACUUUGAAAUUAAGAGAAUCUUUUCUCUUUUCCGACUCAUUCCAUUCUUGUGAAGGUUUUAGAAUUUCUUUCCCUUCUUCAUUUUUAGCAGUAGGCAUGAAUGGACCAUCACAAUCAACUUCCUAUAUUUCAUAAUAUAAUGCUUGCAAAUAAAUUCUUAUCAUAAUUUUCCAACAUAGAUAAUCAUUCCCAUCAAAGAAUGGUGAUCUAGUAAGGGAUUAACCUUCCCCAAAUCUGGGAUCAUUUUGGAUUACUAUGGAUCUUUUACUCUAGAUGGUUAAGUCCUAACAAGAGAACUUCCUCUGAUACCAAAUGAAAUUCUAGCUAAGCAACCCAAGAGGGGGUGAAUUAGGUAUUAAAAAUUAUACUAACAAAAACACAAUACAAAUUAAACAAAUGCUUCAAGAAAUUUAAUAAUGGUAAAUUUAACUAUGCGUGAAAUUAAAAAGAUAAGGGAGAAGAUAACAAACACAUGAAUUUUUAUGUGGUUCGGCAAACCCGCCUAUGACUACGCCUCCAAGCAAUCCAAACUUGAGAAUUCUACUAUCCAAACCUUCCAAGGCUCCAAAAUUUUACAAUUGACUUCUAAGGUGUCAAUAAACCUUUACAAGUAAUUAUGUAUACACACACCUCUUUUCCCAAGUGUUUCCCACACUUAUACUCACUCAAUUUUGAUAUUUAAUUGAAGAUUACAAAGAUUACACUCUAUAAGAGUGUAUAAGCAAAUGAUAGCUCUAUAAUGAUUAAUGUAUGUAGAUAAGCAAAAUGAAAGCUCAAGAUAUAUGAAUAAGUUUUAGCUUAAUUGAGAUUGAAAAAAAUUGUUAGAUUUGAAUUUUAUAGUUUAAACAAUCAAACUAGCAAUUAUUGGCUUUUCUAGGGACUUGCUGGAUCGCCGUUAAAAUGAGGCGAUUAGCCACUAUGUUGAUAUGGUAAGUUACAGUUGCAAAUCAAAUUUGAAAACUUUGGUUCAAGCAGAUUACCACUUGAUUUAAGCGGUUAGCUGCUAUGUUUUUGGACUUGAAGUAGUUAGCCGCUAUUGGUUAAGCGAUUAGCCACUAUUGUUCUAGGAUUUAUAGAUUAGACCUAAUUUUUUUGAAAUUAUAUUACGACCCAAAACGUUUGAAAUAUUUAUAAAUAUGUCAAUUUCGAUGAUUUAAAACAUUAUUAGUUGAUUUCAAAGUUCUCAAAACUUUUCAAUUUAGUCCAUAAAUUUGGAAAAAGCAACUAAUUUUAUAAAAUCGUUAAAACUUUUAUAUUAUAGAAAAUGAUGAUUUAAUUUAAAAAUGUCAUGAAAAAUAUCUUGAGCUUUUAAAUGUUACAUCAUGCACACGUUCAAUUAUACUAUCUUUACAAGAAAUUUAACAAUAAAGAUUGCUUAAACUAGUACCCUUAGUAUUCAUCCUUGAUUGUCAUUGUCUAUUGAGUAUCUUGAUCUUGAUCUCACUUGAAUGAUUUUUGCCCUUCAAAAACUUGUGAGAUUGUGAGAAAUAAAUUUACCAUUGUACUCUAUGUAGUUUGUUAUCAUCAAAAUCAAGGAUUAUAUAACCAUUUAGGCCAACAAAAUAUUAUAAUAAAUAAUAAUUAUUAUGAUAAAAAAUUAAAGAUAUUUUGUAAUUUGUAACAACUCAUCGUGAUUUUAAAAUAAAAUAAAUAUAUCAAUGAUGAUAUAAUUUAUUUUAAUUUUAAUUUUUACAAUUUAAAUAAAUUAAUUAAUUAUCAUUCCAUAUUUUAAUUCCAACUCAUUCCAUUCCAAUUCAUUCAUAUUUUAAUCAGUAUAUCAACUACCCCCGAGCAAUGCCCGAAAGACAUUGAGGCAAGGGCCACAGAAAAAUAUGCACUUGUUAGCUUAGCGUUGGUGUCAAGUUUCUUUAGCAUUUUAAAUUCAUAAAAGAACUUAUAGUGUUUCUUCAUCCUUUGGCCUUUUCGGUGUUUACUUUCUGGAGUGAGUGUCAGCAGUGUGAAUUCCUCCCACUCCAGUGUUUACUUCACCAUUUUAAGGAGGGAUUGGGAAUCCCACUCCAUGGACCCCACUCAUUUUUGGAGUGGGGAGUGUGAGUGGGACUCCCAUGGGAAACCCACUCCCACCUCUCCAUUUUCUACUUUUAUUUAAUUAAAUUUAAUAUUUUAUAUUUAAUAAAAUAAAAUAAAAUAAAUAAUAUUAUUAUAUUAAUAGAGAAUUAAUAAUAUUACUAUAUGCUAUCUUUAUUUGAAGAUAUCAUAUUAUUAUAUUUAUUUAAAAAUAAUAGUAUUAUAUUUAUUUAAUAUUAAUAAUUAAUAAUAAUAAAUAGUUUAUUCUAAGAAAAUAUUAAUUUUGUACUAAAUAAUAUUAUAUUAUUAUUUAUAUAAUAAUAAAUUUAAUAUAAUAAAAUAAAAAAAUAUUUCAUUUUAUAUUUACCUUCCUUUUUUAACCCCCUUUUAUUAAAUUUACUAUAAUUAUAUUUAAUAAAAUAAAAUAAAUAAUAUUUUAUUUAUUUAAAUAAUAUUAUUAUAUUUAACUAAAUAAUAAUUUGGUUUGAUUCUAAGUUUAAAUUACUUAAAAAUAAUAAUAUUAUAUUAAUAGAGAAUUAAUAAUAUUACUAUAUACUAUCUUUAUUUGAAAAUAUAAUAUUAUUAUAUUUAUUUAAAAAUAAUAGUAUUAUAUUUAUUUAAUAUCAAUAAUUAGUAAUAAUAAAUAGUUAAUUAUAAGAAAAUAUUAAUUUUGUACUAUGUUCAUAGUAAAAAUGUUUCAUUUACAUUGCUCUUAUCAAUAAUUUUUAAUUUAUAUAAUUAAAAUUAAAAUUAAUAAAAAAUUAUGAUGUACAUAAUUAAGAAUAUUAAUAAUUAUUAUAAAUUUACAAAUAUAAUAAAAUAAAUGUUUAUUCAUUAAACAUAUUUUUUUAUUAACUUUGUAAUUAAAAACUAUAAUUCUUUAAAUAAAGGUAAAAUUAUAAUUUGAAACUAUUUACUUCCAAUCCAAGAUAAAGUAAACACAUAAAUUGGAUUAUAAUUUUCAUUCCGUGCUUAUAUUCCAGUGUAAGUAAACAACUUACACCCACUUUUACUCCAUACUCUCAAUCCUAAGAUUUCCACUCUUCAAGAUUCUCAGUCCAAUCCAAAAUGUAAACACUAUCUAUGGUAAUUGUUCACGCAACUAUUUUAAUCGAAAAUAUUUUAAUCGAAAAUAUUUUAAUCGAAACUAAUAGACCUUUCAACAAUUUUAAUCGAAAAUAAUAGACCUUUUAACAAUUUUUGCGGAUUCUGGCAAUUGUUCAGGCAACUAUUUUAAUAGAAAAUAUAUAUGGCUCCAUAAACAAUGAUUAUCUCUUGACAGCUGUUCUGGACUCGCUAUUUGUACUGAAAUAGAAGAUUAUCUCUUGAUGAUUAUUUAAUUGAAAAGAAUUUGUCGUUUAUAUUUGUUCACCUGGCCUUUGGAUGAGGAUCACAUGUUUUAUGACAAUCGUAAUGUUACUAAUGUAAGUCAAGCAAUUAUUUUUAAAUAAUGAUAUUAUAAUUAAAAAUCUAAAAACAUUUAUAAUACUUAAAGACUAAUUCAGAUUAUUAAUUUUUUUAUAUGACUUCAUUAUUAGCUGACAAAUAAUUAAAAGGCCAUAGAUCAAUAUUUUUAGGUCCAAUUUUUAAUUUAAUAUGACACAACUUGUACUUUCAUUCCUAUACUAAAGUAUAUCGAACCUACUAAUAAUUAAGAAAUAUAUAUAUUCAACACAUAUUUGUUAGAAAGAUUAUCUACUAAUUAAUCAUUGAUUACGAGAUUAAUAUAUUGAAAUUCAGAACUUUUUUUUUUCCUUCUGCAGUUUAAAAAGGAGUCGCCCUCUUGAUCCCCGUAUUCGUCAGCUUCUACUCUUUGCCUUCAAUUCUCAGUCAAGAAAACCUCUCCUGAUUUUCGUCUUUUGAUCUCAUACACACUUUGCUUCUGUUUAUCGUGGUCACUGCUCGUGCUAGCCGUUUUCUUAUUUAUCUUUGUUCCCUUUUUCCAUCAGCUCUUUGCAUUUUCAUUGGAUCAAGCAACCCUUUUCUUGAUUCAAUUUUCUGAUCUCAAAAACACUUUGAUUCGCUUCUGUUACACUGAUUUUCCCCUUGUUUUGUACAAAUAUCAUUUCUUUUUUCAACUUUGCCUUGUUUUGCUUCUACUUGAUUAUCAAUUGCACAGCCGUUGACCCUGUUCUAUUUCUAUUUCGUUCACUUCCCCAAAAAAAAAAAAAAAAAUGGACAUUUUGAAAAGCAUUGUUCCAGGAGUUGUAAACUGCUUGUCUCCUCACGCACAACGCGAAUUUUGUUAUUGGUAUAACUCCGCUGCCAACUUUGAGAAUCUCAAGGAAGAACUCGAUAGGCUCAAGGAUGAAAGAGAAAGCGUUCAGCGCAGAGUUUCUGAGGCUGAAAGAAAAAGUGAAAAGAUUGAAGAGAAGGUUGAGAAAUGGCUGGUUAAUGCGAACAAGAGCAUUGAGGAGGCAGCCAAAUUCAUUCUAGACGAAGAGAAAGCAAAUGAACGAUGUCUCAUGGGGCUGUUUCCUAAUUGGAUUACUCGCUAUCAGCAUGGAAAGAAAGCAGAAACAGAGAAGGAGGCCCUUUUUAAACUCCGAGAAGAAGCUGGGAGAUUUGAUGAUAGAAUUUCCUACCGUACCAUUCCGGAGGAGAUUUGGCUCAAGUCUCACAAAGGCUACGAGGCCUUCGAAUCAAGACGUUCUACUUUGGAGGCUAUAAAAAAGGCAUUGAUCGAUGUUGAUGUCAGCAUCAUUGGGGUGUACGACAUGGGCGGCAUUGGAAAGACGACACUGGUGAAGAAGGUCGCCAGGCAAGCUAUGGAAGACAAGCACUUUGAUAUGGUGGUCUUUUCAGAGGUUUCGCAAACUCCAGACAUAAAACAGAUUCAACAGGAAAUUGCCGAGAAGUUGGGCUUGGAGUUGCGCGAGGAAGCUGAAUCUAGAAGAGCUAGUAGACUAUAUGAAAGAUUGGAGAAUGAGAAGAAGAUCCUUGUGAUUCUGGAUAACAUCUGGAAACCUCUUGAUUUGGGGACUAUUGCAAUUCCUUUUGGAGAAGAUCAUAAAGGCUGCAAACUACUGCUGACAGCAAGAGAUCGUAGUCUCCUCUUAAAAAUGGGAUCUAAAGACAACUUUUUGAUAAACAAUUUAAAUGAAGAAGAAGCCUGGAGAUUGUUUAAGAUGAUGGCCGGAGAUGAUGUUGAAAAUCGUGAGUUGAAAUCUACAGCAAUAGACGUCGCCAGGGCAUGUGGAGGUUUGCCCAUUGCCUUGACUACAGUGGCAAAGGCACUGAGAAGCAAGAGUCUUCAUGAAUGGAAGAAUUCCUUGCGAGAACUCCGAACGCCUUCAAUGGUAAACUUCGAAGGAGUAUCUGCAGAGACUUAUUCAAGUAUUGAGCUGAGUUUCAACCAUUUAAAAGGUGAGCAACUCAAGAAAAUUUUUCUGCUCUGUAGUCUAAUGGAUAACCGUAUUCUUACUUCGGACUUGUUUAAGUACUCCAUGGGUUUGGGUAUAUUUAAAGGAGUCAAUAAGAUGGAAGAUGCACGAGACAAAUUAUAUGCAUUGGUCCAUGAACUUAGACACUCUUGUUUGUUGCUUGAGGGUGAGAGCAAUGAACAAUUUUCAAUGCAUGAUGUUGUUCGUGAUGUCGCAAUAUCAAUUGCAUGCCGCCACCAACAUGUGUUUUUGGUGAGAAAUAAGGAUGUGUGGGACUGGCCAGAUGAGGAUGCACUUCGAAAAUGCAAUGCGAUCUCUUUAAGAAAUAAUAGUAAUCGUGAAUUUCCUGAAGGAUUAGAAUGCCCAAACCUUGAAUUUUUAUUUAUCUCUCUCAAAGAUUCUUCUCUUGAAAUCAAUAUUCCUGAGAACUUUUUUGUAGGGAUGAAAAAGCUUAGAGUUCUAGAUUUUACUCGAAUGCAGUUUUCUUCUUUUCCAUCUUCAAUUGAUCUUCUACCAAAUCUUCAGACACUAUGUCUGGAUCAAAGUGCGUUGGGGAACAUAGCAAUCAUUGGAAAGUUGAAGAAUCUAGAAGUCCUUAGCUUUUUGAAGUCUGAUAUUAUGCAGUUGCCCGGAGAACUAGGUCAAUUGAAUAAGUUGAGAUUGUUAGAUUUAACCAAUUGUUUCCAUCUAAAAGUUAUUGCGCCUAAUCUCAUAUCAAGCUUAACUCGAUUAGAAGAGCUGUAUAUGGGUAAUUGCUUCAUUGAAUGGGAGGUUGAAAGAGCCAACAGCAAAAGAAGUAAUGCUAGCCUUGACGAAUUGAUGCAUUUACCUCGGCUAACCACUCUAGAAAUUGACGUUAAAAGUGACAAUAUUUUACCAGAAGGUUUUUUGGCCAGAAAGCUCGAAAGGUUCAAAAUAUCUAUUGGAAAUGAGUCAUUCAUGCCUCCCAAGAGUGUUAGAGGAUCAACAGUUAUCGCAAGAGUUUAAGAGGAUUGAAGCUCAAGCUUGAUUUUAUGGACAUUUGCUCCAUGAAAUUGCAGGGCAUCAAUAACGUUGAAUACUUAUGGUUGGACAAGCUGCAAGGCACCGAGAAUGUUCUUUUCAAUUUGGACACGGAGGGCUUUUCACAAUUGAAGCUUCUCUGGGUUCAAAAUAAUCCUGACUUCUUUUGCAUCGUCGAUUCAAGGGAGAUGGUCGCUUGUGAUGCCUUUCCUCUUUUGGAGUCACUUACCAUUCGCAAUUUGAUCAACAUGGAGAGGAUAUGUAUUGAUCGGCUCAAAGUAGAGUCUUUCAACAAACUCAAAACCAUAGAAGCAUAUAAUUGUGAUAAAUUGAGUAAUAUCUUUUGGCUCUCUACAACAAAAUGUCUUCCAAGACUUGAGAGAAUUGCAGCUAUUAAUUGCAGCAAGAUGAAAGAGAUUUUUGCAAUUGGGGAAGAAGUUGAUAAUGCAAUUGAGAAGAUAGAGUUUGCUCAAUUAAGAUCUUUGAGUCUGGGGAAUCUUCCAGAGGUUACAAGUUUUUGCCUCCAUGAGGUGAAGACUCCUUCAGCAUCACCGAACAGACAAGUGUCGCAAGAGGAAUCGACGACUAUGUAUUGCUCCAGCGAAAUCACUUUGGAUACUUCAACUCUGCUUUUCAACGAGAAGGUGCGUAGGCUAACAUUUUCUUCAUAUGUAACAGAUUUUAUUCAUAUAUAACGUUCUCUUUUGACGUCAUACGUGGAAAAUAAUUAAAUCAUUUAAAGAAUUGAAAGAAAAUGGAAAAAAGGAUAAAAAGAAUCUCACUCGCUCACUAAUUGAGCUCUUAACAAGUAGUAUGAAUUAGAAUGCAUACUCAGCUGUCAGUUGGAAAUUGAUUCAGACUUGCAUUAAUUUGCAAUCAAAGAAGAAAUUUUCAACAAGUGCUUCCCAUAUGGAAAUUGGAUCUAACGAGGAAUUCUUAUUUUUUUAGGUUGCGUUGCCUAACUUGGAGGCUUUGGAGAUAUCUGAAAUUAAUGUCGACAAGAUUUGGCACUACAAUCACCUUCCGAUCACGUUUCCUCGCUUUCAAAAUUUAACACGAUUGAUUGUGUGGCAUUGUCACAAAUUAAAAUACAUAUUUUUAGCGUCUAUGAUCAGAAGCCUUAAGCAGCUCCAACACCUAGAAGUACGCUUCUGUGAGGAUUUACAGGAGAUCAUUUCUGAGAACAGAGCAGAUGAAGUGAUCCCUAAUUUUGCCUUUUCACAGCUCACCACUCUGAGACUCGAAGAUCUACCAAAACUUAGAUAUUUGUACCCUGGAAUGCAUACUUCGGAAUGGCCCGCACUAGAAAUUCUUUUAGUGUAUCGUUGUGACAAAUUAAAUAUAUUGGCUGCAGAUUUAUCGCAGAAUAAUGAGAAUGAUCAACUUGGUAUUCCUGCACAACAGCCCCUAUUGCAGUUGGAAAAGGUAUGAAGCCAUUUUCUAGAUUUUUUAUCAAUAGUGUAUUUUGAACUUUGAAAAAUAUGACAAAGCAUCAAUAAAUUAAUACUCAAUAAAUUGAAAACUUUUAUUAUACAAUAAUCUUUGCUAGUCUAGACUAAAAGAGUUUGUUUGUUAAAUGUCUGAAGUUUGAAAUUUUAUUAAUUUCAGACCUUUUCCAACAUAUGCUUAUUUGUUUUUUUGGAACUUAUUGUUUGUUUUUUGGAACUUAUGUUUGAUUUUCAGACAUUUACAUAUGAAUAGAAAAAGUAAACUUUUGUGACUUUUAUUUGAAUGGAAAAAUGUCUGAAUGACAAGUAAAUAUUAAAUUCCAAAAAUAUCCUUGUAAAAUAAUUUAUUUCCUAAACUAUAAAAUGUUAUCCUCUUUUUUGUUUUAAUUUACAAGGACAUAAAUGUCAAAUAACCAAAUUAAGAUGUUUUUUAUUAUAAAAACAAACAAGAUGCCACUUAUAUUCAGAUAUUUAAAAAAGAAAAGGGAAAAGGACAAACACACCCCCAACGUUUAGGUAAAGGGACAAAAACCUCCCUAAUGUUUCAAAAAAGACAUUUACACCCCAAUUUAUUAUAAUUUUACCAUUAUACCCUUCUAGCAUAUAAAAAAAUUAUUAGAUUAUCCAAUUUGUCUAUAUAUUGUUAAUAAAAUUAUAAAUAUACCCUCAUUGCCUCAUUCCUCUAUUUAAAUUUUUAUCAAUAACCAAUUUUAAAGAAAGACAUCUACACACUUAAAAAAAAUUGUAAAUAAAUUAUAAUUUAUAAAAAAUUGGUUAUGAAUACCAUAAUAAAUAACAUAGAAAAUUGGUUAUAAAUGUACAAGUUUAAAUGAUUGACAUGUGGAGAAUUGUUAAAUAUACAAGUUUAAAGUUUAAAUAAAAUUGGUUAUUAAUAACCAAUUUUAUUUUUUAAAUUAUAAUUUAUUUACAAUUUUUUUAGGUGUAUAGAUAUCUUUUUAAAAAAUUGGUUAUUGAUAAAAAUUUAAAUAGAGGAAUUGGGCAAUGAGGGUAUAUUUAUAAUUUUUUUUUAAUAUCCAAAUUGUCUAUUUAUAAUUUUAUUAACAAUAUAUAGACAAAUUGGAUAAUCUAAUAAUUUUUUUUAUAUGCUAGAAGGGUAUAAUGGUAAAAUUAAAAUAAAUUGGGGUGUAAAUAUCUUUUUUAAAAUAUUAGGUGGGUUUUUGUCCAUUUACCUAAACGUUGGGGGUGUGUUUGUUAUUUUCCCAAAAGAAAAACAAACAUGUCAUUCAUAUUUUCGUAAUCAGACCCAUUCAGACUUUAAAAAAAUUUAGACUCAUUUAGAUUUCAGACAAAAAAAACAAAAGCUACCUAAGGGAUCAAUGUGGUAGAUUAAUAAUUAUAUGAACUUUUUUAGGUAUAAAAUUUAUAACUAUAUGAACUUUUUAAGUCUUUCCAUAUAGAAGAACUUACAAAAUAAAUUAGUAAUUUACUAUUGUGCAAUAAAAUAAUUUCGUUUUUUUCCCUAAUUUCUUUAUUACCUCUAAAACUAACAUAUAAAAAAUUCAUAUAAUGAAUUUUAUCACUAAUUCAAUUUUUUUAGGGGUAAAACUAAUAUAAAAUAAAUACUAUAAAGUCACUGCUUGUGAUUGGAUUACUCAAAAUCAUUUGAGAGAACAUCAAUUGACCUCAUUAGUUAUUAUGAUUGAUGAUGAUCAGAUCGUACCCAACUUGAAGGAACUAUCACUAAGUGGAAAAGAUGUGAAGAUGAUUUUGCAGGCCGAUUUCCCACAACACCUUUUUGGCAGUCUCAAACAACUAGAGAUUGUUGGAGAUGACUCAGCUUGUUUUCCAAUCUGGAAUGUACUGGAGAGAUUUCACAAUCUCGAAAUACUCUCACUGUUUCAAUUUUCAUUCCACGAAGAGGUAUUUUCGGAGGAAGGAAGCUUAGAGAAACAUGUGGGGAAGUUGGCAAUGAUAAAAACAUUAGAGCUGCGCUGCCACUAUCAUCUGAAGCAGCUGUGCAAACAAGACUCCAAACUUGGCCCCAUUUUUCAGUAUCUUGAAAUUCUGAGUGUACUUCAUUGUCAAAGUCUGUUAAUUCUAUUGCCAUCAUCAUCGGUAUCUUUUGGGAACCUAACAAAACUUGUAGCUUUCGGUUGCAAGGGAUUGAUACACAUGGUAACAUCCUCCACAGCAAAAACUCUAGUGCGACUCGUAUCACUUUGUGUAUACGGAUGCAGAGCAAUGACAGAGGUGGUAAUAAAUGACAAAGAUGGAGUUGAAAAGGAAGAGAUUGUUUUCCGCAAAUUGAAGAUGUUGGAUCUGCGUGAUUUAGAUAGCCUCACAAGUUUCUGCUCUGCCAAUUACACCUUUGAAUUCCCAUGCUUGCAAGAUCUAUUUGUGAUUGGUUGUCCCAAAUUGAAGAUUUUCACUAGAGGAGAAUCAAGCACGCCUCCGAGAGUAAACGUCUGGUAUGGAGAGACAUCGAAUCAACGGCGUUGGUCUAGUAAUGAUCUUAACACGACCAUACAACAAUUACAUGCUGAGAAGGUACGGAUAUACAUGUUACUCUCUAUCUCCCAUGGAAAAAUUUUACAAAAUUUGCUUUUUCUUUUUAAAUAAAAUAUCGAUAAGAUAUUUGUUAUAAAGUUAGUUUAAAUUGAUGAAUAAGAAUUUUAUUUUCAGCUGUUGGCGGGGUCGUCGUCAUACUCUGUGGAUUACGACUAAUUUCAUAGGCUUCUUAUGACUUGGAGUUACGAAUUUGAAGAAGAAAGUCCCGGCUGGUAAUUAAUUCUUAUUUUAUUUAUUUGAUCUCGUGGGUUGUUUCACAACUUCAUCUCAAUUGUUUAGAAUGGGUCACUUGGUUUACUGUCAAUAUGGAAUGCACUUUUCAUGAUUCGUUCAGGCUUUUAUGGGCAGAUUUUGCGUCAUUGAGCGUCUUUUGGCCUAAUGUAAUUUAAUUUGAGUAUUUUGUUUUGAGAGUUCCCUUGUUCUCUAAAAUUUUAUAAUUCCUUGCAAGCAUUUUAUGAUGAAAUUUCAUUAAGAGGGGCAACACUUGCAUGUUGAAAGUGUUCAGAUUUUAUAAUUCCUUGAAAUCAUGCAAACUUUUUUCUUUCUUUCCUUGCCAAUUAUUUAUUGUCAUCGUUACUGUUCCGUUAAAUUUGUUUGUGCUCUGUUUGUUCAUUGGAAACUUGGAAGGCAACGAAAGUACUUAAGAAAAUGCUCUUGCCUAUGAACACAUAAUUAAGAAGCUGAAUAUCAUUCAGCGGGUAAUAUAUAUAUAUAUAUAUAUAUAUAUAUAUAUAAUUAGCCCAUUAUGCCUACAACAAAUCCUUACACCAUCAAAGGUUAGCUAUGAACAACUAUAUUAUGGAAAUAUUGUUUGAAAGCAUUGGAUAGAAUUUUCAAAAAUAUCAAGUUUUCACAAACCAAAAAGGGAACUAAUUUGGUCUAGUUUUGUGACAAGUAUAGAAGCACAAUAUUUUGUCUGUUAUUCUUGUUAAAAUUCGCAGCACUGAGUUUGCAGAAUGUCUGGAUACUGAUGGAGAUUCAAGUCACUCUUCUUCUGUGCAACAUUCGAAAUGAAGACUUUUUUCCCCCUCUAUUCAAAUUUUAUGUUGUGAAGGGUUUCCGUUUCCAUCUUCAUGUGAUUUACUUCACCGUGUCGCUACAUCUAUGAUAGUGUGUGUUAUAUCCUGUCUGUUUCCUUUGUUUGACCAUCGAAAGUUCAAAGACAAUUUAUUCUAAAUAUGUGUAAAUUCAUUUUCUGUAUAAGCUCUUUGUAUGCAUUUUGACAUUUUAUUCUCAAUAUGGAUGACUCAAUGAGAGGUCUUUUGUUAUAUAUAUGUCCCGAAUUUCUUGUGUAUUUUUAGAUUUGAUGAUGUAUUAUUGUCUCAUUGCAAGGUCUUAUAAUCACUGAUUCUCAUUUCUCGUAUACAUACGUAUAUAUGGGCAAGAAAUUUGGUAAAUGAUCUAGUCAUUUUCUCAGUAAAACAUCUAGUACUUUAUAUGUUGGAAGGGUACUAAGCAGCAGGCCAAGAUUUGUCAACUCAAAGAUCGUCAUGUCAUUUUUUAAAAAUAUUAAGGAAUACUAAGGAACCCCAAGAGAAAAUUUAGAAAUACUAUAGGGACUACUUCUGCAUUGUUCAUUUUCGCAAUUACCUGCAUUAUUAUUUUUGUUUUCAAUUAAUCAAACUUCAGUUCCUUAGCAUUCAUCUAAUUAUGUACUUCAUCUGGAAAUCCUUAAUUUACUCAUCAAAAUGUGAACGCUAAGGAAACUAUGAAAAUAAAUAUAAAACUACUAGCUAAGUUUAUCAUCACAUAUGAGCAGCACUAGAUUAUCAAAUAAUCAUAAAAGCAUAUAAAUUCAAGCUACUGUAUUAUAUGUAGCUUGCUAAUUUGUGUUUAUAAAGAAUUUAGUUAUGCAACAAAAUGGGACACGAAAGUAGCAAAACUUCAUCAAAUACUCUGUUUUGUAGUACUUCAACAUAUCUACUGGCUAAGAAGUACCAUCACAAAUGAAAAUGUCGGCACAAAUAUUCAAGCAAGUGCAAGUAUCAAAAGUUGGUGGAUUAUUGUGGUUUUCCUACUUUGUCGUUUUUGGUUGAAUAAAUUAAUAAAAGCUGUCGAUUCUGCAUUAAAGCUUAUGAAUUGUGAAGAUAUGAAUACCAAAUCUUUCCAACUCCAACUCUUGAGUAAUUAUUAGGUUCCCACCCAUGCAAACAUAUUUUCUUUCGAGAAAAAGGGAUGCCUGAUUCAGGGCAUCCGUUGCCUCGGUUUAUUUGAUUUUGUUUGGUUCAAUUAUAGUUCUGUUAUUUAGUUUUUCCUCUGAUGAUUCUGUUUCUCUGUAUAUUUCACUGGGUUUGCUUUGCUUCACAUCUUUCUUUCAAAACUAAGAAGGCAAGGAAAGCGAGUCUGUAAUUAGAAAAUGCAAGUAGCAUAUAUCAAAUCAUGCAUAUGCUUAUGCUCUUGCCUAUGAACACAUAAAGAACAGCUGAAUAUCCUUCGUCGGAUAACAAAAAAUAAAAUCUAAUCAUCCAUUAUCCAUACAAGUAAUGAUAUCAUUACUUUUAGCAAAUUAAAGGUGUUGUAUCUUUUUUAUUUAAAAAGUCUCUUAAGAUUUUUAUUUUUCCGGUAAUUACACCUCCAAAUUUCCACAGCUAUAAUGUCAAUUUGUAAUUAUUUGUCCCAAGAUGCAGAUUUUCACUAGAGGAGAAUUAAUAAUUACGCUAUUUCGGCCCAGAGGACCAUGAAGCCCCUUGGGUUGUUGACAUUAACACUAGUGCGUUUACCAACCUAAACCUUCGGUUUGGUCAACAGUUUCUAAAUUGGUUUAGGUCAACAGUUUCUAAAUUGAACCUAUGGUGAAUGGAGGAAAAAGAAAAAGAGAUUUAUCAGAAACCUCCCCUGAAGUUUGGCAUAUUCUUAGUUUAAUAGAUUGUAUUUGUGUAUUCUCAAAUACCUCCCCUGGUGGCUGGUGCUAGUAUACCUUUUCUUAAUACCCCUAAUUUAGAAAAAAAUAAUUUGUAUACUGAAAAUAAAAAAUUGUUGGUUAGCACCAGCAUGUUUGUUUUGGUGCCUAAGGGAUGUGAAUGCAAUGAAAAUAUCCAAUCACCCCCGUUACUUUCCAAAAUGACUUUGAUAAAUGAAACAAACAAAAGAUUUAAGUCAAAUAUCAAAGAAUCAGAAGGAAGCUGUUUUGCACUGGCCUAAUUGCUAUGCUUUCUGAAUCAAAUUUCGUUCAAUCUUGGUGUCCCUCUUUUAUUCAAUAUAAGAAGAAUGAAAAAAGUAGGUUGUUUUUUACACAAGUGAUAGAAAUACUUCUUAACUUUAGACAGUGUAACACCAUACACAUCAAAGAAAUAAGACAACAAACCAUUUCCCAUGCAUAAAGCCAACAAAAUUACUAUUUAGUACAAGGGAUGCAACAUAAUUUUAAAUUUUAUUCCUCAAGAGCUACAAGUGAUACAAAUGAGUACACAAAUCAACCAUCUGUAGCUUAACCAGAAGAUGAUGCAAAUGCAUGAAAAUGAAAAAGCCUACGAAUAGUAUACAUGGUAAGUAUGACUAAGUAAAAUAACAAUUCUGAUUGAUAAUACCACCAGCAACAGGACCUUCAUACCUUCUCUUUAUUAAUCACUAGUUGGUAUGCUAUAGCCCAGCCAAGUGUAAAAUGAAUGGCGAUCGAGCUCUUGAGCCUCGGUAUACCCUCCAUAAGUUGUCUUGCUAAAACCCAAGAAAUAGCUUAUAAGAUGAAAUGGACCGCCCAUGGUUCAUACAAAGAAAAGAAUAAGCCACAUAUUAAUUGAAGCUAACAACAGACAUAAAAUGAUAAAUGAAAAAUGCUCACCUUCAGAAUGAAGUCAAUGUAAUGAAGAGCACCAUUCUCAAAUUCAGUUCUGCCACCUGGAAAAAUGUGGUAUUCACCAGUAACUUUAACCCCAUUUUGCUAACCCUUAACUUCUGCAAGCUUUGUGUGGGGAAAAUUAUAAUACCAAAUCUAUCCCACACAUCAUGAGAACAAAUCUUAGCCCAAGUGAAUUAAAAGUAGUCAAGUAUAUAUUUUAUAAUGCAUAAUAUAAGAUCAUACCCUAUCCCUGCUUUGGGGCCACUUAAUUGAGUGUUUGUAUCCUUCCAGUAAAGGAGCAAUACAGGUACAAGCUUCUUCAGGGCAAUACCUCUCUCGAUGUUCAUAAUGCUUUUGUGCUGGAAAGCAUUCUAAUUGCUUGCAAAUUGUCCAGGCAAGGGAUGCAAUCUGGCCUAGCAGUGGCAUUACACACUUUCCAGCGAUGACCAUACUGGUCCUUAGAUACAGAAGAUUGUUGUGAUAUUUUCUGAUUCUAUGACUCAAUAGGUUGAGUUGAGCAAGCCCCAUUCUGAGCAUUAGUUUCCUUCAGAAUUUCUCAGUAGUCACCAAAAGGAAAAAUCUCAGUUGAAGCCUGAUCCUUUCAACAACUCUCAGUGUCAUUAUCUUGAUCUUGAGAAUCCUUCUCCUUUUCAAUCUGACUAGCCUGAUCCAUUUAUUUUCAUCCAAGCUCUUCUCUGAUUCAAUUUGCUCAAUUUUAUUCAAUUCGCCGCCUUCUGUUUCUCCAGCUUCUUAAUUCAAAUCUCCACCUUCACUUUUAGAUUCCUUAUCUUCCUUUUUUCUAACAUCGUAAUUUUUAGACACCGCCUUAGAUUCCUCUUCAGACUCAGUAUUCUCAUCAAAACUCUCCUUCACUAAAUUCUCUUCCUGGUUUUGAUUAACCAUAUUCUUAGAUUCACUCAUCUCACCAUCACCCUCAUACAUAUUCAUCUCUUCGUGAUUAUCUUCCACUCUAUUCUCUAACUUUUCAACAGGAACAUCAUCCCCAUCCCCAUUUGUUGAAUCCUGUCAUUCAUCACCUUGAUUUUCUACGAAAGGCCCAGAAAAAUCUCAGAUAUUCUCUGUUUCACUUUGCUUAUAGGCUCUUAAGAGGACAACAUCCUGGAUCCCACACCAGUACAACUGAUGAUGACAUUAACAUCCAAACGCCAACCAGAAAAAGACCAACAAACACUACUACAGUAACCAUUGAACAAAGACAAUAUCACAGGUUCUUUAGCUAUUUAAUAUUCCAUCAAAUAUAAUUAUAUAAUACCUACCAAGGAUUUCCGAAUAGAAGGCAUUCUCAUCAUUCUCAUCUCAAGCAGCAACCUCACCAGUAACACAUUUUCAUAUCAUGUUUCCACCACAGGUCGCACGUAUAGAAAGAAUGAAGUAUUAAUUAGCUUCAACAGAGCCUAUUUCUUUAUUUCUUUUUUUCCCAAAUAAACCUUCAUUCUUAUACGUAUAAUUAAAAUAUCAACUGAAUAAACAAAGUCUAUGAUUACUAGUACAACAUUUUCAUUUUCAAGCGGAGCAAGAUAAGAUAUCGAUGUCGUCAAAUAAACCUAAUUUAAUCUUGAAACCAUAAACUGCACUAAGCAUAGCAGCAAAGCCAGAGCCUGACUAUAAAGAAGCUAAUAUAUAUAUAUAUAUAUAUAUAUAUAUACCUUUGGAAAUUGAAACUGUUCACUGUAGCGGGUUUUUAAGUGCACAGUAACCUUUGGAUCGUAGCUUUGAAUAGUAGGCUGACCGUAGCUUUGAACAGAAGACUACUUUGUACGAAUACUGAAAUACAAAAUGAAAUACAAUACGGGUGAAGAGACAUGUGCGGAUCGAAGGAUGGAUGUGCUUUCAAAAUACUUUAUUAUUAAAAACUCAAAUUAAACAAUCAAUAGAAUCAGCUUCGUCAGAUUUUAAAAGAACUUGAGCCCAAUACAGAGUUGCAAAAUAAUUUCCCGUCCAAGGAUAAGUUUUCCGUUUAGGGCUGUAAAACCAUACCUGUAGCCAUUCUGACCAAACCAAAGAUAGAACCCAGGAUUCUAACCAUGGAUCCUCUUUACUGUAGAGCAUCGUCCUUUUCUAGCUCUUCUUCUGGGAAGACUAGUGAUUCAAAGCAUGUUGUGAGUUCAGAAGAAUUUGUUAUUGAGAACUUUGAUAAAGCAAUUGAUUGUUGGGAACUUCCAAAGAUUUCAAAAGAAAAGAUUUACAGAACAAAAAAGCUUGAUUUCUGGAAAAAUGAUUAUGUUAUAAAAACUGAAGAACGUGAUAUAACUCUUUCAAAGCCUUUUGAAACAAUUAAUUUGUUUUCAGAAAAAUCUUUAAAUAAGUUAAAAGAAAAGAAUUUUAAUUACAUUCAUAUAGGUCUCAUCCAAAUAGGCAUAAAGCCCCUUACCAAAGAAGGCUUGGAUACUUCUAUCCUUGCUGUUCUUAGAGAUGGUCGAUUCAUCUCUUUUGAUGAUUCUCUGCUAAGUAGCAUUGAAUCCAGCCUAUGUAAAGGUCCCAUUUCAUUUGAUUGCUAUCCAAACAUAACAUUGUCUCUUAAAGACAAAAACAUUUUGAAAAGCAUGAUUUUACAAAUCAAAACGCAUAACUAUCAUAUGAUUGAGGGAUCUAUCCCUGUUGCAUUGAUUUUUAAAAUCUCUUACAAAGCUAUGAUUACUGCAUUCAGCACUCAGCAUAAAUUUCAGUCCAAAAGAGAUGAAACUCUUCUCUUACAGACUGAUCUGUCCAGAGCAAACACUGUCAUUCCAAAACCAAUCCAAUGGAAAGAUGUCAAUCUUCCUGAGGAAUGGAUUCUUGAAGGAGCCGCUCCACCAGCGAUUCCAAAACAACUUGAGCCCAAUACAGAGUUGCAAAAUGUGACUCAGUAUUCUGAUGGUAAAGUCAAAUUAUCAUUUAGGAGAUCUAAUUCAUCCAGAUUCUCCGAUAAAGCAUCAUGCUCAAGCAUUCCUUCAAUGGAAAGGAAAUUUACAAAAAUACCCUCUGUCAUAAAUCUCCCAUUUCAGAGUCAACCUAGGUUCUCCACUUCGGACUUACCUAGUUCUUCUAUUAGUUCUGUUGACUACACUACAAAGGUACCACAUCCCAUUUACAUUAGCAGUCAACAUGAACAAAGACAGGAAGAGAAGGAACCUUCUCCUCCAACUUCUCCUACAUUCUCUGCAGUCACAGAAAAUGUUUUAAAUGUUAUUGAAAAGCAUUUUGAAUUAGAUAAAACCAUAUUGCAUAAUGAUUUUUAUUCAGAUGAUAAUAAAGAAAAAAGACUUUGGUUUUUUAAACAUUUUUUAAAUCAAAGGAAGGAAAUCCAACAAACUUACUAUGAAUUUGUUAAUUUCCAUCAAGUUCAUAUAUUGUUUUUUGAUUGGUUCGAGAUAUAUUCUUCUAAGAACAACAUUUCCUAUCCUUUCAAAGAGUCAAACCCUAUUACUAUCAGAAAUAAAACCACUGAGUGGAAACUCUUCGAUAGUAAUAGAACUGUCAAUUCUGAGCAUCCCCCUCUUAGGAGUGUAAUCAUAGAUCAUGGUGAACCUCCUGUUGAAAUCAGAGCCUCACCUUACAAAAUCCCAAAGCCUAAUGAUCCUGAAAUCAAUUUAAGUAGUAUUAUUCAACAGAAUAAUUUCUGUAAUACUAACUUAAAUACCAUAGGAAAACAGUUGACCAGAUUGGAAAACCAAUUUCAACAGUCAACCAUAUCUGUAGUCCAAAACCUGUUUCUUUAAAGUCAGAUUCUGAUAAAAAGCUUAAAGAACCUAUUUUCAAACCUUUUCAGGUUUCGAAAACUAGCCAGAAGCUUGUCCAUGAAUCAAAAUCAGAUUUUGCUAAAGCCAUUAGAGAACAACUUGAUAGGAUAGAAGCUGCUUCUUCCUCAUCAAGCAAAGUUCAUAUUGCUCCUGAUACUCCCCAAUCUAGCAAGAUUGGAGUAUUGGAGCAAGACCAGGUUUCUAUUGCCUCCUCAGACUUAGAAGCCUUUACCGAAACACCUAUUCCUAAAACCAAUAAAAUCCAUUGGGAGUUAGCUCUUCCUACUUCCAAAUCUCCACCAGAUUUAACUAUAGACAACAGGCCUAGUGCAUUAAAUCAAGCUCGAUAUAAUGCAUCCUCUGUCUAUGAGUGGAAUAUAGAUGGAAUGUCCGAGUACAACAUUCUAGGUGUAUUGCAGCAAAUGACCAUGGCAGCCAAUGCCUAUAAAACCCAAUCAGGAACUUCUGACAAAGCCAUUGCAGAAAUCCUUAUUGCUGGUUUUACUGGUCAACUUAAAGGAUGGUGGGAUCAUCUUCUCACUAAAUUGCAGCAAUUAGACAUCCUUAAUGCCAUCCAAAUCGAUGAGAAUGGUGCUCCCAUUCUUGACGAAUUAAAUAAUCCAAUUCAGGAUGCUGUUGCUACCCUGAUUUUAACCAUUUCUCUUCAUUUCAUAGGUGAUCCUUCUCACCUCAGAGACAAAAAUGCUGAGUUACUACAUAACUUGAGAUGUAGAAAACUUAGUGAUUUCCAAGAUUACAAAACCACUUUCUUUACCAGACUCUUCCUAAGGGAUGAUGCAAAUCAUGUAACUUGGAAGGAAAAAUUCCUUGCAGGUUUACCUACCCUUUUGGGAGAAAAGGUAAGAAAUUCUAUCAAAACCCUUUUUGAUAAUCGUAUUCCCUAUGACGAACUCACCUAUGGUGAAUUAGUCAGUUUUGUCAAUAAAGAAGGUUUAAAGAUCUGUCAAGACUUGAAACUUCAGAAACGUCUAAAGCAAGAGCUUAGGCAAUCUAAGCAAGAAUUAGGCGGGUUCUGCAAGCAAUUCAAUUAUGACCCCUUUAAAGCUUCCACCUCCAAAGACUGUAAUGGUAAGUGUUCUUCAAAACCUUACAAAAAACAUUACAAGUCUAAAAGCCAUAGAAAGCCCUUUCAUGAUUUUAGAAAACUUCCUUAUAAGAAACCUUCGAGGCCUUAUAAGAAACAUAGUUUCUCUAAAAAGAAAGAGUUUAAAGCCAAACCUAAAACCCCUUUCAAUUUUAAAGAUGCUACCUGUUAAAUGUGGUAUGAAAGGUCAUACUGCACGAUUUUGUAAAAUGAACAGGAGACUCCACGAGCUCGGCCUCGAGGAGGAAAUCCUUUCCAAAAUUGCCCCUCUUCUGGUCGAGCUUUCUGAUUCUGAGUCUUCCUGGUCGGGAAAUGAUGACCCUCUUCAAGUCGAUGAACUAUUCGAUUCAGAUAGCUCUACUUCCAGUAAUAGUGAUUCUGAUUCGGAUAAUUCUUAUUUAAAGAAAAUAAAUGUUUUAACCAAAGAUCAAGAGAUUUUCCUUGAACUUGUAAAGCAUAUUUCUGAUCCAAAUCUUCAAAAGGAAUAUCUUGAUAAACUUUUAAAAACCAUGGAUUCAAGCAUUACAGAGGCUUCUUCUUCUAAAAUCCCUAUUGUCAAAAAGAAUUCUUAUGAUUUAACUGAGAUUUUAGAUAAAAAGAAAACAAAGAAGUCUACUCCUAAUAUCCAAGAUCUUCAAAAAGAGAUUAAGGAUAUUAAACUUGAAAUAAAGGAUUUAAAAGAAAAACAAAAAACUGAUUCUGCAACUAUUCAACUCCUUUUACAAAAACAGUUGCAAGAUACUUCCGACAAGGAGGUUGAAUCAGAAAAUGAUGAUGUUGAGCAAAAGAUUGAUAAUAUUGAGUCUAUUCCAAAUGAUUUUCUGUUUGUCUUAAAGCAAAUCACCACCAGAAAAUAUUUGAUUAAAAUUACUUUAAUUUUUUCAAAUGAUUUUGCGAUGGAUGCCAUUGCUCUUUUUGAUACUGGUGCUGAUUUAAAUUGUAUUCGAGAGGACAUUGUUCCUAAAAGGUUUCGUGAAAAAACAAAAGAAAGACUCUCUGCUGCUAAUAAUUCAAAGCUCAAUGUUACUUCCAAAGUUGAAGCAUCUAUUUAUAAUGACAAAAUUGAGUUUAAAACCUCUUUUGUUCUUACAAAUGAUAUACACCAUGCUAUCAUUUUAGGAACACCUUUUAUAAAUUUGAUAACCCCAUAUGCUGUCAACUAUGAUGGUAUAUAUUUUAAAGCAAAAUCCAAAGAACUUGCUUUUCCAUUUAUUGAAAAACCAAAGACUCGAAACCUCAAUAUGGUUAAAGCCUGCUCGGUCUACCAGAACAAAAUCAAUGCUAUUGUAAAGUCUAAACAAGAUGACUUGUUUCAUUUACAAAAGGAUUUAAAUUUUCAAAGAAUUGAGAGUCAAAUACAAAGUGAUUUUAUACAAAGAAAAAUUUCUGAUUUCAAAAGCCUUAUUGAAAAAAAAUUUGUGCUGAUUUACCAAGUGCUUUUUGGAAUAGGAAACAACAUUUGGUAGAUUUUCCAUAUGAAAAUUCUUUUGAUGAAAAGCAAAUACCUACUAAAGCCCGUCCAAUCCAAAUGAAUUCGGAUUUGGAACAGCAUUGUAAAGAAGAAAUUAAUGAUCUUAUUUCCAAAGGUCUUAUUGUAAAAUCCAGGUCACCUUGGUCUUGUGCUGCCUUUUAUGUCAACAAAAAUUCUGAGAUUGAAAGAGGUGUACCUAGACUUGUGAUAAAUUACAAACCUUUGAAUAAAGCUUUAAAAUGGAUUAGGUACCCGAUACCUAAUAAGAAAGAUUUACUUCAAAAACUCUGCUCGGCCUUCAUUUUUUCUAAAUUUGAUAUGAAGUCGGGUUUUUGGCAAAUUCAAAUUCAUCCAAAAGACCGUUACAAAACAGCAUUUACUGUUCCUUUUGGUCAGUAUGAGUGGACAGUAAUGCCUUUUGGUUUGAAAAAUGCACCCUCAGAAUUUCAAAGAAUCAUGAAUGAUAUUUUCAAUCCCUACUCUGAGUUUUGCAUUGUCUAUAUCGAUGAUGUUUUGAUUUUUUCUCAAAGCAUUGAUCAACAUUUCAAACAUCUAAAGACUUUUUAUCUUGCUACAAAGAAGGCUGGAUUAGCCCUUUCCAGUUCAAAGAUUUCAUUGUUUCAAACAAAAGUCAGGUUUCUUGGUCACUACAUUUCCAAAGGAACCAUUACUCCUAUUGAAAGAUCUCUUUUGUUUGCGGACAAAUUCCCAGACAAAAUUUUAGAUAAAACUCAAUUACAAAGAUUUCUCGGUAGUCUAAAUUAUGUUCUUGAUUUCUGCCCUAACAUCAAUAGGAUGUCAAAACCUCUGCAUGAUAGGUUAAAGAAGAAUCCUGUUGCAUGGUCAGAUGAGCAUACUAGAGUUGUUAGAUUAAUAAAGCAGUCUGUUAAAAGCAUUCCUUGUUUGCAUCUUGCAAAUCCUGCAUUUCCUAAAAUUGUUGAAACUGAUGCAUCAGAUUUAGGAUAUGGAGGUAUUUUAAAACAAAAAGAAAAUGAUAAAGAACAGAUAGUCCAAUAUGUUUCUGCUCAUUGGAACGAUUGUCAGAAAAAUUAUUCUACUAUCAAAAAAGAAAUUCUUUCUAUUGUUUUAUGCAUUACUAAAUUCCAAAGUGAUUUGUUAAAUCAAAAAUUCUUACUUAGAAUUGAUUGCAAAGCUGCAAAACAUGUUUUAGAAAAGGAUGUUCAAAACAUUGCAUCAAAACAGAUUUUUGCACGUUGGCAAGCUAUUCUCAGUGUUUUUGAUUUUGAUAUAGAAUUCAUUAAAGGUGAUAAAAAUUCUGUUCCUGAUUUUCUAACUCGGGAAUUUCUUCAAAACAGGUAAUGGCUCCAAAGAAAAAGGACAAAGGGAAAGCACCUGCUUCCCAAGAACUUUCCAAAGAACCUCAUGCAACCCCCUCUAAAGAAAAGCUCCUUUCCUCAGCCAUGCCAAUUAAAUCUUGGAUUGAAUUGGUUGAAGAACAUGAAGCCAAAUACAAAUCCAUUUCUUCUGAAGACCAAGUAAAGCAAUGGAUGAGUUCCAUUACAAAGUCACCCGAGCUUAUGAUAGCCCUACAAAGCCUCUCCCAAAGUCAACCUAAAGAGGAAGAAAAACCCACUUCCAAAGAAAUCUCAAAGCCUUCCUCUCAAAACAUUGUUGUUUCUGGUGAGAGCUCAUCCUCCCAAAUUGUGCUCUCUCAGCCAACACCUUCAAAGAAAACUUCCGAUUGGUUUGAUAAAACCCAUUUUCAAAACAUUAUUUCAAUGGAAGAUGGAUUUUACCAUUCUGAUCCUUUUCAAAGUAUUUCAAAGUUUUUUCCCCCAGGCUGGUUUUUCAAACCAUGAGAUUUGACAAAACCCCAGUCUUAUUAUCACAGUAUUUUGGAAAUUACUGAUUCAGUAAAAUUCAAACAUUUCUUUUUUAGCAAAACCCAUUCUGAGCCGGCCUAUUCAACGGCUACAAUUUUAAAAGUUUUGAGCCCGAACCAGUGGGGUGAUCUGCUCCACAAUUUUAAAACUUUCCCCCUUGAUUUUGAGACCCGUUUGCCACACUGUAGGACUUUCUCCUACUGGGAUUACCAACAGGCCUGGUAUAACACUUUCUUCAUACAAAACCCUAAAAAAUCCCAUUCCUGGUUAUUUUUCUUUAAUUCAAAAAUAACCGUCCAAAGCCUGCCGAACUGGUUUCACCAUUGGUGGAACUAUUUUGGUCCAACCUCAGAUAUCCUUACUCAAAAUGCCCUCCAAUGCCUAAACCUUUUCAAAGCCAAUUAUAAACCUACGGAGUCUGAGAAAAGAUUUCCUCCUUUUCUCUGCUUCUGUACCAAUUUCUUCCUUCCAUGGGUCUGGAUGUGGAGUCUUCGACAUCACACUCAGGAUUCCCAUUUUAUCCUCCAAAGAACCUUCAGAGUCAAAUGGUGGUCCAAAUUUGAUGAGCAGACCAAAUUAACCACCAACCAAGUACAAAACUGGCUUUCUGCCCAAGGCCAUCUACAACCAGCCAUCAAAGAUAUUAAAGCCCAAGGCACUUUCCUCACUCAAAAAUCCAAAGCCCAAGCCCUCCUAGCAAGUGCCAAAACCGAAGAAGAAUACUUCAAAGCAAUGGAACAGCUCCUCCGCUUCUCGAUCCAAGUCCUCAGUUGCAGAUUCUACUGAAGACGACGACGACGAUGAUGACGAGCCAACCGUCUCUCUCGGAGAUAAAAACGAAGAUGACUGUUUCGGCAUUUUCUCUCCAAUAAAGCAUUGUAAAUAAUUAUUUGAUUAUUUACUUAAAAAAAAAAAGUGUAAUUGUUCAUUUCGGGUGGUCCCUUGGACACAAGUGAGAGCGCACAUGUCUCUUCACCCGUAUUGUAUUUCAUUUUGUAUUUCAGUAUUCGUACAAAGUAGUCUUCUGUUCAAAGCUACGGUCAGCCUACUAUUCAAAGCUACGAUCCAAAGGUUACUGUGCACUUAAAAACCCGCUACAAUGAACAGUUUCAAUUUCCAAAGGUUACUGUGCACUUAUAGCUCCGCUACAGUGAACAGUUUACAAAGUUUUGUAUAUAACCCAAGAGGAAGACUUAGACUCCUCACGGGUUUUUAUUUUAAGUUUUCAUUUCUCUCUCUUCUCCUCCUUCUCUCUAAAAAUUCUCUCUAAAGCACGAAGAGCUCAAAGAAAUCCUCUGUUUACGCAAUAGUUCUAUCUUAGAGCUUUGAGUAAUCAGACUAGUUCUUUACCUUCAACAAAUCUUCCCGUCUUUCAAUCUUCCCUUCUGGAAAGAUUUGAAAAAUUGUAAAGCAGCAAAAGCAAAGUGUAUGUCUAGAUCUUUGAUCUAGUUUUAUUUACAAAGCAAUUUCAAUUCAUGUAAUUUAAUUUUAAAGCAAUUUACUUUUCUGCAAUUUCAUUUCAGUAAUUUACUUUAAAGCAUUUUCUUUUACAAAGCAUGUUAGCAGACUGAUCUGUAUCAGAUCUGCCAUAUAAAAUAUACAUUCUUCUGAGGCAAAGAGACCAGAUCUCGAUCCUCAGUCGUAAACUUCUCUCUCCCCCCUUCUUCAGAGCACCAUUUCCGGGAACCGGAUCUGGUACUGUGUAUGUUUUAGAAGCCAACCUUAAUGCAUGUUUAUUUCAGUAAAGCCCUGCUGCUAGGUUUGCUAAAAUCAACCUAACUCAGAUCUGGUAAAGACACUUCUAAAAUUGACGAAUCGCAUUCCAAAGCAAAGUAGAUCUCCAGAUCUACCAAAGAAUUUAAUAAAUAAUCGGUAAAGCACACUAUUCCGGUAUAUCGGCUGGAAACCAGAACGUGCGGGCUAUUGAUCUGUCCUAAGUCAGAUCUGGGUCCAAAGGCAGAUUAAUUUCUGCGUCGAUCCGGUAUAACAACGCCACGUACCAGUCUAGAUCUAAAAUUUUGACCAACCGCGUUCCAAAGCAAAUUAAUUUGAUAAAGAAACGGUAAGUUCUUUUAAAAUCUGACGAAGCUGAUUCUAUUGAUUGUUUAAUUUGAGUUUUUAAUAAUAAAGUAUUUUGAAAGCACAUCCAUCCUUCGAUCCUAUUUCCUUCUGGUAUCAGAGCCUCACCUUACAAAUCUCCAUUAACGGCAAAUAGGGGGAUGAAUCACUGACAUCACCCAAUUCAUAUAUUCAAUUAAUGUAUUCCCACCCCAGUCAGAAACGUGCUACCACAGUUGAUUAGUUAUUAGGGAUAAGGCUUACCGCAAAGAACUGAAUGGCGUUAACUAAAUAAUGAGUUGAAACGGUAUCUGCAAUCGCAUUAAAUGGCAUUGAACCGAAAGGUAGGGUUUAAAUGAAUGUUGGCCUGAGACAAAAGGGCGUGGCAUAUUGGGGUCUUAUGGCUUCGUUUUGUUUCAAUUGAAGGAGGGAAGCUGAGCGAGAGCUUUGAUACGUAAAUUUCAGCUUAAUUUAAGCUAUGGUCUUCUUUCGAUUGAAACAGAGAAAGAUUUUGGGUUAUUAAAGUGAAAGAGAUGGAAUCAUACAAAAAAUUAGCAAAGUGAAAGCGAGGGAAUACAAGAUUUAUUAUGGGUCCUAAGAGCUGAAGGCAAUUCGCCAUGGUUCCGAUAUAUGGAAAACUUUCUUAGCUUUAUCGGUGGUGGAAGUGAGGGUUAGGGCUCGGGUUCGACACAAUGUUGUUGAGAGUGGCUCAAAGUUCAUUGAUUUUAGGUUGCAGCGAGAGAGGGGUUCAUUCAACACUUGUCGAUAUUUGGCUGAAGUGUUGGUAUGUUUUAAGUUUCAUAAAAACGACGUCGUUUAAAUAGUCAUCAUUUUAUGAUAUUAUAAAUCCACAAAACUUGAGCAUCACUUAUAUCUAUCAUUUAUUUAUGUUAGUUAAGAUAUAAGUCAUGAAUAUGUCAUAAACUCUGAACAUAUAAACAUAUGCCACACCAACAAAGUGUUGGCUCCAUUGGCAAUAGAGUCCCCUUAAGUGGCUUAACUGGGUUUGCUCCUCAGUUCGAGUUGCAGGGAAGUCGCAUUUGUUGAGAGAACUUGUGCCUUCCGGUUCGAGCGGGGACUUCUAAUAUGGGUUGUGGUACGGGCUUAAAAGUGUCUCCCACAAUUAGGGCCCUCCUCAGAAUACCUCGUGGUUAAGACAAAAAAUAUAUAUAUAUAUAUGUCACAAAUCUAUCACACUUUCAUGAUACAUUUGUGACGUAUCGAAGGUUCAUGUCAUUCCUCCGGUGCAACAUUCGAAAUAAGGCCAUUGCCCUUGUGAAAUUUGCAUUACUUCUAUUGAAAAUCUACAUAAUAAGAGCUCUCCCGUUGCAUUUUUCGUUGUUUUGCUUUUGCUUUACUUUAAUGUGUCGCUACAUGAACAAGUAUAGUGCAACAUAUGUACCAUCAAUUUUGCUAUGUCUUAUUCCCAAUUUUAUAUAAUACAAAUCAUUUUGAAAUUAUAAUAACAACAACGGGGUCAAGCACAUUUUGUGUCUUGAAGAUUUGCGAGAGCUCCAUCCUACAAAGUUAAAUUAUUAUUGUUGUUGUUGUUAUUAUUAUUAUUAUUAUUAUUGAUGACGAUGAUGUGCUGUUGAUGUUUUUAUUAUUUGAGAGAUGGUAGAAUAAAGUUAUUCAUUUUGGAGCUUAACAGUGGAAAAUAAGGAAAACAAGAAAAAAGUUGUAUUCGUGUUAAUUUCCUUUGUCAUUUCUUGUUUCUAGAAAUAUUUUUGCUUCGUUUAUUCUAUUUUAUUUGCUUAUUUCAUUGGGCUUGCUUCACAUAUCAUAUCUAUCUUUCUUUCAAAAUUUGAAGGGAAGGAAAGUACUUAGAAAAUGCUCUUGCCUAUGAACAUGUAAGAAAAACUGAAUAUCAUUCAUCGGAUAACAAAAAACACUAAUCAUCGCAUAAUCCCUAGAACAAAUAAUUAAACCAUCAAAUGUUAGCUAUGAACAACUAUAUAUCCUAUCAUAUUUAACUUCUAUUUAUGGUCAUAUCCCUAACAUAUUUAGAGUGGUUUUGGAAUUUUGAUUACAUCUGAGCUUUCUCAAAAGCAGAUGCUGUGAAAUGAAGUUACUAUUUGCUUUUCAAAACUGUUAAUAAUGAUAGUAGUUUAGAAACUUGAACCACCACCUACGUGAGUCUGUGAAUUUCACCUUUUUGUUUGAUAAUUGGAGGUUUUCGUUUAAUGCCUAAAUUCGUAAACUGUGGAAACGUUUGAAAGCAUCUAUAGCAUAUUCAUUAAAAUCACGUUUUCACAAACCAAAAAGGGUACUAAUUUGGUCUCGAUGUGUGAAAAGUAACACCUACCUAGCCAUCCAUCAGGUAAGUGAAUAAGUAUAAAAAUAUUAAUAUUUUCUCUGUAGUUCCUAUUAAAAUUGUCUAUUAUAGUUGCAGAAUGUCUAGGAAGUAUAAAAGGAUGUCGUUCAAACAUGAUUAAGAUAGAAAGGGAAAAAAUAAGUAAUUAUCCAUGGACCAAACAUUUUACAAACUGCAUUUUUUAGAAAACACACAAACAUUUUUUAUUGUUUUCAACAAUCCAUCUAAUAUUUGCAAACUGCAUCACAGCUCCACUACUAUCAUAACCCUUUAAAAAUGUUGCUUAAUCACGAGAACCUAUUACUUGUAAAUUAUUUUUCAAGCAAAUGCAACGAUAGAUCUAGUUUUGAUCUGGGUGACUUUUACGUGUACAGAAACGAGGAGAACGACCUUAUGUCAAGUCGAAGGAUUAAGAUAAAUCAAUUACAAAUCCAAACAAAACUUAUGAGUGACAUUUUAGUAUUAAGCAAACCUACCAUAAUUAAUCAUCCAGUGAUAGGUUUAUUUUCAAUUAGAGUAAUGAUAGAUAUCCCAAAUGGUGUGUCAUUACUUGAAUAGUAGGUAAUUCUUUCAAGAUUUGAGUGAAUUAAUUGUAUUAUCUCUUCAAUCUAUUGAUGAAUACCAUAUCAUUUGAGAUAAUUUUUUAAGAUAAAAGACUUAGGAUGUGUGGCACUACUCAUUGAAUUAUGCAACUUAAAUGCAAUUUUUUUAAAAUCAUUUAUUUUCAUUAAAUUUUGAGCCAUUAAUGAAAUAAAUAUAAGUACAGCUAUUUGAACCUACUCAUUUUCUCACUACAUCAUUUAUUUAAUCAAAUUAAAAUUUAAUUUUAACAUAUAAUUCAUUAAAUUAUUUGUUUGACUUUGUUCUCUCUCUCUCUCCCCCUUCGUCUCUCAUUCUCUCCAACCAUUUUUUUUUGUCUACAUAGACUAAAUAUUUCAAUUAACAAAUAAAAUUGUUACAAAAAAUAACAAAUUUAACCAUAGACACCAAUAUUAAUUAAUAAACAAAAAAAUUGAAGAGUGAUAGAAUUAAAGUCUGUUAUACCACAAUUUGCUUUACUUUUAUAUUUUUAUUUUAGUGAGGAUACGAUGUAGACAUUAUUUUAGGAUUCUAUAAUUUUUAUUAUUUUAUCGUUUUCUAUUUUAAUUAUAGUCAACUAUGGUAUAUGUCUUAGUUUUUUAUUUCUAUUAAAAUUGUGAUUUAGUUUUUCUUUUUAAGUUAACUUAGUGAAGUAGGUUUAUUAUAUUAUAAAUCAAAAUCUUAUUAUUGUAACUUCAACUAUUGAUCAACUAAUAAAGCCCUUUUUAAUAAUUCUCUCUAAAAUUAUUUAUCAAAAUCUCUCUUACAAAGUUAUUUGGAUUAGAACGUCGUCUAAUCUUGCUUUAUGCGUUAUUAAAAUCUCAUUGAGCCAUUGUUAGAAUGAGAUCUACUCACGUUUCGAUUAGGACGUAAACUAUCCACAUUACCUUAGCCAGUAUUAGAACGAUAGCUAAUAUUUCCUACUCUAUCAAUUCCACUUCCGCUAUUCCAAUUUUUUAGUUUGUAUUAGAGUGGUUCAAUGCCAAUUGCACAGUUUUCCUGGCUACCCAUAUCCAUCCCCACCAAAUCCAUCACUGUUUAUCCAACAAAAAAAUAUUACAAAAUUACAAAACCUUAGCAGCCGCCCACCGCCACUGCCACUGCCACUCUUCACUAAUAGUUCACCAUUGGCUAAUCCCUCUACCAAACUCAUUAGCCACUACUGACCAAACCUUAGCCACUCCUGCCAUCAAUCGCCGCUUGUACCUACUAUAAAUCAUCUAGACCUAAAAACUGGGAGCAUCCACCAGCUGCCACCGUGAAACCAACCAUCUUCACUGUCAACCAACACCACCACUAAACUUGCUAGAUUCCACUGGUCAUAACUUGACAAAACCCACCAAUGAUCACCCCCAUAAAUCGCCACAAUGCUAACCCAAAACCCGGGCUUCACCUAGCGCCACCACAAACGCCACUUUCUCAUUGUCGAUAGACAAAUCGCAAUCGAAAUCUCCAACAUGAAUGAAGCACCACAGAUGCCAAUUCAAGUCAGCUUUUUGACCAAACCACCGUGAAUCCAGCCAAUCCUCGGCCAUUGUCGAGUUUCUCACGACCAUAUCUAGCAAAUCUAACCACUAAGGUCACCAGCCCCAGCGAAAGAAACUCUAACGGAUAAUUUUAAUCUUAGGUGUUCAAGUAAAAUGAUAAUUUUAAUCUUAUGACAUCAACAAGAAUCUAACGAGCUAAGAUGACAAUGAAUAAUUAAUAAACUCUAGGUGGAUUUCUAAAAAGAAAUUUUUUUUUGUGUAUUUUUGAAAAAGUCCCAAAGACUACAUGGUUAGUGGAUAAUUUCCUUUUUUUUCUUAUUUUCUACUAUUAUUAACAAUAAAAGUUUUUCAAUAGUAAUUGUUACAACCAUUAUAACAAUUAUUAUUGUUAUUGCUGUUGUUGUUGUUGUACAACAAAUGUGAAAUUCUAUCUACACAACCCAAGAGGGCGGUGAAUUGGGUAUUAAAAUUAUACUUACAAAAAUACAAAACAAAUUAAACAAAUGCUUUAAGAAAUUUAUAACAGUAAAUUUAACAAUGAAUGCAAUUAAAAAAAUAAAGGAAAAGAUAACAAACAAACAAAUUUUUACGUGUUUCGGCAAAACCCGCCUAUGUUUAUGCUGCCGAGCAAACUAAGUUUGAGGAUUCCACUAUCCAAGCCUUCUCAGGCUCUAAGAUUUUACAAUUGACUUUUAAUGUGUCAAUAAACCUUUAUAAGUAGUGAUGUGUACACAUACCUCUUUCCCCAAGUGUUUCCCACACUUAUACUCACAAAAUUUUGAUAUUUAAUUGAAGAUUACAAAGAUUAAUAUCUAUAAGAGUGUAUAAGCAAAUGAUAACUCAAUAAUGAUUUAAUGCAUGUAGAUAAGUAAAAUGAAAGCUCAAGAUUAGUUGUAUGAACAAGUUUAACUUAAUUGAGAUUGAAAAAGUUGUUAGAUUUGAGUUUGAUUUGGGUUCUUCUAGUUUAAACAAUCAAACUAGUCGUAAUUGACUUUCUGAGGACUUACCGGAUUGCUGCUAAAAUAAAGAAGUUAGUCGCUAUAUUGAUGUGGUAAGUUACCGUUACAAAUAAAAUUUAAAAACUUUUUUGCCUAAGCGAAUCGUCGCCUGAUUUAAAUGGUUAGCAGCUAUGUUUUUGGACCUGAAGCAGUUAGCCACUAUUCGUUAAGCGGUUAGUCGCUACUGUUUCAAAAUUUAUAGAUUUAAACUAAAAGUUCCUAAAAUUAUACUAUGGCCUAAAGUUUUUGAAAUAUUUACAAAUAGAUCCACUUCAAGAAUUUAAUACAUUACUAGUUGAUUUCAAAGUUCUCAAAACUUUUCAAUUUAGUCCAUAAAUUUGAAAACAACUAAUUUUAUAAAAUCAUUUUUAUUUACAUUUAAAACUUUUAUAUUAUAGAAAAUGAUGAUUUAAUUUGAAAAUUGUAUGAAAAAUAUCUUGCACUCUUAAAUACUAAAUCAUGCAUACAUUAAAUCAUAUUAGUUUUACAAGAAAUAUAACUAUGAAGAUUGCUUAAGCUAGUACCUUUAGCAUUCAUCCUUGAUUGUUGUUGUCCAUUGAGUGACUUGAACUUGAUCUCACUUGAGUGAUUUUUGUCCUUCAAGAACUUGUUAGAUUGUGAGAAAUAAAUUUACCAUUUUACCUUAUGUGGUUUGUUAUCAUCAAAAUUAAGGAUCAUAUAGCCGUUUACCCCAACAAUCUCUACUUUUUUUAUGAUGACAAACACCCUAUGUAUUUUGACAUUUCUAUUGCCCCUGAAUAUAUGACAUAAUUCAAAAAAUAUAACCAAAUAUAUAAACUCACUCCCUCUAAGUACAUGAUCCAUAUAAUUGUACAACAUUUGUAAACUCUCCUUGAGUGACUCAUAAAGUAACUAAAAUACUACAAACACUCAAUCAACCCCCAUGAGCCAAAAACAUGUCAAAACACUUCAAAAUACAUGUCAAUGUCUUCUCCCCCUUCAUCAUGAAAAAUCACUCGUCUAUUAUACAAAUAUUAUCAAUAAUUAUCCCCCACAAAGAUCAUCAAUCAAAAAUCCACACAUGACCAUUAAUCAAGUAUCCAUAUACAUAAUCCAUAAUCAAUAAAGAUAAUCCAUAAAGAUAAUUAAUAAAGAUACCACGAUCAAUAACUAGAAUGCAUAAAGAUAAUCCAUAUUAACUCAAGUAUCUAUAAUGCAUAAGUAAAAUAACAUCCAUCAAGUAUCCAUAAUGCUAAAAAUGAAAAUGCAUAUGAUAAAUAAUGUCGGUGCAUAAAACAAGGAAGCAAAAGAGAUAAAAGAAAAUCACUGAUGAGGCGGCAAACAUGAUAACAAGGAUGGUGGCAAAAAUUUGAGAGCAAUGAAAAUAAGCUGCUGAUGGUCUAGAAUUUGUUAUUGUUGAAGGAAGAGACGCUGUUGCUCAGAAAGAAAAUGAUCCUGGAAUGCUGCGAACGGUAUCUUAAGUUUGCUCUACUGCUCGGAUAUGGAACGCACUUUAUUCAACAACUGCUGGAUUGGGUUAUUGGGAAUGGCUGGAGAUGAUGAUGGUGGAGCAUCAGAAGGCCAAUGUAGAGCUUGUGACCUCAGGGAAGAGCUAAGAUCAAGAACCCAGUAAGGGGAAGCACAUCGUUAAAUAUGCAAUGAUAAAAAAGAGCCAGCUUUGUGGGUUUGCUCAACAAGUUCUGAUUCUUAACCUAUUGGUCAUCUACCCACCCAAAUCCUAAGCUAGCAAUGACCUCACCCCCUAACUCCUUGGGUUCAUCAUGAGAUGGUUCAGCUAUAGGGACCCAAAAAUAUUGAAGGAUAUGGGUAAUGACACUACCGACUGAAAAGGAUCGGUUUCCUAUACUCAGUGUAUUAAGCAUGUGCUGAAUGAUAAUAUUCGCACAUUUAGCUUUUACCCUCAAGGAUGCUAUGUAAUAAAGUAACAUCUAAGCGUGUAACCUCAGCACCAUGUCCCUUGCGAGGACUGAUCACAAGUUAAAGAACAAUAUGUAGGAUCCGAACUUGAAGAGGCAACACUUGUGAUCUAAGAGAGGAAUUAAAAAGCUCCAUGGAUAGAUCAGAUCACCUACAUAUUUUUCAAACAUCUAUGUUUCAAACAUCAUCUACAACUAAAUACCAGGGAUAAUCAAUUUUAGUCCUAGAUGUAUACAAAUGCAACCUAUCAUUCCUAGUCCUGAGAUUCAUGUUUAAAUCUUCUACUGUAAACUUAAUAGGAAUCCCAGCAACAUUAGUAAUAAUCAUAUUGGCAGUAUGUGUAUAAAUAAGCAUGUUCGAAUAAAAUACUCGUACCAAAUUAGGACAAAUAUGUUCCUUAAGAACUAAGACAUUUGUCCAACCCAAUUCAGCAAGUAAAGUUCUAAGAGUUUUGCUACAACUUGGCAAAUUUUCUAAUUAAUCAAGAUUAACAUAUAUAGGAUGGGAGGACUGACCUUGUCAUAAAUCGAUCAUAGAAUCAUUCCAUUGAGGUGGAUUUGGAAAGUGGGUGGAAAUGAAUUUCAUAAUGUCUUUAUGAAUCUUUUUUUUUUACAUUUUAGGCAUAUGCUAACCCUUGGACUUCUCACCACUAGCCAUUAAGAAAUUAUCAAAAUGUGUCCAAAAUUGCACAAAUUCGAGUUCAGCAAGUUUUUAAAGAAAUAGAUGAUUUUGAACCGAUUAAAAUGUUAAAAUGUUCUUUGAGAAUAUCUAAGGAAUGUAUGGGUUUAUUUUGGUCGAAAAUGGUCAAAUAAUGGUUCAAAUUUGAGAAUGUUGAAACUGGUGACUUAGGCUUUAAGAUUUUGAGAAAAUAGUGAUUAGAUUGUGUUUUAAAAGCGAAUGAGUGAAGAUUAAUUGAUGGGAAAUGAUUUGGAAAGUUUAAUUUGACACAAAAGUGAUGUAAAAAUGGAAGAUUUUAGAGAGAGAGUAAAAGAAAUGAGAGAUGACAGUGAUAGAGAGAGGGUAACAACUGAAAGUGGGAAAAAGAAGAUGAACAACAUUUGAAAACGUGAAGCCAGCUAGCCUCUUGAAGAAAGCGGUUAACUGUUUCAUUUUUAGAAACCAAGCAAUUAACCGUUUGCUUUGAGCCGGCUGGCCAGCUAGUUUCUGCCUCACAAUUGGCUAGUCGCUUGUGGUUAACGGUUAGCUAGUUCCCCUAAAUUUUGCACGAUUUUGCUUUUUGGCCAAAAUUUAAUUAAUUUUGAGACCAUUUUGUGAUCCCGAAGUAUUUUAAAAGCCAUUUUUAAUGCAUAAGAUAUGAUGAUAAACAUUCAAAGAAGUAAAUUCAAGCAUAUAACACAUUAAAAUCAAGUUUUUAUCAUACAAUCAAUCAAGAUAGAAAAUUAAGCAAAUUUGUAGUCUCAAUAUCAUGCAAUGAAAUAUUGAUGUGAAAAUGUCAUCAUUCCAAACUCAAUCUAAAUCUUUGAAAACUAUUCUUCACAAAAAGGCUUUGUAAAAAUAUCAGCAAGUUAUUUUUCCAUAGAAACAAAUUCUAAAGCAAUAUCUCUCAUUUAAACAUGAUCACGUGAGAAAUAAUGCCUAGUUUCAAUAUGUUUGGUCCUAGAAUGUUGAAUGAGAUUCUUUGACAAAUUUAUUGAGCUAAUAAUUUAUAUGAGUUCCCUUAGACCAAGAUCAAUUGUUCCUCAUAAAUAAUGAAAAAUUCUUUUAACCGCAAGAAAAUGAGAUUCUUUGAGAUAUGGUUGAAAUCAUGCACACAAGCAUACACUAAAGUAAUGUCUACUAGCAGUAAAGUAAAGUAAAGAUAUGAUCAUACCUCGAUAUCUUUUGAUACAACAUCUUUACUUUUUUUAUCCUUAUCGAUCUUGAUUGUAGUACUCAUUGGAGUGUCUUUAGUCCUGAAUGCAAAAUCUUUUGAGUAGAUCUCUGAAAUACUUGGCUUGAUUAAUGAUUUCUUUUUUUUCUUUUAAAUUUUAAGUCCAAGAAAGUACUUCAAUUCUCUCAUCAUGCUCAUGUCAAAUUCUCUACUCAUGCAAGAUGAAAAUUCCUUACACAGAAACUCAUUAGUAGAACUAAAGAUAAUAUCAUCAAUAUAAAUUUGAACAAGUAUACCUUGAUCCUUGUAUUUAACAAAUAGAGUAGUAUUCGCUUUACCCAUUGAAAAACUAUUUUCUAAAAGAAAUUUACUAAGUAUAUCAUGUCAUGCUCUAGAUGCUUACUUUAAACUAUAUAAAACUUUGGACAACUUGUAAACAUGAUCCAAAAACAUUUUUCGUUUUUAAAACGAGAGGGUUGUUUCACUUAAGCUUCCUUUAUAAUACAACUAUUUAGAAAGGCGCUUUUAGCAUCCAUUUAAUAUAAAAUAAAAUCAUUAUGAUAUGCAAAUGAUAAAAGCAUGUAAUGGAUUCUAAUCUAGCUACAUGUGCAAAGGUUUCAUCAAAAUUAAUUUCUUCUUCUUGGUUGCAUCAUUGAGCUACUAAUCUAGCUUUAUUCCUUACAACCACACCAGAUUCAUCGAUUUUAUUCCUAAACACCCAUUUACUGCCUAUUACAGAUUGAUGUUAUGGUUUAUGAACAAGUUUCCAUACAUUGUUUCAUUCAAAUUGAUUUAACUCUUCUUGUAUUGCUAUAAUCCAAGAUUCAUAAUUUUCCACAUCUGAAAAGGAUUUUGGUUCAACUUGAGAUAUGAAUACAGUAUGUUCACAUGUAUUUCUAAGUGAUUAUCUAGUAGUUACACCUCAUGAAGGAUCUCCUAAGAUUAAGUCUUUAGGGUCUGAAGAGACAUACCUUAUCUCCUUAGAGAGUGUUUGUGAAUUACCUUCAUUUUGAAUAUGUUUAACUUGUUCUUCUUGUUGCUCAUCUUGAUUUUUGCCUAGUAAAUCAUCUUGUUUGUCUUUUAAAGACUUUUUUUUUUUUUGUAACUCUUCAUAUGCAUCAUUAUCAACAACAACUUUCUUCGUAGAAGAAAAGUUAGAUUUAAUCAAACAUAACAUGUAUAGAUUCUUUAGCGACCAAGGUUCUUUUAUUAUACACUCUAUAAGUUCUACUUGUUUUUUAAUACCCAAGAAAAAAUAUCAACAUCAGAUUUUAUAUCAAAUUUACCAAGAUUAUCUUUUGUAUUCAAUAGAAAACAUUUGCAACCAAAAACUUUGAAAUAGUCAAUAUUUUUCUAUUUUUCCAAAGCUCAAAAGGAGUUUUAUUGAGGUAAGGUCUAAUCAAUGCACGAUUUAAAACAUAACAAACAAUAUUGACGGCAACCUAAAAAUAUUCUAGUAAAGCAUUUUUAUUUAACAUGGUCCUAGUCAUUUCUUGGAUAGACCAAUUCUUUCUCUCAACUACUCCAUUUUAUUGUGGAGUUCUUGGUGACAAGAAUUGAUGCUCAAUGCCAAAGUUAUUGUAAAAAAUUGAGAAUUACAAUUUUUAAAUUCUCCACCAUGAUCACUUCUAAUGCAAGAAAUAACAUAUCAUUUUUCAUUUUGAACCUUUUUAUAGAAAUUUUGAAAGCAUUAAAGGUGUCAUCUUUAUUAGUUAAGAGUAAUACCAUGUGUAUAUAGAAUAAUAAUCUAUAAUUAUAAAUGCAUAAUAUUUACCACUUAGACUAGCAUAUUUAGAAAAUUCAAACAAAUCCAUGUGAAAAAAGUUAAAAUGGUUUUGAAGUAGAAAUAUGAAUUUUAUUUUUAAAGGACGUUUUAUUUGUUUUCUAAAUUGGCAAACUUCACAAAUUCUAUCUUUUUUAAAACCAAUUUUUGGAAGACCUAUAACCAAAUCAUUUUAAAAAAAUUUUGAAAUAAAAUCCAUGCUCGCAUGACCUAGGCUUCCAUGCCAUAUCAACUAUCAUCAUGUAAUGUGAAAAAAACAUUUAUUAUGAGUUGAUACACUAUCUAUAUCAAUGGUGUAUACAUUAACACAUCUUUAUCUAACAAAUAAAACUUUGCCAUCACAUGCAUUUUUAAUAACACAUUUUGUUUUAUAAAAAAUAACUCUAUAAUCUUUAUCACAUAAAAAUAACUUUGUAACCUUUAUCACACAAUUGACUAAUACUAAGCAAAUUCUAAAGCAAUAUCUUUUAUUUUUCUUUUUCAAAUCAUUUACAGGUAAACCUUUAUUCUUAGAUGAAACAUUUUGUUUUUUCUUUAAAAGAUGCAAUUUCUUCACAAAUACUCCUAGGCACUUAAUCUUUUUAUUCAAAGUGUCAUUCUCAUUUAAAAGUUCUACUUUUUUCUUUCCAAGAGAAACAUUUUACAUUCCAAUCUUCUUUAAAUCUUUAUGCAAUUUAGAGAAUACUUCAAACAACUCAUCCUAAGAGGUUUACCUCAUCAAGUUCAUCUCCUAUAACCAUAAGUGCCAAAUUUGACACUUCAUGGGACUACUCUUCAUCUAUAGUCUCCUUAUCGCUAUCAUCCCGUGUUGCUACCAUAGCUUUCUUCUUUAAUUUAUUGAGAAAAGGACAUGCUAGUUUUAUGUGUCUAGGCUUCCUGCAUUUAAAGCAAAUAAUUGCCUCCUUUUCUUUCUGAUUUUUGAAUUUCCUUCGCUCGAUGGAUUUCUUGAAUUUUUUUUUGAAUUUUCCAGCUAUCAUAGCCAUGUCUUCAUUUUCGAUCUCACUUUCGUUGUCACUUUUAGAUCUUGAUGCUUUUAAGGAAAUACUCUUCUUCUUCUCGACUUCAUUGCCUUUUCAAUUUGUCAAAUCCUUUUCAUAAGAAAUAAAUGAACUAAUUAAAUCAUCAAUAGAUAAAGUAUCCUUGGCUUCCUCAAUGGCAAUUUUCUUAGGUCUCUAUUCUUUUGGUAAAGACCUACUGAUUUUUUUUACCUUCUCGCUAUUUGAAAAGGUCUUUCUAAGAGCUUCUAAAGUGUUUAUAAUGUCUGUGAAUCUAGUGUAUAUGGAAUUAACACUCUCAUUUUGUUCCAUUUAUAGCAAUUCGUAUUGCCUAGUAUAUCUACUAAUUUUAGACUAUUUAACUUGAUUUGUAGCUUUAUAAACGACUUUAUGUUUUUUCCAAAUUUCAUAAGCAUUGGAACAACCUUAAGGCACAAAACAAAGCAUUCAUGGCUUUGAAAUUAAGAGAAUUUUUUCUCUUUUCUGACUCAUUCCAUUCUUGUGAAAGCUUUUAACAGUAGGCAUGAAUGGACCAUCACAAUCAACUUCCUAUAUUUCAUAAUAUAAUGCUUGCAAAUAAAUUCUUAUCAUAAUUUUCCAACAUGGAUAAUCAUUCCCAUCAAAGAAUGGUGAUCUAGUAAGGGAUUAACCUUUCCCAAAUCUGGGAUCAUUUUGGAUUACUAUGGAUCUUUUACUCUAGAUGGUUAAGUCCUAAUAAGAUAACUUCCUCUUAUACCAAAUGAAAUUCUAGCUAAGCAACCCAAGAGGGGGUGAAUUAGGUAUUAAAAAUUAUACUAACAAAAACACAAUACAAAUUAAACAAAUGCUUCAAGAAAUUUAAUAAUGGUAAAUUUAACAAUGCGUGAAAUUAAAAAGAUAAGGGAGAAGAUAACAAACACAUGAAUUUUUAUGUGGUUCGGCAAACCCGCCUAUGACUACGCCUCCAAGCAAUCCAAACUUGAGAAUUCUACUAUCUAAACCUUCCAAGACUCCAAGAUUUUACAAUUGACUUCUAAGGUGUCAAUAAACCUUUACAAGUAGUUAUGUAUACACACACCUCUUUUCCCAAGUGUUUCCCACACUUAUACUCACUCAAUUUUGAUAUUUAAUUGAAGAUUACAAAGAUUACACUCUAUAAGAGUGUAUAAGCAAAUGAUAGCUCUAUAAUGAUUAAUGUAUGUAGAUAAGCAAAAUGAAAGCUCAAGAUAUAUGAAUAAGUUUUAGCUUAAUUGAGAUUGCAAAAAAUUGUUAGAUUUGAGUUUAAUUUGAAUUUUAUAGUUUAAACAAUCAAACUAGCAAUUAUGGGCUUUUCUAGGGACUUGCUGGAUCGCCGUUAAAAUGAGGCGGUUAGCCACUAUGUUGAUAUGGUAAGUUACAGUUGCAAAUCAAAUUUGAAAACUUUGGUUCAAGCGGAUUCCGCUUGAUUUAAGCGGUUAGCUGCUAUGUUUCUAGACUUGAAGUAGUUAGCCGCUAUUGGUUAAGCGAUUAGCCACUAUUGUUCCAGGAUUUAUAGAUUAGACCUAAUUUUUUUGAAAUUAUAUUACAGCCCAAAACAUUUGAAAUAUUUACAAAUAUGUCAAUUUCUAGGAUUUAAAACAUUAUUGGUUGAUUUCAAAGUUCUCAAAACUUUUCAAUUUAGUCCAUAAAUUUGGAAAAAGCAACUAAUUUUAUAAAAUCGUUAAAACUUUUAUAUUAUAGAAAAUGAUGAUUUAAUUUAAAAAUGUCAUGAAAAAUAUCUUGAGCUUUUAAAUGUUAAAUCAUGCACACAUUAAAUUAUACUGGCUUUACAAGAAAUUUAACAAUAAAGAUUGCUUAAACUAGUACCCUUAGUAUUCGUACUUGAUUGUCAUUGUCCAUUGAGUAUCUUGAUCUUGAUUUCACUUGAAUGAUUUUUGCCCUUCAAAAACUUGUGAGAUUGUGAGAAAUAAAUUUACCAUUGUACCCUAUGUAGUUUGUUAUCAUCAAAAUCAAGGAUUAUAUAACCGUUUAGGCCAACAAAAUAUUAUAAUAAAUAAUAAUUAUUAUGAUAAAAAAUUAAAGAUAUUUCGUAAUUUGUAACAACUCAUCGUGAUUUUAAAAUAAAAUAAAUAUAUCAAUGAUGAUAUAAUUUAUUUUAAUUUUAAUUUUUACAAUUUAAAUAAAUAAAUAAAUUAUCAUUCCAUAUUUUAAUUCCAACUCAUUCCAUUCCAAUUCAUUCAUAUUUUAAUCAGUAUAUCAACUACCCCCGAGCAAUGCCCGAAAGACAUUGAGGCAAGGGCCACAGAAAAAUAUACACUUGUUAGUUUAGCGUUGGUGUCAAGUUUCUUUAGCAUUUUAAAUUCAUAAAAGAACUUAUAGUGGUUCUUCAUCCUUUGGACUUUUCAGUGUUUACUUUCUAGAGUGGGUGUGAGUAGUGUGAAUUCCUCCCACUUCAAUAUUUACUGUACCAUUUUAAGGAGGGAUUGGGAAUCCCACUCCAUAAACCCCACCCAUUUUUGGAGUGGGGAGUGGGAGUGGGAGUGGGACUCCCAUGGGAACCCACUCCCACCUCUCCCUUUUCUACCUUUAUUUAAUUAAAUUUAAUAUUUAAUAUUUAAUAAAAUAAAAUAAAUAAUAUUAUUAUAUUAAUAGAGAAUUAAUAAUAUUACUAUAUGUUAUUUAUUUGAAGAUAUAAUAUUAUUAUAUUUAUUUAAAAAUAUAGUAUUAUAUUUAUUUAAUAUUAAUAAUUAAUAAUAAUAAAUAGUUUAUUCUAAGAAAAUAUUAAUUUUAUACUAAAUAAUAUUAUAUUAUUAUUUAUAUAAUAAUAAAUUUAAUAUAAUUAAAUAAAAUAAUAUUUCAUUUUAUAUUUACCUUCCUUUUUUAACCCCCUUUUAUUAAAUUUACUAUAAUUAUAUAUUAAUAAAAUAAAAUAAAUAAUAUUUUAUUUAUUUAAAUAAUAUUAUUAUAUUUAACUAAAUAAUAAUUUGGUUUGAUUCUAAGUUUAAAUUACUUAAAAAUAAUAAUAUUAUAUUAAUAGAGAAUUAAUAAUAUUACUAUAUACUAUCUUUAUUUGAAAAUAUAAUAUUAUUAUAUUUAUUUAAAAAUAAUAGUAUUAUAUUUAUUUAAUAUCAAUAAUUAGUAAUAAUAAAUAGUUAAUUAUAAGAAAAUAUUAAUUUUGUACUAUGUUAAUAGUAAAAAUAUUUCAUUUAUAUUGCUCUUAUCAAUAAUUUUUAAUUUAUAUAAUUAAAAUUAAAAUUAAUAAAAAAUUAUGAUGUACAUAAUUAAGAAUAUUAACAAUUAUUAUAAAUUUAUAAAUAUAAUAAAAUAAAUGUUUAUUCAUUAAAUAUAUAUUUUUAUUAACUUUGUAAUAAAAAAUUAUAAUUCUUUAAAUAAAGGUAAAAUUAUAAUUUAAAAUUAUUUACUCUCAAUUCAAGAUAAAGUACACACAUAAAUUGGAUUAUGAUCUCCAUUCCAUACUUAUAUUUCAGUGUAAGUAAACAACUUACACUUAUUUCCACUCUACACUCUCAAUCAUAGAUUUUUAUUUCUCAAAAUUCUCACUCCAAUCCAAAAUGUAAACACUAUGGUAAUUGUUCACGCAACUAUUUUAAUCGAAAAUAUUUUACUCGAAACUAAUAGACCUUUCAACAAUUUUAAGCGAAAAUAAUAGACCUUUCAACAAUUUUUACGGAUUCUGGCAAUUGUUCACGCAACUAUUUUAAUAGAAAAUAUAUAUGGCUCCGUAAACAAUGAUUAUCUCUUGACAGCUGUUCUGCACUCGCCAUUUGUACUGAAAUAGAAGAUUAUCUCUUGAUGAUUAUUUAAUUGAAAAGAAUUUGUCGUUUAUAUUUGACUGACUUGACAAAGAGUUGUUCACCUGGCCUUUGGAUGAGGAUCACAUGUUUUAUGACAAUCGUAAUGUUACUAAGGUAAGUCAAGCAAUUAUUUUUAAAUAAUGAUAUUAUAAUUAAAAAUCUAAAAACAUUUAUAAUACUUAAAGACUAAUUCCGAUUAUUAAUUUUUUUAUAUGACUUCAUUAUUAGCUGACAAAUAAUUAAAAGGCCAUAGAACAAUAUUUUUAGGUCCAAUUUUUAUUCUAAUAUGACAAAAUUUGUACUUUCAUUCCUAUACUAAAAUAUAUCUAACCUACUAACUAUCAAGAAAUAUAACUAUUCAACACAUAUUUGUUAGAAAGAUUAUCUACUAAUUAAUCAUUGAUUACGAGAUUAAUAUAUUGAAAUUCAGAACUUUUUUUUUUCCUUCUGCAGUUUAAAAAGGAGUCGCCCACGAGUAUUGAAAUAAUUUUAUCAGAUUCGCUUAAAAGUAGUUUUAAUUCUCAGUCAAUUCUCAGUCAAGAAUUGACUUUUUUUUUUCCUUCUGAACUUUUUUUUUUCCUACUCUUUGCCUUCAAUUCUCAGUCAAGAAAACCUCUCCUGAUUUUCGUCUUUUGAUCUCAUACACACUUUGCUUCUAUUUAUCGUGGUCACUGCUCGUGCUAGCCGUUUUCUUAUUUAGCUUCGUUCCCUUUUGCCAUCAGCUAUUUGCAUUUUCAUUGGAUCAAGCAACCCUUUUCUUGAUUCAAUUUUCUGAUCUCAAAAACACUUUGAUUCUCUUCUGUUACACUGAUUUCCCUUGUUUUGUACAAAUAUCAUUUCUUUUUUCAACUUUGCCUUGUUUUGCUUCUACUUGAUUAUCAAUUGCGCGGCCGUUGACCCUGUUCUAUUUCUAUUUCGUUCACUUCCCCAAAAAAAAAAAAAAAAAAUGGACAUUUUGAAAAGCAUUGUUCCAGGAGUUGUAAACUGUUUGUCUCCUCACGCACAACGCGAAUUUAGUUAUUGGUAUAAUUCCGGUGCCAACUUUGAGAAUCUCAAGGCAGAACUCGAUAGGCUCAAGGAUGAAAGAGAAAGCAUUCAGCGCAGAGUUUCUGAGGCUGAAAGAAAAAGUGAAAAGAUUGAAGAGAAGGUUGAGAAAUGGCUGGUUAAUGCGAACAAGAGCAUUGAGGAGGCAGCCAAAUUCAUUUUCGACGAAGAGAAAGCAAAUGAACGAUGUCUCAUGGGGCUGUUUCCUAAUUGGAUUACUCGCUAUCAGCAUGGAAAGAAAGCAGAAACAGAGAAGGAGGCCCUUUUUAAACUCCGAGAAGAAGCUGGGAGAUUUGAUGAUAGAAUUUCCUACCGUACCAUACCGGAGGAGAUUUGGCUCAAGUCUCACAAAGGCUACGAGGCCUUCGAAUCAGGACGUUCUACUUUGGAGGCUAUAAAAAACGCAUUGAUCGAUGUUGAUGUCAGCAUCAUUGGGGUGUACGGCAUGGGCGGCAUUGGAAAGACGACACUGGUGAAGAAGGUCGCCAGGCAAGCUAUGGAAGACAAGCUCUUUGAUAUGGUAGUCUUUUCAGAGGUUUCCCAAAUCCCAGACAUAAAAAGGAUUCAACAUGAAAUUGCCGAGGAGUUGGGCCUGGAGUUGCGCGAGGAAGUUGAAUCCAGAAGAGCAAAUAGAAUAUUUGAGCGAUUGAGAGAUGAGAAGAAGAUCCUUGUGGUUUUAGACAACAUCUGGAAACACCUUGAUUUGGAGACCGUUGGAAUUCCUUUUGGAGAAGACCAUAAAGGAUGCAAACUACUGCUGACAGCAAGAGAUCGUAGUGUCCUCUUAAAAAUGGGAUCUAAAGACAACUUCUUGAUUAACAAUUUAAAUGAUGAAGAAGCAUGGAGAUUGUUUAAGAUGAUGGCCGGUGAUGAUGUUGAAAAUCGUGAGUUGAAAUCUACAGCAAUAGACGUUGCCAGGGCAUGUGGAGGUUUGCCCAUUGCCUUGACUACAGUGGCAAAGGCACUGAGAAGCAAGAGUCUGCAUGAAUGGAAGAAUUCCUUGCGAGAACUCCGAACGCCUUCAAUGGUAAACUUCGAAGGAGUAUCUGCAGAGACUUAUUCAAGUAUUGAGCUGAGUUUCAACCAUUUAAAGGUGAGCAACUCAAGAAAAUUUUUCUGCUCUGUAGUCUAAUGGAUAACCGUAUUCUUACUUCGGACUUGUUUAAGUACUCCAUGGGUUUGGGUAUAUUUAAAGGAGUCAAUAAGAUGGAAGAUGCACGAGACAAAUUAUAUGCAUUGGUCCAUGAACUUAGACACUCUUGUUUGUUGCUUGAGGGUGAGAGCAAUGAACAAUUUUCAAUGCAUGAUGUUGUUCGUGAUGUCAUAUAAUUUUCAACUAUCACUAAGUGGAAAAGAUGUGAAGAUGAUUUUGCAGGCCGAUUUCCCACAACACCUUUUUGGCAGUCUUAAACAACUAGAGAUUGUUGGAGAUGACUCAGCUUGUUUUCCAAUCUGGAACGUACUGAAGAGAUUUCACAAUCUCAAAAUGCUCAUACUGCGUUAUUUUUCAUCCCACGAAGAGCUAUUUUCAAUGGAAGGAUGCUUAGAGAAACAUGUGGGGAAGUUGGCAAUGAUAAAAGCAUUAGAGCUGCGCUGGCACUAUCAUCUGAAGCAGCUGUGCAAACAAGACUCCAAACUUGGCCCCAUUUUUCAGUAUCUUGAAUUCAAAAUGUACUUCAUUGUCAAAGUCUGUUAACUCUAUUGCCACCAUCAUCGGUAUCUUUCCAGAACCUAACAGCUCUGGUGGCUUUCGGUUGCAAGAAAUUGAUACACUUAGUAACAUCCUCCACAGCAAAAACUCUAGUGCAACUCGUCAAAGUGUGUAUAUAUGGAUGCAGAGCAAUGACAGAGGUGGUAAUAAAUGACAAAGAUGGAGUUGAAAAAGAAGAGAUUGUUUUCCGCAAAUUGAAGGCGUUGGAACUGUGUGAUUUAGAUAGCCUCACAAGUUUCUGCUCUGCCAAUUACACCUUCAAAUUCCCAUCUUUGCAAGAUUUGUGGGUGAUUGGUUGUCCCAAGAUGAAGAUUUUCACUACAGGAGAAUCAAUCACGCCUCUAAGAGUAAACGUCUGCUAUGGAGAGACAGCGGAUCAACGGCGCUGGGAUAAUAAUGAUCUAAACACAACCAUACAACAAUUACAUGCUGAGAAGGUACGGAUAUACAUAUUACUCUCUAUCUCCCAUGAUAAAUUUUUACAAAAUUUGCUUUUUUUAAAUAAAAUAUCGAUAAGAUAUUUGUUUUAAAAUUAGUUUAAAUUGAUGGAUAAGAAUUUUAUUCUCAGCUGUUGGACGGGUCGUCGAUAUACUCUACGCAAUACCACUAAUUUCAUUGGCUUCUUAUGUCUUGGAGUUGCGAAUUUGAAGAAGAAAGUCCCAGCUGGUAAUUAAUUCUUAUUUUAUUUAUUUGAUCUCGUGGGUUGUUUCACAAUUUCAUCUCAAUUAUUUAGAAUGGGUCGCUUGGUUUUCAUGUUUCGUUCAGGCUUUUGUGGGCAGAUUUUGCGUCAUUGAUUGUCUUUUGGUCUAAUUUAAUUUAAUUUGAGUAUUUUGUUUGAGAAUUCGCUUGUUCUCUAAAAUUUUAUAAUUCCUUGCAAGCAUUUUAUGAUGAAAUUUCAUUAAAAGGGGCAACACUUGCAUGUUGAAUGUCUUCAGAUAUUAUAAUUCCUUGAAAUCAUGCGAACUUUUUUCUUUCUUUCUUUGCCAAUCAUUUAUUGUCAUCAUUGCCUUUCCGUUAUAUUUGUUUCUGCUCUGUUUGUUCUUUGGAAACUUGGAAGGCAACGAAAGUACUUAAGAAAAUGCUCUUGCCUAUGAACACAUAAUUAAGAAGCUGAAUAUCAUUCAGCGGGUAAAAUAUAUAUAUAUAUAUAUAAUUAGCCCAUUAUGCCUACAACAAAUCCUUACACCAUCAAAGGUUAGCUAUGAACAACUAUAUUGUGGAAAUAUUGUUUGAAAGCAUUGGAUAGAAUUUUCAAAAAUAUCAAGUUUUCACAAACCAAAAAGGGAACUAAUUUGGUCUAGUUUUGUGAAAGUAUAGAAGCACAAAUUUUGUCUGUUAUUCUUGUUAAAAUUCUCAGCACUAUGUUUGCAGAAUGUCUGGAUACUGAUGGAGAUUCAAGUCACUCUUCUUCUGUGCAACAUUUGAAAUGAAGCCUUUUUUUCCCCCUUUAUUCAAAUUUUAUGUUGUGAGGGGUUCCGUUUCCAUCUUCAUGUGAUUUACUUCAUCGUGUCGCUACAUAUAUGAUAGUGUGUGUUAUUUCCUGUCUGUUUCCUUUAUUUGACCAUCGGAAGUUCAAAGACAUUUUAUUCUAAAUGUGUGUAAAUUCAUUUUCUGUAUAAGCUCUUUGUAUGCAUUUUGACAUUUUAUUCUCAAUAUAUGUGACUCAAUGAGAGGUCUAUUGUUAUAUAUACGUCACGAAAUUCUUGUGUAUUUUUAGAUUUGAUGAUGUAUUAUUGCCUCAUUGCAAGGUCUUAUAAUCACUCUGAUUCUUAUUUCUUGUAUAUAUAUGUAUAUAUGCGCAAGAAAUUUGAUAAAUGAUCUCGUCAUUUUCUCAGUUAAACAUCUAGUACUUUAUAUGUUGGAAGGGUACUAAGCAGCAGGCCAAGAUUUAUCAACUCAAAGAUCGUCAUGUCACUUUUUGAAAGUUGACUAAAAAAUAUUCCUAAAAGUAGCAAAAGUUGGUGGAUUAUUGUGGUUUUCCUACUUUAUCGUUUUUGGUUGAAUAAAUUAAUAUAAAGCUGUCGAUUCUGCAUUAAAGCUUAUGAAUUGUGAAGAUAUAUGAAUACCAAAUCUUUCCAACUCCAACUCUUGAGUAAUUAUUAGGUUCCCACCCAUGCAAACAUAUUUUCUUUCGAGAAAAAGGGAUGCCUGAGUCAGGGCAUCCGUUGCCUCGGUUUAUUUGAUUUUGUUUGGUUCAAUUGUGGUUCUGUUAUUUAGUUUUUCCUCUGAUGGUUCUGUUUCUCUGUAUAUUUCACUGGGUUUGCUUUGCUUCACAUCUUUCUUUCAAAACUAAGUAUAUAUCAAAUCAUGCAUAUGCUCAUGCUCUUGCCUAUGAACACAUAAAGAACAACUGAAUAUCCUUCGUCGGAUAACAAAAAAAAAAAAUCUAAUCAUCCAUUACUUAAUUAGAAAAAAAAUUUGUUCGCUCUGCUUGCUUUAGUAAUUUGUCUUUUAUAUUUGACUGGCUCGACAAAGAGUUGUUGACCUCGUUUUGAUACACUUACAUUGCAGAGAUUGAAACCAGAUCUGUCAUACAUUAGUUGGCCAUAAAAAUAAUCAAAUCACUUUCUCUUUUUCACCUAUUUUCACGGAGAAAAAUGCUAAAGAAACUGGGAGAAUGCUAAAUUCAAAGGUGGAAAGUGUACAGAGAGAGGAAGCGCGUGUUUAGAGAGAGAGGUCUCAAAUAUAUAAGUUGGAUUUCUCAUAAAAGGUAGUAAGGUUUCUAUAAUUCUAUUUCUAUUUAUGCUGAAUUUCAUGGAAACGAAGUUAAUUUAGAGAUUUGUAUACUUUAUUUAUAGUUAAGUUUUCCAAAAAAAGGCGUAAAGUUGCUCCUAAGUUCAUUUUUAUAAUUGGUCGAUUAUUUUAGAAGUCACAAGGGUGCCAACAAGGAAUUGUAGAGUCGGAUACGUGUAGCCUUCAUUGUUUUCCUGAUUCGGUAUGUAUAUAGUUAUAUGUAUGUUUAGGUAGAUUAUGGUUGGUGAUGAUAUUGUUAAUAAUAUGGAUGAUUUGUUAGAUAUGAAAAUUAAGUUAUUAAGGGUGAAACAUGAAACCGAAUCCGUCACUGCAUUUGCUUGAAAAACAAUUUUACGAAUAAUAGGUCCUCGACAACUUUCAAUGUGGUUUAGUUACAUGUAUUCAAAACAUAAAUUAUUGUUAUGAUUUUAGAAAAUUUUGUUGUUUGUAAUUUAUAUUUGAAAUUUUGCAACAAUUGUUUGGCACAAAUAUUUUUAUUUAAGAAAAAGAGUGAUCUCAUUAUUGAGCUGGUUUUGAUAACACAUAUGGAAAUAAUAAAUUGAUUCAUAAUUAAGUCAAUUACCUAAUUAAAAUGUACCUCAAUAUUUUUUUCCUCAAUAUUUUUUUGGUAAUGUUGUAUCUGUUAUAGUAAUUUUUGGUAGUUAUGUUUGGAAAUAAUCACUAUGAAGAGAAUGAGUUAAACAUUUAGGAAAAUUUAUUUUUAGAAGUCCUAUUGAUAAUGUAAAUGCUAAAUUGAAUAUAAUGUUAAAUAAAAUUUAUUUAUACAUUUAUAAACAUUUAAAUAAAAUAUUUUUAUCUUGUAAGUAUAAUAAUUGAUUACUAAAAUAAAUAUUUUAUAUUAUUAAUUUUAUUUUUAGUUUGUUAUCUCAAUGUAAUUGUUGAUAAUAUCUUUAAAGUUAAUAAUUUUAUUUUCUAAUUAAUAAGGAUAAUUAAUAUAUGUAGGGAUGUAUAUGGAAUUAUAUUGAGUAUAAAACUGAUUAUCAAAAUCAGAUUUUGAAAAACUAUUUGCUUUCAAAAUUUAUUGUAGGAUUGAUGAUUUUACCAAAGGUGACUUCUAAAAUUUUUAUUAAAUACCAAAAUUAGCAUUUAACUUUUCAAAAUUAAUUUUGAGCCUCUAAAAAUAAUCCCAAACGGAACUUUAAUAUAUGUUUGAUUUUUUUUAAUUUUAUAUUAUAUGAGACAAAAAUAUAAUUUUUAUCGUUGAAAAACAAAUGACAGAUUUUUUUGAAUAAUUUAAAAAAAAAAGAAACACAGAGCUCAAGAUAAUGCUGUAAUUGUUGCAUAAGAAGGCUGCAACUUGAUGAUAAAUUUAUUAUACUAGUUUUAAGGUUUUAUUUUGUGUGUAAAAGUUGCUGGUUCUUGUUUUAGAAAUUUCUCUUUCUAUUUGCCUGACUCGACAAAGAGUCGGUGUACCUCGUACUGAUACACUUAAAUUACAAACAUGGAAACCAGAUCUGGCAUCAUAAAUUAAUCAAUCACCUUCUCAUUAAUCUACCAUUACUCUUUUCGUUCCCUUAUUUUUAUCUAACCAUUUAGGAUAGGAUUUGAAUUCAGUACUUAAUUAUUCUUUUUAAUAAUUUUAAAAAAUUAUAAUUAAUAGUUAUUGGAUAAAAAUAUAAAAUUAAUUAUAUUAUUUGUCAUACGCGUGUGACAAAAGGUUAAGAAAAAUUUAUUUACGUUUGCUCAAUCCACUCUCUUAUUAGCUCCCCCACUCUCUUAAUCAUUUCUUCUCAUUCGAAAAACACUUUGCUUCUGUUUGUUUGUUAUUUAUUUUUAGCUCCAUAACUGCUCGUCGUAACGCUGUCUCUCUGUUUUGACUGUCCUUUAGCCUUCUUCACUUCUACAUUGUUGUCAGGAUUCAAGAUGCUGGAAAUCAUUGUUACUCUCGUUUUGGAACCUUGUAAAAUGCUUGGCUCCUCCAACUGAACGCCAACUUGUUUAUUUGCGAUGGCGGAACUACAAUGCCAACCUUGAGAAUCUCAAGGCGGAAAUGGAGAAGUUGAAGGUUGAACGUACGAGCAUUCAGCGCAGAGUUUCAGAGGCGAAAGAAAAAGGGGAAGAGAUUGAAGAGAAGGUUGAGAAGUGGCUGGUUAGUGCUAACGGCAUCAUUGACCAGGCAGCCAAAUUCGUUGAAGAUGAAGAGUCAACAAAUAAGCGCUGUCUCAAGGGCUUGUGUCCUAAUUUGAAGACCCGCUAUCAGCUUAGCAAGAAAGCAGAGACGGAGGUGAAGGCCAUUAUUGAGCUUGGAAAACAAAAUUAGAGAAAUUUCCACGUUCAAAGACAUUUUAAUAUGUUAUAACUAAACUAAUCAGAAAAACGAGUUUAAAGAAAAAAAAAAAAGGAGAGGGAGGGGACGGCAUCGUUUAAUUAAAAAGAGCUAAAAUUUUACUCUGUCCAUGUUGCAAAGCAAGAAAGCCGAAAAGCACAAAACAACAAUAAGCCAACGUUUGGGGAACUCCUCCCACCAGGGAACCAAGCUCUCCGAAUCCACGCCCAAAUCCUCACUCCCCAACGCGACGUCUUUCAACGCCUCCUCAAACUUCACAGAUUUCUCCGACACAUUGUACGACUCGGACUUCACAUCCCGAACGGAUACUCGGAACGAGCAACCCCUGUCUCCGGACAGAACCCCAAGUCGAACAAAGGUUACGAGGCCUUCGAAUCAAGAGUUUCUACUUUGAAGUCUAUACAAAAUGCGUUGACUGAUGUGAAUGUCAGCAUUAUUGGGGUGUACGGCAUGGGCGGCAUUGGAAAGACGACACUGGUGAAGGAGUUUGCUAGGCAAGCCAGGGAAGACAAGCUGUUUGAUCGGGUGGUUUUUUCAGAGGUUUCACAAACUCCAGACAUAAAAAAGAUUCAAGGGGAAAUUGCAGAGAAGUUAGGUCUGGAGUUGUCCGAUGAAGCUGAAUAUAGAAGAGCUAGCAGGCUGUAUGAACGACUGAAGAAUGAGAAUAAGAUUCUUGUGAUUCUAGAUAAUAUCUGGAAACAUGUUGAUUUGGAGACGGUUGGAAUUCCCUUCGGAAAUGAUCAUAAAGGAUGUAGACUACUGCUGACAGCAAGAGACAAUAAUGUACUAUUAAGUAUGGGCUCCAAAGAUAACUUCUUGAUUGGCAAUCUAAAUGAAGAAGAAGCUUGGGGAUUGUUUAAGAUAAUGAAUAGUGAUGAUGUUGAAAAUUGUAAGUUCAAGUCUACAGCAAUUAAUGUAGCCCAGGCAUGUGGAGGGCACUGAGAAACAAGAGUCUGCAUGAGUGGAAGAAUGCCUUGCGAGAACUCCAAACACCUUCAGUGGUAAACUUCGAAGGUGUGCCUGCAGAGACUUAUUCAAGUAUUGAACUGAGUUUCAAGUAUUUAAAAGGUGAGCAACUCAAGAAAAUUUUUCUGCUCUGUAGUCUAAUAGGUAACAGUUUUUGGAUUACAGACUUGUUUAAAUACUCCAUGGGUUUGGGCAUAUUUCAAGGAGUCAACAGGAUGGUAGAUGCACGAAACAAAUUAUAUGCAUUGGUCCAUGAACUUAGUGUUGGGGAAAAAUUAGGUUUUUAAAUUUUUAUAAAACCUUUUGAAGAUCGCUCUCAUAUAAUAUAUAAGAAUUUGUAUUCUAGAAAUCGUACCUUGAAAAUCUGAAUUGGCUUUUUCCGCUGAAGUGAUUUAGGCUCCUAGAUCACGAUCCGCCACCACCACUCCUGAUAGAUCACGAUCUGUCACCACCACGCUUGUUAGAUCACGAACUGUCUCCAAUGAUCUUCCAGGUUAUGACUCAUGUUCGAUCUGCACUUGACGUGUGGGCGCCUUUAUCACUACCAAAGCAACUAGCAUGAGAAAAUUUUUCUCUCAACAAUAGAGAGAAAAAUCUUAUUCUCCGAUCUGUAUAAAGUGGCUCCUUUCUUUUUUCUUUAGGGAAAAAUAAGCCUUUUAUAUCACCCUUUAGUGAAAACCCUAGGCUCCUAAUGAUCAAAAAACAAAACCCACGUUUAUUUGCUUUUUCAAUAGGGGACCCACCUUGUAAAAUAACAUAAGGCCCCUUAUACAAAAGCUAAUUAAAUGGAGCCUCCCACUAAAUGAUAUAUUUAGGCUUUUGACCCAAAUAGCUAGUUAUCUUACUUAUUAGUCCAGUAGUGGUGCAAUCAAUUAAAUGAGCUAACCCGGGGAUCAUUUGGGAACAUACAAUAGUGGCUACAAUAAUUAGGCCUAUAAUUAAACUAGCCCAAUUAUUUAAUUCCAAAUCUACUCCACUAAAAGAUUGGAACCGACUUCCAUAAUUGUACGCUCGAAUAAUAAUUCGUCCCAAGCCACAUUGAUUUCUUUACUGCACAAUCCUUUGUACCACAUCGUUAAUUAAAUUGAUAUCUCAACUGUCCAAUCAAUUUAAUAACAUCUUAUUCCUUGAUCCUUACUGGUUUUCUCUAAUGAUCAUUUUCAACAUACUAAAUAUGUUGACACACUCUGGCCAGAGAAUUCUAUGAUCAAGUGCCGAAAACCCAUCAAGAGAUGUGUUGUACAAAUUCUAUAUUGUUAAUCCAUAACUUCAAUACUCAUAAUUGCUCCCACCAAGAUAACGGGUAAUCUUGACCACAAGGAUGUGUCGUGCCCAUUGGUAACUCAAAUGGAAUAACAAUUACAAUCAUGAAAUCAUAAUUAACUCAAGAUUAAGAUUACAGUAAAAUCAACGCCUAUGAGAUUUAAUAAGUCUGACAGUUAUUUCAAAGUUAAUUAAAUCUCAUAUGUGAUCCUGUUCAAUGUAGUCGCACUACAUCAAUAAAUUCAUACAUGAUUAAGACAAAUCAUUCAAUGAAUUUAUUACAGUCUAGCAUGACAAGUCGGUUGAAGAUUUGUCAUCAGCAUGACAAGUCGGUUGACAGUCCAGAGAGAGCUAUAUGACAAGAUUAUCGUGUCGUCUAUAUACGCAAAGAAAGCAUGUGGUGUUCACGUGUUUCACUUAAACUAAACGGCUGCUUGAACUGUCGUUUUGUUACUUGGAAUAACCAAGAUGAAGACACGUGUAAUGAAGGCUUAUUCAGAAGUCUGUUAAGCCGUUAAUCAGCGUGGGAAGUUACUGUUCUUCUCCACGGGAAACAGGGGAAGCUUGCUGGUGAUUUGAGAGUCCUUCUUUGAUCAAGCAUCGCCUAUAUAUAUAGCUGGGUAUUCUGGGGUUAACACUUUAAGUUCAUGUAUGCUUAGCUUCUCUAAAUAAAGCUUGCACUCUGUAAGACACUCGUUCAAUAAAGCUUGGAUUCACCCUUUCACAGUGGACGUAGGCUUCCAUAGCCGAACCACUAUAGCUUUCUUGUGUUGUCUUUUCUGCUCUUGAAUUCUUCGAUUAAACUAGCUUUGAUUCUUGGCUUGUUAAAGUGUUCUUUAAGCCGAGUUCUGUUCACAUUAGCUUUAGUUACAAGAACCCUUCUUGAGUGGAUCUUGGGGAGCCAUUUUUCGGUUCUUUACUGAUAUUUGGCACAACAAAUUGGUAUCAGAGCCUCCCUCUGAAGUUCUUGAUCUAAAGAUGACUGGCCCUAAACUUGAAGUAGAAAAGUUUACUGGGGAAAAUGACUUUCACCUAUGGAGACUCAAGAUGAAAGCACUGUUGGUACAUCAAGGCCUGGAUGAAGCCCUUGCCGAAGUCACAUCACCCAAGAAACCAAGGAAGAUAUCAGAUGAUGACCUCCUAGAUGUGCUUGAUAGGGCUCACAGUGCAAUUAUCUUAAGUCUUGGAGAUGGUGUACUCAGAGAAGUGGGAGGAGAGACAACAGCUGCUGGAUUGUGGAAGAAGCUUGAGGACUUGUACACCAAAAAGUCCAUGGCCAAAAGGUUAGCCACCAAAAAGAAGCUUUACACAUUGCAGAUGGAAGAGGGUUCAUCAAUCUUUGAUCACAUUGAUGCCUUUAACAAGAUCAUCUUGGAUCUUGAAGACAUUAAUGUAAAGAUCGAUGAUGAAGAUAAAGCCAUGAUUCUGUUGUGCUCUCUACCAAGCUCUUAUGAGCAUCUGGUCGACACUCUCAUGUAUGGAAGACAGUCCCUCUCGAUGGUGGAUGUAAAAGAGACAUUGAACUCCAAGGCUGCAAGCAAGAAAGAAGCAAGUCAUGGGGAAGGAUUAACAGUUAGAGGGAGAUCAGAAAAGAAAGAAGGUGUUAAAGGGAAGAAGAAAAGAUCCAAGUCAAGACCAAAGAACAUGAAGUGCUUUCACUGCCACAAGGAAGGCCACUUCAAAAAGGACUGUCCAGAGAGGAAAUAUAAAAACAAUGAAGCAAAAGAGAAGACUGGAGAUGCUGCUGUUGCAUCAGAAGGACAAGAAUCUGAUGGUUAUGACUCUGCUGGGGUUCUCAUAGUCUCUGAUGGUGCAUCUAAAGGUAACUGGGUUUUAGAUUCUGGCUGUUCAUUCCAUAUGUGCCCUAAUAAAGCCUUCUUUAAAAACUAUGAAACCUAUGAUGGAGGGAUAGUUGUAAUGGGGAAUGAUGCUAGUUGUAGAGUAAUUGGCAGGGGCACCAUUAAACUGAAAAUGCUUGAUGGCACAAUAAAAGAAUUAGCAAAUGUCAGACAUGUUCCUGAUUUAAAGAGAAAUUUGAUUUCCCUUGGCAUGCUUGACAAAAUGGGGUGUGUUAUCAAGCUUGAGUCAGGCACUCUAAAGGUGUUGAAAGGGUCUAUGGUGUUGAUGAAAGGAAACUUAGACAAUGGCCUGUAUGUACUCUAGGGGUCUGUAGUCACAGGAGAUGUUGGAGUUUCAAACCAGAAUCUAAACAAAACCUUAUUGUGGCACUUUAGAUUAGGCCAUAUGAGUGAGAGAGGCUUGAGAGAACUAUCAAAACAGAGAGUCUUGGGUGAAGAUAAAAUAGAGCCCUUGGAAUUUUGUGAGGAGUGUGUCCUAGGCAAAUCAUCAAGAGUCAAAUUCAGCACAGGUGCACAUGUUUCAAUAGGAACUCUAGAAUACAUACAUGCUGAUCUGUGGGGACUUGCACAGACAGCAUCUUUAGGAGGGGCAAGGUAUUUUCUAUCUCUAAUUGAUGACCAUUCCAGAAUGGUUUGGGUGUAUGUGCUGAAGAACAAAGAUGAAGUGUUUGAACAUUUCAAGAACUGGAAAACACUGAUUGAAACUCAGACCAAUAGGAAGGUUAAGAAGCUCAGAACUGAUAAUGGAUUAGAAUUCUGCAACAAGAUGUUUGAAGAGUUCUGCAGCAAGCAUGGGAUCAUGAGGCACAGAACAGUAAGAUAUACACCUCAGCAAAAUGGAUUAGCUGAGAGGAUGAAUAGAACCUUAGUUGACAAAGUGAGGUGUAUGCUCAUUCACUCUAAGCUACCUAUGUCCUUGUGGGCUGAGGCUCUGUCAACAGCUUGUCACAUUGUGAAUAGAAGUCCUUCAACUGGAAUUAACUUUAAAACACCAUAUGAACUUUGGUAUAGUAAACCAGCAGAUUACUCCAGUUUGAAGAUCUUUGGUUGUCCAGCAUAUGCUCACAUCAAACAAGGAAAAUUAGAGCCCAGGGCAUUGAGGUGUAUAUUUCUUGGUUAUCCUGAAGGGGUAAAAGGGUACAAACUGUGGUGCACAGAUAUGAAGCCACCAAAAGCAAUCAUAAGCAGAGAUGUAGUAUUUAAUGAAGCUGAGAUGCUCCAGCACUCAGUAUCUCUAAAGACUACAAAUGCUGAAAUAAAAGAGAAAGAUGAGAGAUCUUUUCUUGAGGUGGAGCUGUUAAACUCAAACCAGAAACAGAAAUCAAGAUCAGAGGCUGGAGACAAAACAGACAUGGAAAUACAUGACACUGAGAAUGAAGCAGCAAGUGAUCAGGCAAUAAGUGAAGAUUAUCAGUUAGUGAGGGAUAGAGUAAAGAGAGUAAUAAGACCUCCUAGUAGAUAUGCAUAUGCAGAUCUAAUAGCAUUUGCAUUAACAGCAGCAGAUGAAAUAGCAACAGAUGAACCCAGAACAUACUCAGAAGCUAUUAACAGUGAUAAAGCAGUAGAAUGGAUAAAGGCUAUGGAUGAGGAAAUGAUGUCUUUGAAAAAGAAUCACACCUGGAAUCUCAUUGAAAGACCAGCAAACAAGAGGGUAGUAGGAUGCAAAUGGAUAUUCAGAAUCAAGGAGGGAAUACCAGAUGUUGAGCCACAAAGAUACAAAGCCAGGCUGGUUGCAAAAGGCUUCACUCAGAAAGAGGGGGUUGACUUUACAGAAGUUUUCUCCCCAGUGGUGAGACAUGCUUCCCUGAGAAUCCUGUUAUCCCUAGUGGCUGUACAAGACAUGCAUCUUGAACAGAGGGAUGUGAAGACUGCUUUCCUGCAUGGUGAAAUAGAUGAGAUGAUAGUGAUGUCACAACCUGAAGGGUAUGAGGAUUCAGAAAAGGCUGAUCAUGUAUGUCAUCUAAGGAAGUCACUAUAUGGAUUAAAACAAUCUCCAAGACUGUGGUAUCUGAGGUUUGACAGGUUUAUGUCAGAUCAUGGUUUUAAAAUGAGUAGUUUUGACUGCUGUGUUUACUUUAAAACUAUAGAAGGUGGUGACAAAAUCUACCUACUACUCUAUGUAGAUGACAUGCUAAUAGCUUGUAAAGAGAUGGAAUUCAUCAAUGAACUGAAACAGCAGCUGAGCAAUACAUUUGAGAUGAAGGAUCUGGGUGCUGCAAAGAAGAUCCUUGGAGUUCCGCUAAAGAGAGACAGGAAGAAUGGCAUCCUAAGCCUAACACAGCACAAAUACAUCAGGAAAGUACUUGAGAAAUUUAAUAUGGAUAAAUGUAAACCAGUACAGACACUACUGCCUUCACAUUUCAGACUGUCCUGUCAACAGUGUCCAAACUCUGAUACUGAGAAGGCUGAAAUGAAUAGAUUUCCAUACUCAAGUGCUGUUGGAUGUUUAAUGUAUGCAAUGGUCCUUACUAGGCCUGAUCUCUCACAUGCAGUGAGUGUGGUAAGCAGGUAUAUGGCAAACCCUGGGAAGGAUCAUUGGAGGGUUGUUGUAUGGAUCUUAAGAUACCUUGCUGGUACAACUGGAUAUGGUUUGAUCUAUGGAGCUGAGAAAUAUGCAGAGGUUAGUGUGGAGGGUUAUGUAGAUGCAGAUUAUGCUGGAGAUCUGGAUAAAAGAAGGUCUUUAACAGGUUUUCUUUUUAUGCUUAAUGGCUGCACCAUAAACUGGAAGGCUUCACUGUAGAGUGUUGUUGCUCUGUCAACAACUGAGGCAGAAUACACAGCAGCUGCAGAGGCAAUCAAAGAAGCUAUCUGGCUCAGAGGGAUGGUGACAGAACUGGGGUUUGAACAAAAACAAAUCACAGUUCAUUGUGACAGCCAAAGUGCCAUAUGUCUAAGCAAGAACCAGAUUCACCACGAGAAGACCAAGCAUAUUGAUAUCAAGCUUCACUUUGUCAGAUUGGAAAUAUCAAAGGGUGUGAUUAAGCUGGCUAAAAUACACACUGAUAGCAACAUUGCUGACAUGCUUACCAAAGCUGUACCAGGAGCUAAGUUUGAGUUAUGCUUAAACUCAGCUGGCAUUUGCAGGGUAUAGACUGCAGGAAAUAAGUGGAAGGGUGAACCUGAGGGAAUGGAUGAUUUGAGCUCAAGGUGGAGAAUGUUGAAUAUGAACUGCAAAUCGGUUUUAUAGUCAAGCAUGACAAGUCGGUUGAAGAUUUGUCAUCAGCAUGACAUGUCGGUUGACAGUCCAGAGAGAGCUAUAUGACAAGAUUAUCGUGUCGUCUAUAUACGCAAAGAAAGCAUGUGGUGUUCACGUGUUUCACUUAAACUAAACGGCUGCUUGAACUGUCGUUUUGUUACUUGGAAUAACCAAGAUGAAGAAACAUGUAAUGAAGGCUUAUUCAGAAGUCUGUUAAGCCGUUAAUCAGCGCGGGAAGCUACUGUUCUUCUCCACAGGAAACAGGGGAAGCUUGCUGGUGAUUUGAGAGUCCUUCUUUGAUCAAGCAUCGCCUAUAUAUAUAGCUGGGUAUUCUGGGGUUAACACUUUAAGUUCAUGUAUGCUUAGCUUCUCUAAAUAAAGCUUGCACUCUGUAAGACACUCGUUCAAUAAAGCUUGGAUUCACCCUUUCACAGUGGACGUAGGCUUCCAUAGCCGAACCACUAUAGCUUUCUUGUGUUGUCUUUUCUGCUCUUGAAUUCUUCGAUUAAACUAGCUUUGAUUCUUGGCUUGUUAAAGUGUUCUUUAAGCCGAGUUCUGUUCACAUUAGCUUUAGUUACAAGAACCCUUCUUGAGUGGAUCUUGGGGAGCCAUUUUUCGGUUCUUUACUGAUAUUUGGCACAACAAAAAUAAUCCAGACUUCCUGUGUAUCGUCGAUUCAAUGAAGAGAGAACCUUGUGUCGCCUUUCCUCUUUUGGAGUCCCUUACUCUUCACAAUUUGAUCAAUACGGAGAGGAUAUGUAUUGAUCGACUCAAAAUAGAGUCCUUCAAAGAACUCAAAACCAUAAAAGUGGAAAAUUGUGAUGAGUUGAGUAAUAUCUUCUGGCUCUCUAGUAGUACAAAAUGCCUUCCAAGACUGGAGAGGAUUGCAGUUAUCAAUUGCAACAGCAUGGAAGAGAAGCUGAUGUUGAUGUUGAUGAGAAGAUAGAGUUAGGUCAAUUAAGAUCUUUGAGUCUGGGAAAGCUUCCAAAGUUUACAAGGUUUUGCCGUGAAGUGAAGACUCCUUUCACAUCACCAAACAGACAAGAGUCGCAAGAGGAAUUGACAGCCAGUUCCAACGAGAUCAGUUCGGAAACGUCAACUCUGCUUUUCAACGAGAAGGCACGUAGGCUAAUGCUUCUUUUUUUUUUAAGUUCUAUCAUGCACUCGCAUUUGAAAAAAAAAAGUCUCAUACACUCGCUAAUUAACCUCUUAAUAAGUGCUUCUCAUAUGGAUAUUGUGUCAAAACAAGUGCUUUUCAUACUGAUAUUGGAUCUAAAGAGAAAAUUAUCUUUAGAUAGUGUUGCCAAAUUUGGAGGCUUUGGAGCUGAAUGCUAUUAAUGUCGACGAGAUUUGGCAUGACAAUCAACUUACGGCCAUGAUUAAUAGCUUUCAAAGCUUGACACGAUUGAUAGUGUGGGGCUGUGACAAAUUAAAAUACAUAUUUUCAGCUUCUAUGAUCCAAAGCCUUAAGCACCUCCAACACCUGGAGAUACGGAUAUGUAUGGGUUUACAAGGGAUCAUCUCCAAAGACAGAGCAGAUCAAGUGACCCCAUAUUUUGUCUUUCCACAAGUGACCACUCUGAAUCUCGAAGGUCUACCAGAACUCAGAUGUUUAUACCCUGGAAUGCAUACUUCAGAAUGGCCAGCACUAAAAAAAUUGGUGGCCUGUAAUUGUGAUAAAAUAACGUUGUCCCAGAAUAACGAGAAUGAUCAAUUUGGUAUUCCGGCACAACAGCCCCUGCUCUCGUUCAAGAAGGUAUGAAACCAAAUUUUAGAUUUUUUUUUAUCAAUUAUCUUUGUUGUUCCUCACUCACAGAUCAGGAGGUUUAAUAAAUACCUAUAUAGAGUUUUUUUCUAGUGGGAAUGCCCUUAUUUUUUACUUUUUUCAUGCGGAGAAACUUUCAAAUCCCACGGUUUAAGAGCGUGUGUGUGUAUAUAUAUAUAUAUAUAUAUAAUCAUUCUCAGGUGUGGGGGUCCGCAUUUUUUUUAAUGUGGACACGCUUUUAAACUGUGCGGUUUAAGAGAGUUAGUUUUUAAAUGAAUUAUGAGUCAUGCGGUUUUAGGGAGUUAAAAACUAACUCUUUUAAACCAUGGAGUCUAAAAACUGAUCCACAUGAAAAAAAAAAAAAGAUGUCCGCACUAGAGAAGGAAUAUAUAUAUAUAUAUAUAUAUAUAUAUAUUAGUUAGAUCAUUGAAAACUUUGAUUACACAAUGAAUUUUGCCAGUCUUGAAUUAUGGAUCAAUGUGCUAAGUUAAUAAUUUGAGCUCGAUGAUGAUCAGAUCUUACCCAACUUGGAGGAACUGGCAUCAAGUGGAAAAGACAUCACGAUGAUUUUGCAAGGCGAUUUCCCACAACACCUCUUUGGCAGUCUUAAACUACUACAGGUUGGGGAUGAUGACUUAGCUUGCUUUCAACUUGGUUUACUUGAGAGGUUUAACAAUCUUGAAUUUCUCUUCCUAUCGGAUUGUUCGUAUGAAGUGGUAUUUUCAAAUGAAGGAUAUUUGGAGAAACAUGGGAGGAAGUUGGCACUGAUAAAAAGGUUAAACCUGACCAGACUUAAUCGUCUGCAGCAACUGUGGAAACAUGACUCCAAACAGCUGGACUUCAUUUUUCAACAUCUUGAAAUUCUAAGAGCAUAUCACUGUCAAAAUCUGUUAAGUCGAUUGCCAUCAUCAUCGGUAUCUUUUCGGAAUCUCGCACAUCUGCAAGCUUUUGCUUGCAAGAAAUUGAUGAACUUAGGAACAUGCUCCACAGCAAAAAGUCUGGAGCGACUCUUAUCAUUGAAGGUAUUUGGAUGCACAGCAAUGACAGAAGUCGUAGUAUGUGACGAAGAUGAAACAGCAAAUAUAAAAGAAGAGAUUGUUUUCAGCAAAUUGAAUGUGCUGUAUCUGUCUGAUUUAGAUAGUCUCACAAGCUUCUCCUCUGCCAAUUACACAUUCAAAUUCCUAUCUUUGCAAGAUUUGUCCGUGAUUGGUUGUCCCAAGAUGAAGAUUUUCACCAAAGGAGAAUCAACCACGCCUCCGAGAGUAAACGUCCGGUACGGAAGGAGUGAGGACAAACUACGUUGGUCUAAUAAUGACCUUAACACAAUCAUACAACAAUUAUUAAUGAGUGAGUUUUUUAUCACGUUUUUAUAUGAGAAUCUUAUGAAAUUCCUCGGAAAUUCAUUAAUCAUUAGUUUUUAUUUCAUAAUAUGAAUUUUAAUUUAAAUUGAUGAAUGCUAAUUUUAUUUUCAGCUGUUGGAGGGGUCGUCUCGUUACUCAUCGCAGUACUGAUCUCAUACGCCUUUAGUACUAGGCGAGCUGUCAAUCUGAAGAAUAAGGUCCCACGUAUUUUAUUUUUAGAAUGAAAUCCCUAGAAAAUAUCAUUCAAAGUGACAACACUUUCAUGUGGAAAGCUUUCAGACUUUUUUCCCCCGCUUUAAUCGAGGGGUCUGUCAAAUUUAGUUUUUAAAUGAGAAUAAUUUUCAUGGGCCAUUUCACAAUGAAAAAUUAGUUUUUUCUAAAGUGAUGACAGUAAAAACAUAUGAAUUAAUGACCCAGUACAUUACCACAAAAUUAAUCUUGGUUAGUUAGGUUAUAUGAAAAUUGUACAAAAUAAAUAUUUUUUCUAGUUCAUGCUCAAUGUCGUGCUCUAUAAUUGCAGAAUUCCCAAGUGAUGAAGAAGAUUGAGGUCACUCCUCUGUGUUUGCAGCAUCAGAAAUAAGAGCUGUUUUUCUGUCAAACUCGUGCUCCGUCCUUUGAAGUUAAGUUUACAUGCUGAGGUUAUUCACUUUACUGUAUCACUAAUGCAGCUUUGAAAGUGUUUCAUUAACCCUCCGUUGUGUUUCUUUCAUUUGACUAUCUUAAGUUCAAAAACGAUGUAUCAAUUUACCAUUGGUGUGUACUGCUUCUUGUAAUAUAUGCAAUAAAUUUCCAGUUUAUUUUGACAUUUUGAAUAUAAAUUCUUUUGAAUUUUCAGUCAGAGGUUUGGUAGUUGUUCUGAUUUAUCUUCAGUUUAAUUUUGUGAUCACAGGAACGUUAGGACUUGCAUGCAUGAACGCACAUUAAAUCACAGAAUUUUUGUCAUACAUCCAUGCAGAUGAAAUUUUAUCAGCAAUCUUGUAAUUUUCUGUUAUUGUUGUCGUUGUCAUUAUUCUAUUGCUGGUCCUGUUUGAAAUUUCUAGUAUUUUAGAUGUGAAAUUUAUUAUAUUAGGUAUUCAAGGUAUAUAUAUGAUGCUGAAUACAGGGCUUCUGUUGUCUAAAUUUGUUUUAUUUUGUUUGCUUCACAUAUAAUUUUCAAAAACUUUUGAAGAAUGCUGAGAGAAGGAACAAUUGGGCUAAAGAAUCAAAUGUAAUAUUGAAGUUAGUUUGUUAAUUGCCAUCAUUGCUGUCCUGUUAUUUUAAUUUUUGCCCUGUUUGUUCUGUUUCCCUGUUUGCUCCACAUCUAUCUUCCCUAACUUAGAAGGCAAGGAAUUUGUACUUGAAGACGAAUAGCAGUUGCACAAAAUGUGGCAACCACACCAAAUAAUCAGUUUGUUGAGAAAUUUUCAAAGCUUUACUUGAUAAAAAUUUGAAAGUUUUGAAGAGGAUUCAGGUCGCUCUUCUGUGCAGCCUCUGGAAUAAGAGCUGUGUCACUGUUGAAAAGUUUACAUGCUGAGAGGCUUCCAUCUUCAUUGUUCUACUUAUGCUUUACUUCAUCUUCACCGUGUCACUACAAGGUUAAGGCAGCUACAGUUAUGACGGAGAAGGAUCAUUCCCUGAUUUUGGCUGCUUCAAGUUAGUUGGGUUUGGUGAACCAAGUUGUGUCAGGAUUAGCUUAUAAGGGCCCACAUGAUUUCAGACGAGCCUGAGCUUUUGUCUCUCCCUCAUCCAUCUCAACACACUCAAUCUUCAUGUGGCUUUUGCCCGCCAAUCCACUAGCUCCAGCUUCCUGAAAAUGUAAAACAACUACUAGUAUUAUGGUCAGUGAUCGCUGUCAGAUUGAUUGGAUUAAUUAUAAUUACAGAUCAAACUGUUGAAAUUCAAUUUAACAGAUACACACGCCUUGGCGCGUUUCCAAGUUUCGGCAACGGUGAGAGGACCGUGUUCCUUGACUAUGGCAAACAUAACCCUCGUAAUUCUCUGAGUUUGCUCCGGUGGAGUUUUUGAGAUCUAUGGGUUUCAUCUUUGGUUUCGGCUUCGUCGACAAAUAUCUCACAAACAUUCUGCAUUCAAGAAACAACACAACUCCCGCUCUAAAUGUAUUUUAUACACUUUCAAACGCACCGUUUUGAUUUUUGUUAUAAACAUGACGCCGCCAUUUUUAUUUUUUAUUUUUUUUUUGAACAGGCGUAGCACUACUGUUUUCAGUAAUUUUGGGAUGUGUAGCACUACUGUUUCUUUUUAAUCCUUUCCUUUUAUCUUUUAUAGCCAUCUUCCAUGUUAUUAGGAGGAGUGGUUUUUACUAUUUUAAAAAAAAUUUGAUCAAAUUAAACUUUUGAUCAGAGUUCAUAACAAAAAUCAAAACGGUGCAUGACAUCGAGAUUAUGAUGAAUCAAAUUGAACUCCCAGUACGUUAGUUCAUAAAAAAUGCUUUUCUUCUUCCAAGUAAUCUUAUCAUUUCCUUCAUUUUAUUCACUCUCCUCUUUUCAAGUCUUCAAUCUUACACUCGGUAAGUAAAAUAUUCAACUGCUUUUUCACUUCAGUUCCGGACAACCGAGAAGGUGCUUGUCUCUACUCUCCACUCCCUAUUCUCUAGUUUUAUCAAAAGACACUAUUUUCGAAACCUAUGAUUCGUUGGUUAAAAUCGACGGUAACCCAGUGACAAAAUUUUCUAUUAUGUAUCAACCAAUUAGAUCUAGUGUUUUGUUGGCAAACAAGAAAUGCUUAUUUACCUUUAAUAGUCCACCCAAACAAGUUGGCAUUUGCUAGAAAGUCAGAGAUAGUCCAUAACAAUGCUGCAUGUAACUUGAACAUUUGAUUACGUGAUGCAUCGUGUAUCAUUCCAACCAUACUAUCAUCAGCACCCGAGCCAUGACUAACCUGUUUCUUAGUUAGAUUUCAAAGAUGAAGAUGGCUUACCCUGCAAUAUCCAGCUUUAAUACUUUAACCAAAAACCAUUUAUAAUGAUAUGGUCUCCUGCCACUUCCCUUAUAACGAAAUAUCGAUUACGACACUUCUUACAAGGACAAUAAAUACUUGUAUCACCAACAACAUUCUCAAAUGCAAAAUCUAGAAAUUUUUCAACCCCAUUGGUAUAUGACUUGGAUAUCUAUUUGGCAAACCAACCCAACUCUUGUCCAUGACUAUCUCCCUUUAAUGCACUACAAAAAUUAGUUAAAUAAAUCAUUUUAGUUCUUCAUUUCUACUACUAAACAAGAUAUUUUCAUGUGUGCACAGUUUUGGAAUAUAAUGAAAAAAUCAUUAUACAAUUUUAUGGUUAAUUUCGUUAGAAUAUUUAUAUAGAUGAAAGGAAGCAAAGCCAAAAGAAUCAGAGAAAAAGAUGUGAAAAUUAAAGUAUAUAUACAAUAAUAAUUAAUGUAAAAAAAAUGUUUCCAAUACCUUGUGCAAAGAAAUAUCCUCACCCACUGCUGAGAACUUCACUUGGCUAUCAAUUACAGAUAUAUAAAGCCUGUUACCUUAAAAAAAAUUAGGCCAGCCAGCUGAAGCAUACUUAUAAACCAACAUUGGAGAUAGUACUCCAUUUAUAAACAAAAUUACAACUUUACAAGCUCAAAACCAAGUCAACUCAGCAAAACCAUUACCGAUUACAUCCAUCCAACUCAGCUCCUCCACUCCCAUCAAUGCAUCCAACAUUCCCUUCAUAUUUACAAAAGGUAAGUGGUUCUAUAUAUCCCACUCAAGAAUGCAUAAGUUUCUUCAAUCUCAAGUAUCUAGAGUUUUCUUCUAUGUUUAUAGAAAUUUCAGAAGAAUCUCCCUAUAAUUCUUCAAGUACAUGACAUAGAUAUAUGAGUGUUUAUGUGCUAUGCCAAAACAACACAUAGUAUGUACCCAGAGACCAUGAGGAGCAGCUACUAAGAAACCCAUUUUUACAUCGGAAAAAAACUUCAUGUACUAACCAAUGAGUAGUUGUUAAAAGCCAAUGAAUAAUUUUAUAAGAAAUCAACAAUAAUGUUGAAAAAAAAACCAAACAAAAAUAAUAAAGCCAAUGAAUAGAUUAAGGCUCUUUAAGGUCUAAUAAACUAAUCAAACUAAGUUGUGGGUAAAGGCGAAUAUGUUUGUUUGGUCAAUAAUAAGCUCAACAAAUCACUAAUAAUCACCUAAUCACUUUUCCUUAUGCUAUGCAAUGUAAUGGCCUGGGUAAUGGCUGCAAGGCAGGCAAUAACUAGCUAGCCAGUUAUGAUAGUGGAUUAACUUAACCUACUGGAAAUCUGAAGACCAAAACGAAGAAGCUUUGACGAGAACUAGAAUAGGAACGUUCAUACCCAAAACUAAUAUAUAUGAUUAAGAAACUUGAUUAAAUGUAUAAUUUUGUUUGCCGCAAUUUAAGAGAACUUUCAAAAGAUGCUAAGGUACACCAAAUCCCACUAUUCCAUACUCGUAAACACAAAAAACCAUGGCAAAAAUUAAUUACUAUAUCAAAUAAAAUAGGUCGUAGGACAUUGAGAUUAGGAAAACAUGAUUUGUAUACUGUAAAAUAACUAUAUCUGCAUAGUCAACUAUAUUUCUGUUAGAACUCUAAAGUUUUCCAUUAAAUUUUUUUUCCCUCUUAAGUAAACCACUUAACUGAAAUGCUUAAGCCAAUAUUGACAAUCAUAGACAUACAAGUAUUAUUAAGCUCGUUCAAGUGAAAUGAGCAUUAUUUUACAUAUCCUUUAGGUUUUUAAGUCAUUUAGAAGUCAUUCAUGUUAAAAAAUUUCUUCAUAUACUUUCAAUAUAAUUAGUACCUGCACAAUUAAUUAAUUAAAUAAAUCUGUUUCAGCUGGCACAGGAACUUAAUUGAUCAGAGCUAGUAGUCAUAGCUAGGACUUGAACGGGGCACCUUUCAAAGUUCAAGAGGAGCAUCUGAACAGAAUGAAAGCAUAUAACUUAUCAGACAAUAUAACAAGCACUUGGUGAGUAUACAAGAUAAACUAAAACAAGUUAUCUAGAAAAUGAAACUAAAACCCAAGCUCCGCUAUUCAUUGUAGAAGCUUUAAACAUAAAAUUAAAGUAAUUCUAAUUGCAAAACAUUAGAAUGGAUGUUGAAAUUAAAGCUAAAUUCAAUAGUAAUUCAAAUGAAUCCAUUUGAACUUUGUUAAUUCCGCAGAACAAAAUUAAUUUGAGUGAGCAAACUCACCAAUGGAACAAGAACACUGGGGCUUCAACUUGUAGGAAUAAAAAAAGGAAAAAUAUUGCUGGCGGGACAAAAAUUGACAAUGACGGCUAAAAUACGAAUUAUAAAAAAAAACCAAAAUCUAUAAUUACAAGCUAAGAGAAGAAACUCAUAAUCACAAGCUUACCUCAAAAGAUGAAGGGAGAAUACGAUGAAGAAGAAGAUGGCCGGUGUUUUACGCCGUUCGCCGGCAACCAGUUAGGUUUACGAUGGUGGCUAGUCCAGCGAAUAGUUUUGUAACUGGAAAUAAAUUUAAAAUUCUAAAAUAGUAGGAUACCGAACGGCUCUUUACCGUCACGUGGUUAGUAACAUAUGCGACAGCAGUGUGGCUGUCACAUAAAGGGUAACAAAAGCAACUCGGGUUUACAAAGCUAGAAGUUAGUGAUAUACGUAAUGGCUUUGUUUGCAUUCACAUUAGGGGUCACAUAUACCCUAUUUUCUUGUAGUACAUGGUAAAUUCUAUUUGAAAAUUGCUAAGUAUUUUAGAUUUGUACGAAUUCAUUUUUGUGUGCUCGUUGAAUAAUAAUGUAUAAUAAAUUAAAUUUUUGGUGUAAUUUUCACAAUAUUGUAUUAUAAAUAUGUCUCGUUGAGAGGUUUUGAAACCGUUUUGAUUUAUCAUAAUUGAUAUUUCCACAAUUACAAAAGAUGCCAGAGAAAAUUUGAUUAUCUUAAGAAAUGAGUGCAUGAGAUAUGAAAUCAACCAUACCAUAAAAUCAAAUUUUAUCAUGUCAUCCUUCCUUGUUCAAAUUUAUGGAAACGAUAAUCAAAUGCAUCCAUGAACUAGUAUAUUCCGACAUAGGUACCAUCAAAUUAUUGCUAUGUCAUACUUAUAAAUUUUAAUAACAACAAUUGGGCCAAGCAUAUGUUGGGCAUUUGAAGAUUUAUAAGCUCCAUCCUUGAAAAAAUAAGGCUUGACUAUUCUCAAUAUAAUUCUUUUUGUUUUAAGUUCUUAAUUAAGCUUUCUUGCUUGUUUUCAAGAGCCAGUAUUGUAAUGAUCGACAAAGAUGAUUUGCAUUUAUUGCACUUGGCAGUUAUGUGUCACUUAUUAAUUAGAUUUAAAUUUUAUAAAUUAAUUAAGUUGAUUAGUACUUUAUGUUGAUGCAGAAAUCUGGUCAAGUCGGUUGUUGACUCAAUACCACAUCCUCGCGUCAGCAUUAAAUUUGUUUGGUGGAGAAGCGGCUUGUUAAUCUCCAAGAAAAUCCUCUAACCACGAGCAGAUAAUCCAUGAGCAGAUGAUCCAUGAGCUGCUAAUCAGUGAGCACCAUGAGCAGAUGUUCUAUGAGUAGAUAAUGAAUGAGAAGAUGAUCCAUGAGCAGAUAACCCGCAAGCAUGCAAGCACAAAGAACAGUCAGGGGGCACCAUAAGCUUUUCCAGCGAAAACCCUCUGACGCUCAAGUCAGGGAUUUGGGUCUACUUAGAAAAAUCCGUACCACAAUUCACGCGGCUUAAUUAUGAAUACUUUAAAAAAAAGCUUUUAAAUAAAUUUAUGGAAAAAGAAUAGAAAAUAAUCAAUCUUAAAAAAAGAAAUCAUGGCAGAAAGAGAAGUUUCCCAGUGAUAGAGAGAAAAAGAUCCCAUGGGUUCAGUCGCCCAGAGAGAGAGAGAGAUAAAAAGAAUCCCCCCAUUUUCCUCCCUUUCCCAGAGUUUUUAUAGGAAAUUAUAAUUGUUUUUUUCCUCUCACCUAAAACUCUCAAGAAGACUACUAAUUUUCAGCCCGCUAAGAAUAUGGUCCCUAAUAUUUCGAAGAAAAUAAGUGAGAUUUGUUUUGACUGAGUCGUGCUUCCUGGUAACCUCCUGGUCGAGAUAAUCUGCUCGAGGUCACCAAAUAAUCUCAAGGUCGAGGUGAUAUGCUCAAGGUGGCCAAAUAAUCUCUUAGUCAAGAUGAUGUGCUCGAGAUCACCAAAUAAUAUAUUGGUCAAGGUGAUGUGCUCGAGGUGACCAAAUAAUCUCUUGGUAGCCUAUCAACUAUUUGUUCACUUUUUACUUUGAGAAGAGCACAAUAAUGUAUGAGUAAAUACCUUAUCUUGGUCACCCUAUUUCAUUCCCCGAAUACUUUAUAUGUGCACUAAAUGAUAGAUACUGCAUAAAUUGGGACACUAGUAACUAUGUAUCCAAACUAUGUAAUAUUUUUUUGUCACAAACUCAAUCAUGGCCUGAUAUUCUAAAUAUUAUUUAGAAUACCAUUUCAAGCCCCAUGGGGGCUCCUUCCAUUUAAAAAAAAAAGUAUGAAAUAGAUGUAGAUUUUUCUUCAGAUAUUAUUAGUAAGAAAGAGUACCUUUGGUGGCAAUGGUCCGGGAUGAUUUGGGAUUUGACAAUUCCACCCUCAUCUUAAUUAUAAAAUGGAAUGUAAGUAAUAAGUAUGGAUAAACUCAUCCUGCUUAUAUAUUGGUGAUCAAAAUUAGGACCAAUCUCAAACCGCUCACAAUUAUGUCCUAUCCUAACUAUCCUGAAUGUCUCGAAUGCCUCCCUUAAUUAUCAUUUUAGUUCUCAUUAACAUAUUAGCAAAAUUUCCAUAUAUUAAAAAUAUUAGGGUCUGACUAUCUAUACUUAAAAAAUUACUAUGAACACUCAAUUAUUUUAUUCCCUCAUCUAAUAAAUUUAAAAAAUUAAGUUUUAUUUUGCACACUUUUUAAAUAACAAAAACAUCUUUACAUGAACCUAAUAAGUUUCUUUAAAAAAAUUAAAUCAAUUAUUUUUAUUUAUUCAAAAUACUAAUAAAACUAUUCAGCAGACCGUGAAAUAAAAUUUUUAAGAAAUUUAGCAUAUACAACAUUGAAAUCAAUUUAUGUUUCAAAUAAAUUCUUUAAUACAAUCAUAGUAAUUACUUAUUGUUUAUUAAAGAAUGUGUUCACGAUUGUUUUUAAUUUUGCGAAAUCAAAAAAGAAGAAGAAGAAGUUUGGGGUUUAAGAUACAUUUAAUUUUUAGUGUAACAGUUGUAUCAAACAAAAUAAAAACUAAAACAUCCAAAAGUUACAAGUUCCAACACCUCCCAAAUAAAGGCCCGUUAGGAUUGUUUUUGGGAAGCUCAAAAGUGAUUUUGAAAACUAAAAGCUAAUUUUUAGUGUUUUAUAAAUUUUUUUAGUAAUUACUUUUGGAAAAAUCAUUUCAUCAUACAGUGGAUUUUAAAAAGUAUAAAUAGUUUUUCAAAAUUUGAUUUUGAAAAUCACUUUUAUACUUAAUCCAAUUUUAUAUAUAUAUCCUCAUUAUAUAAUAAAAAUCCAAAAAUAUCUUUAUUAAUUAAGAAAUAAAAUUAUUAAGUUUAAAGAGAUUAUUAUUAUUAUUACCAAUUAUAUUGAGAUAACAAAAUAAAGAAUAAAAUUUAAUAAUAUAAAAUAUUUAUUUUAGUUAUCAAUAAUUAUAUGUACAUAAUAAAAAUAUUUUAAAUACAUGUCUGUAAAUGUGUAAAUAAAUUUUAUUUAGCAUUAUGUCCAAUUUAGUUAUUUACAUUCUUGGACCAGUUUAACAAUAAAAUUUAUGAAAUAUAUACGACUGCUUUUAAAACUAAAAGUACUUUUAAAAAUAAAUUUUACUAAAUGUUCAGCUGAUUCUCUUCACGAUUGAUCAAUUUCUACAACAUAGCUAACUGUAAUUAUUUUAAAAUUACAGGAUUACCAAAAUGACCCUAAAUCAAACCAAUAAAAAUGUCUAAAAGUAACAAUAAAAAACCAAAGCAAACGUACAAAAAUUCAUGCAUAAAUUGAUAAUCAACAAAAACAUCCAAAAGUUCAACUCCAAGUUUUCUGUUCAAUUGACAUAACCCUUAAAUUUCAAAAGGCAUAAUCAAUUUUGUGUCUAAUCGUAUAAAAUUAGAAAAUUAAAGAAUAUUAUAUACUGAUAAUUAAAUAAUAUGCAAUUAAUAAUGUUAAAAAAAUAAUGUCAAACAUAUUGUCAACUAAAAUAAUUGGGAGAAUUGGAGUUCCAAGAUAAAUUCUUAUCUAGUCCCAAAUCAACAAUUGGAAUUAAUUUCAAUCUUAAACUCUGACUGCCUUUAAAAUUGGUCCUAAUAAUAUGGACAAAUCCCAUUCUGAUCAGUAUGGAAUUCCAACCCCAUAUCUUUGGGUCUCGAUGGUGUUUAGUUGGAGGGAUGAGACGGGAAGGAAAUGAAUUCAAAUUCCUUUCACUUUUCUGUUGUUUGGUUUUCACUAAUAUAUGGGAAUUCAAUUUCUAUUGAAAUUUAAUUUUCAUCAAAUUGUGCAUUUUGGAUUCCUCACCGAAGGUUGUAAAAUUCAAAUGCCCCUCCUAUUAGAAAUCGAGUCAUCCAAAAUUGCUCCUCUCAAAUAUUUAUCAAUUAUUUUAAUUCUUAUCAAAUAAUUCUUAUUUAUGAUUUUAUUUUUUCAAUUUAAAUUGUCACUAAGGAUUCUUGACUUACUACCGUAGAAAAGCAAAAAUACAAUUUAUAGAUUAUGAUAAUUCUAUGUAUUGUAUGAGAAUUGCAAUCCAAAAAUUUUCCCUACUAAACGAUUUUCAAUCGACAGCAAAUACAUGCUUUCAAAUUUAGUCAGCUGAACUAAUUUUUGUUUUUUUGGAUUAAUUUUGAAAUGUUGCAUCCAUAACGAGCUGCCAUUGAAAUUAAUGUUAACAACAAAAGUAGAAGCAAAAGGAGAAACAAGCGUCAUGUGCAGUACCCACUGUGAACUACUCACAUUGGAAUAAGUUGUUGGCAGCUGGUCUGUUUGGCCAUUAAUAUUUUGACUAUUCAGUGUUGAUUUUGAUUCCACUAAAUUAAGCCAUCAAAAAUUGCUGGGAAGGGAGUAAUAUCUAUUCAUAAUUGGAAAUACUCACCGUACAAUGAAGGUUAGAGCUGCAUGUAUCAUUUAUUAUUAACAACUAACUUAUGAAAUGCUUUGAAUGUACCUCCUAGGUCGUAUUUACUAUACUGGUUAGGAGAAACUACAACAUUAAAUUAUUUGAUAAAUACUUAUUAUAAUUUUAAAAAUAUAUUAAUUUUAUCCUUAACUUUAUGAUAAAAAAUUUAAAAUAUAUAUAAAUCAUUCAUUUUAUAAUCUUGAACUUUAUUAAAGUUUCAAAAACUAUUACUCUAUAUGAUAUAAUAGUGUGAUGUUAUUACACUAUUAUACCAUAUAAAAUAUAUUUGCUUUCUUAAAUUUUAAUAAAGUCUAGGUUUUGGAGAGAAGCACUUUAUAUAUAUGUAUAUAUAAUGAUUCUCCAGUGACGACAUCCUCAUUUUAACAAAGUGAUGAUAUCGCUAACAAACUAAAUAACACACAUUUCAAUACACCAAUAGAUUAAAAAAAUCCAGUUCUUAAUGUGUUAAAAUAUAUGUCUUUUGUAUAUUAUUGAUAUUUUCACUUUAACAAAGUGAGAGUCUCCUCACUAUAGAAGUACUUUAUAAAUAUUCUUUGUAUUUUUGUGAAAAUUAUUAUUUAAAAGUCAUAUCUUACCAAAGACUAAUAGUUUUUAUUUUAUCAUUACGCCGUACUUUUCAAGACAGAACACCUCAAUACCAUGACCUUAAUUUUUGAACUCUGCUGUACAAAGUUGUUGGUUGGUCUAUUUACUUUAGUGUUUCAAUUAUUUGUCGUUUGAACUGAGAUGAUCCGAAUAAAGCUAUAUAUCAAUAAUUUCCUAGUGAAACUUCGGGAAAAAAUAAAAAUCCUCUCAUACAGUAGCAUUAUUUUAAUUCUCAGCUUGAUUAUGUUUUGAGUUAACUUAUAGAUUAUUUGAAAUAAAAAGAAUAUAAUUUAUUUUUUCUAACUAAAUAUUUUAAAAUAAUUUUGUUAAUUUAAUGAGUACUUAUACACUUACAACGUUAUGAUAUAAAAUUAUAUCCCAGAAUACUGCUAUGUGUUUCUUAGUAAUUAACUUUUUAUACUAUUAUUAAUGAGAUAAUUAACUUCAACACCAAUAAACAAAUUUUAUAUUAAUACAUCCUCUAGCUUUAUUAUCAAAUAAUCAUAUGUCAUAAUCAAAGCAAGCUACCAGAGCCUACCACUAAAAGAUUUAUUGAAGGGUUUUCCAAGUUUGAAAAUGUUAGUAGCAUUGGCAAAUGGCAACUUCCAGGAAUCUUCCGAUCAAAAUAGUUGAAUCAACUAUUCAAUGAAAUACGCAAAUGGCACAAAGGACCCCCACCACCCAUUAAGUCACGUCAUUUAUUUAUUUGUAAAAGAAAAAUAAGGUUCCGAUCGGAAGAAAUCAGCACCUUAUAAUGCAUGAUUACUCGUAUGUCAAGUUUACCGAUUAUAAGUCAUCAUCACAAUAACUUUGGACUUUAAUAUUUAAGUCUCUGUUUGGGACCAAUGUAUGGCAGUUGGACAACACAUCACUCAAUUAUAGAGUGUGAAAUAUUGAUAUUGUUCUUAUUAUUUUAUGUAAUGUAUAAACGUUUCCUUUUAUUUUUGUUUGAUUAUUUAUUUUUUAUACUUAAUAAAUAUAAAUUUAUUUUUUUAAUAUUUAACAAAUAGUCACGGCUAGACAAUAUUGUCAGAUAUUACAAACGAUGACCCAAAUCCUUUUAUCUCACAGAAAUAAUUUAAAUUCACAACAACUAUGACGUUACAUUAUCAAAUAAACACUAAAUACUUUGAUGAUUAUAGUUUAUCUUUCAUUCAUAGCAUGAAGAGUUUGAAAUAUGAUCUCAAAACAAAGAGUACGACAUGUCAUGUUCGGUUUUCAGAAGAAGUGUACGCCAUGUCAUCCGAAAACUAAAAGGCACGUAUGACAACCAGACGCUGUCAUCUCUGAUUUGCUUACACUUUAAGGAUGAAUUCUGGGUUUUGAGUGACAAUUAAAAGCUAGAGUGAGAAUUAGAGAGACAGUUAUAUAUUCUUAUUUAUUCCUAGCACUUGCUAUAUUGUGUAGGUCUUUUGUGACUCCAAUAAUAAAAACGCUCAUAUUAUUUUUUAUAGAGCAAUAUUUGUUAAAGCAUGAAGAACGGCAGAAAUAUUGUAAAUCCAUCUCAACUUUUUUGUUUAUUGUGGUCGUUGAUAGCGCUAGCUGUUUUCUUAUUUAACUUUGUUCCCUUUUGCCAUCAGCUCUUAGCAUUUUCAUUGGAUCAAGCGACCAUUUUCUUGCUUCAAUUUCUGAUCUCAAAAGCACUUUGACUCUCUUCAGUUACACUGAUUUUCUCCUUGUUUUGUACACAUAUCUUUUCUCUUUCCCAUUUAGCUUUGAUUUGCUUCUACUUGACUAUCAAUUGCCCAGUCGUUGAACCUGUUGUAUUUUUAUUUUGUUCACUUCAAAUAGACCAAAAAAAACAAAUGUUGGAUAAAAGCCAAAAAUCUAAUUUGAUUUUUAAUAUGAUUUAGCUAAGAUGUCCAAUUUAAUGCUAAGAGUAAUGUUAAGGAUCCCAAUAAUUGAAUCUCAACUGAUAUGAUAGUCAUUUAUUAGAUGAUCGAAAUAUUAAUUUUACUAAUUAUGAAAUUCAUUAUCUAAUAAAAUAAUGACACAUAACAAUUGGGUCUCAAGUUAGAAUUCUACUAUUGAAAUUCCUAACAUUAUUCUAAUAUUAAAAAUUCAUCAAAAUAAUAUCUAUUAUCUAAAAAAAUAAAAUAAAAAUCUAAAACCAUAAAUUUACUCUUCGAUCUUCGUGAUUUGACUGAUUUCUUUAUAUUUUUAUCGGUCAUUUUAUUGGUACUGGUUUGAUUUUCUGACUAAGCUACUGUUUAGUUCUAAGUUUUGGCAAUUACCCGGACUGCUCUGUUUUGUGUAUCAUCGACACAAUAAGGCUUAGCAUUUAAAAGUCGGCAGCCACGCAACUUCUUGGAAUCUUCGUGCAAGUGUUGGAUAUCGACUGUUCGAUAAUGAUGGCAGCAUUUGACUGGAGUGUAAUUGACGCAGUGGAAUAAGGAUCACAUGUCUCAAACUUUUGGUGAAGAUAUUGUCAGAUAUUUUAUUGAUCAAGUAAGGAUCACAAAUAAUGGAUAUUGGAUGAGGAUCACAUGUUUUAUGGGACUUAACUAUGUUGCAACAGUGAUACUAUACCAUUGUUUUUGUCAUUAUUCAUCGCGGCCAUUGGAUGGUAACUUAUUUAAUCUAAUGGUUUAAAUUAGUUAAUGGAGAAAUGACGCGGCAACUUACAACCCUUGCAGCCGGUUCUGUAUUGAUCUAAUAGCAUGGAGUAGUAAGCGUGCGUUCCAGAACCUUGUCACUGAUCAUGAAGAACAUUGAUCCAAUAGCAUGGAGUAGUAAGCGUGCGUUUCAAAGAUGCUAAGAUACACCAAAUCCCACUAUUUCCAUACUCAUAAAAACAAAAAGCCACGGCAAAAUGAAUGACUAUAUAAAAUAAAAUAGGUCAUAGGACAUUGAGAUUAAGGCAACAUGAUUUGUAUACCAUAAAAUAACUAUAUCUGCAUAGUCAAUUAUAUUUCUGUUAGAACUCUAAAGUUUUCCAUUAAAUUUUUUUCCCUCUUAUGUAAACCAUUUAACUGAAACGCUUAAGCCAAUAUUAAAAAUCAUAGACAUACAAGUAUUAAUAGGCUCGUUCAAGUGAAAUGAGCAUUAUUUAUUUAGGUUUUUAAGUCAUUUAGAAGUCAUUCAUGUUAAAAAAUUUCUUCAUAUACUUUCAUUAUAAUUAGUACAUACACAAUUAUUUAAAUAAAUAAAUCUGUUUCAGCUAGUACAGGAAAUUAAUUAAUCAAAGCUAGUAGUUAUAGCUAGGAUCUGAAUUACAGAGUUCAAGAGGAGCAUCUGAACAGAAUGAAAGUCCUUUAUAGAAAUGGUAAUGUCGCUUUACCAUUUAGAUAUCUUCUAGAAAGUACUUACAUCACGCAAUUAGGGACCGAUAUUUAAUGACAAUAACAAUCCAAAAGAUUGGGAGGGCCAACUAAAGGAAUAAAUCACUCAACCAAACCCUUAGGGACAGAUAGUUAAUGACAAUAAUAAAAGAUCCAUUCCUAUGCAUACGAGCUUAGUCUAUUAUGUUAAAGAGGCACCCUGUUGUUCGAUAGUCAGCACAACAAGUGAUCAAUGAGGUUGUUGCACAGACUGAUGACAUGGAAUUACGGCUCAGCCCAAGUGGUUCUGUGAUCUGUAGUAGACAAGCUGAGUAGUGGGAUUGGUUAGCUUGAUUUGCUGUGAAUAGUAGCUUAGUUAACAAGUUUGUUAGAUUACUGCAUAUAAAGCAAGCGAACUCUCUGUGUAUUCAUACUGUGAAGUAAAUCAAUCGAUUCAUUUUCUCUCAAAUCUCAAUGGUACUUUCUCUAUUUAAAUUUUAAAAUACCUUUAAUUAGGAUUAAUUAGAUUUUUCGCUUAUUAGGAUAAAAGCGAGAAAAAAGCACAACUACAAAAUUUGAUUGCAAAGUGUAAACCUACAAUUUUUUUGGGUAAAACAUGGAUAGUAAAACAUACAAUUAAAGAAGGAGAUAAAAAGCGUUUAUAUUUCACCUGAUUAGUUUCAGAAUUUGAGUGGUCUCAUCCCCACCAGCCAUUGAAUCGUUGAUAUGAUCACAUGCAUUGUUUUUAGAGGCACACAGGAGAGGUCUAUUUAGCACAACUAGCGUGACAAACGUUUUGCUGCACUCGUAGCAGACACUUGUACGACCGAUCGGGAUGGGUGAUUUCUGUUUUGCAACAACUUUCUGAAAAGUUAUGAAUGAUCACCUUCAACUUUUUUGGCAUCUUCUCUUCCCUGGCAUAAAUUAUAUGUGUUAUGAAUGAAGCACCCUUCAGAGUUCAAGAGGAGCAUCUGAACAGAAUGAAAUCACUUUGUAGAAAUGGUAAUGAUGCUUUACAUCUACAUGCUCUUACACAAUAUGAACUUUCAUUUAUUCAAGAACAUAACACUACCCCAAGCUCUUAUUCUACAAGUCAAUUCAGUUUGUAGAUGCACGCCAUUGUAAAAACUUUUGUAUUAUAAUUUCUGAAAAUAGAACGUAACAUUAUUAAUAUAGAAUCAGCAAUGUAUAUAACUUAUCAGACAAUAUAACAAGCACUUGGUGAGCAUACAAGAUAAACUAAAACAAGCUUUAAACAUAAAAUUAAAGUAAAUCGAAUUGCAAAACAUUAGAAUGGAUGUUGGAAUUAAAGCUAAAUUCAAUAGUAAUUCAAAUGAAUCCAUUUGAACUUUGUAAAUUCCGCAGAACAAAAUUAAUUUGAGAGAGCAAACUCACCAAUGGAACAAGAACACAGGGGCUUCAACUUGUAGGAAUAAAAAAAUAUUGCUGGCCGGACAAAAAUUGACAAUAACGGCUACAAUACGAAUUAAAAAAAAAAUCAAAAUCUAUAAUUACAAGCUAAGUGCGAGAAGAAACUCAUAAUCACAAGCUUAACUCAAAAGAUGAAGGGAGAAUACGAUGAAGAAGAGGAUGGCCAGUGUUUUACGCCGUUCGCCGGCAACCAGUUAGGUUUACGAUGGUGGCUAGUAACACGGAGUCCAGCGAAUAGUAGCAUACCGAACGGCUCUUUACCGUCACGUGGUUAGUAACAUAUGUGACUGCAGUGUGGCCGUCACAUAAAAGGUAUCGGGGUUACAAAGUUAGUGAUAUACGUAAUGGCUGCUUUUGCAUUCACAUUAGGGGUCACAUAUACCCUAUUUUCUUGUAGUACAUGGUAAAUUCUAUUUGAAAAUUGCUAAGUAUUUUAGAUUUGUACGAAUUCAUUUUUGUGUGCUCGUUGGAUAAUAAUUUAUAAUAAAUUAAAUUUUUGGUGUAAUUUUCACAAUAUUGUAUCAUAAAUAUGUCUCGUUGAGAGGUUUUGAAAUCGUUUUGAUUGAUCAUAAUUGAUAUUUCCACAAUUGCAAAAGAUGCCAGAGAAAAUUUGAUUAUCUUAAGAAAUGAGUGUACGAGAUAUGAAAUCAACCAUACCAUAAAAUCAAAUUUUAUCGUGUCAUCCUUCCUAUUUCAAAUUUAUGGAAACAAUAAUCAAAUGCAUCCAUGAAUUAAUAUAUUUCGACAUAUAUACCAUCAAAUUUUUGCUAUGUCAUGCUUACAUAUAUAUAUAUAUAUAUAUAUAUAUAUAUAUAUAUAUAUAUAUAUAUAUAUUGAAAUUUUAUUAACACCAAUUGGGCCAAGCAUGUGUUGGUACUUGAACAUUUAUAAGUCCCAUCCUUGAAAAAAUAAGGCUUGGCUGUUCUCAAUCUAAUUCUUUUUGUUUUAAGUUCUUAAUUAAGCUUUCUUGCUUGUUUUCAAGGGCCAGUUUUGUAAUGAUCUGCAAACAUGAUUUGCAUAUAUUGCACUUGGCAUCUAUGCGUCACUUAUUAAUUAGAUUUAAAUUUUAUAAAUUAAUUAAGCUGAUUAAUACUUUAUAUGUGCACCAAAUGAUAGAUACUACAUAAAUUGGGAUACUAGUAACUACGUAUCCCAACUAUUUAAUAUUUGUUUGUCGCAAAUCCAAUCAUGGCCUGAUAUCCUAAAUAUUAUUUAGGAUACCAUUUCAAGCCCCAUGAGGGCUCUUUCUGUUUUUUUUUUUUUUAAAGUAUGAAAUAGAUGUAGAUUUUUCUUUAGAUAUUAUUAGUGAGAGUACCUUUGGUGGCAAUGGUCCAGCAUGAUUUGGGAUUUGACAAUUCCACUCUCAUCUUAAUUAUCAAAUGGAAUGUAAGUAUCGAUAAACUCGUCCAGUUUAUAUAUUUGUGAUCAAAAUUAGGACCAAUCUCAAACCACUCGCAAUCAUGUCCCAUCCUAACUAUCCUGAAUGUCUCGAAUGCCUCCCUUAAUUAUCAUUUUAAUUCUCGUUAACAUAUUAGCAAAAUUUCCAUAUAUUAAAAAUAUUAGGGUCCGACUAUCUAUACUUUAAAAAUUAUUAUGCACAAUCAAUUAUUUAUGCACUCAUCUAAUAAAUUUAAAAAAUUAAGUUUUACUUUCUACACUUUUUAAAAUAACAAAAACAUCUUUACGUGAACCUAAUAAGUUUCUUGAAAAAAAUUAAAUCAAUUAUUUUUAUUUAUUCAAAAUACUAAUAAAACUAUUCAGGAAAAUUUUUAAGAAAUUUAGCAUAUACAACAUUGAAAUCAAUUUAUGUUUCAAGUAAAUUCUUUAACACGAUUUUAGUUAUUACUUAUUGUUUAUUAAAGUAUGUGUUCACUAUUGUUUUUAAUUUUUUUUUUAAUCAAAAAAGAAGAAGAAGAAGAAGAAGAUGUUUGUGGUUUAAGAUACAUUUAAUUUUUAGUGUAACAGUUGUAUCAAACCAAUAAAAACUAAAAGAUCCAAAAGUCACAAGUUCCAAUACCACCCAAAUGAAAGGCCCCGUUAGGAUUGUUUUUGGGAAGUUCAAAAGUAAUUCUAAAAAUUAAAAACUAAUUUUUAGUGUUUUAUAAAUUUUUUUUGUAAUUACUUUUGGCAAAAUCAUCUCAUCGUACAAUAGAUUUUGUAAAAGUAGGGAAUGAAAAGUUUUUUUAAAUCUAAUUUUGAGAAUCACUUUUAUAUUUAAUCAAAUUCUAUAUAGAUAUCCUCAUUAUAUAAUAAAAAUCUAAAAUUAUCUUUAUUAAUUAAGAAAUAAAAUCAUUAACUUUAAAGAUAUUGUUAUUAUUACCAAUUAUAUUGAGAUAACAAAAUAGAGAAUAAAAUUUAAUAAUAUAAAAUAUUUAUUUUAGUUAUCAAUAAUUAUAUGUAAGUAAUAAAAAUAUUUUAUAUACAUGUUUGUAAAUGUGUAAAUACAAUUCAGUCAUUUACAUUAUUGUAUCAGUUUAACAAUAAAAUUUAUGAAACACAUACGAUAGCUUUUAAAACUAAAAGUACUUUUAAAAAUAAAUUUUACUAAAUGUUUAGCUGAUUCUCUUCACAAUUGAUCAAUUUCUACAACAUAACGAACUGUAAUUAUUUUAAAAGGUACAGGAUUACCAAACUGACCCUAAACCAAACCAAGAAAAAUGUUUAAAAGUAAUAAUAAUAAACCAAAGUAAACGUACAAAAAUUCAUGCAUAAAUUGAUAAUCAACAAAAACAUCCAAAAGUUUUACUCCAAGUUUUCUAUUCAAUUGACAUAACACUUAAAUUUGAAAAGGCAUAAUCAAUUUUGUGUCUAAUCCUAUAAAAUUAGAAAAUUAAAGAAUAUUAUAUUCUUAUAAUUAAAUAAUAUGCAAUUAAUAAUGUUAAAACAUAUUGUGAACUAAAAUGAUUGGGAGAAUUGGAGUUCUAAGAUAAAUUCCUAUCUAAUCCCAAAUCAACAAUUGUGAUUAAUUUCAAUCUUAUACUCCGAUUGCUUUUAAAAUUGGUCCUAAUAAUAUGGACAAAUAUCAUUCUGAUCAGUAUGGAAUCCCAAUCCCAUACCUUUGGAUUUCAAUGGUGUUUAGUUGGAGGGAGGAGAGGGGAAGAAAAUGAAUUCAAAUUCCUUUCACUUUUCUGUUGUUUGGUUUUCACAAAUAUAUGGGAAUUCAAUUUUUAUUGAAAUUUAAUUUUCGUCAAAUUGUGCAUUUUGGAUUCCUCACCGAAGGCUGUAAAAUUCAAAUUCUCCUCCUAUUAGAAAUCAAAUCUUCCAAAAUUGCUCCUCUCAAAUAUUUAUCAAUUAUUUUAAUUCUUAUCAAAUAAUUCUUAUUUAUGAUUUUAUUUUUUCAAUUUAAAUUGUCACCAAGGAGUCUGACUUACUACCAUAGAAAAGCAAAAAAUACAAUUUAUAGAUUAUGAUAAUUCUAUGUAUUGUAUGAGAAUUGCAAUCCAAAAAUUUUCCCUAGAAAACGAAUUUUAAUCGACAGCAAAUCAAUGCUUUCAAAUUUAGUCAGCUGAACUAAUUUUUGUUUUUUUUUGGAUUAAUUUUGAAAUGUUGCAUCCAUAACGAGCUGCUAUUGAAAUUAAUGUUAACAACAAAAAUAGAUGCAAAAGGAGAAACAAGCAUCAUGUGCAGUACCCACUGUGAUCUACUCACAUUGGAAUAAGCCGUUGGCAGCUGGUCUGUUUGGCCAUUAAUAUCUAUUUAUAACUAGGUUUUUUUUUUUUUUUUUGAGAAGAUUUAUAACUGGAAAUUACUCACCGUAAAAUGAUGAAAUGCUUUGAAUAUACCUCCUAGGUCGUAUUUACUAUACUAGUUAGGAAAAAUUACAAUGUUAAAUUAUUUGAUAAAUACUUAUUAUAAUUUGAAAAAUAUGUUAAUUUUGUCCUCCACUGUAUGAUUAAUAAUUUAUAAUAUAUAUAUAUAUAUAUAAUUCAUUCUAUAAUCUUGAACUUUAUUAAAGAUAAAAAAACUAUUACUCUAUAUGAUAUAAUAGUGUGAUGUAAUUACACUACUAUACCAUAUAAAAUAUAUUUACUUUCUUAAAUUUUAAUAAAGUCCAGGUUUUAGGGAGAACCACUUUAUAUAUAUGUAUAUAUAACGAUUCUCUAGUAACGACAUUUUCAUUUUAACAAAAUAAUAAUAUCACUAACAAACUAAAUGACACACAUUUUAAUACAUCAAUAGAUAAAAAAAAUACAGUUUUAUUGUGUUAAAAUAUAUGUCUUUUGUAUAUUAUUGAUAUUUUCACUUUAACAAGUGAAGGUCUCCUCACUAUAGAAGUACUUUAUAAAUAUUUUUUGUAUUUUUAUGAAAAUUAUUAUUUAAAACUGUUUUGUGUAUCUUCGACACAAUAAGGCUUAGCAUUUAAAAGUCAGCAGCCACGCAACUUCUUGAAAUCUUCGUGCAAGUGUUGGAUAUCGACUGUUCGAUAAUGAUGGCAGCAUUGGACUGGACUGUAAUUGACACAAUAAAAUUAGGAUCACAAAUAAGGAUGAAACUAUGUUGCAACAAUUGUAGCAUGCCACUAGAUUUUAUCUUUUUUUUUAAUUAAUUACACUGCACUACCUUAUAUUUUAUGAAAAAAUUGAAUAGACAUUAAAAGUUACAAAAUUUUAUAUAUAAAUCCCUUUUUUUGGGAUAAAAUGGCUUUUCAAAAACAUUUGACUGUUAUUAUUAGUAUUAUUUAUUAAUAUCAUUAUUAUUAUAUUAAUAAGAAUAAUAAUAAUAAUAAUAUUAUCAAAAUUUAUUAUUUUAAUUAUUAUGAUUAUUUUUAAUUAAGUCAUUAUUAUUAUUUAUUAAUUUUAUUACUGUCAUUAAUAUUAAUUUUAUUACUAUUGUUAAAAUAUAUUAAUUUUAUUAUUUUAAUUAAUGUUAAUUAUUGUUAUUAUUAUUUUAUUAAUAUUAAUAUCAUUAAAAUUUAUUUGUUUUAUUAUUUUAAUUGUUAUGUUAUUAUUAAUGUCAUCAACAUCAUCAUCAUCAUCUUUAAACUUUAUAGAUUUUUUUGUUUAAAGUAAUACUAUUGUUAUUAUUAUUAUUUUACCUUAAUUGAACAUUAAAUAUAUUUUUAUUUUUAUUAUAAUAAAUAAAAAUAUAAAAUAAAUUAUACUAUCAUAUUAUUUUAUUAUAUCAUAUUAUAUUUAUAUAAAAUAAUUAAUAUAAAAAUAAUAAUUUAAUAUAAUUAAUAAUAAAUUUAAAUAAUGUUAGUAUAAUAUUAAUAUAAAAUUAAUGCAGUACAAUGUAAUACCAAUUACCAAAUGUUGUACAAAUAUUAUUAUAAUUUAUUACUAAUGUAAUAUAACAUAAUACAAUAUACCUUUAUUGAAUAAUGAAAUACAGUAUAGUAUAAUACAAUAUGUGAAAUGGACCCUUAAUUCUUUGAGUGAUGAUAGUUUAAAGGGAUGUAGAGAAAGUAAAAAUAAUCAUGGUAGAGUCUUUUGCAGUGGUUGAUUAGCCAUCAUCAAAAAAUUUAAGGUAACAUAAUAAAAAUUAAGCAAUCACCCUACAUUUAAAAGAGUAAUUAGAAACCAAUAAAUUUACUAUUCAAUUAUUUUUAAUCAAGAAUAAAUAAUAAAUUAUCAUUACAGCAAGAUUCACAAGCUCAAAUAUCUAUAAAAAAAAGUUAUAAUUCUCAAGAAACAUAAAACUCAAAUGCUUUUGAAGUAUUCUUAAAAAAAUUAAACUAACUUCCUUUUAUGCUAUUCUUUAUUUAUAUGACUUUGUUGGGCUACAUUUAAAAUUUUAAAAAAUUAAAAUGGUUUCCUUAAAUUUCAAGAGUAAUAUUAGUAUUUUAUAGGUAAAUUAACAUAUUUUAUAUACAAAUAAACUAACAUGUCAACUAAUAUUAAAAACAAAAAUGUAAUAAAAAAGUAAAGUUUUGUAAUAUUAAAAUAAUAAAAUUUUAGAACCUAAUACUUUUUACAGUUCCUUAUUUUGAAAUUUCACCUUUUUUAUUUUAUAAUUUUUUGAAGUAUUACAAGGUUAAUAACCUAUAUUCUUUACACAUAUUUAGUUUAUUUAUUCUAUAUUAAAUAUAAUGGGUCCGCCUACCUUGCAACAGUUGCACGGUACCCCAAAUUUUAUAUUUUUCUAAUUCAGCUGAUGAAUCUAAUAUCUAAAGUGUUCAACGGUCAAGGCCGGCUCAACCAUAUUUGGGGCCCUAGGCAAAUGAUUUUAAUUAAUUCUUAUAAAAAAUUAGGGUAAUCUAUGAAAUUUUAAUUCAAUUAUAACAUUUUUACUUAUUGUUCUUUAACUCAAAUUACAUCUUUUUUACUACUCCUUUUCUAGAUUAAACUAAUUUUUCUAUUUUAUAAAGUUUUUCGAUAUAGUUUUAUUUCAAAAUAGAUAAAACAAGCAUACAAAAAAAAAGAGUAGAUGAAUAAAAGAAUAUAUUGAAAAAAAUAAGAAUAAAUAAAUAAAUAACACAACUAAUUAAGAGAAUAAUAAAAAGAUAAAAUCUGGAAUUUGAGAUGAAAUCAUGAAUUAACUUUAUCUUUAUAUUAAUUGUUUGUGGAUUUGAGUAAUGACCAAUAGCCAUAGAGAAUAGAGAAAAUUAUUAGAUUUUUUUCUUCUUCUUGAGUGGAAAGUAGAGGAAGCAUGAUUUUUUCCCUCUCUCUCUUUCUUUCUCUCAAACACUAACAACAUAUCGUGUCUUGAUUAUUGGAGGAAAAAUUUAAUAGAUAAGUAAUAAAAUAUGGGGUUUUUAUAGAGGUUUAAAAUGAAUAUAAUACUUUUUAAUUAUAACAUAUUAAUUCUAACAAUUAAAUAGAGAAUUUGUAGGAUUGAAACUAUUAAUUUAUUGGUUUUGUAGGAAUUAAAACUACUAAGUACUACAUUAAAUAAACUUUAUAGAAAUUUGAUAGUUUAUUUAGGAAAAAGAUAAUUACAAAAUAAUAACAAAUUAAAUGCAUAAUAAUGACUUUUAAAUUCACUUUUCCCUUUUAUAUACAAAAUAAUCAUCUUACGGGGCCUUAAUGUAAAGUGGGGCUCCAGACAACCGCUUAAGUUGCCUAGAGGUCGAGCUGCUACUGUCAACGGUUGAGAUGUGUUCAAUUGGUUAUUAACACUUAAGUCUCUACUGUUUAUUAUAAUAUCAUAAAAACAAAAUUUUUAAAAUAUUUAUUUAUAUAACUCCUAUUGUUUUAAGUUUUUUAAAGUUUGAUCCAUUAGCCAAGCUUGAUCAUAAAAAUGAUUGAUGGUGUAAAGAUAAUAAUGUAAUAUCACAUAAAAUUUUUUUUAAACACAUGAAAAAUUGAUAAAUGUAAAUAUUGUUUUUUUUGGUUAUAUAAUAUAUUAACUUUAUUAUUUUAAUUAAUGUUAAUUAUUGUUUUUAUUAUUUUAUUAAUAAUAAUAACAACUAAUUUGUAUUUUACUUUUAAGGUUGAUUUGAUAAAUUUAAAUUUUUCUUUACAUUAACAUAUCUAAGAAUAUUGUUGCAAGCAUGUUAUUAUAAAAUCAAAGAAAAAUUAAGGGUAGGAUUAUAUUGUGCUUACCGACAAAGGUGUCUUGAGGGACUAAACGGUACUUCAUUCAAAAUAUAGAGACUGAACAAAUAUUUAUCAUUAUUUAAGCUGAAAUAGUGCAUUUUAACUAGUCCCGGGUUUGAUUCAUUGUAAAUAUCAUUUUCCUUCAUGAAAUACCUAUAGAGAAUCAUAAAUUUUGGAGAAAAGGACGUUACACCUAAGUUUUGGGAAAUAGUCAUGUAGACCCCUAAAUUUUUAAUAAGGAAUACGAAUACCUCUUUUGACUAUAAUACAUUUUGACUCUAUUAACUCAAAAAAUUGACUCCUAUGUUUUAUAAUAAAUAGAAAUAUAAUAUUGAAAUAAACAUAAAAUAUUAACAUUUUAAAACAACUUCAAUUUAGGAAAAUAUUUAUAUACUUAAGAAUCUUAUAUUAUAUUAGACUAAAUUUUAUAAUAAAUAAGAACAUAAUAUUAAAAUAAAUUUUAUAAAUUUUUUCAAUAUUAUAUAAAAUAAUUUCAAUAUUAUUACUACAUGAGAUAUAUUUUAUUAAUGAGAUGUGUUUUAUUAAUUUUAAAUUCUAUUUAACCCCAAUGAUUUAUUUGAUAUUUUUAUGAUAAAUAAAAUAUAUUAUUAAAAUAAAUAUAAUGUUUUUAUUUAAAAAAUAUUUUAUAUAUUAAAAAUAUUCUAAUAUUAUUAGUCUAUUAGACAGAUUAAACUAUUUAAGUUAUAUUUAUAUUUAUUAAAAAAUUCUUAAAGUCAUUUUUUUAUUUACUAUGUACAAAAAGUAUUAUAGUCAAAAAGAUAUUUUGGUUACUGAAAAUUGAAAGAUUUACGUGACCAUUUCUUUAAAUCUUGGAGUAUAGGUGUCUUUUCCUAUAGAUAUUAGAAUAAGGGCUACAUGUCUAUAUGUAAAUAGCAAGUAGUGGCGGACCUACAGUUGGACUAGACUGGGUUGUAGCUUGGUCUAGUACAGAAAAAAUCAUUUAUACACCUUGUUUUCUUAUAAUUUUUUUAUAAAAAAGAGUUUUUAUUUUGUUUUCAUAUAUGUCCCUAACUCAAGUAUCCUUAUGUUUUCAUCAAUUUAGUUUAACAAUAGAGUUUUUACUUUAUAUUCAAAUAUUUUCCUAACUCAAUUACCCUUAUAUUUUCAUCAAUUUAGUAUAACAAUUGAGCUAUUAUUUUAUAUUCAAAUAUAUCCCUAAUUCAAUUGUAUUGUUUCCAAUUGAAAUUAGUGACUUAUUUUAUAAAUUGAUUAAAUUAUAUACUCAUUGGAUAGAUUGAAAACAUUAGGGAGCUAAAGUAUUAUUAUCAAUUUAAUUUAUUUUAAAAAAUUUCUAAUUGAAAAAAAUAUAAAUCAAUGUAAUAUAACAUCGUCACUAGCAUUAAAAAUACUUACGAAAACAAUAUAUAGUAACAAUUAUCAACAUUUUCAUAAACAUUUUAUGUGAUUUUUUAGAUUCUAUUUAUUAGUUACAUUAACUACGACAAGAAGUUAGAAUAUAAAAUUUAGGUAUUUUGAGGAGCUUUAAUAGAAGAAUCAUCAACAUCUACUUCUAUAAAGAAAGUCAGUGCACUGGCAAUGAAACAACGAUAUCCAAAUAACUUUUUGUUGAAUUGAGUUUAGUUUAUUACUAAAACUUUUGACUAAUAAUACUUUUAUAAUUCGAAAGAAUGAAUGAAUUUUAAUUUUUAAAUUUAUUUAAACUUGGUAAUUUAAUACUUGACUUCAAACAUAAAAGUUUUACUUGUAAUCUUUAAUUAAUUUUAAUUACAUGUACUGAUCUAAUUUAGUUUGAAAUUCUUAAUUGAUUUAUUAAUCCUUAUAUAAUUACAUGUUAUUAUAGUUGCAAUGUCGGAUUCCAUAAUUGAAAAAUAGUGUUUUGAUAUUUGAAUUGCCUUUUGGUUUCUAUUCUUUUCUUAUAAUUAUUUUUGUUUAUAAUACAUAUUCAUAGGGAUAUAGCUCUCCAUGUCUCCCCUCAUUUAAUAUACUUCUUUUUACUUAUAAAUUUUUAUGUUCACUUCAAAAUAUAAAUUUUAAAAUUUAACCCAAAAUAAUAUUAAGUCCUGAAUCCGCACAUAUAGCAAGUUAAGUCACAUCCUUUUAUCUUUUUAUUUUCAUUUUAUAAAUAAAUAAAUAAAUAAUGCAUAUUGAAUUAGGAUCACGCGUCUGAAAUCUUUACGUGAAGAUUUUGUUAAACACCGUGUAAAAAAAUAAUAUGAAUAGUGAAAGCUUAAUAGUAAAAAAAUAAUAUGAAUAGUGCAUUGCGAUCUAUCAAUCGCAAUGCACCGAUGAUUGCAACAAUUAAAAAUCUUGAAAUAUGAUUAUUAUACAAAACGAAAAUGUACAACCACUCAUGAAUUAGAGUUAUUUUUUUUUAGAGAAGAUAAUUCGGGUUUUUAAGAUAGGUUCUUUUUUUAAAAAAAUUAUUAUCCUGAGGAUAUUUGAAUAAUAAUUUUUUAAAUUAAAAAAAUAAAUUUUAAAUAUAUUUUUGUGAGUUUAAAUAACCUCAUUCCCAGCAUAACUACAUGAGCUACGUAGUGCUUAUUUAUUGACAUUAAUAAACUGCAUCAAUUUAUACAAAAUACUGUUUUUCUUCUUCGUUUUUCUUUUUGACAUGUUGUGCUAAUGCUGUUUGUUGGCCUAGAUGGCGAAUAAAAAAUAUGAUAAUAUAUGCUAUCUACAAGCUUAAUUAUGAACGAACAGUUAAUAAUUACCCCAAAGUUCAUAUUUUAUAAUAGGUGUAGAAUCUUUUCACUCUAAUAAGUUUAUCUUCAAUUAUUUAUCACUAGUUUAGUUAAAUAAUGCACGUCAAUGUUGAAUUGACAUCCGCGAAUAUCACCUUUGCACUUUUAAAUCAAAUAAUCAAUGGCCAUCAAAUGAAGCGAAAUAAAUGGUUAAACUAAUUUAUGUUAAAACAAAUUAUUGUUGAAUAGAGUAGUGAUAGAUGAUAUCCCAAAUUUUUGGGUUCCUAAGGAAUAAUCAUUGUCAAAUUAUUAAACCGAACCUUACAUUCAGGAAUGAUAAAGAUUGAAGACCAAUAUCUGCAACAUUAACUCUUGUCAUACAUAAGCAAGAACAAAAAAAAUAAAAAAUCAUUGAAUUAUAUUAAUACAUGAAACAGAAAGGCCAAAAAUUAAACCCAAAUGAAUAUACAGUGAAAGGAAAUCGCAGUUGUAAUGUAACGCAUAUUCACAAAAGCUUUGUUGAUGAAGUCUAGUACUCUAAUGAUACUUUAUAAUGUGGGGGCAGAGCAGUAAAUUUCAAAGAAAUAAUUUUCUCUUUUGAUGUUUUGUCGUUAUUGUUGACUGAGACGAGAAAGAAAUAAUUGCUCGUUUGGAUAUUCUCUAUAUUGUAAAAGAAUUGCUUAUUAGAAUUGCUUAUUAGAAUUGCUUCAAAGCAGUUUUACCAGUUAUAAUUCAUCAGCUCCUACUCUUUGCGUUCAAUUCUCAAUCAAGAAACCCUCUCCUGACUUUCAGCUUUUAACCUCGAACACGCUCUGAUUCUGUUUAUUGUACCCACUGCUAUUGCUAGCUGUUCCCUUAUUUUGCUUUGCUCCCUUCUGCCAUCAGCUCUCUGUAUACUCAUUGGAUCAAGAAGCCCUUUUCAAUUUUCUGAUCUCAACAACACUUUGAUUCUCAUCUAUUACACUGAUUUUUUUUCCUUGUUUUGCUCAAAUACAAUUUCUCUCCCUAAUUUUGUCCCGUUCCCUUUCGCCGCCAUCUGUUUGUUCUUCGCUUCUUCAUUGAUUAACAAUUGUCCAGUCGUUUCACCUGUUCUUUUUCUGUUCCUUUCACUUCAGAUCAAUCCAUCCUCGCACAACCCCCCCCCCCCCCCCCAAAAAAAAAAAAGAAAAAAGAAAAAAGAUUGAAGGUGAUGGAAUGCAUUGUUACUGUCGUUUUAGAGGUUGUAAAAUGCUUGGCUCCUCCAACACAACAACAACUUCGUUAUUUGCGUAGUUCCAAUGCCAACUUUGAGAAUCUCAAGGCUGAAAUCGAGAAUCUUAAGGAUAAAAUUAGGAGCAUUCAGCGCAGAGUCUCAGAGGCUGAAAGAAAAGGAGAAAAGAUUGAAGAGGAGCUUGAGAAAUGGCUGGUUAAUGCGAAUAAGAUCAUUGAGCAUGCAGACAAAUUCAUUGACGACGAGGAGGCAACAAAUAAGCGAUGUCUCAAGGGUCUGUGUCCUAAUCUGAAGACCCGCCAUCAGCUUAGCAAGAAAGCAGAGGCAGAGGUGAAGGCAAUUGUCAAAAUCCGAGAAGAAGCUGGGAGAUUUGACGAUAGAAUUUCCUACCGUACGAUUCCGGAGGAGAUAUGGCUCAAGUCUCACAAAGGCUACGAGGCCUUCGAGUCAAGACUUUCUACCUUGAAGGCCAUACAAAAUGCAUUGAUCGAUGUUAAUGUUAGUGUCGUUGGGGUGUACGGCAUGGGCGGCAUUGGAAAGACGACACUGGUGAAGAAGGUCGCCAGGCAAGCUAUGGAAGAUAAACUCUUUGAUAUGGUGGUCUUUUCAGAGGUUUCGCAAACUCCAGACAUAAAAAAGAUUCAACAGGAAAUUGCCGAGAAGUUGGGCCUGGAGUUGCACGAGGAAGUUGAAUCUGGAAGAGCAAGUAGACUAUUUGAGCUAUUGAGAAAUCACAAGAAGAUCCUUGUCGUUUUAGAUAACAUUUGGAAACACCUUGAUUUGGAGACAGUUGGAAUUCCUUUUGGAGAAGAUCAUAAAGGCUGCAAACUACUGCUGACGGCAAGAGAUCGUAGUGUCCUCUUAAAAAUGGGUUCUAAAGACAACUUUUUGAUAAACAAUUUAAAUGAAGAAGAAGCCUGGAGAUUGUUUAAGAUGAUGGCCGGUGAUGAUGUUGAAAAUCGUGAGUUGAAAUCUACAGCAAUAGACGUCGCCAGGGCAUGUGGAGGUUUGCCCAUUGCCUUGACUACAGUAGCAAAGGCACUGAGAGGCAAGAGUCUGUAUGAAUGGAAGAAUUCCUUGCGAGAACUCCAAACGCCUUCAAUGGUAAACUUCGAAGGGGUAUCUGCAGAGACUUAUUCAAGUAUUGAGCUCAGUUUCAACCAUUUAAAAGGUGAGCAGCUCAAGAAAAUUUUUCUGCUCUGUAGUCUAAUGGAGAGCCAUAUUACUUUGGACUUGUUUAAGUACUCCAUGGGUUUGGGUAUAUUUAAAGGAGUCAAUAAGAUGGAAGAUGCACGAGACAAAUUAUAUGCAUUGGUCCAUGAACUUAGAGACUCUUGUUUGUUGCUUGAGGAUGAUAGCAAUGAACGAUUUUCAAUGCAUGAUGUUGUUUGUGAUGUCGCAAUAUCAAUUGCAUGCCGCCACCAACAUGUGUUUUUGGUGAGAAAUGAUGAGGAUGUGUGGGACUGGCCAGAUGAGGAUGCACUUCGAAAAUGCAAUGCUAUCUCUUUAAUAAAAAAUAGUAAUUGUGAAUUUCCUGAAGGAUUAGAAUGCCCAAACCUUGAACUUUUAUAUAUUUCUCUCAAAGAUUCUUCUCUUGAAAUCAAUAUUCCUGAGAACUUUUUUGUAGGGAUGAAAAAGCUUAGAGUUCUAGAUUUUACUCGAAAGCUGUUUUCUUCAUUUCCAUCUUCAAUUGAUCUUCUAGUAAAUCUUCACACACUAUGUCUGGAUCAAAGUGCGUUGGGGGACAUAGCAAUCAUUGGGAAGUUGAAGAAUCUAGAAGUCCUUAGCUUUUUGAUGUCUGAUAUUAUGCAGUUGCCAGAAGAACUAGGUCAAUUGAAUAAGUUGAGAUUGUUAGAUUUAACCAAUUGUUUCCAUCUAAAAGUUAUUGCGCCCAAUCUCAUAUCAAGCUUAACUCGAUUAGAAGAUCUGUAUAUGGGUAAUUGCUCCAUUGAAUGGGAGGUUGAAAGAGCCAACAGCAAAAGAAGUAAUGCUAGCCUUGACGAAUUGAUGCAUUUACCUCGGCUAACCACUCUAGAAAUUGACGUUAAAAAUGACAGUAUGUUACCAGAAGGUUUUUUGGCCAGAAAGCUCGAAAGGUUCAAAAUAUCUAUUGGAAAUGAGUCAUUCAUGCCUCCCAAGAGUGUUAGACAAGCUUGGUUUAAAAGUCGGCCGCGCUUUUCGAUCCACAGUUAUCGCAAGAGUGUAAGAGCAUUGAAGCUCAAGCUUGAUUUUAUGGACAUUUGCUCCAUGAAAUUGCAGGGCAUCAAUAACGUUGAAUACUUAUGGUUGGACAAGCUGCAAGGCACUGAGAAUGUUCUUUUCAAUUUGGACACGGAGAGCUUUUCACAAUUGAAGCUUCUCUGGGUUCAAAAUAAUCCUGACUUCUUUUGCAUCGCCGAUUCAAGGGCGAUGGUCGCUUGUGAUGCCUAUAGCUUAUUUUUAACUUUGAAAAAUAUGACAAAGCAUCGAUAAAUUAAUACUCAAUAAAUUAAAAACUUUUAUUAUACAAUAAUCUUUGCUAGUCUAGACUAAGGGAUCAAUGUGGUAGAUUAAUAAUUAUAUGAACUGUUUUAGGUAUAGCAUUUCUAAAAGAAUCCUUAGUCUUUCCAUAUAAAAGAACUUACAAAAUAAAUUAGUAAUUUAUUAUUGUGCAAUAAAAUAAUUUCGUUUUUUUCCCUAAUUUCUUUUUUACCUCUAAAAUUAGCAUAUAAAAAAUCAUUUAAUAAAUUUUAUCAAUAAUUCAAUUUUUUUUUUAAAAUAUAAUAUAAAAUAAAUACUAUAAAAUCACUGUGUGUGACCAUAGAUCAUCAAUUGACCUUAUUAGUUAUUUUGAUUGAUGAUGAUAUCUUACCCAACUUGACGGCACUAUCACUAAGUGGAAAAGAUGUGAAGAUGAUUUUGCAGGCCGAUUUCCCACAACACCUUUUUGGCAGUCUUAAACAACUAGAGAUUGUUGGAGAUGACUCAGCUUGUUUUCCAAUCUGGAACGUACUGGAGAGAUUUCACAAUCUCGAAAUACUCAUACCGUUUUUGCAUUCCACGAAGAGGUAUUUUGGAUGGAAGGAUGCUUAGAGAAACAUGUGGGGAAGUUGGCAAUGAUAAAAGAAUUAAAGCUGCACCGGCACUAUCAUCUGAUGCAGCUGUGCAAACAAGACUCCAAACUUGGCCCCAUUUUUCAGUAUCUUGAAAUUCUAAAAGUAUAUAAUUGUCAAAGUCUGUUAAUUCUAUUGCCAUCAUCAUCGGUAUCUUUUGGGAACCUAACAAAACUUGUAGCUUUCGAUUGCAAGAAAUUGAUACACUUAGUAACAUCCUCCACAGCAAAAACUCUGGUGCGACUCGUAACAGUUCAAGUAUAUGGAUGCAGAGCAAUGACAGAGGUGGUAAUAAAUGACAAAGACGGGGUUGAAAAAGAAGAGAUUGUUUUCCGCAAAUUGAAGACGUUGGAUCUGCGUGAUUUAGAUAGCCUCACAAGUUUCUGCUCUGCCAAUUACACCUUCAAAUUCCCAUCUUUGCAAGAUUUGUGGGUGAUUGGUUGUCCCAAGAUGAAGAUUUUCACUACAGGAGAAUCAAUCACGCCUCCAAGAGUAAAUGUCCGGUAUGGAGAGACAGCGGAUCAACGGCGCUGGGCUAAUAAUGAUCUAAACUCAACCAUACAACAAUUACAUGCUGAGAAGGUACGUAUAUACAUGUAUAUACAUCUUUACAAAAUUUGCUUUCUUAAAUACAAUAUAGAUAAGAUAUUUGAUGAAUAAGAAUUUUACUUUCAGCUGUUGGCGGUGCAGUCGGCGAUCUCUACCCAGUACUAAUUUCAUAGGCUUCUUAUGACUUGGGAGUUGUGAAUUUUUAGAAGAAAGCCUCAGCUGGUAAUUAAUUUUUAUUUCAUUUAUUUGAUCUCAUGGCUUGUUUCGCAAUUUCAUCUGAAUUAUUUAGAAUGGGUCAAUCGGCUUACUGUUAAAUUUGGAAUGCAAUUUUAAUGAUUCGUUCAGACUUUUGUGGACAGAUUUUGCAUCAUUGAAUGUCUUCUAGUCUAGUUUAAUUUGAGUAUUUUUUUUCUUUUUUUCUUUUUUUGAGAGUUCCCCUUGUUUUCUAAAAUUUUAUAAUUCCUUGCAUACUUUGUAUGAUAAAAUUUCAUUAAAAGCCUUCAUAUUUUAUAAUUCCUUGAAAACAUCAUUGCUGUUCUGUUAUUUUAGUUUGUUCAUUUAGUUUGGUUUGCUUCACACCUAUCUUUGUUUGGAAACUUUUUUUUAUUUUUUUGAUGAUCUUUCCAAAUGCUCUCCCCUAUGAACACAUAAUUAAGACCAGCUGAAAAUCAUUCAUCGGAUAAAAAAUAAAAAAUAAACAAAAUCUAAUCAGAGCAUUAUGCCUAGAACAAAUCCUUAGACCAUCAAAGCAAAACUCUUCGCUAUGAAAAACUAUAUUGUGGAAAUAUUGUUUGAAAACGUUGGAUACCAAGAAAGGGACUAAUCUGGUCUAGUUUUAUGAGAAGUGCAGAAGAACAGUAUUUUCUCUGUUGUUCCUAUUAAAAUUCUUUACUAUGUGAUUGUAGAAUGUCUGGAUACUGAUGAAGAUUCAGGUAACUCUUCUCCUGUGCAUCAUUUGAAAUAAGUUUUUUUUUUUUUUUUGGUAAUAUCUCCUACUGGGUUAUAGUUCAUACAAAGAGAAAUUCUUAAAUCAAGCCGGAUACUGGUAGAAACAAGUGGGGAAGUAGGCACUGAUAAAAUGGUUAAUCCUGUCCAGACUUAAUCAUUGAAGCAACUCCAAACUGGACUCCAUUUUAAAUAUCUUGACAUUCUAAGACUAUUUUACAAGCAUUUAAGUCUAUUCACAUGAUCAUCUAUAUCUUUUGGGAAUCUAAAAGAACUGUUGGUUUUCCAUUGCAAGGAAUUGUAACAUCCGUCCACUACAGCAGAAAGUCUAGUGCGACUCGUAUCAAUGAAGGUAGCUGGAUGCAGGGCAAUGACAGAGGUGGUAAUAGGUGACGGAGAAGAAGACGGAGCACCAAAUUUAAAUUCAAAACAAGAGAUUGUUUUCAGCAAAUUGAAGACAUCGAGUCUGUGUGAUUUAGAUAGUCUCACAAGUUUCUGCUCUGCCAAUUACGCUUUCAGAUAAAGAUUCUUGAAAUUGUCCUAUUUACAGCUGACAUUUCCACAAGAGUUAGAGAAAUAUAAAAAAUUCAUUAAUCGUUAGUUUUUAAUUUCAUUAUUCAAUGAAAAGUCCUGUCAAAUUAAAUUGCAAAUCUCAAUGUGCAAGUACCUAAAUUUACAAAAUUUACUUUAAAUUAAUGAAUGAAAGAAUUUAUUUUCUGCUGUUGGAGGAGUCGUCAUCUCUCUCGACAUAGUAUACGAUAUGUUUUGAUCCCAUAGGCUUUUUAAUAUAUUACCUUGUGUUGUUUGAUCUCUAGGUUUAUUUGCAAUGCGUCAGUUGGUUUAUUUGUUAAUUUUGGAAUGAAGUUGAUGCAGCUGAUGGUUGCAUAGGAUGAGUAGGAUAUCACUCCUAGAUCAUAACUUGAUCUAACAAUAUUGUGUAGGUCUUUUGUGACUCCAACAAUAAAAAAACUCAAUAUUUUUUUUAUAGAGCAAUAUUUGUUAAAGCAUGAAGAAAGGCAGAAAUAUUGUAAAUCCAUCUCAACUUUUCUGUUUAUUGUGGUCGCUGCUAGCGCUGGCUGUUUUCUUAUUUAACUUUGUUCCCUUUUGCCAUCAGCUCUUUGCAUUUUCAUUGGAUCAAGCGACCCUUUUCUUGCUUCAAUUUCUGAUCUCAAAAGCACUUUGAUUCUCUUCUAUAAUUCUGUUACACUGAUUUUCUCCUUAUUUUGUACAAAUAUCAUUUCUCUUUCCCAUUUAGCCUUGAUUUGCUUCAACUUGACUAUCAAUUGCCAAGUUGACCCUGUUGUAUUUUUAUUUUGUUCACUUCAAAUAGACCCAAAAAAAAAAAGAGAUGUUGAAUAAAGCCUAAAAUCUAAUUUGAUUUUUAAUCUGAUUUAGCUAAGAUGUCCAAUUUAAUAUUAAUAGCAAUGUUAAGGAUUCUAAUAAUUGGGUCCCAACUGAUAUGAUAGUCAUUUAUUAGAUGAUCGAAAUAUUAAUUUUACUAAUUAUGAAAUUCAUUAUCUAAUAAAAAAUGACACAUAACAAUUGGGUCUCAAGUUAGAAUUCAAAUAUUGGAAUUCUUAACAUUAUUUUAAUAUUAAAAAAUUCAUCAAAAUAAUAUAUAUUAUCUAAAAAAAAUAAAAAAUCUAAAACCAUAGAUUUACCCUUCAAUCUUCGUGAUUUGGCUGAUUUCUUUUAAAGCUUUGGUUUCUUUGGAAGUGCAACGAGAAAUAGUAAUAAGAUUAAAAAAGCAAUGAAGUAAAACUUUAAAAUUUUUAUUUUUUUAUAUUUUUAUGGGUCAUUUUACCGGCACUGGCGUUUGAUUUUCUGACUAAGCUACUGUUUAGUUCUAAGUUUUCAAUUACCCGGACUGCUCUGUUUUGUGUAUCAUCGACACAAUAAGGCUUAGCAUUUAAAAGUCGGCAGCCACGCAACUUCUUGGAAUCUUUGUGCAAGUGUUGGAUAUCGACUGUUCGAUAAUGAUGGCAGCAUUUGACUGGAGUGUAAUUGACGCAGUGGAAUAAGGAUCACAUGUCUCAAACUUUUGGUGAAGAUAUUGUCAGAUAUUUUAUUGAUUAAAGGAUCACAAAUAAUGGAUAUUGGAUGAGAAUCACAUGUUUUAUGGGAUUUACUAUGUUGCAACAGUGAUACCAUACCACUGUUUUUGUCAUUAUUCAUUGCGGCCGUUGGAUGGUAACUUAUUUAAUCUAAUGGUUUAAAUUAGUUAAUGGAGAAAUGACGCGGCAACUUACAACCCUUGCAGCCGGUUCUGUAUUGAUCUAAUAGCAUGGAGUAGUAAGCGUGCGUUUCAAAGAUGCUAAGAUACACUAAAUCCCACUAUUUCCAUACUCAUAAUCACAAGCUUACCUCAAAAAAUGAAGGGAGAAUACGAUGAAGAAGAAGAUGGCCAGUGUUUUACGCCGUUCGCCGGCAACCAGUUAGGUUUACGAUGGUGGCUAGUAACACGGAGUCCAGCGAAUAGUAGCAUACCGAACGGCUCUUUACCGUCACGUGGUUAGUAACAUAUGUGACCGCAGUGUGGCCGUCACAUAAAAGGUAUUGGGGUUACAAAGUUAGUGAUAUACGUAAUGGCUGCUUUUGCAUUCACAUUAGGGGUCACAUAUACCCUAUUUUUCUUGUAGUACAUGGUAAAUUCUAUUUGAAAAUUGCUAAGUAUUUUAGAUUUGUACAAAUUCAUUUUUGUGUGCUGGUGCCUGGUUGGAUAAUAAUAUAUAAUAAAUUAAAUUUUUGGUGUAAUUUUCACAAUAUUGUAUUAUAAAUAUGUAUCGUUGAGAGGUUUUGAAAUCGUUUUGAUUGAUCAUAAUUGAUAUUUCCACAGUUGUAAAAGAUGCCAGAGAAAAUUUGAUUAUCUUAAGAAAUGAGUGCAUGAGAUAUGAAAUCAACCAUACCGUAAAAUCAAAUUUUAUCGUGUCAUCCUUCUUGGUUCAAAUUUAUGGAAACAAUAAUCAAAUGCAUCCAUGAACUAGUAUAUUCCAACAUAUGUACCAUCAAAUUUUUGCUAUGUCAUACUUAUGUAUGUGUGUGUGUGUGUGUGUUUGUGUAUAUUGAAAUUUUAAUAACAACAAUUGGGGCAAGCAUAUGUUGGUACUUGAAGAUUUAUAAGCUCCAUUCUUGAAAAAAUAAGGCUUGACUGUUCUCGAUCUAAUUCUUUUUGUUUUAAGUUCUUAAUUAAGCUUUCUUGCUUGUUUUCAAGAGCCAGUUUUGUAAUGAUCGACAAACAUGAUUUGCAUAUAUUGCACUUGGCAUUUAUGUGUCACUUAUUAACUAGAUUUAAAUUUUAUAAAUUAAUUAAGCUGAUUAAUACUUUAUAUGUGCACUAAAUGAUAAAUACUACAUAAAUUGGGACACUAGUAACUACGUAUCCCAACUAUGUAAUAUUUGUUUGUCACAAAACCAAUCAUGGCCUGAUAUUCUAAAUAUUAUUUAGGAUACCAUUUCAAGUCCCAUGAGGGCUCUUUCCGUUAAAAAAAAAAAGUAUGAAAUAGAUGUAGAUUUUUCUUUAGAUAUUAUUACCUUUGGUGGCAAUGGUACGGGAUGAUUUGGGAUUUGACAAUUCCACUCUCAUCUUAAUUAUCAAAUGGAAUGUAAGUAUGGAUAAACUCGUCCUGUUUAUAUACUUGUGAUUAAAAUUAGGACCAAUCUCAAACCGCUCACAAUCAUGUCCCAUCCUAACUAUCCUGAAUGUCUCGAAUGCCUCCCUUUAUUAUCAUUUUAAUUCUCAUUAACAUAUUAGCAAAAUUUCCAUAUAUUAAAAAUAUUAGGGUCUGACUAUCUAUACUUUAAAAAUUACUAUGAACACUCAAUUAUUUUAUACACUCAUCUAAUAAAUUUAAAAAAUUAAGUUUCAUUUUGUACAUUUUUAAAAGUAACAAAAACAUUUUUACAUGAACCUAAUAAGUUUCUUUAAAAAAAAUUAAAUCAAUUAUUUUUAUUUAUUCAAAAUACUAAUAAAACUAUUCAGCAGACCGUGAAAGAAAAUUUUUAAGAAAUUUAGCACAUAAAACGUUGAAAGUUUCAACUAAAUUCUUUAACACAAUUUUAGAAAUUACUUAUUGUUUAUUAAAGAAUGUGUUCACUAAUGUUUUUAAUUUUGUGCAAUCAAAAAAGAAGAAGAAGAAGUUUGGGGUUAAAGAUACAUUUAAUUUUUAGUGUAAAAGUUGUAUCAAUCCUAUAAAAACUAAAAGAUCCAAAAGUUACAAGUUCCAACAUCACCCAAAUAUUACGAUUGUUUUUGGGAAGGUUAAAAGUGAUUUUAAAAAUUAAAAGCUUAUUUUAGUGUUUUAUAAAUUUUUUUUUAGUAAUUACUUUUGGCAAAAUCAUCUCAUCAUACAGUAGAUUUUGAAAAUUAAGAAAGGGAAUAGUUUUUCAAAAUCUAAUUUUGAGAAUCACUUUUAUACUUAAUCCAAUUCUCUCUCUCUCUCUCUCUCUCUCUCUAUAUAUAUAUAUAUAUAUAUAUAUAUAUAUCCUCAUUAUAUAAUAAAAAUCCAAAAUUACCUUUAUUAAUUAAGAAAUAAAAUCAUUAACUUUAAAGAAAUUAUUAUUACCACCAAUUAUAUUGAGAUAACAAAAUAAAUAAUACAAUUUAAUAAUAUACAAUAUUUAUUUUAGUUAUCAAUAAUUAUAUCUACAUAACAAAAAUAUUUUAUAUACAUGUUUGUAAAUGUGUAAAUAAAUUUUAUUUAGCUUUAUAUCCAAUUUAAUCAUUUACAUUCUUGCACCAGUUUAAUAAUAAGAUUUAUGAAACACAUAUGACUGCUUUUUAAACUAAAAGUACUUUUAAAAAUAAAUUUUACUAAAGGUUCACCUAAUUCUCUUCACGAUUGAUCAAUUUCUACAGCAUAGAUAACUGUAAUUAUUUUAAAAGCCAUAGAUUACCAAUAAAAAUGUCUAAAAGUAACAAUAAUAAACCAAAGUAAACGUACAAAAAUUCAUGCAUAAAUUGAUAAUCAACAAAAACAUCCAAAAGUUUUACUCUAAGUUUUCUAUUCAAUUGACAUAACCCUUAAAUUUCAAAAGGCAUAAUCAAUUUUGUGACUAAUCCUAUAAAAUUAGAAAAUUAAAGAAUAUUAUAUACUGAUAAUUAAAUAAUAUACAAUUAAUAAUGUAAAAAAAAAAUCAUGUUAAACAUAUUGUGAACUAAAAUAAUUGGGAGAAUUGGAGUUCCAAGAUAAAUUCCAAUCUAGUCCCAAAUCAACAAUUGGGAUUAAUUUCAAUCUUAAACUCCGAUUACUUUUAAAAUUGGUCCUAAUAAUAUGGACAAAUCCCAUUCUGAUCAGUAUGGAAUCUCAAUCCCAUAACUUUGGGUUUCGAUGGUGUUUAGUUGGAGGGAGGAGAGAGGAAGGAAAUGAAUUCAAAUUCCUUUCACUUUUCUGUUGUUUGGUUUUCACAAAUAUAUGGGAAUUCAAUUUCUAUUGAAAUUUAGUUUUCAUCAAAUUGUGCAUUUUGGAUUCCUCACCGAAGGCUGUAAAAUUCAAAUUCUCCUCCUAUUAGAAAUCAAAUCUUCCAAAAUUGUUCCUCUCAAAUAUUUAUCAAUUAUUUUUAUUCUUAUCAAACAAUUCUUAUUUAUGAUUUUAUUUUUUCAAUUUAAAUCGUCACUAAGGCGUCUAACUAAGGGCCAGUUUGGGAAUACUAUAACUUUUAAAAUAAUUAUUGUUAGUUGUGCUUUAGAAAUAAUCAGCUGUGAAGAAAAUUAAUUAAGUGUUUGGUAAAUUUUGUUUUAAAAAUACUGUGAGUUUUAAAAGCAGUUAUGGACAUUUAGUAAAUUUUACUAUUAAAUUGCUGAGAGAAAACAUAUGACUAAAAUGUAUAUAAUGUAGAUAAGAUUUACUUAUACAUAUAAAAACAUGUACAUAUAAUAUUUUUAAUUGUGUAUUAUAAUAAUUUUUAUUACAAAUAAAAUUUAUAAUAUAUUGAUUUUUUUAUUUUUUUAUCUUGAAACAAUUGAUAAUUAAAUUUGUAAUAUAGUGAAACAAAUUUAAUAAUAAUUCGACCAAUAAACUGAUAUUAAUAUAUUUAUAUAACCAAAUUAACGGGUGAAUUCUAUAAUCGAUUUCUUUUAUUAACAUCUCAUAACUAUGAGAAGUUUUAUAUUUUGAUAAAUGAUCAUACUCAAUUAUGUGCCUUAUUGGAUGAAAGACGGAGAAGGAAUGCCUUACCGGAUUCAAUUCAAUAUACACUUUUUGUUCCCAGGUCUAGCCUUUCGCGGGUACCUCAACAAAAAACUGAAGAGUAAUGGCAACAAGUGAUUGAGUUAAGUAGUUCCUCAUGUAAAAUUAUUGACUCUAGAGAUAUAGUAAUAUGGAGAAGACUAAACUAUUUCGUAUUGAUGAAUUAUAGUAACAAUUUAUUAAAAUAUUGAUUUUGAUUCUAAUUUUAAUAAGGAAGAACACCAAGAACGUUAUCCCUCUAAAUAUGUACUAUAUACAAAAAAUAAUUGUAAAAAAAGGGUAGAAAAAUAAAAGACAACUCAGAAAAUACUAUUUUUUUUAAUUAUAGAAUAUGACAUUGCAACCUAUAAUUACAUGUAAUUAUAUAAAGAUUAAAAAAUCAAUUAAGAAUUUCAAAUUAAAAUAGAUCAAUACAUGUAAUUACAAUCAAUUAAAAAUUGCAAGUAAAACUUUUGAAGUGGAAUACUAAAUUACCCGACUUAAUAAAUUAAACAAUUAAAAUUUAUUCAUCCUUUCAAAUUGUAAAAGUAUUAUUAGUCAAAAGUUUCAAUAAUAAACUAAACUCAAUUCAGCAAAAAGGUAUUUGAGUGCAAUUGUUUCUUUGUUAGGCGCUUUGCCUCUCUUUAAAGAACUAGAUGUUAAUUAUUCUUCUAUCAAAAAAUCCUUAAAAUAAUUAAAUUUUAUUUUCUAACUUGUUCUCUUAGUUUUUUUGAAACUAACAAAUAAAAUCUGAAAAUUCACAUAAAAAUUUUAUGAAAAUAUUGAUAAUUAUUACUAUAUGUUGUUCUGUAAGUACUUUUAAUACUAACAACGAUGUUAUAUUAUAUUGAUAGAUUUUUUUUUCAAUUAGAAGUUUUUAAAAUAAAUUAAAGCAAUAAUAAAAUUUUAGCUCCCUAAUUUUUCAAUCUAUUCAAUAAAUACGUAAUUUAAUCAUUUUAUAAAAUAAGUCACUAAUUGCAAUUGAAAAUAAUAUAAUUGAAUUAGGGACAUAUUUGUAAAUAAAAAAAACUAUUGUUAUAUAAAAUUGAUGAAAACAUAAGGAUAAUUGAGUUAAGGACAUAUUUGAAUAUAAAAUAUUGUUGUACUAAAUCGAUGAAAAUGUAAGGGUAAUUGAGUUAGGGACACAUUUAAAUAUAAAAUAAAAAAUCUAUUGUUAUACCAAAUUGAUAAAAACAUAAAAGUUAUUGAGUUAGGGACGUAUGUGAAAAUAAAAUAUAAACUCUAUUCUUUUACUAAAUUAAUGAAAAUGAAAAAAAGAGGUAUAAACGAUUUUUUCCCACAUGUAGGUCCGCCACUCGUGUUGUAUGAGAAUUGUAAUCCAAAAAUUUUCCCUACAAAACGAUUUUUAAUCGACAGCAAAUUUUCACUACAAAACGAUUUUAAACGAUUUUUGUUUUUUUUCGAUUAAUUUUGAAAUGUUGCAUACAUAACGAGCUGCCAUUGAAAUUAAUGUUAACAACCAAAGUAGAUGCAAAAGGAGAAACAAGCAUCAUGUGCAGUACCCACUGUGAACUACUCACAUUGGAAUAAGUUGUCGGCAGCUGGUCUGUUUGGCCAUUGAUAUUUUGACUAUUCAAUGUUGAUUUUGACCCCACUAAAUUAAGCCAUCAAAAAUUGCUGGGAAGGGAGUAAUAUCUAUUCAUAACUGGAAAUUACUCGCCGUACAAUGAUGAUUGGAGCUGCAUGUAUCAUUUAUUAUUAACAACUAACUUAUGAAAUGCUUUGAAUGUACCUCCUAGGUCGUAUUUACUAUACUGGUUAGGAGAAACUACAAUAUUAAAUUAUUUGAUAAAUACUUAUUAUAAUUUAAAAAAUAUAUUAAUUUUGUCCUCCACUUUAUGAUAAAAAAAUUAUAAUAUAUAUAAAUCAUUCAUUCUAUAAUCUUGAACUUUAUUAAAGUUCCAAAAACUAUUACUCUAUAUGAUAUACUCGGGUGAUGUUAUUACACUAUUAUACAGUACAAAAUAUAUUUGUUUUCUUAAAUUUUAAUAAAGUCUAGGUCUUGGAGAGAAGCGCUUUAUAUAUAUGUAUAUAUAAUGAUUCUCUAGUGACGACAUCCUCAUUUUAACAAAGUGAUGAUAUCACUAACAAACUAAAUAACACACAUUUCAAUACACCAAUUGAUAAAAAAAUCCAGUUUUUAAUGUGUUAAAAUAUAUGUCUUUUGUAUAUUAUUGAUAUUUUCAUUUUAACAAAGUGAAGGUCUCCUCACUAUAGAAGUGCUUUAUAAAUAUUUUCUGUAUUUUUGUAAAAAUUAUUAUUUAAAAGUCAUAUCUUACCAAAGACUAAUAGUUUUUAUUUUAUCACUAUACUGUACUUUUCAAGAUAGAACACCUCAAUACCAUGACCUUAAUUUUGAACUCUCUUGUACAAAGUUGUUGGCGGGUCUAUUUAGUUUAGUCUUUCAACUAUUUGUCGUUUGAACUAAGAUGAUCCGAAUAAAGAUAUAUAUCAAUAAUUUCCUAGUGAAACUUCGGAAAAAUAUAAAAAUCCUCUCAUAUAGUAGCAUUAUUUUAAUUCUCAGCUUGAUUAUGUUUUGAGUUAACUUAUAAAUUAUUUGAAAUAAAAAGAAUAUAAUUUAUUUUUUCCAACGGAAUUUUUUAAAUAAUUUUAUUAGUUUAAUGAGUAAUUAUACACUUACAAAGUUAUGAUAUAAAAUUAUAUCCCUAAAUCCCAAUAAUAUGACACCAAUGAACUACUGCUAUGUGUUUCUUAGUAAUUAACUUUUUAUACUAUUAUUAAUGAGAUAAUUAACUUCAACACCAAUAUAAAAAUUUUAUAUUAAUACAUCCUCUAGCUUUAGACGUUACAGACUCUGUAUGUAACGCAGCAAAUGAGGAGCAUCCACGCGUUGCAGGAGAGAGGAAAAGUUGUUGGAAUUUAGCUGAUACAAGACUAAUUUCCAUUGAGCUGUUACAUACAGAGUCUGUAAGGUAGUUUUAUUAUCAAAUAAUCAUAUGUCAUAAUCGAACCAAGCUACCAGAGCCUACCACUAAAAGAGUGAUUGAAGGGUUUUCCAAGUUUGAAAAUGUUAGUAGCAUUGGCAAAUGGCAACUUCCAGGAAUCUUCCUGCUACAAUCAAGUUGAAUCAACUAUUCAGUGAAAUACGCAAACGGCACAUAGGACCCCGCCACCCGUAAAGUCACAAUCAUUUGUUUAUUUGUCAAUCAAGUUGAAUCAACUUGAAUAAAGCCUAAAAUCUAAUUUUUUAUUUCGUUCACUUCAAAUAGACCCCCCCCCCCCAAAAAAAGAGAUGUUGAAUAAAGCAUAAAAUCUAAUUUGAUUUUUAAUCUGAUUUAGCUAAGAUGUCGAAUUUAAGACUAAGAGCAAUGUUAAGGAUCCCAAUAAUUGAGUCCCAAGUGAUAUGGUAGUCAUUUAUUCUAUGAUCGAAAUAUUAAUUUUACUAAUUAUGAAAUUUAUUAUCUAAUGAAAAAAUCACACAUAUCAAUUGGGUCUCAAGUUAGAUUUCUACUAUUGAAAUUCCUAACAUUUUUCCAAUAUUUAAAAAUUCAUCAAAAUAAUAUCUAUUAUCUAAAAAAAUAAAAUAAAAAUCUAAAACCAUAUAUUUACUUUUCAAUCUUUGGCUGAUUUUUUUUUAAAGUUUUGGUUUCUUUAGAAGUGCAAAGAGAAAUAGUAAUAAGAUUAAAAAAGCAAUGAAGUAAAACUUUAAAAUUUUUAUUUCUUUAUAUUUUCAUCGGUCAUUUUACCGGUACUGGUUUGAUUUUCUGACUAAGCUACUGUUUAGUUCUAAGUCUUGGCAAUUACCCGGACUGCUCUGUUUUGUGUAUCUUCGACACAAUAAGGCUUAGCAUUUAAAAGUCGGCAGCCACGCAACUUCUUGGAAUCUUCGCGCAAGUGUUGGAUAUCGACUGUUCGAUAAUGAUGGCAGCAUUGGACUGGAGUGUAAUUGACGCAGUGGAAUAAGGAUCACAUGUCUCAAACUUCUGGCGAAGAUACUGUCAGAUAUUUUAUUGAUCAAGUAAGGAUCACAAAUAAUUGACGCAGUGUAAUUUGCUUUUUUUGCUACUGAUGUAAGUCUUGCAAUUAUUUUUAAAUAAUGAUAUUAUAAUUAAAAAUCAAGAAAUAUUUAUAAUACUUAAAGACUGAUUCAGAUUAUUAAUUCUUUUAUAUGACUUAAUUAUUAGCUGACAAAUAAUUAAAAAGUCAUGGAACAAUACUUUUAUUCUAAUAUGACACAACUUGUACUUUCAUUCCUAUGCUAAAAUAUAUCUAACUUAUUAAUAGUCAAGAAAUAUAUCUAUUCAACAUAUAUUUGUUAGAAAGAUUAUCUACUAAUUAAUCAUUCAGACAAGAUUACGAGUCUCAACAUAAAGAGUAAUGAUAUAAUCAUAAAUUUUUGUAUAAAUUUAUUUUGUAUAAAUUAAUAUGUCAUAAUAAGAUUGGUUAAAUUAAAUAUCACUUGACUCAUAUAAUUUAUUUUUAUUAUUUUAUAUUUUCAUUCAACUAAUGAAUUAAUGUCAUGUUAAUUUAUACAAAAAUAUUUAUACAAAAAUUUAUAGUUAAUUUAUACUCCAAAUUAAGAUAAAAAUUAAUACAUUGAAAUUCAGAACCCUUUUUUAUUUUUUUUUUCCUUCUGCAGUUUAAAAAGGAGUCGCCCACGAUUAUUGAAAUAAUUUUAUCAGAUUCGCUUGAAAGUAGUUUUACGAGCAAGCGGUUUUUCCCUCUUGAUCCCCGUAUUCGUCAGCUCCUACUCUUUGCCUUCAAUUCUCAGUCAAGAAAACCUCUCCUGAUUUUCGUCUUUUGAUCUCAUACACACUUUGCUUCUGUUCAUCGUGGUCGCUGCUCGUGCUAGCCGUUUUCUUAUUUAGCUUUGUUCCCUUUUGCCAUCAGCUCUUUGCUUUUUCAUUGGAUCAAGCAACCCUUUUCUUGAUUCAAUUUUCUGAUCUCAAAAACACUUUGAUUCUCUUCUGUUACACUGAUUUCCCCCUUGUUUUGUACAAAUAUAAUUUCUUUUUCCAAUUUUGCCUUGUUUUGCUUCUACUUGAUUAUCAAUUGCGCGGUCGUUGACCCUGUUCUAUUUCUAGUUCGUUCCCUUCCCCCCCCCCCCAACCCAAAAAAAAUGGACAUUUUGAAAAGCAUUGUAAACUGCUUGUCUCCUCACGCACAACGCGAAUUUAGUUAUUGGCAUAACUCCGCUGCCAACUUUGAGAAUCUCAAGGCAGAACUCGAUGGGCUCAAGGAUGAAAGAGAAAGCAUUCAGCGCAGAGUUUCUGAGGCUGAAAGAAAAAGUGAAAAGAUUGAAGAGAAGGUUGAGAAAUGGCUGGUUAAUGCGAACAAGAGCAUUGAGCAGGCAGCCAAAUUCAUUCAAGACGAAGAGAAAGCAAAUGAACGAUGUCUCAUGGGGCUGUUUCCUAAUUGGAUUACUCGCUAUCAGCAUGGAAAGAAAGCAGAAACAGAGAAGGAGGCCCUUUUUAAACUCCGAGAAGAAGCUGGGAGAUUUGAUAGAAUUUCCUACCCUACCAUUCCGGAGGAGAUUUGGCUCAAGUCUCACAAAGGCUACGAGGCCUUCGAAUCAAGACUUCCUACUUUGGAGGAUAUAAAAAACGCAUUAAUCAAUGUUAAUGUCAGCAUCAUUGGGGUGUACGGCAUGGGCGGCAUUGGAAAGACGACACUGGUGAAGGAGUUUGCAAGGCGAGCCAUUGAAGACAAGCUUUACGAUAUGGUGGCUUUUUCGGAGGUUACCCAAAGUCCAGACAUAAAAAAGAUCCAAGAGGAAAUUGCGGAAACGUUAGGCCUACAGUUGUCCGAGGAAGCUGAGUCUAGAAGAGCUGGUAGACUAUAUGAAAGAUUGAAGAAUGAGAAGAAGAUCCUUGUGAUUCUGGAUAACAUCUGGAAACCUCUUGAUUUGGGGACUAUUGGAAUUCCUUUUGGAGUUGAGCACAGAGGAUGCAAAUUAUUAUUCACAACAAGAGAUCUUGAUGUGCU